AAAUUGAUUUGCCAUAGUUGUGUUUAGUAUGAGGGGUUGCUAGAAUGGUUUUAAGAGAUUGUGAUUAGGUGGUUACACAUUCUAUUUUUUCCUCCAAUUUUUGAGUUUAGGGUGGUAGUUAUCUUUUUAGUAUAGCCUUGUAAGUACUAGGUUCUGGUGGUGAACAAAUCUAUAUAUUGAAAAAAGUGGAACUUGUAUAGUGCAAUUUUGAUGAACAAGGUGCUUGUAGUUGGGAACUCAAAUCUUCUAUCGCAUUUUUCUGUGUGAAUGAUUUUAAAGAUGUUGGGUUUGAGAAUCUUAAAAUAGAAGAAAAAGGGAGGUCUCAUGAUUUUACAGGUGUUAGAUUUUUAUUGAAGGAACUAAGGAGACAGGAAAAUGGGAUAGAAGAUUUCAGUUCCCUAAUGAGACUUGUACCUUACUCAUUGAUUUUCUUUACUAAUGUCAUAUUCCCAAUCCCCCCAAUUUAUGUCAAGUGCAAGAAGUAAUUGUUACUUGUUAGUUCCUAUAAAUAAAUUAAAAAAGAAGAAAAAAAAUUGUUUUUUAUUCUAUGGUCAUCUUGAAUAGAUUAUUCUUGGUAUAAAGUAUAAACCACUUCUUUCUAGUUAUCAUACAAAAUGCCUUUGUAUUAUAGAUAAAGGUUCUUAUACCCAAAUAAUUUUUACCAAGUUUUCAACGCCUAGCAAGUAAAUAUUGUAAAUAUGUAUUAUUUGGGGUCAUUUUGAUAAAAAGAUAACAUUAUGUUGGUGUUGUAAAAACUGAUUAAAUUAUACUAUCUGUAUUCUAACCCUAUCAUGAAAAUUUGUUCAAAACAUUUGUCCCUCUCAAAGCUGCUUCUUUCUUCUUUCUUUUUCAUUUUUUCUUUAAGAAAAAUAGUUUUGUAGACUUCCAAAGCAUGCUACAACUAAUUGGGCUACUACAGUAAUACUUCUAAUUGAGCUACUCAUGGCUAUUUGGCCCCAUUUCUGUUACAAAAAGUUAAACUAAUCGUCUCUCUUUCCUUUUUCUUUUUUAAGUUAUUUAUUUUUUUUCCUAUUUCCUUAGUACAUUUUUUUACCUUAGAUAAAGAAAAUGUGUUAAAAUUAGAUAUUAAAAUACAAAGCAGGUUUGGUACCGGUUAUUUCUUAUGUUUAUUAUGUACAAGAACAAAUCAAACCUACAUAUAAAAUGAAGAACCAUGAACAGGAGGGUUUAUUAUUUGCUUGGAAUGUGGGGUGCAGAAGUAUCAUUUUGGAGGGUGAUGCAGAGUUAUCAAGAGAGAGAAGACAAGAAUUCAACCAUUCUCACAAUAGCACCACUUCAGGAUAUCCUUAAAUAUGUUGGCUGGUUUAUAGGUUUAGUAGUUGUAUAGUUGUAUUGUUUUUAGGGAAUAUAAUAAAGCGACUGAUGAAUGGAUAAUUUAUACGCUUUUUGGCAUUGUUUUUACAUAGUUUUUAAUAUGUUUUAGUAACUUUUUAGUAUAUUUUUAUAGUUUUUAUGCAAAAAUUACAUUUUUGGACUUUACUAUGAGUUUGUGUGUUUUUCUAUAAUUUCAAGUAUUUUCUGGCUAAAAUUGAGGGACCUGAGCAAAAAUCUGAUUCAGAGGCUGAGAAAGGACUGCAGAUGCUGUUAGAUAGGGGUGUUCAAAACCGAUCCAGACCGAACUAAACCGACCAACCGAGCCGAAAAACCGAAAACAAAAAAAAAACUGAAAAAAUAUGUUUUGCUAUUUUUGUUGCGGUUCGGUUCGGUUUUCGGUUCUGACAUUGGAAACCCCAACCGAACGGAACCGAACCGGGAAGAUAAAAAAAACCCUAAAAAAAACCAAGCCCACUCCACCCCUAAAUGCACGUAACCUAGCCUACCCCAAGCAAUCCCCAAGCCCCACCCCCAAACGAAGAACGAAACCUAGCCGCUCUCUCCCUAGGUCUCAGCACAGCCUCGCUCUCUGCACCUCUCAGCGCCGGCGAGGGAUCGUUCCUCCCACUACCUCGCUGCGCUGCCGACCUUCCUCGCAGCGCCACCCUUCCACUGCUUCCAGGACCUCCUCGCGGACAGAGCAGCCCAGCACACAGCCAGAUCCCAGCGCCCAGAUGCCCAGGACCUUCCUCGCAACUUGCAAGUCGCACCCAGUACUCCAGUAGCACAGAGAACCCGACACCUAGCAACAUCCUCGCAAGUCGGACCCAGCACCACCCACUCACCCAGCGGACACAUAGCACUGUUUCAAGUCAGAUAUGGAGCCCGAGCCACCGAGUCAGGUAUGUAACUUGACUGGAAUUGAUGUUCUGUUUCUUGUUCAUUACUUCAUCUCCAAUUGCUUCAACUGCUUCUAGUGUUUGUUUUGUGCUGUUGAAUUACUGAAACUGCCUCUGUUGUGUUUUGUUUUGCUAUUUUGUUGAGUGUUGUAUUACCAAAUUGCUUUUGAAGUGAUUUAGUAUGUUUUGGAGCUUCUGGAUCUUUAUAGGGUUAGAUUGAAAUCAGUAUGGUCAGCUAAAUUUGAAUAAUAAGAACAGGAUUUUGAAUUUGUAUGGUAUGAAUUACUUUUGUUGGUAUUGUUGUUGGUUGUUUAAUAAAUUUCUAAAUUUGUUUACCGUGGAUAGAUUGUGUGGAGAAUAUCAUUCUACUCCAAGUUAUAAGUGUUGUUAGAGUUUAUUGUAGUAAUUGUUAGGAUUUUUCUAAUAAUAUAUCUAUUUUUUCAACCUGGUAAUGAGCAAGCUUUCCAUGAAUCAGGUCAUGUCAUGUUGUUGCAGGCUGGUUCUUAAAACAUUUUACAUAAGUGUGUGUGUUUUAUACAGGGCUAAAAAGUCAAUGCAGAUGUUAAGAUUUACAUGUGUAUAUGAGAGAUUUGAUUCUUUAUUUGUGCAUGCCCUUAAUUAUUUGGUUGUUUAUUAUAUAUCAUGCUAAUUAUGAGUGUAGAUUAUGACAUGUUAAGAUCAGCAGUAUGUCACUAUACUUUCAACUAUAAUGCAGAAAAAUUCAACUUAAAACAUUAAAAUACAAAAAUUAAAACAGAAGUAUUCAAGAAAUGCAUAUUAUAAAGCAAGAUUUGUUACCUAAAGUUAACUCAAACUCAUGCAGCCUAUAUCAGAAAUAUCCCUUUAGACCCAGACUCUAAAUCAUCCAACUUGAUAUACGGACAGAAAGUUUUAUAUGAGCUUGCUUGAAUUUGAUAUUUUUUUGUGUUGAGCACUUGAAUCCUUUUCUAAUUGAAUGUGCUAACUAAAUUUGAAGGUGCAUUUGAAAGGAGAUAUUAUUAGUUUAAAUUUAUUCUGCAUUCUAUUUCAUCUGCAUUAUCACUAUUAAAAAUAAUUGUCUUGUUAACAAAGGUACCAUUGUAAAAGAUAGCAUCUCCUCAAUCUGUGUUAAUCACUGGUGCUAUAUUAUUAUUAUUAUUAUUAUUAUUAUUAUUAUUUUUAUUUCAGGUUGAUUUGCUUAAAGAUGUUUUGCAGUUUUGCAGUUUUGCAGGAGAGAACACCAAAACAUGAUUGUCUUUUGCUGAAAAUUUAUUUUUAUCUUUUAUUGUAUAGACUAUUAAACUUUUAAUAAUUUUAGUUGUGGUAUUAUAAUUUCUUUUAUCGUUGAAUUUCAUUGUAUUAAGACCUUUUUUACUCUUGUGGAUGUAGUUUUACUUUUAUAUGUUAUGGCUUUGUGAAAUAGUAUGACAUUUUUUUAAUCGAUUGAAAAAACCGAACAAACCGAACUAAACCAAACCAAAUUUAAUUGGUUUGGUUUGGUUCGGAUGAUCUCGAAAAAAAACCGAACCAAACCGAACCGCAGUUAAAUUAAACGAUUGGAUCGGAUGACUUUUCUCUAAAAAACCGAACCAAAUCGCACAGCGAACACCCCUACUGUUGGAUUCUGACCUUCCUGCACUCAAACGCAUUUUUCUGGAGCUACAAAAGUCCAAUUGGUGCGUUCUCAAUUGGGCUGGAAAGAUAACAUCUUGGGCUUUCCAGAAAUGUAUAAUAAUCUAUACUUUGUCCGAGAUUUGAUGGCCUAAACUGGCGUUAAAUGCCGGCCAGAGACCCUUUUUUGGCGUAAAACGCCGGAACUGGCACCAGAACUGGAGUUAAACGCCCAAACUGGCAUCCAAGCUGGAGUUUAACUCUAGAAAAAGCCUAUGAACAUGUAAAGCUCAAUGCUCAGCCCAAGCACACACCAAGUGGGCCUCGAAAGUGGAUUUCUGCACUAUCUGCACUUAGUUACUUAUUUUCUGUAAUCCUUAGUAACUAGUUUAGUAUAAAUAGCACUUUUUACUAUUGUAAAAGGGGGGGUGAACCUCUUUUCACUUUUAUGUUACAUUUGGGAGGCUGGCCAUUCGGCCAUGCCUAGACCUUUUUCUCUUAUGUAUUUACUACGGUGGAGUUUCUACACCUCAUAGAUUAAGGUGCGGAGCUCUGCUAUUCUUCAUGAAUUAAUGCAAGUACUAUUGUUUCUCUUUCAAUUCAUGCUUACUUCUUCUCCAAGAUAUACUCUCGUACUUAAUUCAAUUAAUUCAAAGUGAAGGGGUGACCCGUGACAAUCACCCACUAUCUUCGUUACUCGCUUAGCCAAGAUCCGCGUGCCUGACAACCACAAGCAGUCUACAUGAUGUUCAACGUAGUCAUUGGACGACAGCCGAAGUAUAAUCUCUUGGGUCUCUGAUCCACGGAUUUGACUUGCCUCUCCUGACAACAGAGCAUUCGAAUCUGUGAGAUUAGAACCUUCGUGGUAGAGGCUAGAACCAAUUGGCAGCAUUCUUGAGAUCCGGAAAGUCUAAACCUUAUCUGUGGUAUUCCGAGUAGGAUCUGGGAAAAGAUGACUAUGACGAGCUUCAAACUCAUGAAUGUUGGGCGCAGUGACAGUGUGCAAAAGGAUAGAGAGAUCCUAUUCCAACACAAGUGAGAACCGACAUAUGAUUAGCCGUGCGGUAGCUGUGCCUGGUAUUUUUCAUCCGAGAUGAGAGAUCCGACNNNNNNNNNNNNNNNGAGUUGUGAAAAGUGUGAUCACAAUUCCGUGCACCAAGUUUUUGGCGCCGUUGCCGGGGAUUGUUCGAGUUUGGACAACUGACGGUCCAUCUUGUUGCUUAGAUUGGGUAAUUUUAUUUUAUGUUUAAGCUUUUUAUUUUUAUUUUCAAAAAAAAAAUUAAAAAAAAUUAAUAAAAUCAUAAAGACUAAAAAAUUUUGUGUUUCUUGUUUGAGUCUUGUGUCAAAUUUUAAGUUUGGUGUCAAUUGCAUUUUUUUAAUUUUCUUAAAAUUUUCGAAAAUUCAUGCAUUAUGUUCUUCAUGAUCUUCAAGUUGUUCUUGAUGAUUUUCUUUGUUUGAUCUUUACAUUUUCUUGUUUUGUGUCUUUUCUUAUUUUUUAUAUGCAUUUUCUCAUAUCUUUCUAUUUAUUUUAUUUAUCUACUAACAUUUCUCUUCUACUCAUCUAAUAAUUUGAACCCUCUCCCUCUCUCUAUGUUCAAAUUCUUCUUAUUCUCUCUCUACCCCAUUCUUCUAUUCUUCUUUUCCUCUGACACAUAAAGGAAUCUCUAUACUGUGACAUAGAGGAUUCCACUACUCUCUUUGUUCUCUUCUUUUUCAUAUGAGCAGGAACAAGGAUAAGGACAUUCUUGUUGAAACUGACCCUGAACCUGAAAGGACUCUGAAGAGGAAGCUAAGAGAAGCUAAAGCACAACACUCUGGAGAGGACCUUACAGAAAAUUUCGAAAAAGAAGUAGACAUGGCAGCCGAACCUGAGAACAAUGGUGGAGAUGGAAGGAAGGUGCUUGGUGACUUUACUGCACCAACUUUCAACUUCUAUGGAAGAAGCAUCUCAAUUUUUGCCAUUGGAGCAAACAACUUUGAGCUUAAGCCUCAAUUAGUUUCUCUAAUGCAGCAGAAUUGCAAGUUUCAUGGACUUCCAUUGGAAGAUCCUCAUAAGUUUUUAGCUAAAUUCUUGCAAAUCUGUGACACUGUUAAGACCAAUGGGGUUGAUCCCGAGGUCUACAGACUUAUGAUUUUCCCCUUUGCUGUAAGAGACAGAGCUAGGAUAUGGUUGGACUCACAACCUAGAGAAAGCCUGAACUCUUGGGAAAAGUUGGUCAAUGCUUUCUUGGCCAAAUUCUUUCCACCUCAAAAGAUGAGCAAGCUUAGAGUGGAAGUCCAAACCUUCAGACAGAAGGAAGGUGAAUCCUUCUAUGAAGCUUGGGAAAGAUACAAGCAAUUGAUCAGAAGGUGUCCUUCUGACAUGCUUUCAGAAUGGAGCAUCUUAUGUAUAUUCUAUGAUGGUCUGUCUGAAUUAUCCAAGAUGUCAUUCGACCACUCUGCUGGUGGAUCUCUUCAUCUGAAGAAAACACCUGCAGAAGCCCAGGAACUCAUUGAAAUGGUUGCAAAUAACCAGUUCAUGUAUACUUCUGAAAGAAAUCCUAUGAAUAAUGGGAUGACUCAGAAGAAAGAAGUUCUUGAGAUUGAUACUCUGAAUGCCAUAUUGGCUCAGAACAAAAUAUUGACUCAGCAAGUCAAUAUGAUUUCUCAGAAUCUGACUGGAUUACAAGUUGCAUCUGGCAGUACUAAAGAAGCCUCCUCUGAAGGAGAAGCUUAUGACACUGAGAAUCUUGCAAUGGAAGAGGUAAAUUACAUGGGAGAAUCCUAUGAAAACACCUAUAAUCCUUCAUGGAGAAAUCAUCCAAAUUUCUCAUGGAAGAAUCAACAGAAGCCUCAAUAAGGCUUCAAUAAUAAUAAUGGUGGGAUAAAUAGGUUUAGCAAUAGCAAGCCUUUUCCAUCAUUUUCUUAGCAACAGACAGAGAAUUCUAAGUAGAACCUCUCUGACUUAGCAACCAUAGUCUCUGAUCUAUCUAAGACCACUCUCAGUUUCAUGACUGAAACAAGGUCGUCCAUCAGAAAUUUGGAGGCACAAGUGGGUCAGCUGAGUAAAAGAGUUACUGAAAUCCCUCAUAGUACUCUCUCAAGCAAUACAGAAGAGAAUCUAAAGAAAGAGUGCAAGGGCAUCAAUAUAUCCAAAGUGGCCGAACCUAUAGAGGAGGAAGAGGCAGUGAUUUCCAGUGAGGAAGACCUCAAUGGAUGUCCACUGACCACUAAGGAGUUCCCUAAUGAGGAACCAAAGGAAUCCGAGGCUCAUACAGAGACCAUAGAGAUUCUACUGAACUUACUGUUGCCAUUCAUGAGCUCUGAUAAGUAUUCUUCCUCUGAAGAGGAUGAAGAUAUCGUUGAAGAGAAUCCAUCAUCCUUGGAAGACCCUUCCUAGCCACAGCAAGGGCUGUGAUUGAUGUGGACAGAGGAGAGUUAGUCCUUCAAUUGAAUGAGGACUACCUUGUGUUUAAGGCUCAAGGAUCUUCUUCUGUAACCAUGGGGAGGAAGCAUGAAAAGCUUCUCUCAAUACAGAGUCAAGCAGAGCCCCCACAUUCAAACUCUAAGUUUGGUGUUGGGAGGCCACCAUCACGCUCUGAGUGUCUGUGAAGCUCUCUAAGAGCUCACUGUCAAGCUAUUGACAUUAAAGAAGGGCUUAUUGGGAGGCAACCCAAUGUUAUUUAAUUAUAUUUAUUUUUUAUAGACAUUUGUUUUCCAUUGCCAUGUUAUGUUUUCUUUAGGUUGAUGAUCAUGUGGAGUCACAAAAAUAGCUGCAGAAUUAAAGCAGAAUAAAAAAAAUAGUAUCAAAAAUAGCACACUCCGGAGGACAGGCUUACUGGCGUUUGAAUGCUAGUAAGGAUAGCAGAAUGGGCGUUUAACACCCAGUCUGGCAGCAUUUUGGGCGUUAAACGCCAGAAUUGGUAGACAGACUGGCGUUUAAUGCCAGAAAAGGGUGUCUGGCUGGCGUUAAACGCCAAAAAGGGGCAUCAACCUGGCGUUUAACGCCAGGAAAGGCAGCAGAGCUGGCGUUAAACGCCAGAAAGGGCUGUCCAGGGGUGGUUAAAUGCCAGAAAGGUGCAGGGACCAGAAUUCCUUGACACAUCAGGAUCUGUGGACCCCACAGGUUCCCCACCUACCCCAACUCUCUCUCUCUCCUCUUCACACCUUUUCAUAACACUCUUCUCCAAAUACCCUUGACCAAUCACAUCAAUACCUAUUCCCCAAACACCAUUCACCUAUCAAGUCCUACCCUCUUUCCCAUAAUCUCUUCACCACUCACAUCCAUCCACUAUUCCCCAAAAACCCAUCAUAAAAUCCUACCUACCUCACCAUUUAAAUUCAAAACAUUUUCCUCCCAAACCCAACCCCUUCUUACACGAAUUCCCUCUCUCUCUUACCCUAUAAAUACCCCUCCUUACCACCUUCAAUUUUACACAUCAUAAACACUUAAACCCCCCUUGGCCGAAUUCAAAACACCCCUCUAUCUCCUCCAUUUCUUCUUCUUCUCCUCCUUUCUUUCUUCUUUUGCUCGAGGACGAGCAAACCUUUUAAGUUUGGUGUGGGAAAAAGCUCUGCUUUUUAUUUUUCCAUAACCAUUAAUGGCACCUAAGGCCGGAGAAACCUCUAGGAAGAGGAAAGGGAAGGUAGUUGCUUCCAACUCCGAGUCAUAGGAGAUGGAGAGAUUCAUCUCAAAAGUCCAUCACUAGAAAGAGGAUGGAGCAAACAAGAGAGUCCACUCAUGGACCUCAACAAGAGCAUGAGGAAGUCCCUCAUCAAGAAAUUCCUGAGAUGCCUCAAGGGAUGCAUUUCCCUCCACACAACUAUUGGGAGCAACUCAACACCUCUUUAGGAGAAUUGAGUUCCAACAUGGAGCAACUAAGAAUGGAGCACCAAGAGCACUCCAUUAUCCUCCAUGAAAUUAGAGAGGACCAAAAUGCCAUGAGAGAGGAGCAACAAAGGCAAGGAAGAGACAUAGAGGAGCUCAAGAACUCCAUUGGUUCUUUAAGAGGAAGAAGAAGCCACCAUCACUAAGGUGGACCCGUUCUUUAAUCUCCUUGUUUAUUUUCUUUUCUGUUUUCGGUUUUUAUGCUUUAUGUUUUGACUAUGUUUGUGUCUUCAUUACAUGAUCAUUAGUGUUUAGUGUCUAUGUCUUAAAGAUAUGAAUGUUCCAUGAAUCUUUCACCUUUCUUAAAUGAAAAAUAUUUUCUGAAAAAGAAAAAGAAGUACAUGAAUUUCGAAUUCUAUCUUGAAAAUAGUUUAAUUAUUUUGAUGUGGUGGCAAUACUUUUUGUUUUCUGAAUGAAUGCUUGAACAGUGCAUAUUUUUGAUAGUGAAGUUUAUGAAUGUUAAAAUUGUUGGCUCUUGAAAGAAUAAUGAAAAAAGAGAAAUGUUAUUAAUAAUCUGAAAAAUCAUAAAAUUGAUUCUUGAAGCAAGAAAAAGCAGUGAAAAACACAAAGCUUGCGAAAAAAAUGGCAAAAAAUAAAGAAAAAGAAAGAAAAAGAAAAAGCAAGGAGAAAAAGCCAAUAGCUCUUUAAACCAAAAGGCAAGAGCAAAAAGCCAAUAACCCUUUAAACUAAAAGGCAAGGGUAAAAAGGAUCCAAGGCUUUGAGCAUUAAUGGAUAGGAAGGCCCAAAGGAAUAAAAUCCUGGCCUAAGCGACUAAAUCAAGCUGUACCUAACCAUGUGCUUGUAUCAUGAAGGUCCAAGUGAAAAGCUUGAGACUGAGUAGUAAAAGUCGUGAUCCAAAGCAAAAAGAGUGUGCUUAAGAACUCUGGGCACCUCUAACUGGGGACUCUAGCAAAGCUGAGUCACAAUCUGAAAAGGUUCACCCAGUUAUGUGUCCGUGGCAUUUAUGUAUCCGGUGGUAAUAUUGGAAAACAAAAUGCUAAGGGUCAUGGCCAAGACUCAUAAAGUAGCUGUGUUUAAGAAUCAACAUACUAAACUAGGAGAAUCAAUAACACUAUCUAAAUUCUGAGUUCCUAUGGAUGCCAAUCAUUCUAAACUUCAAAGGAUAAAGUGAGAUGCCAAAACUGUUCAGAAGCAAAAAGCUACUAGUCCCGCUCAUCUAAUUGGAACUAAUCUUCAUUGAUAUUUUGAAAUUUAUUGUAUUUCUCUUCUUUUUAUCCUAUUUUAUUUUUAGUUGCUUGGGGACAAGCAACAAUUUAAGUUUGGUGUUGUGAUGAGCGGAUAAUUUAUACGCUUUUUGACAUUAUUUUUACAUAGUUUUUAAUAUGUUUUAGUUACUUUUUAGUAUAUUUUUUUAUGCAAAAAUCACAUUUUUGGACUUUACUAUGAGUUUGUGUGUGUUUCUGUAAUUUCAGGUAUUUUCUGGCUGAAAUUGAGGGACCUGAGCAAAAAUCUGAUUCAGAGGGUGAGAAAGGACUGCAGAUGCUGUUGGAUUCUGACCUCCCUGCACUCAAAUGCGUUUUGCUGGAGCUACAGAAGUUCAAUCAGUGCGUACUUAAUUGGGCUGGAAAGCUAACAUCUUGGGCUUUCCAGCAAUGUAUAAUAGUCCAUACUUUGCCUGAGAUUUGAUGGCCCAAACUGGCGUUAAACGCCAGCCAGAGACCAUUUUCUGGCGUAAAACGCCGGAACUAGCACCAGAACUGGAGUUAAACACCCAAACUGGCAUCCAAGCUGGCGUUUAACUCUAGAAAAGGCCUAUGCACGUGUAAAGCUCAAUGCUCAGCCCAAGCACACACCAAGUGGGCCCCGAAAGUGGAUUUCUGCACUAUCUGCACUUAGUUACUUAUUUUCUGUAAUCCUUAGUAAUUAGUUUAGUAUAAAUAGCACUUUUUACUAUUGUAAAAGGGGGGGGGUGAACCUCUUUUCACUUUAUGUUACAUUUGGGAGGCUGGCCAUUCGGCCAUGCCUAGACCUUUUUCUCUUAUGUAUUUACUACGGUGGAGUUUCUACACCUUAUAGAUUAAGGUGCGGAGCUCUGCUGUUCUUCAUGAAUUAAUGCAAGUACUAUUGUUUCUCUUUCAAUUCAUGCUUACUUCUUCUCCAAGAUAUACUCUCGUACUUAAUUCAGUUAAGUCAGAAUCAAGGGGUGACCCGUGACAAUCACCCACUAUCUUCGUUACUCGCUUAGCCAAGAUCCACGUGCCUGACAACCACAAGCGGUCUACAUGAUGUUCAACGUAGUCAUUGGACGACAGCCGGAGUAUAAUCUCUUGGGUCUCUGAUCCACGGAUUUGACUUGUCUCUUCUGACAACAGAGCAUUCGAAUCCGUGAGAUUAGAACCUUCGUGGUAGAGGCUAGAACCAAUUGGCAGCAUUCCUGAGAUCCGAAAAGUCUAAACCUUAUCUGUGGUAUUCCGAGUAGGAUCUGGGAUGGGAUGACUGUGACGAGCUUCAAACUCACGAAUGUUGGGCACAGUGACAGUGUGCAAAAGGAUAGAGAGAUUCUAUUCCGAUACAAGUGAGAACCGACAGAUGAUUAGCCGUGCGGUAGCUGUGUCUGGUAUUUUUCAUCCGAGACGAGAGAUCCGACAGUUGAUUAGCCAUACAGAAACCGUACCUGGACCAUUUUCACUGAGAGGACGUAUGGUAGCCAUUGAAAAAUGGUGAUCCACCAACAUACAGCUUGCCAUGGAAGGGAGCAUGCAUGAUUGGAUGAAGACAAUAGGAAAGCAGAUGUUCAGAAGCAACAAAGCAUCUCUAAACGCUUAUCUGAAAUUCCCUCCAAUGAAUUACAUAAGUAUCUUUAUUUUAAUUUACGUUUUAUUUAUCUUUCAAUUAUCAAAACUCAUAACUAAUUGAAUCCGCCUGACUAAGAUUUACAGGAUGACCAUAGCUUGCUUCAAGCCGGCAAUCUCUGUGGGAUCGACCCUUACUCGCGUAAGAUUUUAUUACUUGGACGACUCAGUGCACUUGCUGGUUAGUUGUACCGGAGUUGUGAAAAGUGUGAUCACAAUUCCGUGUACCAGCGACCAAUUUUCUAGAUCAGCAACAUAGUAAGCAUAAAAGUAUAUCAAGCAAUUAAACCUGCAAGAGAAUCCAAGCAUGCAGCUGUUACAAGGCACCCUUCCAAGUUUAGUAAGGAAAGCUUUUGUAACCCUGAAAUGAACCAGGACAUCAUCGAAAAUUAAUGAAGCAUAGAUAAUUAUGAAAUACUGAAACUCAAGAAUUCUGUUCAAACUGGCAAGCUAAGAUGCUAGUAUUGUAUAUCGGUACUGUUUAUAGUUCACACUGCAACAUGUCUACUGACUAACAUAAGCAAUAUCAACUACAGAAAUUACAAGGACAAAUGAAAAAACAAAAAGAAUUUUCCAAGAAUGAUUUAUACAACAGAAGUCUACAUCAAAGAAAUGAAGCACAAGGAAGAUUGGAUAUAUAACUGAAAUUUUUCCACAGAAAAGACGAACUGAUUGGUUGAUAGCUACAUUCAGAAUUAUAACCAUAUAUUCACAUAAAAACAGAAAACAAAGAAAAAUCCAUGGAAGAAGAUGAAAAUGCUAGGUUGAACCUAUAAAAUAAAAAAUCCUGAUUGUUCUAAAACACCACAAAAAUACAAGGAAACGGAAAGUGCCUUUUAGAAAGCUGAUGCUAAAAUUAGUGACUUUACUCCAAGAAAUCUCAAGACUCUCCAAACACGCCAACUCUGGAAGCAAAUUGAAUAAAAUACAUUGUUCUGUUAAUCAUUGAACCAUGUGUUGGCUAAGACAACAAUGACUAUACUUCCAUAUGUACACAUCACACUGACAAUUAUACAGUUGUUAAGCACAGUUGCAAUGUGUUCUUUCUUUGAGAAAUAAAAGUAUUCACACACUUGAACUCAUUAGCCUUCAGGAGCAAAGGUUUUGAUAUCUUUAAUGCCAUACAAGAUAACCAUAAAACAGACCCUGGUUUAUCUAAUUCCUAAACUAGUCGACCUUGUAACCAUUGAAACAGCACCACUAAUUACUGAUAUUAGAGAAAUACUUAAAUAUUUUGGCAGCACCACACCAGACUAGUAAAAGCAUAGCAUACGACAGACAACAUGAUUACAUACCAUCAGAUUAAAUUCAUAAUAUUAUAUUUAAAAUGUUUAAACAUGAUCUGGAUCUCAGAAUUGUUAAUCUUUCUAACUACCUAUCCUAAACAUCGUAGUUUCUAGCCAUUGAGAUCAAAGUUCUCGUACCUUAAACAUGACAAAACCUUGUUGAUCUUAGAAUCUAGAUCAAUUAUGUGAACCUACUUAUUUAAAAAAAAUGCGAGCAGCCAUAAGUAACUAAUUCAACUGAGUUAGCAUUUCGAUCAAACCAGUUUUGCUCAACUUUCACCUAAAAUAGCAAAGAGAAAUAGAAUUUGAAAACACAAUUAUCCAUAUCCACUCAGCACAAUUAUCCAUAUCCACUCGUUAUUUUGUUGACUUUUAAUUCCACUUUCUACUUUUAAUUCUACAAUAGGGUUAUUGACUUAUUGGCCAUAGACCGGGACAAUAACCCUAUGAAAUAAAGGCAGAAAAAUUCUACAAUAGUUCCAAUCAACCAAAAUAGCAAAGACAAAAAGAGAAGCUGGUUUCACACAGCUUACCAAACUUUAUAAAAAAACAACUAAAAGGCUUCACAUUAAAGAUAAAAGACCAAGAUGAACUGCAACAUGUCUACUCACACACCAUCCCAUUAUAAAACCUUAAACAUCAAGCAAAAUUCUAAGCCAAACACCACAAACAACAUAAAUCAAGUUCACCCAAAAAAAAAAAUUUUUUUUCAAAAUAAUAAUAAUAAUAAUUUAAAGGGCCAGUUAAUUACUUCAAGUCAAUGUCAUGGAAUAAUUGACAAAAUUCAGUUCCAAAAUUAAAGCAAACAACAAAAAAUGCCACUCAGAAAAAAUAUAACAGCUCAGAGAAUCACAGAAAAAGUUACAAACUUUGGUGAAUUAACACACAUCCGAGAUACUGAAAACAAAAUAAAAUAAAGAUUGAGGAUCAAACCUGAAAAGGGUCACAAGACAGGGUUUGAUUGACUGUAUGAAGAAGAGCAAGCUUAGUGUUGCAACGGUUUCAUGGAGCAAAAUUAAGGAGCAGUGACAGAAGCAACAGAGAGGAGAGUGUGUAAAAGUGAAGUGAGAGAGUGGAAACACAGAAACAGGAAAACAAAGAUAUUAACUACAUAAGAAGAUAAGUGAGAAGAAAUGCAAAAUUUAGAAAUAUAUUAUUAUUAUUAUUAUUAUUAUGAAGUCAUGAAAUAAAAAUAAAAAUAAAAAUAAAAAAUAAGUGAAACAUAGACAAGGACAAGAACCUAGCCCUUAAAAUUGGCCAAAUCCCUGAAGCAUAUUUAGUACUAUGAUAGUGACUUCACUAGUAUUUUAAGGCACAAAAAAUAACAUUAGCUCCAUGCCAUUGAAGAAAUAUUAAACCAAGUAUAAGAUUGAUAAUGACAAUCAACAAAGAAUUAAAUAGCAAGUAUUUCCUUCUUUCAUCACUGUCUUAGUUCCUUAAAACUCUCUGGUUUGUUCAUCAAUUUUAUAGUGAUAAACUAAAAGUCAUUAAGAGAGAUAAAAAUCUGUUUAGUCAAGAAUGUAAAAAUAAUACAUAUUUAAGCUAGAUAAGUAACAAGGAUCAAAUUCUUUGUAACAUUACAUGCAUAUUUAAACCAAAUGCCUAUUUCUGCUAUUGACUACUAGGAAAGAGUUAAAACAGUACUAUUAAUUUGGUUUCAACUUCCAAUAGGCAUGCAGCUUUUCAAUUUUCUUCUUAGUUUUAUAAAAAUGAUUUGUAGCAUAUACUCUAUGAAUUAUAAUUAGCCAAACUUCAAAGAUUUAGAGUUGUAUUACUAAUUAUGAUAUAAAUGAAACACUCGUAUAUGAAAUAACAUCAAUAUAGCGUGCUAUGGUGAAUCAUAAUAGAUGCAGUGAAAAAUCAAGAAUAAAAAAUCAAAGAACAAAAUCAACUCAAGUACAGAACAGGAAAAAAUAGAAGCAUUAAAAAAUCAUAACAAAAAUCAAGAAUCAAGAAUAGCAACCAAGAGAAUACUAGAGAACUGCAGAAAAUAUGCCAACCAAGAAUAAAAAAAUUUAAAAAUCAUAACUAAAAUCAAGUACUAAAAUACUUAGGAACAAACCAGAAUUAACUCAAGAAUAGAACAGAAAAAUAAAUAGAAGCAGUGAAAAAUCAGACAAAAAAAAAAUCAAGAACCAACCUGAGUCAGAAGCUCCAUUCUUGAUGAUGCAGAUAGAGAGUGGCAGAGUGUAGGGAGGAGUGGAGGAAGACGCGGUGGCUGCCAGAAAGGGAGAGGCGCUGGACGACGACGGCUGGACGGGGCUCGACGAUGGAGGGCGAAAGGGCUCGACGAUGGAGGGCGAAAGGGCAUUCAAAGAACUUCCAUAGAUGAGAAAGACGCGGCGUUUGCCCAGUUGAGUGGUUUAGCCUUCCUUCUCCUUUAUGUUCUUUAAAUUCCGUGGGUAGCUAGCUACCGAGAUCAAUGCAGUCAAUUAUUGCUAGGGUUUUGCCGUUUUGGUGUGCUUCAGAGGGGAGGGGGGCACGAAUGAUAUUAGGAGAAGAUGAAGAACAAAUUGAUUUUUUAUUUUUUUGAUAUGUUUUGCUUUGCUUUAGAGGAUGACACUAAUGAUUAGGGGAAUUAGAGAAGAUGAAGAAAGAUUAAUUUUUGAUUUUUUUUAAUAUAUUUUUGUUUUGUUGUUUAAAUUAUUUGAAACUAUAAAAUUAAGAUUAAUUGAAUUAUAAAAUUUGAUUAAUUUACAAGGUAUUUUUGUCUAAUCAAAUAAAGUAAGGAUGUUUAAGAUUUUUUAUAAAAUUAAAUAAAAAAAUAUUUUUAUUUUUAUUUAAUUAAAUGGGUAUAUUAGUAAAAGUGGUGAUAUAAUAUAUAUUUAAAAAAAAAAAUUAAAUGCUGAUGUGAAAAAAAAAUGCCACAUAAUUUAUUACUAUUUGUCCAUAUUUUAAACGUUUCGGUACGUAUGAAUUUAUUAUCGUACCGUAGCAAUCACCUUAUUUUUAUUGUUAUAAAAAAAUUGGUUUUAUUCUAAUUUAUUAAGAAAUUAAAAAAUAACUGAUUCAUUAAUACGUUUAAUAAUAAUGCGACACAUAAAUAUCUUUAUAAAAAGACGUUUUACGCGUCUUUAUGUGAUUAUCCUCCUUCACCAAAUAUCAAAUUUAAGAACAGUAUAAGUGAAUUUUGAAAUUAAGUUUAAAAAUAUACAACCCAAGUCAAAUAAGUUUCAUUAUAAUUGGCCAUGGACGAAAUUAGAGGGUUUUGAGUUGUAAAUGCUAAAUCGAAUUGAUAAUAUUAGAAUUUAAAAACUAAUAUAGACCAAAGUGUUGGUUUAUUUGAAAAUAAUAUAAAUACCUAAGACUAACUAUUAUUAUCCUUCGAUUGGCAUUAAUUGAAUUCAACCCAACUCAAUUCGUCUUGACAAAUUAACAAAUCAAAUUAUAAAAAUUUUGUCCAGAGUUUAUUAUACUAACUAACAUGCAAUAAUAAUUCUAGUAAGUUAACCCAGAAGAUGUGAACAUUUAGCUAGAGUUUAUAUUAAUUAGCACACACUAAAACCAUUUAAUCAUGUAGCACAAGAAUUUAAGACUCAUCUUUGACAGUUCACUCUCAAGCCUCACUAAAAUAACUCACUUAUGACAAGAAUUAUAGAUAUCAUCAUCCAAUUAUAUUAAAAGUGAAAAAAGAAUGACAAGAUCAAAUUAAAAAAUUAAACAAUAAAACUCAACAAUAACCCACUUAAUAAACAUUAAGAUAUGAAACUUCUUCUCGUCUUUUCCUCCAAUUAACUAGCUGACAUAUUCACUAAAUUUCUUUCUCUUCAACUGUUCUACUCUAACUUGUUCAAGUUAAAAUUUUUUAUAUCUUUCAUUCUCUAACUUACGAAAGUAUAUUGUAACAUAAGGUACAAACUAUCCAACAUUCAGAGAAUACGUACACAGGUCCAACUAAGAUAAUUAUUCAAUCAUAUUCUAUUUUUUUAUUCACAAUUUUAUUUGUUAUGAUCCUUUUAGAAGAUAAUGACUCAUUAAUUUGUCAGUUAUUUUUUAUUCCUCUAAAAUGUUUUUAGAGUUAAAUUAUUCACAAUUUUAUUUGUUAUGAUCCUUUUAGAAGAUAAUGACUCAUUAAUUUGUCAGUUAUUUUUUAUUCCUCUAAAAUGUUUUUAGAUUUAAUGAGAUACACAUUUUCAUUUUGUGUUGUGUAUAUAUAUAUAACAAUUCAACAAUUUGAUAAUGAGCAAUUUAAUUUUUACCGUCUUUACUUUCUAUUUUUCUUUCUACUGUGAACUUUAUCAUUUAUCACAUUAUAAAUGUUCACUCAAAAUUAAAAUUAAAUCAAGCUACUUGUUCUCCGAAUUAUUUUGUCGUAUAUAUCAUAAUUUCUUUUCCCAAGGAGAUAGAAAAAUUUAUUUAUAGAAAACAGAAAAAUAAAUUGAAAUAUAAUCAAUAAAAUAAUAUAGGCAAGGAUUAUCAUGACAUCCUAGACUUGUAAAGUUUUCCAAAUGCGUUUGUCGUAUUGGUCGUCUGAAUGAAGAUGCGUUGUGUGCUACUUGCUAGUAGUUCUAAAGUUUUCUUUCAAGUUAAUUUUAAUUUUUGAAAUUUAAUUAAUGUUACAUAUUUAAGUAUUUUUGUUAAUUAAAUUUAAUUAAAUUGAUUUUAUAUUAACAAAAAUUAAUUAUAAAUAGUAUUAUUUCAAGUUUUAUUAUUUAAUUUAAUUGAAUUUAAUUCAUAAAAAAAUUUAGAUGAAUAACAUUAUUCUUUAAUUAAAUGAUUAUCACAAUAAUACUUUACUAUCUAAGAGUUAAAAUAUUCUUAAUUAUUAAAAGGAAAACCCCCAGGACAUUGACAAGCAUAUAUACGGUGAUAGACCUCUUAAUAUAUAGUAUGUCUAACAAUUCGUUUAAUUUGAAAAAAAAAAUAGAAAUUUAGAUGUAACUGUUUUAAAAAUAUAUAUUAAAAAAUUCCUUUGUUUAUAAAGUAAAAGAAUAAUACCUAGAAGGAUUCAUCAUUUCCCGUUGACAAUAAAUCAAUAGUAAACAUAAUAAUGUGUGUGUAUAUAUAUACACCUUUAAUUUACAUAAACAUUUUUUUUUCUGUUUGUUUAUUUCAUUAUGUUAAAUAAAAUAGUAAGUUUAGGUUUGAUUGGUAGAGUGUUUUAGAGAAGUAUUUGUGGUUCAAAAAAAUAUAAGGACUUUAAUUUGUAUUUGACAAAUAAAAAAAAUAUAAGUUUAUUUUUGUAGCUUUGAGAAAUUAGGACGUUUUUAAAAGGAAUUUUUUAAAAUUAGUUUGUAUUUAUUAAAACUAAAAAAAUUAUUAUAAACAGAUACAUAUAUACAUAUUUAGAUUCACCUUUAAUUAAUUAUUGAUACCAAUUUUUAUUCAUAAUCAAAAUAUUAGGUAGUAAAUAUUAUCACUUUCUUUUUAUUUGAUAUAAUGCCACUUUUUUUUCUAAUAAUAUUGGUGGAUGAAAACUUGUAACAUGUCUACGUAAAAGACAAGAAGGAUAUCAUGAUAUAAAAGAAUGAAUUCGUUAAGGAGAGAAUUAGAAAUCUAAAUAAUGUAAAUAAUGGACUAUAGAUUUAGUUUAAAUAUAUAUAAAAAAAUAAAAAAUAUUCUAUAAAUUAUUUAAAUAAAAAAAAUCUACUCAAUUUUUUUAAAAAAAAAUAAUCAUUUCAAAUUUUAAUUUAUUAAAGUAUUUUAUUCUAAUACAUUUGUUUUUUUUAAUUGGCUGUCAUUCCUACUUUCAUCAAUAAUCAUUUCACUUUACCGUUGCUACUUGGUUUGCCACAUGCCGUUAUCGGCGUCGCUCACCCAUAGUGAAAAUAAUCAUCCACUUAAGAAUAAAAAUAAUGAUCUAUAUACCUAAUAAAUUGAACAUCCAACAUAUAAAAUAUAUAACUAAAUCCAAUCCAAUCAAAAUAAUCAUUCACAUAACAAUUAAAAUAAUCAUCCACAUACCUACUAAAAUGAUCAUUUUAUAAUAUGCUCAGUUGUGAUGAUAGCCAUUUAAGUAUUCCAAAGUCCAAAUAUCCUCCAUGCAAUGAUAAUGAAAGAAGCAUGCAAAUUCAAUCUCUUCUNNNNNNNNNNNNNNNNNNNNNNNNNNNNNNNNNNNNNNNNNNNNNNNNNNNNNNNNNNNNNNNNNNNNNNNNNNNNNNNNNNNNNNNNNNNNNNNNNNNNNNNNNNNNNNNNNNNNNNNNNNNNNNNNNNNNNNNNNNNNNNNNNNNNNNNNNNNNNNNNNNNNNNNNNNNNNNNNNNNNNNNNNNNNNNNNNNNNNNNNNNNNNNNNNNNNNNNNNNNNNNNNNNNNNNNNNNNNNNNNNNNNNNNNNNNNNNNNNNNNNNNNNNUACUGAUAAGUAUUGACUAAAUUUUUUAUUCCUUAAAUAAUUUCGGUUCAUUUCUUAGUUUAUUUGAAGUUCAUUUGGAUCUAGAAAUGAAUUCGAUGUGUUUGUUUUAAUUGAGGUUCACUUGAUGCUGCUAAUAAGUAUUGACCAAAAUUUUUAGCAAAAAAAAAAAUGAAAUUAUUCAUUAUCACUUUAUUCAAUUGCAUUAGAUUUCACUCUAUUAUAUUCCAUUCAAUUAGUUCAAAUUUAAAUAAACAGUAAAAAAAAUUCAAUCAUCAACAAAAACACAUCAAAUUCAUUUCUAAAUCCAAAUGAAUCUCAAUUUAAACUAAGAAAUAAACCAAAAUUACUUAAGAAUUAAAAAUUUGGUCAAUACUUGUUAGCAGCAUUAAAUGAACCUCAAUUAGCAGUUUACACACAAAUAAACUAAAAUUAGUUCAGAUUUGAACGAACAAUAAAAAAGAUUCAAUCAUUAACAAAAACACAUCGAAUUCAUUCUUUGAUCCAAAUAAACCUGAAUUAAACUAAGAAAUAAACCGAAAUUACUUAAUGAAUAAAAAAUUUGGUCAAUACUUCUCAGCAGUAUCAAGUGAACCUCAAUCAACACACAAAUGAAUAGAAAUAAAUUAAAAAAUGAACCAAAAUUAUUUAAUAAUGAUAGCAGAGAAAUCAGAACUAAUAAAGAUGUUUGCAAAAUAUUUGUGUUAUUGGUGAUGACGAUAACGAAAAAAGACAAAGAAAAAGAAGAAAACCCAAUAUUAGAAGAGAAGGAGGAGAAGAAGAAGAAUCUGUACGUGCGAAUUAAGAAAAAAAAAAGGAGAAAGAGAAGAAAAAUGGAAGAAGAAGAAGAUGUGUGUGCGAAUUUGGGAAAGAAGAAGAAGAAAAAAGAGGAGGAGGAGAAAGAGAAGAAAAAAAGUGGUAUAAAUUAAAAAGUUGUUAUAACAACUUAAGAUGUGUUUGGCAACCACGUUAAAAGAAGAAAAGCACGUUACAGCUUCUUGAACGCUUCCAUUUUUGGUUUAGCUAAUUUUUCUAUCUAUUAACGCAGAAGGGAUUUUGGUUACAAAACCACGUUUACAAGAAGCAAAAAUUUUUAACUUCUGCGUUGCACUAAUUGACAUUUAACUUUUAUUUUUCUUUUACCAACUUUAUCCUUUAUACAUAUUAUUGUAUUAUUUAUAGAAUUCUUAUUAUUUUUCUUUACAUGAGCUCUUUUUUUUAUUAUUUAUUAUUUAUAUUUUUUACUAAUUUUUUGUUUGACAUUAUAUAUUUUUAUAAUGAUAAUUUUUUUGUAUUAUAUUUAUUAUUAUCUUUUUAUAAUAUAAUUUAUUGAUCCCAUUAGGUAAAAUAAAUUAAACAAAAAAAUUAACCAUAAAUAAUAAUAAUAGUAAAAAAUUAUAGCGUACUAAAAAAGAGUACUAAAAAUACUAAAAAUAUACUAUAUAAAAACAUAUAAGAAAAAAUUAAAAAAAAAUUAAAUAUAUAUAAAAAAAUAACAUUAUAAUUUAAUGUCAUAUCCUUUUUAGUAAUUAUCUAUCUAAAAAUGAUUUUAACUAAUAUUAUUCAAACAAUAUUUAUUUUAUCAAAAUCAAUUUUAGUAUAGAGUUGCCAAACAUAAAUCAUGUUGACACAAACUUACUUCUACCCAAAAUUAAAUUUAUAAAAUUACUUUUAUUCAAACUCCAGUUUGACCAACCACAAUCUAAACAUACACUUAGUUAGACUUGAUCAAAUAUUUUGUUUAAAUGUAUAGUUUUAUUGAUAAUUUUAAGAGCGUUUCAAAUUGUAAAGAUAAAAAAGAAAGUGAGAAUUUUGCAAGUCAUAUAUAAUGCAUAUUUUCCUCUAUUGUUGUCGAAUCGCACUGCUUGCUGAUGAAUUUGGAUGAUGAAUCUGCAUACACUACGGAAGCUUCUCUUUUGGUGCGAUCCCACGGCCAAGGAAACAAACAACCAAUAAUUAAUGCAAGUAAACACGGUAAUAAUGAUAUUAUUAUUAUGCCAAUAAAUUGAAGGAAACCUAUUUUGGCUUUGAUUUACUUGCUUUUAGGUUCUGGCUUCGAUGAAUUUAACAAAAUGUAUCUACCCGUGUUUGCGUCCAAUUCCAUCGGGACUGUAUAAAGAGUAGUUCUCCAAUCAUCACUUUGAUCGAAUUAUAAUUUAUAAGACACCACCAAACACUUUAAGUUUUGUUGGAUUGCUUUUGGCUAAUGUCUUUGAGAUAUAUAGAUAAGUAUAUAAAUAUACAAAAAUUUAUAGACAUAAACAUACACAAAUUUUAUAAAGUAUUUGAUAAUAAUGUACAAAAUAUAUAUGUAUAAAUUAAAUAUCAAUUUUAUUUUAUGUUUUAUAUUGUGUCUUAUGCAUUGUGUCUCUGUAUUUUAAUUUUAAGGAGGAACAGUAAAUACAUAUAUUUGAUGUGUAUCUGUGUGUAUUAUCGUAUUUAUUUAAAUCCUGUCUCAACAAAUAAAUAAUAGACGUGUAUUAUCAUCUCUAAUAAUUAAUGUUCAUGUCUCAACAAAACAAACACAACCUUGUUGAACUAAUUAUUAUAAUAAAUAGUAUAUAUCAUGAUAUUAAAUAAUUACUUUUGGNNNNNNNNNNNNNNNNNNNNNNNNNNNNNNNNNNNNNNNNNNNNNNNNNNNNNNNNNNNNNNNNNNNNNNNNNNNNNNNNNNNNNNNNNNNNNNNNNNNNNNNNNNNNNNNNUUUUGGAUAUUAAAUAAUUUACAUUUAGAUUUUUUUUAGAUUUUGAAUUUUUUAUAAUAAUUUAAAUUUAUAUUUUUUCUAAAAAAAUUAAGAAAAAUAAUUGUUAAUUGAUUGCAGAUGACUACAUCUUAUGUUGGUUUUCUAACGAAAUUGCUUUGAUUAUUUGGCAAACAAGCUACUAUUUUUUAUAGAAAUAAAAUUUAAGAGUCAAGCUAUGUGUAACGCAAAAUUAGUUUGGCGAAAAUAUCUUGUUUAGGAGUUAAACAUCAACUUCCAAACAACACUUAUGAUUCUGUGUGAUAACAUGAGUAUAGUGAUGCUCAUAGCUAAUUCAGUGUUAUGAUAAAAUUAAGAAUUUUCAGUUAGACAUUUAAAUUGUUCGAGACAAAAUUAACAAGCCACAAUUAUAUAUGUAAUAUACAUCCCAAACAGUGAUUAGAUAACUGAUAUUUUAACUAAACUUCUAUCAGCUUUUUCAUUCAAUAAGUUUAGAUACAAGCUCAGAGUGAUUCUAAAACCUAUCUUGAGUUUUAGGGAGAGUAUAAAGGAUAGUUAGUUAAUUAGGAGUUAAUACUUUUAGUGACCGUUAGUAGUUAUAACAAAUUAAGAAAUGUCCUUUCAGGUUCUGUUUUUUUGGCUUUCUUGAUUAGCCGAGUGCUAUCACUCAUCUAUAUAUAUAUAGUUCUCAACUAUGGAUGUAACACAAAUGUCAUUAUACCAUUCAAUAUAGAUUACAUUCAUUCCCUUCCUUUUUCUCUAAGAACCUUUCAAUAUGUUAUAUUUUUAAUUAAUUAAUUAAUUAAUAGAGCUAAUUAUUGAUUUGGUAUCCGAAAUAUUUAGAUAUUAACAAAAAGGUCCUUAAAAAAUGUUAUCCACAAAACAAUUCUUGAAUAAUUUAAAAAUGCGAUAAAAAUACUCAAAAAAGAUUAUAUUUUUAAUAAGCAACAAAAACUUUUGUAUUUAACAUAUGACUUAUCCAUUUGAUCUCAUUUUUUUGUCAAUAUUUGAAUAAAUAUUUAGAAGGCACACAAAAAAUUCGAGAAAAAUUUUAUCUCUAAAUUUUUUUAUUUUUUUAAAAAAAUUGGUUAUUCACAAUAAAAAAUUUCAAAAAAAAAAAAUAUUUGACAUAAAAUUAUCAAAUUUUAAGGAUGAAUAGAUUUCAUUUAUUUAAUAAUUGUUGGCAAAAAUCGUAUCAAAAUUUAAUCUUUAGAGACUUUCUUUUAGAGUAUAUAUUUAAUAUCAAUUAUGCCAUGUGUAUAUCAAAAUUAGUCAACAAAGUCAAUCAUUAGUAUAAAAUACAUAUUGAAUACAAAUAUAUAUUAAAAAUAAAUUAAAUAACACAUGUAUUUAUACACAAUAUAUUGAUGGCUAAUUUUAAUAUACAAAUAGUAUUUUUGAUUUAACAUUUUUAUUGUUAGUACUUUUUGAAAUCAUUUUUGUCAGCGGUUUAAAUUUUUUAAUAUUAUUUUAAUAGUUUAUACUUAAAUAAUAAUUACUCGUCAUGCUUGCUAUGUUUAUGUGCAUAAAUAAUUAGUAACUGUUACCACUAUAAAAUCAUUAACAAAUCUUUAUUUAUGUUUUAAAUUUACACUAAAAUAAAAUAAAAACUAUGGAUUGAUCUGUGCAUGUAGAUGUAUCUAUCAUUCCAUCACUACCAUAUAUAAUAUAAAUAUUAAGUUUUGGGAGUGUUUUAAUACAAUAUAUGAUACCAUAUGUGUUCUAAUUAAUAAAAAAAAAAUCACAUACUCACAUUCACCUUUUUUUUUCCAUUCAAUUCAAUUUUUUUCUUCUUUUUAUCAAGUAUAACUAUGUGAAAGCAUACAAUUUUUUUAAGACAUUUGUGAAUUCUUUUUAUAGGUGUUCAAUAGUUUUUUCUUGGAAAAAAUGAAAUACUUUAAUUUGAUUUAUUAAAAGAAUUUUAACAUCAAAUUUUCAUUUACUUUAACUUAUUUUAGCUAGAAGUAUAUAUAGUAAAAUUUAUAUACGUUAAAAUAAAUAAAGUAAUUACGUAUAUAUUUAUAAAAAAUAUUCAUUCCCACUAUUUUUAUUUUUAUUGUCUAUCCACCUCAAAAUAUUUUUAGGUGAAAGUUACUUAUAUACUAAAAUUAAUUAUUUUUUUCAAGAUUGAGAGACUCGAACUCUGGAACUCGCAAUUUCUUAGAUGAGUAUGAGAAGACUACGUCAUUUGAGUUGUACUAAAAUUAAUUAUUAAAAAAUUAGUUAUUAGUAUAAAAUAUAUGUUGAAAUAUAAAUACACAUUAAAAAUAAAUUAAACGACAUAUGUAUUUAUACACAAAUAUAUUAGUAACUAAUUUUGAUGUACAAAUAGCAUUUUAUAUAGUUUAAAUAUGGUAAUUGGCAUAUUCAAAUACUUCAUAUUUACGUUAAUCUACCAUGCUAACGUUAGAACUUGAGAAGAUAAAUUGAAUUAAGUUAAUUUUAAACUGAAUUUUUAAAAAAUGAAAUAUAAUUACAAAUUAAAAAAAAUUAAAUUACACAUGUAUUUAUAUAUAAAUACAUCAAUAACUUAUUUUAAUGACUAAUUUUAGCAUACAAAUAAUAUUUUUAUAUUAAUUAUUAUAGACUUUUCAUAAAAUAUUUAGAUGAAUUUUGGAGAUAUUCAGUUCAUUAAUGAGCAAUGGAGGCUCGUCCUCCCAAGUCUCAUUACCAAAUAGCUUGGCAUUCAACUUCAUGAUUGUUCCUAAAUACUGGGCAACUUGCCCUUGAACAAUGUCUUCAUUUUCUUCAGAAGAUGAAUGGUCAUCAGAGCUCAUGAAUGGUAAAAGGAGGUUCAAUAGAAUCUCUAUGGUCUCUAGAUGAGCCUCAGAUUCCUUUGGUUCCUCAAAGGGAAACUCCUUAUUGGUCAGUGAACGUCCCAGGAGGUCUUCCUCACUAGGAUUCACGUCAUCCUCCUCCUCUCUAGGUUCGGCCACACCAAGUAAGGUUAUGGCCUUGCACUCUCUUUUUGGAUUCUCUUCUGUAUUGUUUGGGAGAGUACUAGGAGGAGUUUCAGUGACUCUUUUACUCAGCUGGCCCACUUGUGCCUCCAAAUUUUUGAUGGAGGACCUUGUUUCAUUCAUGAAACUUAGAGUGGCCUUAGAUAGAUCAGAGACUAUAUUUGCUAAGUUAGAUGGAUUCUGCUCAGAAUUCUCUGUCUAUUGCUGAGAAGAUGAUGGAAAAGGCUUGCUAUUGCUAAACCUGUUUCUUCCACCAUUAUUAAAGUCAUAAGAAUAAGGUCUAGGCAUGGCCGAAUGGCCAGCCUCCAAAAUAGGGUUCAAUCAUAAAAACAUGAUCAAAAGAUGUAAAUACAAUAGUAAAAAGUCCUAUUUAUACUAAACUAGUUACUAGGGUUUACAGAAAUGAGUAAAUGAUGCAGAAAUCUACUUUCGGGCCCACUUGGUGUGUUCUUGGGAUGAGCAUUGAAGCUUUCACGUGUAGAGGUCUUCCUUGGAGUUGAACGCCAGUUUGUAACUUGUUUCUGGCAUUUAACGUCAGAAUAGGGCAGAAAGCUGGCGUUAAACGCCAGUUUGCAUCGUCUAAUCUCGGAAAAAGUAUGGACUAUUAUAUAUUGAUGGAAAGUCCUGAAUGUCUACUUUCCAACGCAAUUAAGAGUGCGCUAUUUGGGUUUCUGUAGCUCCAGAAAAUCUAUUUCGAGUGCAGGGAGGUCAGAAUCCAACAGCAUCUGCAGUCCUUCUUCAGCCUCUGAAUCAGAUUUUUGCUCAAGUCCCUCAAUUUCGGCCAGAAAUUACCUGAAAUCACAGAAAAACACACAAACUCAUAGUAAACUCCAGAAAUAUGAUUUUUAAUUAAAAACUAAUAAAAAUAUAAUAAAAACUAACUAAAUUAUACUAAAAACUACUUAAAAACAAUGCCAUAAAGCGUAUAAAUUAUCCGCUCAUCACAACACCAAACUUAAAUUGUUGCUUGUCCCCAAGCAACUGAAAAUCAAUUAGGAUAAAAAGAAGAGAAUAUACUAUAAAUUCCAAACUAUCAAUGAAACUUAGCUCCAAUCAGAUGAGCGGGACUAGUAGCUUUUUGCCUCUGAAUAGUUUUGGCAUCUCACUUUAUCCUUUGAAGUUCAGAAUGAUUGCCAUCUAUAGGAACUUAGAAUUUAGAUAGUGUUAUUGAUUCUCCUAGUUCAGUAUGUUGAUUCUUGAACACAGCUACUUUAUGAGUCUUGGCCGUGGCCCUAAGCACUCUGUUUUUCAGUAUUACCACCGGAUACAUACAUGCCACAGACACAUAAUUGGGUGAACCUUUUCAGAUUGUGAUUCAGCUUUGCUAAAGUCCCCAAUUAGAGGUGUCCAGGGUUCUUAAGCACACUCUUUUUUUGCUUUGGACCUUGACUUUAACCGCUCAGUCUCAAGUUUUCACUUGACACCUUCACGCCACAAGCACAUGGUUAGGGACAACUUGGUUUAGCUGCUUAGGCCAGGAUUUUAUUCCUUUAGGCCCUCCUAUCCACUGAUGCUCAAAGCCUUGGAUCCUUUUUUAUUACCAUUGCCUUUUUGUUUUAAGGGCUAUUGGCUUUUUCUGCUUGCUUUUUCUCUUUUUUUUUCUUUCUUUUUUUUUCGCCAUUUCUUUUUCUGCAAGCUUUGUUCUUCACUACUUUUUCUUGCUUCAAGAAUCAUUUUUAUGAAUUUUCAGAUUAUCAAAUAACAUUUUUCCUUUUUAUCAUUCUUUCAAGAGCCAACAAUUUUAACAUUCAUGAACAACAAAUUCAAAAGACAUAUGCACUGUUCAAGCAUUCAUUCAGAAAACAAAAAGUAUUGUCACCACAUCAAAAUAAUUAAACUAAUUUCAAGGAUGAAUUCGAAUCUCAUGUACUUCUUGUUCUUUUGUAAUUAAAAUAUUUUUCAUUUAAGAAAGGUGAUGGAUUCAUAGGACAUUCAUAGAUUUAAGACAUAGACACUUAAAUACUAAUGAUCAUGUAAUAAGACACAAACAUAAAUAAACAUAAAGCAUAGUAGACGAAAAACAGAAAAAUAAGAACAAGGAGAUUAAAGAACGGGUCCACCUUAGUGAGGGUGGCGUCUUCUUCCUCUUGAAGAACCAAUGGUGUUCUUGAGCUCUUCUAUGUCUCUUCCUUGCCUUUGUUGCUCCUCCCUCAUAGCUCUUUGAUCUUCUCUAAUCUCAUGGAGAAUGAUGGAGUACUCUUGGUGUUCCAUCCUUAGUUGUCCCAUGUUGGAGCUUAAUUCUCCUAGGGAGGUGUUGAUUUGCUCCUAAUAGUUUUGUGGAGGGAAGUGCAUCCCUUGAGGCAUCUCAGGGAUUUCAUGGUGAGGAAUUUCCUCAUGCUCUUGUUGAGGUCCAUGAUCUCUUGUUUGCUCCAUCCUUUUCUUAGUGAUGGGCUUGUCCUCAUCAAUGAGGAUAUCUCCCUCUAUAUCAAUUCCAGCCGAAUUGCAGAGGUGGCAAAUGAGGUGAGGAAAGGCUAACCUUGCCAAAGUGGAGGACUUGUCAGCCACCUUGUAGAGUUCUUGAGGUAUAAUCUCAUGAACUUCCACUUCCUCCCCAAUCAUGAUACUAUGGAUCAUGAUGGCCCGGUCUAUAGUAACUUCAGACCGGUUGCUAGUAGGAAUAAUUGAGCGUUGAAUGAACUCCAACCAUCCUCUCGCUACAGGCUUAAGGUCUGGUCUUCUCAAUUGAACCGGCUUGCCUCUUGAGUCAACUUUCCAUUGAGCUCCUUCCACACAUAUGUCCAUGAGGACUUGGUCCAACCUUUGAUCAAAGUUGACCCUUUUAGUGUAGGGAUGUGCGUUUUCUUGCAUCAUUGGCAAGUUGAACGCGAACCUUACAUUUUCCGGACUGAAAUCUAAGUAUUUCCCCCGAACCAUUGUAAGCCAAUUCUUUGGGUUUGGGUUCAUACUUUGAUCAUGGUUCCUAGUGAUCCAUGCAUUUGCAUAGAACUCUUGAACCAUUAAGAUCCCGACUUGUUGAAUAGGAUUAGAGAGAACUUCCCAUCCUCUUCUUCUAAUCUCUUGUCAGAUCUCCGGAUAUUUGCUCUUUUUGAGCUUAAAAGGGACCUCAGGGAUCACCUUUUUCUUGGCCACAACUUCAUAGAAGUGGUCUUGAUGGACCUUUGAGAUGAAUCUCUCCAUCUCCCAUGACUCAGAGGUGGAAGCAAUUGCCUUCCCUUUCUUCUUUCUUGAGGUUUCUCUGGCCUUAGGUGCCAUUAAUGGUUAUGGAAAAACAAAAAGCAAUGCUUUUACCACACCAAACUUAAAAGGUUUGCUCGUUCCCGAGCAAAAGAAGAAAGGAGGUAGUAGAAGAAGAAGAAAAUGGAGGAGAUGGAGGGAGAAAGUGUAUUCGGCCAAGGGGGAGAAGUGGUGGUUGUGAUGUGUGAAAAUGGAGUAGUGUUGAGGGGUUUAUAUAGGGGUGGGGUGGAGGGUAGGUUUCGGCCAUUAGGGUUGGGUUUGGGAGGGAAAAGAAUUUGAAUUUUGGAGGUAGGUGGGGUUUAUGGGGAAGAGUGGAUGGAUGUGAGUGGUUAAGGGUAUUUAGGGAAGAGGUAUGGAGGUGAUUGGUGAAGGGUAUUUGAGGAAGAGGUUUAUGAAAAGGUGUGAAGAGGAGAGAAGAAGAGGUGGGAUAGGUGGGGAUCCUGCGGGGUCCACAGAUCUAGAGGGGUCAAGGACUUAACAUCCCUGCUCCAAUUAGGCGUGUAAAACGCCCUUAUAAUGCAUGUCUGGCGUUAAACGCCAGCUUGCUGCUUGUUUCUGGCGUUUAACGCCAAUUCCAUGCUCUGUUCUGGCGUUAAACGUCAGUUUGGUGCUUGUUUCUGGCAUUUAACGCCAGCUUGAUGCUUCUUUCUGGCGUUAAACACCAGUUUGAUGCUUCUUACUGGCGUUUAAACGCCAGUAAGUUCUUCCUCCAGGGUGAGCUAUUUUUAAUGCUGUUUUUCAUUCUGUUUUUGAUUUUUCAGUUGUUUUUGUGACUUCACAUGAUCAUCAACCUAUAGAAAACAUAAAAUAACAAUAGAAAAUAAAUAGAUAUAAUUAAAUAACAUUGGGUUGCCUCCCAACAAGCGCUUCUUUAAUGUCAAUAGCUUGACAGUGAGCUCUCAUGGAGCCUCACAGAUGUUCAGAGCAUUGUUGGGACCUCCCAACACCAAACUUAGAGUUUAGAUGUGGGGGUUCAACACCAAACUUAGAGUUUGGUUGUGGCCUCCCAACACCAAACUUAGAGUUUGACUGUGGGGGCUUUGGUUGACUAUGUAGUGAGAGAAGCUUUUCAUGCUUCCUCUCCAUGGUUACAGAAGGAGAUCCUUGAGUUUUAAACACAAGGUAGUCCUCAUUCAGUUGAAGGACCAACUUUCCUCUGUCCACAUCAAUCACAGCUUUUGAUGUGGCUAGGAAGGGUCUUCCAAGGAUGAUGGAUUCAUCCUCAUCCUUCCCAGUGUCUAGGAUUAUGAAAUCAGCAGGUAUGAAAAGGCCUUUGACCUUUACUAACACGUCCUCUACUUGUCCAUAAGCCUUUUUCAUGGAUUUGUCUGCCAUCUCUAAUGAGAUUCUUGUUGCUUGUACCUCAAAGAUUCCCAGUUUCUCCAUUACAGAGAGUGGCAUGAGGUUUAUGCCUGACCCCAGGUCACACAAAGCCUUCUCAAAGGUCAUGGUGCCUAUGUUACAGGGAAUUAGGAAUUUACCAGGAUCCUAUUUCUUUUGAGGUAAAGUGUGCUGAACCCAGAUAUUCAGUUCAUUAAUGAGCAAUGGAGGCGCGGAGAAGAUGAUGGAAAAGGCUUGCUAUUGCUAAACCUGUUUCUUCCACCAUUAUUAAAGCCUUGUUGAGGCUUUUGUUGAUCCUUCCAUGAGAAAUUUGGAUGAUUUCUCCAUGAGGGAUUAUAGGUGUUUCCAUAGGGUUCACCCAUGUAAUUCACCUCUGCUAUUGCAGGGUUCUCAGGAUCAUAAGCUUCUUCUUCAGACGAUGCCUCUUUAGUACUGUUGGAUGCAGCUUGCAAUCCAUUCAGACUCUGAGAAAUUAUUUUGACUUGUUGAGUCAAUAUUUUUUUCUGAGCCAAUAUGGCAUUCAGAGUAUCAAUUUCAAGAACUCCCUUCCUCUGAGGCGUCCCAUUACUCACAGGAUUCCUUUCAGAAGUGUACAUGAACUGGUUAUUUGCAACCAUGUUAAUGAGUUCCUGAGCUUCUGCAGGCGUUUUCUUUAGGUGAAUGGAUCCACCUGCAGAAUGGUCUAAUGACAUCUUAGCUAAUUCAGACAGACCAUCAUAGAAUAUAUCCAGGAUGGUCCAUUCUGAAAGCCUGUCAAAAGGACACUUUUUGGUCAGUUGCUUGUAUCUCUCCCAUGCUUCAUAGAGGGAUUCACCUUCUUUCUGUUUGAAGGUUUGAACAUCCACUCUAAGCUUGCUAAGAUUUUGAGGAGGAAAGAACUUGGCUAAGAAAUUCGUGACCAGCUUAUCCCAAGAGUUCAGGCUAUCUUUACGUUGAGAGUCCAACCAUAUUCUAGCUCUGUCUCUUACAGCAAACGGGAAAAGCAUAAGCCUGUAGACCUCGGGAUCAACCCCAUUGGUCUUAACAGUAUCACAGAUCUGCAAGAAUUCAGUUAAGAACUGAAAAAGGAUCUUCUGAUGGAAGUCCAUGAAACUUGCAAUUCUGUUACAUCAGAGAAACUAAUUGAGACUUUAGCUCAAAAUUGUUUGCUCCAAUGGCAGGGAUUGAGAUGUUUCUUCCAUGUAAGUUGGAAUUUGGUGCAGUAAAGUCACCAAGCAUCUUCCUCGCAUCUCCACAAUUAUUAUUAUUUUCGGCCAUGUCUCCUUCUUUUUUGAAAAUUUCUGUCAGAUUUUCUCCAGAGAGAAAGCUUCCCUUUGCUUCCUCUUCAGAGUCCUUUCAGGUUCAGGAUCAGCUUCAACAAGAAUGUUCUUAUCCUUGUUCCUGCUCAUAUGAAAAAGAGGAGAACACAAAAGAAAAUAUGGAAUCCUCUAUGUCACAGUAUAGAGAUUCCUUAUGUAAGUAUAAGAAGAGAAGAAUAAAAGAAGAAAAAGAUAAGAAUUUUUUGAAAAUAAAUUUUGAAAAUUUUGAAAUUAUGAAAGAAAAAAUGAAAAAGAUUUGAUUUUUGAAAGAGAUUUGAAAAAGAUAGAAUUUUUAAAUUGAAAAUUUGAUUUGACUCAUAAGAAACAACUAAAUUUUAAAAAGUUUUGGAAAAGUCAACUCAAAUUUUCGAAAAUUUAUGAGAUAAAAAGGGAAAGAUAUUUUUUUUUUAUUUUUGAAUGAAGAAAGAGAAAAACAACAAAAAGACUCAAAACAUGAAAAUUAUGAAUCAAAACACACAAUGCAUGCAAGAACACUUUGAAUGUCAAGAUGAACACCAAGAACACUUUGAAGAUCAAGAUGAACAUCAAGAACUUAUUUUUGAAAAUUUUUAAGAAAAAGAAACACAUACAAGACACCAAACUUAGAAAUUUUCAAACCUUAAACACUAAUAAAUUGAAAAUGCAUAUGAAAAACAAGAAAAGACACAAAACAUAAAAUUGCAAAGAUCAAACAAAGAAGAUCAUCAAGAACAACUUGAAGAUCAUGAAGAACACAUGCAUGAGUUUUCGAAAUUUUAAAGAAAAAUUAAAAGCAUGCAAUUGACACCAAACUUACAAUUUGACACUAGACUCAAACAAGAAACAUCAAAUUAUUGUUUUUUUAUGAUUUUAUUAAAUUUUUCGGUAUUUUUCGAAAAUUAAUUGGAAAAAGAAAAAUAAGGAUUUCAAAAUUUUUAAUGAGAAAUCCAGGAAUCAUGCAAUGUUAGUCUAAAGCUCCGGUUCAGGAAUUAGACAUGGCUCACUAGCCAGCCAAGCUUUCAGUGAAAGCUCCGGUCCAAAACACUAGACAUGGCCAAUGACCAGCCAAGCUUCAGUAGAUACAAAUUAGGCAUGUGAAGAGGAAGCCUCAGUCCAAAAGAAUUUAGACUUGGCUUUACAGCCAGCCAGGCUUCAACAUAUCUCAUGAAACUCUAGAAUUCAUUCUUAAAAAUUCUGAAGAACAUAGAAUAAUUUAUUUUUUUGAAAAUUUUUUUGAAAAUUUUUCGAAAUUAAAAAGCUUUAAAAAUAAAAUAAAAUUACCUAAUCUGAGCAACAAGAUGAACCGUCAGUUGUCCAAACUCGAACAAUCCCGGCAACGGCGCCAAAAACUUGGUGCACGAAAUCGUGAUCGUUCAUUCCUUGGUAACGGCGUCAAAAACUUAAUACGCACGUUCAUAAUCUUAGUUCCUUGUCACAACUUCGCACAACUAACUAGCAAGUGUACUGGGUCGUCCAAGUAAUAAACCUUACGUGAGUAAGGGUCGAUCCCUCGGAGAUUGUCGGCUUGAAGCAAGCUAUGGUCAUCUUGCAAAUCUCAGUCAGGCGGAUUCAAAUGGUUAUAGAGUUUUAAUAAUUAAAAUAUAAAUAAAAUAUAAAAUAAAGAUAGAGAUACUUAUGUAAUUCAUUGGUGAGAAUUUCAGAUAAGCGUAUAGAGAUGCUUAGUUCCUUCUGAAUCUCUGCUUUCCUACUGCUUUCAUCCAAUCCUUCAUACUCCUUUCCAUGGCAAGCUGUAUGUUGGGCAUCACCGUUGUCAAUGGUUACAUCCCGUCCUCUCAGUGAAAAUGGUCCAAAAUGCGCUGUCACCGCAUGGCUAAUCAUCUGUCGAUUCUCGAUCCUGCUGGAAUAGGAUUCAGUAAUCCUUUUGCGUCUGUCACUACGCCCAGUACUCGCGAGUUUGAAGCUCGUCACAGCCAUCCCUUCCCAGAUCCUACUCGGAAUACCACAAACAAGGUUUAGACUUUCCGGAUCUCAAGAAUGGCCGCCAAUAAUUCUAGCCUAUACCAUGAAGACUCUGAUCGUGAAUCAGGAGGCUAAGAGAUAUGCAUUCAAGCUUAUUUUCAUGUAGAACGGAAGUGGUUGUCAGGCACGCGUUCAUAGGUGAGAAUGGUGAUGAGCGUCACAUAAUCAUCAUAUUCAUCAUGUUCUUGUGUGCGAAUGAAUAUCUUAGAGAAGAAAUAGACUUGAGUUGAAUAGAAAAACAAUAGUACUUUGCAUUAAUUUAUGAGGAACAGCAGAGCUCCACACCUUAAUCUAUGGUGUGUAGAAACUCCACCGUUGAAAAUACAUAAGAAUAAGGUCUAGGCAUGGCCGAAUGGCCAGCCUCCAAAAUAGGGUUCAAUCAUAAAAACAUGAUCAAAAGAUGUAAAUACAAUAGUAAAAAGUCCUAUUUAUACUAAACUAGUUACUAGGGUUUACAGAAAUGAGUAAAUGAUGCAGAAAUCCACUUCCGGGCCCACUUGGUGUGUGCUUGGGCUGAGCAUUGAAGCUUUCACGUGUAGAGGUCUUCCUUGGAGUUGAACGCUAGUUUGUAACUUGUUUCUGGCGUUUAACUCUGCUUUGCAACUUGUUUCUGGCAUUUAACGCCAGAAUAGGGCAGAAAGCUGGCGUCAAACGCCAGUUUGUAUCAUCUAAACUCGGGCAAAGUAUAGACUAUUAUAUAUUUCUGGAAAGCCCUGGAUGUCUACUUUCCAACACAAUUAAGAGUGCGCCAUUUGGGUUUCUGUAGCUCUAGAAAAUCUAUUUUGAGUGCAGGGAGGUCCGAAUCCAACAGCAUCUGCAGUCCUUCUUCAGCCUCUGAAUUAGAUUUUUGCUCAAGUCCCUCAAUUUCAGCCAGAAAUUACCUGAAAUCACAGAAAAACACACAAACUCAUAGUAAACUCCAGAAAUGUGAUUUUUAAUUAAAAACUAAUAAAAAUAUAAUAAAAACUAACUAAAUUAUACUAAAAACUACUUAAAAACAAUGCCAAAAAGCGUAUAAAUUAUCCGCUCAUCAGAUAUGAAGUUCUAGGAUUGCCUCUGGUGUCCCGGGGUCUUAUAUCCUACAUUACUGGGCACUGCUACCAUACUGAGAACCUCCGGUUCUUAUACCAUAUUCUGUUGUUAUUUUUCAGAUGCAGGUCACAACCCACCUCGGUGAGUUGUCUGGAUGGUGACAGAAGUGGAGGAUCCUGUUGCUCUUAGAGUCUUUUGAUUUAUAUUGUUUAUACAUCUCUCACUUUUGUAUUUUGCUUUUGCCUAGUGGUUUGUAUUGAGAGAGAAAAACUUGUAUAAGCUAUUUUUAUUGUCAAUUUCCUGUAUGGUCUGUAUAUCGCUAGCCAGCUUAAACUCCGCGAGUCCGGCUAGGCUCUUAUGUUAUUAUACUAUUAUCUUUUGUUAUAUUAUACCUAUGCCUUGUGCUUUAAGUUAGAAGUUUCGUUAGUACGUUUUGGGCUUUUCAAAUCCUGUUUUUGAGCUAUAUCCUUCAUCAGGCUUCUAAAUUAUAUUAAUUCUUUUUAUUUAUUAUAUGUCUGAGCUUAGAACUAUCGUAAUCUAUGAUUCAUUUGCUUUGUCGUAACCUUUGAUUAACCUUGGCUUUACGGCUAGAGGUAAGGCUUAGGGUAAUUGGGGUGUUACAUUUAGUGGUAUCGGAGCGGUUCGUCCUCGUGAACCUGAGGGAUGGACCGAUUGUGCUUCAUUGCAUAUUCUGUGUCAUUUUUCUUUCAUGCUAUUUAGGUUAUCUACUUGAUAUUACGUAGCAUGCUUGUUUGUGAGUGCCUGUUUGUGAUAAUUGAAGCACUAGGCUUUGAUAUUGAGACUGAUCACCUUGAUAUUGAUUGUUUGGUGUAGACAGGAACCCUAAUGGCCACUCGCGGACGAGGUCGUACACGUUCACGAGCCGAGAGUAGGAAUGCGCAGCCGGUCGACAACCAUGCCGAGUUCAUGGCGGCCAUGCCAAACCUUGCGAACACUAUGAAGGCUAACACUGCUGCGACUUUGCACGCUGUGCAUAGGUUAGGCCAACCGGCCAGAAACGGAAACGGGAAUGGCGAAGGAAAUGCGAAUGACUAUGCGGAAGGAAAUGGCAAUGCUGUGGGAGGUGCUCCGAUGACCUUAGCUACAUUUCUCAAGGUUCAUCCGCUGAGUUUCAGAGGUUCAACAAAUCCCACAGAAGCGGACAACAGGUUCCAAGCUAUGGAGCGCGCACUGCAAGCACAGCAUGUCUCAAAUAACCAAUAUGUAUAAUUUGCUGCCUAUCGGCUUGAGGGAGAGGCCCAGCAUUGGUGGCAAGCAGAGUGCCGCUUGUUACAGCUUCAGAAUAUCGACGUUCCUUGGGAUGUAUUCCAGACGACCUUUUACAAGAAGUACUUUCCUGAGUCUGCAAGGAAAGCGAAGGAGAUGGAACUUAUGCAGCUGAAGCAAGGUUCCUUUAGGGCUGGCAAUGGGUAGGGUACCCGCGGGUAGAAAAUCUCAAUAAAACUCUACCCUACCCUACCCGCGGGUUGAGAAUCUCUCAAUCCGAACCCUACCCGCACCCUAAAUCAGAAAACCCUACCCUACCCUACCCUACCCGCAGAAAUAUGAAUUUUUUAAAAAAUAAAUAUAAAACUCAAUCAUUUUAAAUUUUAUACAUAUUAAUAAAAUAAAAAAUAAACAACUAAAUUCAAAUUAAAAUAAAAGACAAUAAAAUCUUAAAGAAAUUCAACAUAAAAUUACAAACAUACAUAUUGUUAUAUUAAUAAAAUAAAAAACUAAGUUUAAAUUAAAAUAAAAAAUAAUAAAGUCCUAAACAAAUUCAACAUAAAAUUACAAAUAGCAUAAUUAUCAAGUUCUUAAUAAAAUCAAAAUAACAUAAACAAAGAUAAAUGUCUUCAAACAUUUCUUUUAAUUCCAAGUUCUUGCAACAUUAUUCUUCCGUCAGUUCAGAAAAUGCAUCAUCAUCUUCAUUAGCAGUUUGAUAAUCAGGUUUUCUACCUAAAAAUCAAAUACAACAAUUUUAUCAUAUAUAAUUUUAACACAAUUAUAAUUUCUAAACAAAUUAAAAAACUUGAAAACAUAAAUAACCUCUUUUAUAAUAUUCUGCCCACAACCAAUUUUGAUUGCACAUAAGAGCUUCUACCGUAUCUUCAUGAAGACUACCACGAUGAGUAGCAAUUAUACAGCCACUUGUGCUAAAAGAAGACUCAGAAGCAACAGUAGACACAGGAAUGGCAAAUAUGUCUCUUGUAAUUUUCUGAAGAGUUGGAAACCUAACUCCAUUUACCUUCCACCAAGCUAAUAUAUCAAAAUCAGGAGUUAAAGGAUGAACAUCUUCCUCUACAUAGUGAUCAAAUUCCGUCUUCACAAAUGAACCUAUUUUCUUCUUCUUUUAUCUAAUAUACAAUUGAUAAGCAACAUCAUCAUCAUCAUCUGCAUUAACCCUAAGCUUUUGUGUAGAUUCCACUGACAUAUUGCUUGAAUUAGAUGUAUUCUUUUGAUAUUCAUCAAGUAACUCAUAACAUGCCUGUUUGAUUCUCUCAACUUUCCUUGUGCAUUCAUUAGGAUCUUCACAUACCCUAUCAAACUUAUAUUCAAGCCCACCAAGCUUAUACCUAGGAUCUAGAAUUGCAACAACACCCAUAAUGCCAUGAAUUUCUUCCCAAUACUUAUCAAACUUUCUCUUCAUCAUACAUGCCAUGCUACUAAUAACUGCGUUAGGAGAAACAACCCAUUUUUCCAAUCUAACAUGUAUCUCACAUACUUUAUUAAAGUAAAUGUUGGCCGUUGGAACUUGAGUUCCAGAAAACAACUGAGUCACAUCAUAAAAAAGUUUUAUUUUACCACAAAUUUCUUUCGCAAGUUCCCAUUCCUCAUUACUUGGCACACUUUUAUAAUUGGAGUCUUUUUGUUUUAGUCGAGCAAAGACAUCUCUGUACAACCAUGCAGUUUCUAACAUCACAUAAGUAGAAUUCUAUCUAGUCAUACAAUAAAGAGAUAAUUUUUUGGUAAAGGGAACACCUGACUUACUACACCAACUCACAAAGGUUUCAUGUCUUUUACUAGUUGAAGUCCAAUACACCACACUAUUACGAAUUUUCUCCACACUUUCUUUAACUAAAUUGAAACCAUCCUUCACAAUUAGGUUUAAAAUAUGAGCACAGCAACGCAUAUGCAAUAACGUAUCCCCUAACAACAAAUAAUUUAAGUCUAGACGUCCCUGAUGAGCGGAUAAUUUAUACGCUUUUUGACAUUGUUUUUAGUAUGUUUUUAGUAGGAUCUAGUUACUUUUAGGGAUGUUUUUAAUAGAUUUUGUGUUAAAUUCACAUUUCUGGACUUUACUAUGAGUCUGUGUAUUUUUCUGUGAUUUCAGGUAUUUUCUGGCUGAAAUUGAGGGACUUGAGCAGAAAUCAGAUUCAGAGGUUGAAAAAGGACUGCUGAUGCUGUUGGAUUCUGACCUCCCUGCACUCAAAGUGGAUUUUCUGGAGCUACAGAACUCGAAAUGGCGCGCUUCCAAUUGCGUUGGAAAGUAGACAUCCAGGGCUUUCCAGCAAUAUAUAAUAGUCCAUACUUUGGCCAAGAAUUGAUGAUGUAAAAUGCACCCUUACUCACGUAAGGUUUAUUACUUGGACGACCCAGUGCACUUGCUGGUUAGUUGUAUCGAAGUUGUGACAAUUAUGAAUUAAGAUCAAAGCACCAAGCUUUGGAGCCAUUACCAGGGAUUUGUUCGAGCCUGGAGAUCACAAUUUCGUGCACCAAGUUUUUGGCGCCGUUGCCGGGGAUUGUUUGAGUUUGGACAACUGACGGUUCAUCUUGUUGCUCAGAUUGGGUAACUUUCUUUUCGUUUUCUUUUUAAAAAAUUUUUCAAAAAUAUUUCAAAACUUUUCUCAUCUGUUUUCGAAAAAAAAAAUGUUUUCAAAAAUAUAUUUUUCUUCAGGAUUUUUAAGAAUGAAUUCUAGUGUUUCAUGAAACAUGUUGAAUCCUAUCUGGCUGUAAAGCCAUACCCAAACUGCUUUGGGAUUGGUAUUCAACUAAUCACUCCAGCCCAUGUAAUUAUAUGUUGAAGCUUGGCUGGCUAUUAAGCCAUGCCUGACCCUUUGAUUGGAGCUUUAAGACUAACAUGGCAAGAUUCCUGGAAUUCAUAUUAAAAAUUUUGGAAUCCUUAUUUUUAUUUUUAUUUUUUCACAAUAAUUUUCGAAAAAAAAAAUAAUUAAAAGAAAAUACAAAAAAAUUAGAAAAUCAUAAAAAUCAAAAAUAUUUUGUGUUUCUUGUUUGAGUCUUGAGUCAAAUCAUAAGUUUGGUGUCAAUUGCAUGUGCAUCCUGCAUAUUUUGAAAAUUUCAUGCAUUCAUAGUUAUGAAUUAAGAUCAAAGCACCAAGCUUUGGAGCCAUUACCAGGGAUUUGUUCGAGCCUGGAGAUCACAAUUUCGUGCACCAGUCCCAACAACACAUCAAUCAUAGCAUCAUUUGUAGAACAAUUAUCCAAUGUAAUAGUUGAUAAUUUUCUAUCUAAGUUCCACUCCAACAAAACUUUCGUUAAUGCAUUAGAGAGAACUUCACUUGAAUGAGGAGCAAGAACAUAAGUAAAGCUGAAAAUAUCACAAGUACAUCAAGCAUUAGAAAGCAUAUCUUAUACUAGAAGCAAAGUUUAAGGUAUUACCUCAAUACUCACAUUUGCAAAUUCCAUGAACUAUCAAUGUAGUGUACUGUAACAACCAUGUAUCCUUUUUCCUGGUUGGAAGUCCACAUGUCAGUUGUAAUAGCCACUCGACUAUCAUUUGCAUCCAUCAUCUUGUUUAUAUUAAGCUUCUCCACUUCGUACAUUUCCAAGAUAUCCUUCUUGAUUAUGUUUUGGCUUGGCAUCUUAAACGUUGUUUGCAUUGAAGCAAACACUUCUCUUGUUGCAACAUGAUCCACAUAUGACAAAGGAUACUCAUGCAUACAAAUGGACUUAGCAAUCAAUUUUCUUGUGUGAGAUGCAUCAAAUAUAAAAGCAUAUGAACUAUUCUUUCCAUGUCUUUGAAGAGAUUCGGCAAUUGUUGAUUGUCUUGAAUUUGCUAAUUUUAUUCUCUUACAAUAAUGAAGCACAUGUUUCUUCAAAUUUGUAGUCCCUUUCCUUGGAUUCGCACCAAGAACAGACUUACAAUGGUUUCAAUUUGCCUUCCACUCUUCCCCCUCUUUAUAUCUACUAAAGUAUUGCCAAUAAACACUUUUCAAUAAAGAUUUGUUGCUAUUUUCACCUGAGGCAGACUCGUCUGGAACAAAAUUAGUAGUUUCUUCAACAGGAGUUUCUUCUUGUUGUUCUUGAGCCACUACAUCCAUGUUGGUACUAUCCAUUAUUGCCUACACAAUAGUAAAAUAAAUUAUUAAAUAUUAAAAACUCAAGCAUGCUGAAAAAUCAUUAAGAUUCAGAAAAACUAUUUAUACAUAAAAAACUUAGGAAUCCAAUUUUUAUACAUAAAAUUUAUCAAACUAAAUUUACCAUUUAUCCAAUCCACUUUCGCUCUUUCUUUCAAUUACAAGUUCCUGUCCUUAAAAAAAACAAUAUAUGUUUUGCAUAAGCUUAACAACACAUUGCAAAUCAAAUAAAUAAAGACACAACAUCAUUUUGUAAGUGUGUGAACAUUAUUUUAAAUUCAAUGUCAUGUCGUACCACAUACAAAGGACUAUAUAUGUUUUGUAUAAGCUUAAACUUACACCGCUUUAUCUUAUUCCUCACCCUUAAGAAUAACAUCACAUUCAAAUUAAAUGAUUACUUAUUGUUAUUUUCUUUCAUGUAUUAUAUAUAUUUCUCUUGCACACAAUAACAAAAGCAUCACUUCCAGUAACUAUUGUAAAUUGCCACAAGUGCAAGAUACUAGGAACAAGCUGAUGAUGAACAUGAAAUUCUAAUUAAUCAAAUAUCACUUUCUUCUUUUCUUCGUUGCUAUGUAAACUAAAAUUAUGUUCAUUCAUAUCUAAUAACCAGAGCCUUUUAUAAAAAUUGAAAAUUUCUUUUACAUCAACUGUAAAUCUAAAGCAACAAAUUUGAUCAAUUCUGAUAUAUAUAUUGCAUUCAUAUCUAAUAACCGGAGCCUUUUACAAUUUUUCAAUAUAUAUUGCAUUCACAUCAACUGUAAAUCUGAAGUAACAAAUUUGAACAAUUCAAGCAUUUACAUUCCAAAAAAACAAAACUGAGUUGGUUGGGCACAGUAAGCAUUGAAUAAAACUAAAUAAUAUAGAUAAUUAUGGUGUAAUGAAAAGGCUAUGAAAGACUUUGAUUCACCACUAGUAAAGCCCCAAUUUUUACAGAUUCAAACACAAAGUACAUACCAAGAAGAGCACAGAGCAGCAGCGUAGAGACGAGAAAAGGUAACGAAUCAGCGGCAUUGCAAGGAGAGCACAGAGAAGGAAGAAUAGUGGCGGAAAUAGAGGAACGAGGAAUGAGAAAGGAGAGUUGGGGCAAUGGAGCACUGAGGUCUGAGGCUUAUGGCUUGGGAAGAAAACUGCGCUACCAGAGUACCAGCCUCCCACUUAGUCUUAGGGUUUCUAAUGAGUGAUUUCUGAAUCUUAAAUUAUAUAUGAUUUUUAUUUUUGUUUAAUUUUUAUUUUAUGGUAACUUCAUAAUAUAAAAAUGCAAUAUAUUAUCAAAGUAAGUAGUUAGCUUAGUGGUUACUUACUUGCUACACAUGAAGGAGGUUGAGGGUUUAACUCUCACCUCCUUCACUAUGCAUAUAAAUUUUUAAAAACAUGUUAUAUAUGGGAGUGCGGGUAGGGUAGGGUAGGGUACACCCUAAACCCGUAUCCUACCCUACCCGCAGGCCUACCCAGACCGCACUCUACUCUACCCGCAGCGGGUCAGGUAGCCUACCCUACCCGAACGGGUUGGGCCGGGUAGGGUACCCGCGGGUAGGGUAUGUAUUGCCAGCCCUAGGUUCCUUAUCUGUGGCGGAUUACACCAGUCGAUUUGAGGAGCUCUGUAGGUUCUCUAGGGCAUGUCAGGGUGCCGCGGAGACCUAUGAGAGUUGGAAGUGUGUCAAGUAUCAAAGGGGCUUGAAGGACGACAUCAUGAUGGUUAUGGAUCCUAUAGAGAUCUAUAUUUUCUCCGAUCUGGUGAACAAGGCAAGAAUGGUUAAAGAAUACGCAAAGACGGUAGCCUCGUCAAGGGACAGUCAAGAAGGAAAUACUAGUAGGGGACGUGAUGAUUACCUUGGACCAAAGGGACAAAACUUCAAGAGAUAUGGUGAAGGGAAGUGGUCAAGAGCUUACUCCCCUUAUAUGAAAUGUAAGGAGUGUGGGAACUACCAUCCGAAUAGGCCAUGCCAGUUGGGUAAGAAACUAUGUUACAAGUGUGGCGCACCGGGACAUUUGGUUAGAGAUUGUCCACACCGAGGAACACAUGAGGCGGGUCGAUCACGACAAUAGGGUUGAGGUAAUUAUAAAGCCGAUGGCCAAAACUCAACUUACCUUCGUAGUAUAGAAUAUCGUCGUUCGUGUUGAAAAAGUUUUAAAGCUUAGAUUGAUUUUUUCAAAACUUGGUUUGGAACUCUGGUUUGAAUAUUUUGGUUUUGAAACUAGGACUGGAACUUUUGGUCAAAUGAUAUGAUUUAAAAAGGAAAGCGAGUCCUAAGAUUGUGUUAACUCAUGAUUUUGAUUUGCAAAUUUAACUUAUCAAAAGGGAUUCAAUUGAAAGGUUCUGAUUUAAGGAUUCUAAUGAAUUUAGGAAAAAUCGUAUUUCAAAGUGAUUGAUUUACAAAUGAAAGGUUUUUGACUUUUUGAUAAGGUUUUAACAAUGGACUUAUUUAGAAUGCACUUAUUUUAAAGGUUUUGAAAAAUAUUACUAAAUCGGUAUUUGAUUUAAGGAAAAUUUUCGGAUUCCUAGUGACGAUAAUCAGAGUGACGCAGCGGAAUGCGAGAGAGAACAUCGACACGGUGGGACGAUGGUGAACGAGAUGCUCUAGCAACUUGUUAGGUUGGUAACGUUGAGAGUAGGAUGCUUCGUGGAGAAUAUAUAUAUAUACAUAUUACAUCGCGUGAUUCGGAUUUUCGAGGGAGAAAAUAUUUUCAAGGAGGGGAGGAUGUAAGAAUCGGGUUUUUCACAAAUAAAAUCAUUUAAAUGCCCAAAUUUGAUUCCGAAAAGUUAGAAUGAGAAUUUUGGGAUUUAAAUAUAAUUUUUAGACUCAGUAGGUCUUUCUGAGUCAGAAAAUAUGUUUUCUGCAAAAAACUGUGAAAAACUGCGAACCGGCUGUUAAACCGGUUGAACUGGUUCAAGUAUGCUCGGUGUUGCGUGAGAAAGAGUGAAAACAACCGAAAACCUUAGAAAAAUAUUAGAAAUAGAAAACCGGACAUUAGUGUUAAAGGUUUGGCCCAAAGUUGGGCCAAAUAGGCGAAAAAUGCUAACGGGUUAGACUGGGCCCAAGUUGGGCCCAAACCCAACAUAUAUAAGGGUUCAUUAAUGAACCCUUCAGCCACAACACACACACACACACACACACACACACCAGAAAGUUGGGAGAAGAAGGAGAAGAGAGAAGGAGCACUAUUUACCUCCUUACUCUUUUCAUCAUAUCUUGAGCUACGGUGCUCCGAUUCGCGUGCCGUCAGCGGCUACGCGAAGCUCUUGCCGAGCCCGUCGUUUCUAUCUAAGCUUUGUGUAAGUCUUUCGAGUUUCCCUGCCCAGUUUUCGUGCCCUUGUGUAUUUCGAGUUUUAGGGUUUGGUUUUGAGGGAAAUCUUGUGUCUUGGGUGUUUUAGGUACACUUUAGCACUUGAUUGUUGGUGGUUUUGGCUUUCAAAACUAUUGGACAAGGUAAGAUCUCUUGAAAACCCUUGUGAAGUUAUGUUCAUGUUGAGCCCUAGUUUGAUUAGUGAUGUUUGGUGUGUAUAUAGCUUGUUUGUUGUGAGUUUGGGAGCUUUUGGAGCUUGUUGGAGUCCUUUUGGAGACUUGCUUGUGGUUGAAAGCUUGCUUGUGCUCCAUUUGGAGUUAAGGACAUAUUGGGGAUCGGCAAGGUAUGGUUUCAGUUUCUUCUAUGUAGUAUAUAACAUUCAUGGACACUUAGGCUAGUGACCCAUAGGAUAGGAAUGAAUUAUAAUGUUUGUUGAGGUAUUGAAUGUUGAUGUAUGAUGAAUAAUAUUGAUAUGUUGAGGAUGAAUGAUUAUAUGUGAUUUUGAUGUGUGAGGAUAACUUGUAUGAGGAUGAUGAUGAUAUGGAGUUUUGAGAUGAAGAAUAUGUGAAUUGGAUAAUGAUUGUUGGCAUUCAAGGAUUAUGAUGUUUGAUGUUGGAUAUGUGAUUUAUUGUUGUUGAUAUGGUUGAUGAUUAAUGAUUGGUGAGUGAUGUUAUUGGUAUGUUGAAGGUGAGUGUUCAGAUUGUUGAUAAAUGAUGUGAAUUAUGAUAAGUUGGUGAUUUUUGGAAUAUGUUGAUAAAUCAUGAUGUUGAAAUUGGUAAAGAUGGUGUAAGAGAUUGAAAUUGAAAUAAAAUGGGAUUGAUUUUGAUGUUUAGUAAUGAUUGAAUUAGGAUUGAGAAAAAUGUUGGAGGAGGAUUGAUUUUGGUAUCACAUAAUUGAGGCUUGGUGGUUGGGAAUGGUAUAAUAUGCUACAAAGGGUAGAUUAUGAUAGAAAUUGGAGUUUGAAGUAGUUUUGGUUGGAAAUGUUGGUAAUGUUGAGGUUUUGAGACUUUUGGUAAAAGUGGGUUUUUGGUGAACUUUGUCUGAUCAUAACUUUUGCCUCGGUUUUCAAAAUUGGUUAAAAUUGGUUUAAAAUUAAAGUCUAUUGAAAACUCUUUGAAACGAUAUAAAGUUUGAAAAAUUUAGAAUUUUGUAGAGGAAGUUAUGAUCAUUCAAAGUUGGUGUUGAAAAUCUGAAAUUUUGCAAAGUUGCAGAAUUUUAUGAUUUCUGAUAUGUGCGCCCGCACAAUCCUGCGAAAAUCUUCUUCUGUGCGGACGCAUAGGCAGGAAAAGGCUCUCUGCUUGUAGCGUUAGCACAGCUUGUGCGCGCAUACAUCAAUGAAGAAUUGCGACCUGUGUGUACGCACAGCCCUGUACGCACCCACAAGUUGGGAAGGAUCGUCUGUUGGGGGCACUCGCACCCCCUGUGCGAGUGAACAGAGUUUACAAAUUUUGGUACCUGUGCGUACGCACACCUUUAAAAUCUUCCUGGGCGUGCACACACACACCCUGUGCGUACGCACAUGCCCUGUUUCACAAAUUUAAACUUUGUUUUCAACUAUUUCACCUUUCCAAUAAAGUUGUAAGCUUCUAUAACACCAUUUUAAGACCCUUGGGCUUGUCUUCGGGUAUUGAAAUAUGGGAAAUAUCCUAGGAGGUUUGUUUCGAUUUUUAAUUGAAAGUUUAGCAAACGGAGGCUUAGGUUGCUGGUGUAUUGAGGAUGGGUUUAGUUGAGAGAGAAGGAAGAGUGUGAAUUUGGUGAAUGCUGACAACGAAUUGAGAAAUUGACAAACUAAUGAGUUUGGAAUAGAAAGUCAUGAAUUGAUGAUGGUUGUGAUGAGUUGACCACUUGGAAAUGAAUGGUUAUGGUUUGAUGGAGUGAGAAUGAGUGGAAGUGUGCCAUGAGGAGUGGUCUCUGAGUUUGAUUACGUGAUUAUGAUAUGCAUUGCUAUCCAUCGUAGGGGCAGUGGUAGUAUCCCGCCUAUGUUUGGAUGUGAGGCUUGAAGCUGAGCUUCUCACUCAUAUUGAUUGCUCCAGAGGAAGGUCGUAGGGCACUCUCCCUUGGAACGUUUCCCUCUGAAAGGAGAAGGUGGUAGGGCACUCUCCUUCGGAAUUUUCCUCCUGAGCAUGGGUUUCUCUUUUAUUGUAAGGUGGUAGGGCACUAACCCACGGAAUCAUGCGACAACCAGAGGAAGGUGGUAGGGCACGCUCCCUCAGAAUGUUUCCCUCUGAAAGGAGAAGGUGGUAGGGCACUCUCCCUCGGAAUUAUUCCUCCUUAUGCGCAAUAGAGAGACUAAUCCAGGAGUUGUCGACCGGAUUUUCUGUCGGGUUUGGCACUAUAACCGACAUGUGAUAUCACAACCAAUAGGAUAGACAUUCAUCGUAUGCAUCUUCUAUAUGCUUGCUUGCUUUGUUUACUUGAGUUUUCCUAAUUGUAUAAUAUGCCUACUUGCUUCUUGAAUUACUUGUUAUAUAUUUGAAGAUUACCUGUGGUUUCCUUACUUGUAUUAUCUGUGUUUGUCUGGUUUUGAGGAGGUUAAGUAGGCGAUGGCGAUGGCAUCGCACGGAGGACAGGUUGGUGAAGGCUGUGGGACAGCGGUGACUAGUUUAGUUAAAAAUCCUCUAAGUUAGAUUACCCAUUUUCAUACUGCUAAGGCUUUAGUUGUAUUAUGGUUUAAGUUAUGCUUCAUUGUUUUAGCAUGGUUUAAGAUAAAUCUAUGAUGGAUAUGAAGUUCUAGGAUUGCCUCUGGCAUCCCGGGGUCUUAUAUUCUACAUUACUGGGCACUGUUACCAUACUGAGAACCUUCGGUUCUCAUACCAUAUUCUGUUGUUAUUUUUUAGAUGCAGGUCGCAACCCACCUCAGUGAGUUGUCUAGAUGGUGACAGAAGCGGAGGAUCCUGUUGCUCUUGGAGUCUUUUGAUUUAUAUUAUUUAUACAUUUCUCACUUUUGUAUUUUGCUUUUUCCUAGAGGUUUGUAUUGAGAGAGAAAAACAUGUAUAAGCUGUUUUUAUUGUCAGUUUUCUGUAUGGUCUGUAUAUCGCUAGCCGGCUUAAACUCCGGGAGUCCGGCUAGACUCUUACGUUAUUAUACUAUUAUCUUUUGUUAUAUUAUACCUAUGUCUUGUGCUUUAAGUUAGAAGUUUCGUUAGUACGUUUUGGGCUUUUCAAAUCCUGUUUUUGAGCUAUAUCCUUCAUCAGGCUUCUAAAUUAUAUUAAUUCUUUCUAUAUAUUAUAUGUAUGAGCUUAGAACUGUCGUAAUGUCUGAUUAUCCUUUGCUUUAUGACACGUGGUAAAGCUUAGGCUAACUAGGGUGUUACAUUUGACAUGUCAACAUCAGCAGAUUUGUUUUUUCAUUUGUUCCUUUCUUGAUAAACGAGAUAUGUAGCAAAAUUCUUAGGAAACUAAAACAGAAGCAGGCAAUUACAUUGGUGCUAGUAGCGACAAAGUUUCUUGAACCAUAUUUGUUGUAGUAUACACUAAGCGUACGUUACAACUUACAAAAAACCACUAUUAAAAGCAGACGUAGAUAACUUACUGCAACCGACGGAGGCAGGCACCAGGACAAGGGGAAUGUGGAUAAUUUCUCAGUGCUAGUCAUUGUCAUGGCAACCAUGUAGAUAAUCUGGUUACCAACAACAGUAUCAUGGAAUGUGAAUUUACAAUCUCAAUACCAUAUUUAGGUAGUUUCCUCGUUGAGCAAGGUUAAACAAGUGUCAUACCUUCUCAUCAACAUCAUGUCCCGGUAAUAGGCUGUGUAAAUCAACUCUAGCUGCCGACUUGUCUCCGAUACAAACAAGAUCCUUGCUACAUGAGGCGGAAAAUGUUAACACGUAAAUAAAACCGCAAUACACUAGUUUAAAUAUCGAGGCGUAAAGAAUUAUCAGGGGUCAAGACUCCCAUCGAAGAUAUAGGUGAAUAAGGCUGACUCACGGUUAUUAAAGGCCAUUGUAGGAGUGAUCCUAAACUUCAUCUACGUCAUAAGUUUAUGUUUAGGGUUAGUCCGUGGUCAAAUUUCGAGUCUCGUGUAUGAGGUCUGUCAUGUAGUGGCAUAUUACAUAUCGUAUGACGAUUCUAUGCCUAAGGUGACAGCCCAAUAUAUAACUAUAAAACGCGAUAAAAAAAAGUUUUGUUAUCUUAAUUAACUUUUUAUUUUCAUUUUGAAUGGUAUAUAAAUUAGCGACAUGUUUACCUUCUUGCUAGUUGGUUGAGUUGACUUCCCGCUGCUUAAGUCCGUCCGCACAGAUCAUUUUAGUCCUUCACCGGGUCUUGACCGUUUCGCUUUCCUAGUUGCCGACGGUGGUGUGAGGAACAACUUUUGCAUGAUGCAGUCGGUGUCUUUCACAGGUGGAGUACUUUUUCCAGCUGAAUCCGAGGCUACGAGUAUUCCACUUGCGAUGCCUGAACCAAUUUUCAUGGACUGUGGGGUUGACUGUUCAUCCAUCUCCCCGUUCGAGUCCAGUAUGCCGACAGUAUUUUCAUGGCUUGCACCAACUAAUAUGUCCAUCUCCUUUUUGAAGUCUUUCUAUUAAAGUACACACAUUAAACUGUUUAAGAUACGUGACACAUACAAGAAGAGUGAUAUACUAUACCAAGUGGUUAAACCGAACCUGAACUUUUUCAACAAGGCCCUUUAUCAAGUCCUUGAUUAUGAUGCCGGUCUUUGGAAAGGACCAGUCAUCCUGGGCCUGGUCUUGAGUAUCUUUGACAGCGAUGACCUCUUCAUAGUAUGCCAUAUAACUUAAACCAUAAACCCUAAAAACCACACACUACAUAGUAUGCCAUACACCUUAAACCCUAAACCAUAAAUUCUAAACCCUAAAUCCUAACUCCCACACCCUAAAUCAUGAAUCCUAAACCAUGAACCCUGUUGAGUUUUGUAAAUAAUAAUAAAUAGUUGAUGAUAACAAAUAUGUUGAAGUUGGGUUAAUAGCCCAAUUGGGUUUGAUGUGUUAAUUAGUGAUACAGGCCCAAGGAGCAAGAAAACCGACCCAAUAACAAGCAAACAAAGGCAAUAGUUCAAAUCUAGAAGCCCCAAGAAAAUGAAUGGCUAAACUUAUAUCAUCAUGAGCAAUCCAAAGAAAAAGUAGCUAAUCAAUAAGGAAGGAAGAAACGAAGAAAUCUUGUCCAAGAAGCAAGAAAAUAGGCCCAAUAAAAUAAUGAAGCCCAAAGAAAAAAGAAAUCUGAAAUGCUAGUGUGAAGAAAGGAAAUUGGACCAAACAUAAACCAUAAGGCCAAACUUACAACAACAGUAGCCCAAUGGAUAGAGCAAUUGAAACAAAGAUUAUUGAUGGGUUCUCUAACCAACAAUACCCAAAAAUAAUAAAGCAAAGAGUUCAACUGGGCUAAAUUAAACAUACAUCUAAUCCAAGUCCAAGAAGCUUCCACCAAGUAGAAGCCCUCCAAAGCCAACGUUCACAAGCUUGCUUCGGUUAGAAUAAAAAAAGAGAGAGAGUUUCUUCUUCCUGGUUCUGUCACCAAAGAAGAAAGAAAAAGAAAGGUUCAUCAUGAAAGCAAGGUCAUAUCACACUAAUCAAAGCAUGUUAAGCAAAGUCAAAGGUUAAAGGUAAAUAAUUUCCAUUUGCAUGCAAGUUGAUUUCUUCACUCCUUUUCCUACUCUCUGCGAUACCAUUUCUGGAAAGAAGUAAAAACUGGUGAAGUGGUGAUGGAUUAGCUCUGCUUUAAAUCAAUGGCUCAAAGUGUUACUUGGAGGCAAAGCACCAUAUCAAAGGUGUGGAUUUGGGAUUGUCACUGAGAAGACAUAUUUCUGAUGCUUUGCGAACCUCAAUCAAAGCAAAUGAGUCAGUUUUAAAAUUCCUAAUUUUGGGAAUGAUUGAAUAAAAAGGAGGCAUGAUUUUUGAGAUCUCAAAGUCCAAGGAGUUGACUAGAGAGAAAUCCUAUCUGGCUCUCAGCACAAGGUACAAAAAGAAAAUUGCUUCUCUGUUUUGAACAAGGAGAGAGAACCAGAAUCUGAGUUGCAUUAAGAGCAUUCCUUGUGGGAGUUCAACGCUUUGGACUGUGUUUCUACUCAAAGAAACAUACCGCCAAAAUGAAGAACAAUCAUAGAGAAUUCUGAAGUUGGUUCAUCUGAUAGCUUCAUGGCUGUGAUCAUCAUCUCCUUCAUGGUUUAUUGUUCCAUUAUUCUAUUUCAAUGUUUAUCUUUCUCUGUUUUCUCUUAAGUGGAAAAAGGUAUAAAUGUGAGGUAUUUGAAAAAGCCAAAUAGAGAGAAAAGGAAAAGAGAAGAACUUGGAGAGAAAAGUCAAAGUUGAUUUCAGAUUUCUAUUUGUUUGUAUUUCUAUUUUGCAUCUUGUAUUUGAUGUAUCCCUUGCUAAGUUGGGUAAGCACUUAGUGUAUUGAGAGUCUAGGAUGUUGCCUAGCCAAAUCAAGCUUAUGUUGAAGUUUGGUUUGUCCCAGAUAGGAUUAUGUUGAGUCCUAGGGAAUUGGUGUUUGUAACACUUGAAAGUAUAGUGAAAAUUCCACCAAUAUUGUGGUAGAGACUGGAUGUAGGUUGCAUUGCACAGAGCAACUGAACCAGUAUAUAUGCUGGUGCCAUUUUCUUCUUCUCUGCACUAUUUUAUCUCUCUGUAAUUUAUGAGACAAAACUAAAUUGUCUCCUGCAUAAUCUAUCACGCAGACAAAUAGAAGUAAAGUUUCAUUUCCAGAUUUUAAGGGUUAAUCAAUCAAUGUAAAAGAAGGCCAUAGAUUCAACCCCUCUUCUCUAGGCCAUCAAGAACCUUCAAUUGGUAUCAAGAGCCAGGGUCUCAAGAAUCAAGCUUCACAACUUGGAGGAAAUGUCCAAUGGCGAACAACAUGGGUGCAACCACUGUGGCCUAUACUCUAACAGAGGGUCAGUCAAACAACAGGCCUCCUUUUUUAAUGGGAAGAACUAUGCUUAUUGGAAAGAAAGAAUGCGGAUCUUCAUUCAAUCAAUUGACUACAACAUAUGGAAGACAGUGGUGAAUGGUCCUAAAAUCCCUACAAAGACAAGUGCUGAUGGAGUAGUGACUCUAAAGGAGGAAGCCGAAUGGAAUGAUGAUGACAAAAAGAAGGUGGAAAUAAAUGCUAAAGCAAUAAACUUGCUACACUGUGCUAUUAGCUUCGAGGAAUACCAAAAGGUAUCUAGAUUCAAGACGGCAAAAAAAAUCUAGGAGAAACUCCAAGUUACACACGAGGGCACCAACCAAGUAAAAGAAACAAGGAUUGAUAUGCUGCAAAAAGAAUAUGAGAUGUUCACCAUGAAGGAUGGAGAAAGUAUUGAUGAGAUGUUUGAGAGAUUCUCAAUCAUCAUCAACAGCCUUGAUGCUAUGGGCUUGACACACAUGGAACAAACUCUAAUGAGAAAAAUCCUUAGAAGCCUUAUAAAAGAAUGGGAAACAAAAGCCACUGUCCUAACCGAGAGUAACAACCUGAGUCCACUAACCUAUGAUGAGUUGAGAGGGAAGCUCUUAGCAUAUGAAGCCACACACACUAGCCAAGACACAAAGAAAAAAGGAGUGGCCCUAAAAUCAAAAGUUGAGUCUAGGGAGAGUGAUUUAAGUCACAGAUUUUGAGAUGACGAACUUGUCUUUUUUGCUAGGAGAUUAAGAAGGCUAAUGAGGAGCAAAGGCAAGUACAAGGGAUCAAGUUCAAAGGAGCAAAAGAAGGAUCUCAGUAAGGUCACUUGUCAUCACUGCAAUGAGGUAGGACACUUCAAGUUAACUGCCCAAAACUCAAGAAAGAUGAUAAGGCUAAGAAAGAAAAUAAGAAAGUGCUCAUAGCUUCUUGGGAGGAUCUAGAGAAUGAUUCGGAUGAGGAAGAUGACUCCGAAUAUGAAGCUCAAGUCUGUUUCAUGGCUGGUAAUGAUCAACUAGAAGAGAUAAAUUAUUAUGACUUAUCUCUUGAAGAACUACAUGUUAUUGUUGAUGAUCUCACUCACCAUUCUAAAAAAUUGUUGAAGAAAUACAACAAAUGUAAAUCUGAAAAUGAACUUUUGAAAGCUGAAAAUGAGUUUUUAAAAGAAAAAGUGAAGGAGACCGAAUGUGCUUUUGAUCUUGUUGAAGAAAAUAGAUUUUUAAAAUACGAAAUUGAAAAAUUCAAAGGAAAGCACACGGUUGACGCUUCACAAGAACUGAUUGCAAAAAAUGAAAGAUUAAAUGAAAUGAUUAAAGGGUUGAAUAAUGAUUUAGAAAAAUUUGCACACAGUUCCAACAACUUGGACAAAUUACUUGCUAAUGAAAGAUCAUUAUUUGAAAAAUAUGGUUUGGGUUAUGUGACAAAGGAUGAUGCAGUUUUUGAAAAACCAUGCACUAAAACUGAAGCAACAAACUCAAAGACAAAACCCUCAUUUGAAAUUUUUGGUUUGGGUUAUUCAAUUAAAACUGAUGCUAGUUUUGAAAAAUGAUUUUUUGAUAAAAAUGCAUCACCUUCAAAGACCAAACCAUUGUCAAAAAAUUUUGGUCAUGAUCAUUUCACUAACAAUGAAGUUGUUUUUGAAAAACCACACUUUAACAAAACUGCCUCAUAUUCAAAAACCAAAUCUGUUUCAAAUAAUUCUGGUUUGGGAUAUGUUGCAAAAACAGGUGCAGUUGCUAAAAAUCAAUUUUAUAAAAGAAAGGCACCUUACUCAACAACCAGAAAAUUUCAAACCUUUAAUCACUUUCUGCACCAUACAUUAAAUCAUUUCAACAUCAUAAUAUUGAUCACUUUCAGCAUCAUGCAAUCAAAAAAUAUUGUUCUAAUUGCAAUAAAAAUGGUCAUUCUUCCCCUCAAUGUUUUAUUGACAAAAGAAUUAUGGGAAAUAAAACAUACAACGUUGUUUGUGAUUUUAAUGAACUUGGGCAACCAAGGUGGAUUGACUUUAAAGGAUCCAAGUUAGUUUGGAUACCCAAGGUUACUUGAGAGUUUAUGCAGAGUUGCCUAGCAUCCAAGAAGAAGAAAGAUAUGUGGUACUUUGAUAGCAGAUGCUCUAGGCAUAUGAUGAGAAGGUCAAUAUUUUUUAUCAAACUCAACAAGUAUGAUGAAGGAUUUGUGACCUUUGGAGAUGACGGAAAAAGUAAGAUUGUUGCUAUUGGAAAAGUAGGUAAUAAGCACUCUAGAAUCAUGAAUCCUAAACCAUGAACCCUAAAAUCUAAAACAAGAAUCCUAAACCCCUAAACUAUAACACAUAACCUGAACAUCUUAUUUAAUACAAACCAUAAAUCCUAUCCCACCAACCUUGAGCCCUGAACCCUGAACCAUCAACCCUACAUACUACGCCACCUCAGUAAUCCUAAAUCAUAAACCAUAAAGCCUAAACCAUUAACACUAAAUCCUAAACCCACGAACCCUAAACCAAUAUAUAGUAAAUCCUUAAACCAAAACAAUUAUUUGUUUACUGUGUAUUGCAAAUCAAUAUGUAUAAAGUGUGUUCCAAUAUAUCCAUAGAAACUACCUUUUAGAAUAAUAAUUAUAAUUAUAACCAUAAUAAUAUCAUAUUAUAAAUAUAUGUUGUUUAGAUAUUUGAUUAAUUUGAAAUAAACAUAUUUUAACAUAAAUCCCUAAUCUGUAGACCGCAGUCCAUAAACGUUAAUCCGUUAACUUUUACUUAUAUAACACCCAUGUUUACUGGUUAUUUAACGGGUAAUUUGAUUUCCAUACCUUUUACUACAAUCCACGCCUCGCCAUUGGACAUAUGCGGAUACAUUCUAGGCAAGAUUGGAAUAGAUGUUCAGGGCAGUUAGAGAGCAUUAGCUACCUGAACGGAUCAAUGACAUGGCCACUUCGCACCCGUCAUCGUCUUAUGGUAUUUGUAUUCUUUCUAAAUGGAUUCUCAGAUGUAUUUUGAUGCGAUGUGUCUUAUCGGAUGACGGCUCACUGUAUGCAGAGAAGGUGAGCGUCAAAUCCUGUCAUGUUGAGGUACAACUGUACAAGCUUAUAAUAAUGGCACAGUGUGAGGAACAAGCUUCACUUAAAUUAUUAUUGUUUCUUUUUUUUUGUUGGUAUUGAUGAUGUGCCUCUCAUGGUGGGCCAAGGUUUCUCGUCCUAUGCAACCAACUAUUAAUAGAAGUUGUUCAUUAUUUACAGUCACAUGAUUGAUAAUCUAAACAAAACUCACUAAUUUUCUAAUUGACGAUGGGCAUGGAUAAUAGGGUUUGCCCAUCGUGAACUUCUUUUACAACUUUUUUAUCACCCACAAAAUUCACAUUAUAUCACUCCUAUAAAAUACUAUUUUUUUGUUCGAAAAUUUAAAAUAUUUAGAUUUGACUUAGAAAAUUUUAUCCUAGUUCAUGUUAUUCUUUUAAAUGAAAUUAAAAGCAUUUUAGUGUAUUCAUAUUUUCUUAAAGCGAGUUAUACGUUAUUGAAGAAAGGUAGUAACAAAAUAUUUUGCAUAUUUGAAUUUUGUAUUAUUAUUUAUAUAAGUAUAACAUAAUUGUCGUGUAUUAAUUUUUUUCAAAAAAAAAUUAAUUUUGUAUUGUUAUGUCACUAAUAUAACACACAUAUAAACAAUCUCAACCGUAAGCCCUAAACUCUAAACCCUAAAUCCUAAAACAUGAAUCAUAAACCUUAAAAUCUAAACCCUAUACAUGUAUAAACCCUAAACCAUAAAUCCUAAACCCUAAAACAUGAAUUCUAAACCACCUAAACACUAAACUUUAAACCUUAUACACGUUAUAAACCCUAAACCCUAAAUCAAGAAUCAUAAACCCCUAAACCCUAAACCAUAAAUUUGAAAUCCUAAACUAUAUACCCAACGCACUAAACCUUAAGUCACAACACAUAACCCCAACACGUCAUUCAAUAAUCACUUAGACCUAAACCCUAAAUCCUAUAACACAAACACCUUAUUCAAUAAACCUCAAAUCCAAAAACAUAAACCCUAAACAUUACUUGGUCUACAGAACACUCGCAAAACGUCAACACCACGACUGAUCAAAAUCGGAUAGAUAGACAAAGAAUGCCUGUGCCUGACAAAGAAUGCGCGUACAACCCAUUGACACACGUCUCCAAUUUCAAUGGUGUUAAAAUCACUUUAAUCGUUAUAGCUUCUGUUUAAAGUUUGUGAUUUCUAAUUAGUAUGAAGUGUGAACAUGGUUAAUUUUACUUCCUUGAUCAUUGGAGAAAUUGGAUUUCUAUGGUUAAUCUUGUUUUUUGUGUUUUCUGUUUUACUUUAAUAGGUGGUUUGGAAUUCAACUGAAUCCUCAGUUUAUGGGUAUCGACCUCAAGUAUGUUAUCCACCCGAUGUCAUUCUUUACUUGUUCUCAUUUAAUUUGAUUGCAUAGAUGUAUAUAAUUGCGAGUUAUGAUGGGGAAAAAAGCUUUCCUAGCUUGCAACGCUGCCAAAAUUGUCAAAUUGCAGAUUUUUUGUGAUUAUUCUGAAUACUAUAGAUAUUCCUGCAUAUAUAAUGAAAUUGUCAAAUCGCAGAUUUUUCUUUGUUAGAGCUGGAAUGAUGGGGUGGCUGCUUAUCAAUUUAUCCGUUCUUGCAAAGAGCAUUCAAGAUGGUACUUUGAGCAAGUCAAUGAUUCUAUUCCAGCUAUUCUAUGCAGUAAUCUCAAUCUUGCAUACUCUAGUUUCUUGAAUUUCUUUUUUUUCUUUUCUUUUAAUAAGCACUAGUUUGGGUGUUUAGUGAGUGAUUUCCUUCACACUUAUUCUAGUUAUACAUCUUAGACUACUUUGUGCAUAAAGAGUACAUGACAUCAACGUAAGUGCAUUGCGUUUGAUCCACGUAAAAUAUUGCUCAUCUCAAUCUCUCUAAAAAAAAGAAAACAUGUUUUCCUUGCAAUAUUUUCACUAAGUUAAUUCAUGAUUGUGAUAUCUAUACUGUUAUUCAAGUUGGAUAUAAUUGCCUUUUAUGAUCUUAUCUUUGAAUUAUUGUUUUAGCUGGGACAUAAUUGCAGAGAGAUUGGGCUUCAUGUUGGUCUUUGGAGAUUUAAUGUGGAUUCUUUUUACUUUUAGCAUACAGGUAAUUGCUAUAACUUAGCUUCCAACUUGCGAUUUAUUUGCGCUAUCAUGUAUAGUACUUUUCGGUUUAAUGCAUAACAUGUAUUGACAUGCUAUGAUUGUUGUCAGGGCUGGUGGCUCUUGGCGAACGAGGUGGAGUUAACAACGGCAGCCAUUAUAGUUAAUUGCUUUGUCUUCCUGAUUGGGUAACGUGUCUGAAAUAUCCAACCGCGAAUUCUAUAAUGCACCAUGUACACUCUUGAAGUUACAUAAAUUCAUAACAUAAAAUUAUUGAUCAAACUUUGCAGAUACAUGGUAUUUCGAGGAGCAAACAAACAAAAACAUGUAUUAAAAAAGAAUCCAAAGGCUCCUAUUUAGGGGUAAGCCUCCAAAAGUCAUUGGUAGAAAGUUACUUGCUUCUAGUUAUUGGUAAGAUUUCAUUUGAUAUCUAUUUUCUCUUUCUUUUUUUUUUUACUUUCUGUCUUCUGGAUUUAAGGGGUAAAAGCUAAAAACAAAAUGAAGAUUGCCUGGAGUAGAUAUGCAUCUGCUUUCUUUCCAUUUUUAACCUUACACAUAAUAUGUGAUUAUCGAUUAAGCGCUAUCUAGAAAAAGAAAAAUGAAAUUCGAGAUAGAUAUGGUUAGUUGAGUAUUUGUUGUCAUGUUGGGAGAUAACAAACUGAUAUUUGUAAUGCUUGGUAACUAAUAAUAGUAUAAUAUAUUACCAAUAAAACAGUUUAAUCCCCAUGUAUGUUUAUUUAGAAAGUCAAUGAAUUUAGGCCAUGCUUGUUUAGGCCUUAUGCAUUACAGCAUUACACAUUAUACAAUACUCUUUCGAUUUUUCUGUCCAUCUUUUGGUACAUCCUUUAAAUCAAUGUAUACCGAAAAGUAACAGUGACAGAUAAAAGAGAACGGAGGUAGUAACAUAGAUCAAGUUCCUCUAAAGCAAGAAAGUGAGAGUCACACUUAAAUUAAAAUAGUAGAGCUCACACGUAAUAAAAGUUACAAAUUAACUGUGAUUGAUCCUUUACUUUAUCACUUUUGAAUUCUUCUCUUUUUUCGUAGUAACAUGUUAGAACAAUGUACAUACACUUGAUUCACUUUCUCAUGAAAGCUAUUUUAACACAAAUUGUCAUCGUCGUCGUUGUUGUUGUUGUUGAUAGGGGUGUUCAUAAAAAAAACCAAAAUGUGGUUAACCAGUUAAAAAACCAUAACCAUAUUUUGGUUAACCAGUUUAAUAAAACAAUUUUAAAAACCAUAUCCAUAUUUUUUAAAAUUGGUUAACCAAAACCAAAUAAAAAAAACCGGUUUUUAACUGGUUAACCAAAACCAAAACCAAAUUAAAAUCAAAACCUAAUUUCAAAACCAAAUUACAUACUCUCUCUCUCUCUCCCUCCCUCCCUCUCCCCCUUCCUCUCUCUUUCUCUCUCACUUCUUUCUCUUCUUCUUCUCUCUCUCUCUCUCUCUCUCUCUCUCUCUCCUCUUUCUCUCCCUUCUCUCUCUCCUCUUAUCUCUCUUUUUCCCUUCUCUCUCUCAUUUUCCUCUUUCUCCUCCUCUUUGUCCUCUCCUUUUCUCUCUCCCCCUCCUCUCUCUCUCUCUCUCCCUCCUCUCUCUCUCUUUCUCUCUCUCUCCCUCCUCUCUCUAUUCUCUCUCCCCUUCUCUCUCUUCCUCUCUCUCUUCCCCUUCCUCUCUCUAAUUAUCUCUCCUCUUUUUCUCUCUCUCCUCCUCCUCUCUCUCUUCCCUCCUAUCUCUCUCCCCUUUCCUCUCCUUCUCUCUCUCCCAUAUCUCUCUCCUUUCUCCUCUCUUUUCCCUUCUCUCCCUCUUUCUCUCUUUCUCUCUCUCCCCUCUCCUUCCUCUCUCUCUCCUUUUCCUCUCCUCUCUUUCUCUCUCUCUUUUUUUCUUUUCUCUCUUUCUCUCUCUCGUUCUUUUUCUUCUUUCUCUUUCUCCUAUUUUCUCUCUCUCCUCCUCUUCCUCUCUUCCUUUUCUCUCCUUCUCCUCUUUCUUUUCUUACUCUCCCUUUUCUCUUUCUCUCUCAACCUUCUCUCAAUCUCUAUCCCUCUUCUAUCUCUUUUCUCCUCUUCUCUCUAAAGCGAGAGAAGAGAGAAAGGAGGAGAAGAUAGAGGAGGAGAAAGAAAAAAAGAGAGAGAUAAGAAGAGAGAAGAAGGAUAGGAGAGAGAGAAGAAGAGAGAGAAAUAGGACAAAGAGAGAGAAAGAGAGAUGGGAGAGAGAGAGGAUGGGGAGAGAGAAAGAGAGAGAGAAAAUAGAGGAGGGGAGAGAGAAUGAGAGAGGGAGAGGAGGGGAGAGAGAGAGAAAGAAGGAAAGGGAGAGAGAGGAUGGGGAGAGAGAGUGAGAGAAGGAUAGAGAGAAGGAAAGGGGAGGGGAAGAANNNNNNNNNNNNNNNNNNNNNNNNNNNNNNNNNNNNNNNNNNNNNNNNNNNNNNNNNNNNNNNNNNNNNNNNNNNNNNNNNNNNNNNNNNNNNNNNNNNNNNNNNNNNNNNNNNNNNNNNNNNNNNNNNNNNNNNNNNNNNNNNNNNNNNNNNNNNNNNNNNNNNNNNNNNNNNNNNNNNNNNNNNNNNNNNNNNNNNNNNNNNNNNNNNNNNNNNNNNNNNNNNNNNNNNNNNNNNNNNNNNNNNNNNNNNNNNNNNNNNNNNNNNNNNNNNNNNNNNNNNNNNNNNNNNNNNNNNNNNNNNNNNNNNNNNNNNNNNNNNNNNNNNNNNNNNNNNNNNNNNNNNNNNNNNNNNNNNNNNNNNNNNNNNNNNNNNNNNNNNNNNNNNNNNNNNNNNNNNNNNNNNNNNNNNNNNNNNNNNNNNNNNNNNNNNNNNNNNNNNNNNNNNNNNNNNNNNNNNNNNNNNNNNNNNNNNNNNNNNNNNNNNNNNNNNNNNNNNNNNNNNNNNNNNNNNNNNNNNNNAAAAUUAUUUAUAUUAGAAAAAAUUAUUUAUAGAAAAUGCUGAAAAGAGAUAAGAAAGAAAAAGGAACAAAAGCAAUGGAAGGGAUUUCAUUAGUUACAAAUGUUACUCGUAUUAUUUAGAAAGAAAAAAAAUUUUAGAUUAAAAAAAUUCAAUUAAAAAAAGGUUUAUAAAUUUGGGUUUUUGUAUGUAAAAAUAUUAAUUUUUGUGUAAAAAUUUAUUUUUACAUGUAAAAUCCAAUUUUAUGGUAUAAAAACUAAUUUUUUAGUAUAAAACCGAUUUUUUGGUGUAAAAACAAGUUUUUAGUGUAAAAACCGGUUUUUUAUGUAAAAACCAGUUUUUUAAUAUAAAACCAGUUUUUUUUUUAAAAACUGAUUUUUGCUUUAAUAAUCAGUUAAAAACCGGUUUUGAAUUUCACUAACCGGUUAAUAACCGGUUUCAUCAUGUAAAACCAAUUUGGUUAAUUAGCCAAUACUAUAUUUUUGGUUAACCAAAAAACUGGUUUGGUUUUUGGAUUAACCAAACCAUGAACACCCCUAAUGAUUAGAUAACAAUAUAAUACUUUUACACACCAUUAAUAUCUAAACUCUAUCAUUCUUUUUUUUUAACUAGCAUUCCAAAGAAAGGAGAGAAUACCAUGUUACUUAAGAAAUAAUAUGCUAUUAGAAGUAAUAAAUGAAGUAGCAAGUAGAGCUGGAAGAGAGUCGAGUUGAGUCGAACUAGAUUAAGUUCAAGCUUGACUCACAAAAAUUAAGCUUGGCUCACAGCUCGACUCAUUAACAAUCGAGCCUAUUUUGUAAGCUCAAGUUUGGCUCAACGAAAACUCACGAGUUGGCUCGAACUCACGAGCUGGCUCAAAUAAUAGGAACAUAGUCUAUAAUUUUAUAUCAAUAAAUUAUAAUUUAUAUAUAUUAAAAAAUAUUUAAAAAAUUCAAUAUAUUGUUUAUCUAUCAAUUAUAAAUUUUUUAUUUAUAAUGUUUAAGUGUGGGGAUAACUGAUAAACCACUAUUCUAUGGUUUAUCUUGUGUUUAAUUGAGUGAUUUUUAUCAAGUCUUUACCCACUUAUUCAUAUGAUUUGCAUGGCUUUACAACUCCUUCCUAGUCUUGAUCUAUGGUUGAAAACUUGCUUCUUAGAAGUCCUUAAUUUGUGUAUUUUAACUCUCCUUUAUACCAUUCGAUGCCGUGAUCCGUGUGUUAAGUGUUUCAGGCUUUAUAGGGUAGAAAUGGCUUAGAGGAUGGAGAGGAAGCUUGCAAAAAUGGAAGGAACACAAGAAACUAAGGAGAUAACUAGCGAGCAGCGACGCGCACGCAUGGCUCACGCGUGCGCGGGACAUGGAGAAAAUUGCAGUGACGCGUGCACGUGCCUGACGUGUACGCGUGGAUUGGAGUUCUGCAAUAUGGCGCGAGCGCGUGCUUGACGCGGACGCGUGACAUGCCAAAACGACCAGCGACGCGAACGUGUGACUGAUGCGUACGCGUGACAUGCGCGAUUUGUAGAAUUAACAGAAAACACUAAGGGCAAUUUCGGGCCAUGUUUUGACCCAGUUUUCAGCACAGAAACACAGACUAAAGCAAGGAAACAUGCAGAGACUCAACACACAUUCUCAUUAUGCAUAGUUUGAGUUUAGUCGGGAAUUUUAGAGAGAAUUCUACUCCUUCCUCUAGGAUUCUUCAUAUUCAUAGUUUUAGAGUUUCAUGCUUUUGCUUUUGGAUACUGAGAAGACUCAUUACCUCCGUGGAAGUUUCAUUACUCUGGUUUGUUUUCUUAUUCCUUUACUUUUUAUUGCCCAUUAACCUUGUUUGGAUUAGUAUGUUGCAUUUUGGGAUUUAAUACAAGAACCAUUAUUUGAUCUUUAAUUAUUGUCUAUCAUGUUUUCCUUUUAUUUCCUUUUUAACUCUGUGAAGUUUAUAUUCAUGAUAAUGGAGUAGUUCCCCAACUUGAUUGGGAGUUGAUUAAAAGGAGAACCUUGAGUUAGAAUACUCAAGUGUUAAUCCUAACGGAUAGUUGAUGACUGAUAACUCUAAUCUCUAACUCUCAUCCUUCCUUAGGAGAGGAUUAGGACCUGAGGAUAUAGUUUGUUGGUUAGUUACUUGAAUUUUCCUUAUUUAUUAAGGGAUAUCCAAGUAAGACAAUAACCUGUUAGGAUUGCACUUGGGAAAAUCCAACAAGGAUAGAAAUUCCAAUUAAUUUUCUCCCAGUCAAGGCUUUUAAUAAGGAUUAUAUAAUUUCUAUCGUUAAUUUACAUUGCUUAAUUUUACUAUUAUUUAUUUCUUUGUUCUUAAACUCAAAAUUUCUAGGAAAACCUCUAACCAAUAAGCUGCACUCUUUUGUCAACUGGUGCACGAAUUGUAAAUCACACUUUUUCACAACUCGUACCACUAACCAGCAAGUGCACUGGGUCGUCCAAGUAAUACCUUACGUGAGUAAGGGUCGAAUCCCACGGAGAUUGUUGGCUUGAAGCAAGCUAUGGUUAUCUUGUAACUCUUAGUCAGGAUAUCAAUUAUAAUUAUCAGUUGACUUGCAAAUGAACAAGAGAGCAUGGAUUAAAUAAUACUUAUUAUGUAGUAAUGGAGAAUAUGUUGGAGUUUUGGAGAUGCUUUGUCUUUUGAAUCUCUGCUUUUCCCCUGUCUUCUUCUUCACGUAAGCAAGGUUCCUCCUAUGGCAAGCUGUGUGUUGGUGGAUCACCGUUGUCAAUGGCUACCAUCCGUCCUCUUGAUGAAAAUGGUCCAGGUGCGCUGUCACCGCACGGCUAAUCAUCUGUCGGUUCUCACUCAUGCUGGAAUAGGAUCCAUUGAUCCUUUUGCAUCUGUCACUAUGCCCAACCCUUGUGAGUUUGAAGCUCGUCACAGUCAUUCAAUCCCUGAAUCCUACUCGGAAUACCACAGACAAGGUUUAGACUUUUCGGAUUCUCAAGAAUGCUGCCAAUGGAUUCUAGCUUAUACCACGAAGAUUCUGAUUAAGGAAUCUAAGAGAUACUCAUUCAGUCGAAGGUAGAACGGAGGUGGUUGUCAGGCACGCGUUCAUAGGUUGAGAAUGGUGAUGAGUGUCACGGAUCAUCACAUCCAUCAUAUUGAAAUGCGAAUGAAUAUCUUAGAUAGAAACAAGCGUGUUGAAGAGAAAACAGAAAUAAUUGCAUUAAUUCAUCGAGACACAGCAAAGCUCCUCACCCCCAACAAUGGAGUUUAGAGACUCAUGCCGUCAAAGAGUAUAAAGUUUAGAUCUAAAAUAUCAUGAGGUACAAAAUAAAUCUCUAAAAGUUGUUUAAAUACUAAACUAGUAACCUAGGUUUACAGAAAAUGAGUAAACUAAGAUAGAUAGUGCAGAAAUCCACUUCUGGGGCCCACUUGAUGUGUGCUGGGGCUGAGACUUGAGCUUUUCACGUGCCUGGGCUGUUUAUGGAGUUAAACGUCAGGUUGUAACCUGUUUUGGGCGUUUAACUCCAAUUUGCAACCUAUUUCUGGCGUUUAACGCCAAAAUGGAACAUGGAACUGGCGUUAAACGCCAGUUUACAUCGUUUAUCUUCGAGCAAAGUAUAGACUAUUAUAGAUUGCUGGAAAGCCCUGGAUGUCUACUUUCCAACGCAAUUGAGAGCGCGCUAAUUGGUUUUCUGUAGCUCCAGAAAAUCUAUUUCGAGUACAGGGAGGUCAGAAUCCAACAGCAUCUGCAGUCCUUUUUCAGCCUCUGAAUCAGAUUUUUGCUCAAGUCCCCCAAUUUUAGCCAGAAAAUAUCUGAAAUCACAGAAAAACACACAAACUCAUAGUGAAGUCCAGAAAUAUGAAUUUUGAAUAAAAUCUAAUAAAAAUAUACUAAAAAUUAAUUAAAACAUGCUGAAAACUACUUAAAAACAAUGCCAAAAAGCGUAUAAAUUAUCCGCUCAUCACAACACCAAACUUAAAUUGUUGCUUGUCCCCAAGCAACUGAAAAUAAAAUAGGAUAAAAAGAAGAGAAUAUACUAUAAAUUCCAAAAUGUUAAUGAAACUUAGUUCCAAUUAAAUGAGCGGGACUAGUAGCUUUUUGCCUCUGAACAGUUUUGGUAUCUCACUUUAUCCUUUGAAGCUCAGAAUGACUGGCAUCUAUAGGAACUCAGAAUUUAGAUAGUGUUAUUGAUUCUCCUAGUUCAGUAUGUUGAUUCUUGAACACAGCUACUUUAUGAGUCUUGGCCGUGGCCCUAAGCACUCUGUUUUCCAGUAUUACCACCGGAUACAUACAUGCCACAGACACAUAACUGGGUGAACCUUUUCAGAUUGUGACUCAGCUUUGCUAAAGUCCCCAAUUAGAGGUGUCCAGGGUUCUUAAGCACACUCUUUUUUUUUUUUGCUUUGGACCUCGACUUUAACCGCUCAGUCUCAAUUUUUCACUUGACACCUUCACGCCACAAGCACAUGAUUAUGGACAGCUUGAUUUAGCCGCUUAGGCCAGGAUUUUAUUCCUUUGGGCCCUCCUAUCCACUGAUCCUCAAAGCCUUGGAUCCUUUUUAUUACCCUUGCCUUUUGGUUUUAAGGGCUAUUGGCUUUUUGCUCUUGCCUUUUGGUUUAAAGAGCCUUUGGCUUUUUCUACUUGCUUUUUCUUUUUCUCUUUUUUUUUUGCCAUUUUUCUUUUCUUUUUUUUUUGCAAGCUUUUGUAUUCACUGCUUUUUCUUGCUUCAAGAAUCAAUUUUAUGAUUUUUCAGAUUAUCAAUAACAUUUCUCCUUUUUCAUCAUUCUUCAAGAGCCAACAUAUUUAACAUUCAUAAACAACAAUAUCAAAAGACAUAUGCACUGUUCAAGCAUUCAUUCAAAAAACAAAAAGUAUUGUCACCACAUCAAAAUAAUUAAACUAAUUUCAAGGAUGAAUUCGAAACUCAUGUACUUCUUGUUCUUUUGUAAUUAACACAUUUUUCAUUUAAGAAAGGUGAUGGAUUCAUAGGACAUUCAUAGCUUUAAGGCAUAGUACACCAGACACUAAUGAUCCUGUAAUAAGACACACAUAAAUAAAAUAUAAGGCUCAAAAACCGAAAAAUAGAAAAAUAAGAACAAGGAGAUUAAGGAAUGAGUCCACCUUAGUGAGGGUGGCAUCUUCCUCUUCUUGAAGAACCAAUGGUGCUCUUGAGCUCCUCUAUGUCUCUUCCUUGUCUUUGUUGCUCCUCUCUCAUAGCUCUUUGAUCUUCUCUAAUCUCAUGGAGGAUGAUGGAAUGCUCUUGGUACUCCAUCCUUUUCUUAUUGAUGAGCUUUUGAGAUGAAUCUCUCCAUCUCCCAUGACUCAGAGGUGGAAGUUUUUUUUUUGGCCUUCCCUUUCCUCUUUCUAAAGGUUUCUCUGGCCUUAGGUGUCAUACAUGGUUAUGGAAAAACAAAAAGCAACGCUUUUACCACACCAAACUUAGAAGGUUUGCUCGUCCUCGAGCAAAAAAGGAGAAGAAAGUAGUAGAAGAAGAAGAAAAUGGAAGAGAUGGAGGGAGGUGAGUGGUUCGGCCAUGUGUGGGUGGGUUUGGGAGGUAAGAGUGGUGAAGAGGUGAUGAGGAAGAGAGAAUGAGGUGAUUGGUGAAGGGUAUUUAUGGAAGAGUGUUAUGGAAAGGUGUGAAGAGGGGAGAAGAAGAGGUGGGGUAGGUGGGGAUCCUGUGGGGUUCACAGAUCCAGAGGGGUCAAGGACUUAACAUCCCUGCUCCAAUUAGGCGUGUAAAACGCCCUCUGUAUGCAAUCCUGGCGUUUAAGCCAGACUGCUGCCUGUUUCUGGCAUUAAACACCCAAAUGUAGCCUGUUUCUGGCGUUUAACGCCAGAUUGAUGCUUGUUUCUGGCGUUGAACGCCAGCUUGGUGCCUGUUUCUGGCAUUAAACGCCAGACAGAUGCUUGUUUCUGGCGUUUAAAUGCCAGAAUGCUCCUCCUCCAGGGUGUGCUAUUUUUGUUGCUGUUUUUCAUUCUGUUUUUUAUUUUUCAGUUGUUUUUGUGACUUCACAUAAUCAUCAACCUAAAGAAAACAUAAAAUAGCAAUGGAAAAUAAAUAGAUAUAGUUAAAUAACAUUGGGUUGCCUCCCAACAAGCACUUCUUUAAUGUCAAUAGCUUGACCUUACUGAGCUUUUAAUCUAGUCUCAGCCUUGAGCAUUCUUGCUCAACAUUGCCUUCAAGAUAAUGCUUGAUUCUCUGUCCAUUAGCAAUGAACUUCUUAUUAGAAUUAAUGUCUUGAAGCUCCACAUAGCCAUAUGGUGACACACUUGUAAUCACAUAUGGUCCCCUCUACCGGGAUUUCAGUUUCCCGGGGAAUAGCCUGAGCCUAGAGUUAAACAGCAGAACCCUCUGUCCUGGUUCAAAGACUCUAGGUGACAGCUUUCUAUCAUGCCACCUUUUUGCUUUCUCUUUGUAAAGCUUGGCAUUUUCGAAAGCAGUGAGUCUGAAUUCCUCUAGCUCAUUCAGUUGGAGCAAUCUUUUUUCUCCAGCUAAUUUGGCAUCAAUGUUUAGGAAUCUAGUUGCCCAGUAGGCCUUAUACUCCAGUUUCACGGGCAGAUGACAGGCCUUACCAUACACAAGCUGGUAUGGAGAGGUCCCUAUAGGAGUCUUGAAUGCUGUUCUGUAAGCCCACAGAGAAUCAUCCAAGCUUCUCGCCCAAUCCUUUCUACGGGUACUUACAGUCCGUUCCAGGAUUCUUUUUAGUUCUCUAUAGAGACUUCAGCUUGCCCAUUUGUCUGUGGAUGAUAUGGAGUUGCCACCUUGUGGCUAAUUCAAUACCGGACCAUAGCAGAGUAAAGCUGUUUGUUACAGAAGUGAGUGCCCCCAUCACUAAUUAGUGCUCUAGGGACACCAAACCUGCUGAAGAUAUAUUUCUGGAGGAACUUCAGCACUGUCUUAGUAUCAUUAGUGGGUGUGGCAAUGGCCUCUACCCAUUUGGAUACGUAGUCGACUGCCACCAGAAUAUAAGUGUUUGAGUAUGAUGGUAGGAAAGGCCCCAUGAAGUCAAUACCCCAUACAUCAAACAACUCAAUCUUCAAGAUUCCUUGUUGAGGCAUGGCGUAACCAUGAGGCAAAUUACCAGCUCUCUGGCAACUGUCACAGUUACGUACAAACUCUCGGGAAUCUCUAUAGAGGGUAGGCCAGUAGAAGCCACAUUGGAGGACCUUGGUGGCUGUUUGCUCACCUCCGAAGUGGCCUCCAUAUUGUGAUCCAUGGCAACGCCAUAAGAUCUUCUGUGCUUCUUCUCUAGGCACACACCUACGGAUUAUUCCGUCUGCACAUCUCUUAAAGAGAUAGGGUUCAUCCCACAAGUAGUACUUUGCAUCAGUAAUUAAUUUUUUCUUUUGUUGCCUGCUGUACUCUUUGAGUAUGAACCUUGCAGCUUUAUAGUUUGCAAUGUCUGCAAACCAUGGUGUUUCCUGAAUGGCAAACAAAUGCUCAUCCGGAAAGAUCUCAAAGAUAUCAAUAGAGGGGAAGGACGCCCCUUCUACUGGUUCUAUCCGGGACAGAUGGUCAGCCACUUGGUUUUCUGUCCCCUUUCUGUCUCUUAUUUCUAUAUCAAACUCUUGCAGAAGCAACACCCAUCUUAUGAGCCUGGGUUUUGAAUCCUGCUUUGUAAGUAGAUAUUUAAGAGCAGCAUGGUCAGUGUACACAAUCACUUUCGAUCCUACCAAGUAUGAUCUAAACUUGUCAAUGGCAUAAACCACUGCAAGCAAUUCUUUUUCUGUGGUUGUGUAAUUUUUCUGGGCAUCAUUUAAAGCACGGCUAUCUUAAUAAAUGACAUGCAGAAGCUUGUCAUGCCUCUGCCCCAGUACUGCACCAAUGGCAUGGUCACUGGCAUCACACAUUAGUUCGAAUAGUAAUGUCCAGUCCGGUGCAGAAAUGACUGGUGCUGUGACCAGCUUAGCUUUCAGAGUUUCAAACGCCUGGAGACACUCUGUGUCAAACACAAAUGGCGUGUCAGCUGCUAGCAGGUUGCUUAGAGGUUUUUCAAUUUUUGAAAAAUUCUUUAUAAACCUCCUAUAGAAUCCUGCAUGCCCCAGAAAGCUUCUGAACAUUGGCAGGUGGUGGUAAUUUUUCAAUUACUUCUACCUUAGCUUGAUCCACCUCUAUUCCCUUGUUCGAAAUCUUAUGCCCAAGGACAAUCCCUUCAGUCACCAUAAAGUGACAUUUUUCCCAGUUUAAAACCAGGUUAGUCUCUUGGCAUCUUUUUAGAACCAGUGUCAGGUGAUCAAGGCAGGAGCUGAAUGAGUCUCCAUAUACUGAGAAGUCAUCCAUGAAGACUUCCAGAAAUUUUUCCACCAUAUCAGAGAAAAUAGAGAGCAUGCAUCUCUGAAAGGUUGCAGGUGCAUUACACAACCCAAAUGGCAUCCUUCUGUAUGCAAAUACUCCAGAUAGACAUGUGAAUGCUGUUUUCUCUUGAUCCUAGGGAUCUACUGCAAUUUGGUUGUAGCCUGAAUAGCCAUCCAAAAAGCAGUAAUAAUCAUGACCUGCUAGUCUUUCUAGCAUCUAGUCUAUAAAUGGUAAAGGAAAAUGAUCAUUUCUGGUGGUUGUAUUGAGCCUUCUGUAGUCAAUACACAUGCGCCACCCUGUAACUGUUCUUGUAGGAACCAGUUCAUUUUUUUCAUUAUGAACCACUGUCAUGCCUCCCUUUUUGGGGACAACUUGGACAGGGCUCACCCAGGGGCUAUCAGAAAUAGGAUAAAUAAUCUCAGCCUCCAGUAACUUGGUGACCUCUUUCUGCACCACUUCCUUCAUGGCUGGAUUUAGCCGCCUCUGUGGUUGAACCACUCGCUUAGCAUCAUCCUCCAAUAGGAUCGGGCUUAUGCCCUUAAGGUCACUUAGGGACCACCCAAGAGCUGUCUUGUGUGUCCUUAGCACUUGAAUUAGUGAUUCCUCUUCCUGUGGAUUUAAAUAAGAGCUUAUGAUCACCGGAAAAGCGUCACCUUCUCCCAGAAAUGCAUAUUUUAGGGAUGGUGGUAAUGGUUUGAGCUCGGGUUUUGGAGGGUUUUCCUCUUCAUGAGGAAUUUCCAGAGGUUGUUUUAUUUCCUCUAAAUCCUCCAAAUCAGGCUGAGCAUCUUUAAAGAUGUCUUCUAGCUCUGACUCGAGACUCUCAGCCAUGUUGAUCUCCUAUACUAAAGAGUCAAUAAGAUCAACUUUCAUGCAGUCUUUUGGUGUGUCUGGAUACUGCAUGGCUUUGACAGCAUUUAAGUUGAACUCAUUCUCAUUGACCCUCAGGGUUACUUCCCCCUUUUGGACAUCAAUGAGAGUUCGUCCAGUUGCUAGGAAAGGUCUUCCUAGAAUGAGAGUAGCACUCUUGUGUUCCUCCAUUUCCAGCACCACAAAGUCAGUGGGAAAGGCGAAUGGCCCAACCCUGACAAUCAUGUCUUCAAUCACGCCUAAUGGGUAUUUAAUGGAGCCAUCAGCAAGUUGGAGACAUAUCCUGGUUGGUAUAACUUUUUCAGUUAAACUAAGCUUUCUGAUAGUGGAUGCAGAUAUUAGGUUGAUGCUUGCCUAAAGAUCACAUAGAGCUGUCUUGGUGCAAUUACCCUCUAAUACGCAUGGUAUCAGAAAGCUCCCAGGAUCCUUAAGCUUUUCUGGGAAGCUUUUCAGAAUGACUGCACUACAUUCUUCAGUGAGGAGAACUCUUUUAGUUUCUCUCCAAUCCUUCUUAUGACUCAAGAUCUCUUUCAUGAACUUGGCAUAAGAGGGUAUUUGCUCAAGUGUCUCUGCAAACGAAAUCUUUAUUUCAAGAGUCCUGAGAUAGUCUGCAAAGCGGGAAAAUUGCUUAUCCUGCUCCUCUUUGCGGAGUUUUUUAGGAUAAGGCAUCUUGGCUUUGUAUUCCUCAACCUUAGUUACUGCAGGUUUAUUUCCUACAGAGGUGGUUGGAGAAGCCUUUUUAGAGGGGUUUUUAUCAUCACUUGUGUGUGUCUGAUCCCUCACUGGCAUUUGAAUGCCAGAGUUAGAAGCUGGAUUGGCGUUAGACGCCAACUCCUUACUUGUUUCUGGCGUUUGAACGCUAGAACUGAGCUUCCAUUGGGCGUUUGACGCCAACUCCCUGCCUGUUUCUAGCGUUUGAACGCCAGAAUUGAGCUUGGGUUGGGCGUUCAGCGCCAGCUCUCCACCCUUCUCUGGUGUUUGAGCGCCAGAAUCAUUCCUCUCUGGGCUCUUAUUGUCCUCAGAGGGAUUUUGGGUAGCAGUUUGUUCAUUUCUUAGCUUUCAGCUGCCUUGAAGUGAGGUAUUUAAUAUUUUCCCACUUCUUAAUUGAACUGCUUGGCACUCUUCUGUUAUUUGUUUUGAUAACUGCUGUUCUGUUUGCUUCAACUGUACUUCCAUAUUCAUAUUAGCCAUUCUUGUGUCUUGUAGUAUCUCCUUGAAUUCGGCCAGCUGUUUUGUUAGAAAAUCUAAUUGCUGAUUGAAUUCAGUAAUUUGUUCUGCAGGACUGAGUUCAGCAGUUACUGUUUUAGCCUCUUCUUUCAUGGAAGAUUCACUACUUAGGUACAGAUGCUGAUUUCUGGCAACUGUAUCAAUGAGCUCUUGAGCUUCUUCAAUUGUCUUUCUCAUGUGUAUAGAUCCACCAGCUGAGUGGUCUAGAGAAAUCUGAGCUUUCUCUGUAAACCCAUAGUAGAAGAUGUCUAACUACAUCCACUCUGAAAAUAUUUCAGAGGGGCAUUUUCUUAGCAUCUCUCUGUAUCUCUCCCAGGCAUUAUAAAGAGAUUCAUUAUCUCCUUGUUUAAAGCCUUGGAUGUUCAACCUUAGCUGUGUCAUCCGUUUCGGAGGGAAAUACUAAUUCAGAAAUUUUUCUGACAGCUGUUUCCAUGUCCUUAUGCUAGCCUUAGGUUGGUUAUUUAACCACCUCUUAGCUUGGUCUUUUACAGCAAAUGGAAACAGUAAUAAUCUAUAGACAUCCUGAUCUACUUUCUUAUCAUGUACUGUGUCAGCAAUUUGUAAAAACUGUGCCAGAAACUCUGUAGGUUCUUCCUGUGAAAGACCGGAAUACUGGCAACUUUGCUGCACCAUGAUAAUGAGCUGAGGAUUCAACUCGAAGCUACUGACUCCGAUGGAGGGUAUAUAGAUACUACUCCCAUAUGAAGCAGUAGUGGGAUUAGCAUAUGACUCCAGAGUCCUUCUGGACUGUUCAUUUCCACUUAGGUCCAUGAUGGAGAAAGGGAGAUGUUCAGAGCAUUGUUGGGACCUCCCAACACCAAACUUAGAGUUUGAAUGUGGGGGUUCAACACCAAACUUAGAGUUUGGUUGUGGCCUCCCAACACCAAACUUAGAGUUUGACUGUGGGGGCUUUGGUUGACUCUGCAGUGAGAGAAGCUUUUCAUGCUUCCUCUCCAUGGUUACAGAAGGAGAACCUUGAGUCUUAAAUACAAGGUAGUCCUCAUUCAGUUGAAGGACCAACUCUCAUCUGUCCACAUCAAUCACAGCUUUUGCUGUGGCUAGGAAGGGUCUUCCAAGGAUGAUGGAUUUAUCCUCAUCCUUUCCAAUGUCUAGGAUUAUGAAAUCAGCAGGGAUGUAAAGGCCUUCAACCUUUACUAACACGUCCUCUACUAGUCCAUAAGCCUAUUUCAUGGAUUUGUCUGCUGUCUCUAAUGAAAACUUGGCAGCCUGUACCUCAAAGAUUCCUAGUUUCUCCAUUACAGAGAGUGACAUUAAGUUUAUUCCUGACCCCAUGUCACACAGAGCCCUCUCAAAGGUCAUGGUGCCUAUGUUACAGGGAAUUAGGAAUUUACCAGGAUCUUGUUUCUUUUAAGGUAGAGUUUGCUGAACCAAGGCAUUUAGUUCCUUGAUGAGCAAUGAAGAUUCAUCCUCCCAAGUCUCAUUACCAAAUAAUUUGGCAUUCAGCUUCAUGAUUGCUCCUACAUACUAGGCAACUUGCCCUUGAACAAUGUCUUCAUCUUCUUCAGAAGAUGAAUAGUCAUCAGAGCUCAUGAAUGGUAUAAGGAGGUUCAAUGGAAUCUCUAUGGUCUCUAGAUGAGCCUCAGAUUCCUUUGGUUCCUUAAAGGGAAACUCCUUAUUGGUCAUUGAACGUCCCAGGAGGUCUUCCUCACUAGGAUUCACGUCCUCCUCCUCCUCUUUGGGUUCGGCCACACCAAGUAAGGUAAUGGCCUUGCACUCUUUUUUUGGAUUCUCUUCUGUAUUGCUUGGGAGAGUACUAGGAGGGGUUUCAGUGACUCUUUUACUCACCUGGCCCACUUGUGCCUCCAAAUUUCUAAUGGAGGACCUUGUUUCAUUCAUGAAACUUAAAGUGGCCUUAGAUAGAUCAGAGACUAUAUUUGCUAAGCUAGAUGGACUCUGCUCAGAAUUUUCUGUCUGUUGCUGAGUGGAUGAUGGGAAAGGCUUGCUAUUGCUAAACCUGUUUCUUCCACCAUUAUUAAAGCCUUGUUGAGGCUUUUGUUGAUCCUUCCUUGAGAAAUUUGGAUGAUUUCUCCAUGAGGGAUUAUAGGUGUUUCCAUAGGGUUCUCCCAUGUAAUUCACCUCUGCUAUUACAGGGUUCUCAGGAUCAUAAGCCUCUUCUUCAGAAGAUGCCUCUUUAGUACUGUAGGAUGCAGCUUGCAAUCCAUUCAGACUCUGAGAAAUCAUAUUGACUUGUUGAGUCAAUAUUUUAUUCUGAGCCAAUAUGGCAUUCAAAGCAUCAAUUUCAAGAACUCCCUUCCUCUGAGGCGUCCCAUUACUCACAGGAUUCCUUUCAGAAGUGUACAUGAACUGGUUAUUUGCAACCAUGUCAAUGAGUCCCUGAGCUUCUGCAGAUGUUUUCUUUAGGUGAAUGGAUCCACCUGCAGAAUGGUCCAAUGACAUCUUAGAUAAUUCAGACAGACCAUCAUAGAAGAUAUCCAGGAUGGUCCAUUCUGAAAGCAUGUCAGAAGGACACUUUUUGGUCAGUUGCUUGUACCUCUCCCAAGCUUCAUAGAGGGAUUCACCUUAUUUCUAUUUGAAGGUUUGAACAAAAUUGUUUGCUCCAAUGUAGGGAUUGAGAUGCUUCUUCCAUGUAAGUUGGAAUUUGGUGCAGUAAAGUCACCAAUCAUCUUCCUUGCAUUGUUAUUAUUUUCGGCCAUGUCUCCUUCUUUUUCGAAAAUUUCUGUCAGAUUUUCUCCAGAGAGUUGUGCUUUAGCUUUCCUUAGCUUCCUCUUCAGAGUCCUUUCAGGUUCAGGAUCGGCUUCAACAAGAAUGUUCUUAUCCUUGCUCCUGCUCAUAUGAAAAAGAAGAGAACACAAAAGAAAAUAUGGAAUCCUCUAUGUCACAGUAUAGAGAUUCCUUAUGUAAGUAGAAGAAGAAGAGAAUAAAAGAAGGGGAAGAGAAAAACUCGAACACAGAGAGGAAGAUGGGGUGGGUGGAAGAGAAGUGUUAGUAGAUAAAUAAAUAAAUAGAAGGGGAUGAAAGAUGGAAGAAUCCGAAAAUUAAUUAAAAAUAAAAAUUAAAGUUAAAAUUCAAAAAUUUUAAGAAGAAAAAUGAAAUUAAAUUAAAUUAAAAUUUAAAACAAUUAGUUAAUUAAAAAAGAAUUUUGAAAAAGAGGGGAGGGGUUUUUGAAAAUUAGAGAGAGAUUAGUUAGGUAGUUUUGAAAAAGAUAAGAAUCAAACAAAAAGAUAAGAUUAAUUUGAAAAAGAUUUGAAAAUCAAUUUUGAAGAGAUAAGAAGUUAGAAAAGAUUUUGAAAUUGAUUUUGAAAAAGAUGUGAUUGAAAUUUAUUUUGAAAAAGAUUUGAAAAAGAAAUUUAAAAAGAUUUGAUUUUUGAAAUUAAAGUUUAUUACUCGACUAACAAGAAACAAAAAGAUAUGAUUCUAGAGUUUAAAGAUUGGACCUUUCUUACUAGGCAAGUAACAAACUUGAAAUUUUUGAAUCAAUCACAUUAAUUGUUAGCAUUAAUUUCGAAAAUAUGAAAUAGAAAUAAGAAAAAGAUUUUGAAAAUAAAUUUUGAAAUUUUUGAAAUUAUGAAAGAAAAAAAUGAAAAAGAUUUGAUUUUUGAAAAAGGUUUGAAAAAGAUAGAAUUUUUAAAUUGAAAAUUUGAUUUGACUCAUAAGAAACAACUAAAUUUUAAAAAGUUUUGAAAAAGCCAAAUCAAAUUUUCGAAAAUUUAUGAGAUAAAAAGGGAAAGAUAUUUUUUUGAUUUUUGAAUUUUAAUGAGGAAAGAGAAAAAUACAAAAAUGACACAUAACAUAAAAAUUAUGAAUCAAAACACACAAUGCAUGCAAGAACACUUUGAAUGUCAAGAUGAACACCAAGAACACUUUAAAUGUCAAGAUGAACAUCAAGAACUUAUUUUUGAAAACUUUUUAGAGAAGACAAACAUACAAGACACCAAACUUAGAAAUUUUCAAUGUUUAGACACUAACAAAUUGAAAAUGUAUAUGAAAAACAAGAAAAGAAACAAAACAUGAAAAAUUAAAGAAGAUCAUCAAGAACAACUUGAAGAUCAUGAAGAACAACUUGAAGAUCAUGAAGAACACAUGCAUGAGUUUUCAAAAUUUUAAAGAAAAAUUAAAAGCAUGCAAUUGACACCAAACUUAAAAAUUGACACUAGACUCAAACAAGAAACAUCAAAUUUUUUGUUUUUAUGAUUUUAUUAAAUUUUUUUUGAAAAUAAGAAUAAUAAAAACAAAAAGCUUAAAAUUAAAAUAAAAUUACCUAAUCUAAGCAACAAGAUGAACCGUCAGUUGUCCAAACUCGAACAAUCCCCGGCAACGGCGCCAAAAACUUGGUGCACGAAAUCGUGAUCGUUCAUUCCUUGGUAACAGCGCUAAAAACUUAAUACGCACGUUCAUAAUCUUAGUUCUUCUUCACAACUUCGCACAACUAACCAACAAGUGUACUGGGUCGUCCAAGUAAUAAACCUUACGUGAGUAAGGGUCGAUCCCACGGAGAUUGUCGGCUUGAAGCAAGCUAUGGUCAUCUUGCUAAUCUCAGUCAGGCGGAUUCAAAUGGUUAUAGAGUUUUAAUAAUUAAAAGAUAAAUAAAACGUAAAAUAAAGAUAGAGAUACUUAUGUAAUUCAUUGGUGAGAAUUUCAGAUAAGCGUAUAGAGAUGCUUAGUUCCUUCUGAAUCUCCGCUUUCCUACUGCUUUCAUCCAAUCCUUCAUACUCCUUUCCAUGGUAAGCUGUAUGUUGGGCAUCACCGUUCUUAAUGGUUACAUCCCAUCCUCUCAGUGAAAAUGGUCCAAAAUGCGCUGUCACCGCAUGGCUAAUCAUCUGUCGGUUCUCGAUCCUGCUGGAAUAGGAAUCAGUAAUCCUUUUGCGUCUGUCACUACGCCCAGCACUCGCGAGCUUGAAGCUCGUCACAGUCAUCCCUUCCCAGAUCCUACUCGGAAUACCACAGACAAGGUUUAGACUUUUCGGAUCUCAAGAAUGGCCGCCAAUAAUGCUAGCCUAUACCACGAAGACUCUGAUCGUAGAUCAGAAGGCUAAGAGAUACACAUUCAAGCUUGUUUGCAUGUAGAACGGAAGUGGUUGUCAGGCACGCAUUCAUAAGUGAGAAUGAUGAUGAGCGUCACAUGAUCAUCACAUUCAUCAUGGUCUUGUGUGAGAAUGAAUAUCUUAGAGAAGAAAUAGGCUUGAGUUGAAUAGAAAAACAAUAGUACUUUGCAUUAAUUCAUGAGAAACAGCAGAGCUCCACACCUUAGUCUAUGGUGUGUAGAAACUCUACCGUUGAAAAUACAUAAGUGAUGAAGGUCCAGGCAUGGCCGACUGGCCAGCCUCCAUAAAAGUCUAAGAUAGCAUAAAACUGAUCAAAGAUCUCCAAAGAUGAUCCAAAGAUGUAAAUACAAUAGUAAAAAGUCCUAUUUAUAGUAAACUAGCUACUAGGGUUUACAGAGAUAAGUAAAUGAUGUAGAAAUCCACUUCUGGGGCCCACUUGGUGUGUGUUUGGGCUGAGCAUUAGAGGUCUUCCUUGGAGUUGAACGCCAGUUUGUAACUUGUUUCUGGCGUUUAACUCUGCUUUGCAACUUGUUUCUGGCAUUUAACGCCAGAAUAGGGCAGAAAGCUGGCAUUAAAUGCCAGUUUGCGUCAUCUAAACUCGUGCAAAGUAUAAACUAUUAUAUAUUUCUGGAAAGCCCUGGAUGUCUACUUUCCAACGCAGUUGAGAAUGCACCAUUUGGACUCCUGUAGCUCCAGAAAAUCCACUUUGAGUGCAGGGAGGUCAGAAUCCAACAGCAUCUGCAGUCCUUCUUCAGCCUCUGAAUCAGAUUUUUGCUCAAGUCUCUCAAUUUCAGCCAGAAAUUACCUGAAAUCACAGAAAAAUACAAAAACUCAUAGUAAAGUCCAGAAAUGUGAUUUUUAAUUAAAAAAUAAUAAAAAUAUACUAAAAACUAAUUAAAUCAUACUAAAAACUAUGUAAAAACAAUGCCAAAAAGCGUAUAAAUUAUACGCUCAUCAAUGUUGCCAAUUGAUUCUAGCUUAUACCACGAAGACUCUGAUUUCAUGGAAUUGAAAGUCUCUAUUUUCAGGAGAGGCAAUCAUGCGUCGUGAACCAGGAACCCAAGAGAUACACACUCAAGCUCUUGCAGAUAGAACGGAUGUGGUUGUUAGUCACGCGUUCAUAAGGGAGGAUGAUGAUGAGUGUCACGGAUCAUCAUAUCCAUCAGGUUGAAGUACGAGAGAAUAUAUUAGAACAAGAAUAAGCAUGAAUUGAAUAGAAAAACAAUAGUACUUUGCAUUGAUUCAUGAGGAACAGCAGAGCUCCACACCUUAAUCUAUGAUGUGUAGAAACUUUACCGUUGAAAAUACAAAAGUGAUGAAGGUCCAGGCAUGGCGGAAUGGCCAGCUCCCAAAACGUGAUCAAGAGAUCAAAAGUGAUCCAAAGAUAGUCUCAAAGAUGAUCUAAAGAUCAAAAGAUGAAAAUACAAUAGUAAAAGGUCCUAUUUAUAAUGAACUAGUAGCCUAGGGUUUACAGAAAUAAGUAAAUGAUGUAGAAAUCCACUUCUGGGGCCCACUUGGUGUGUGCUUGGGCUGAGCAUUAAAGCUUUCACGUUUAUAGGCUUCUCUUGGAGUUAAACGCCAGCUUUUGUGUCAGUUUGGGCGUUAAACGCUGGUUUUAGUGCCAGUUCUGGUGUUUUACGCCAGAAUUCUUUGGGUUGACUUUGAACGCCAGUUUGGGCCAUCAAAUCUCAGAAAAAGUAUGGACUAUUAAAUAUUUCUGGAAAGCCCAGGAUGUCUACUUUCCAACGCAAUUGAGAGCACGCCAAUCGGGCUUCUGUAGCUCCAGAAAAUCCACUUCGAGUGCAGGGAGGUCAGAAUCCAACAGCAUCUGUAAUCCUUUUUCAGCCUCUGAAUCAGAUUUUUGCUCAGGUCACUCAAUUUCAGCCAGAAAAUACCUGAAAUCACAGAAAAAUACACAAACUCAUAGUAAAGUCCAGAAAUGUGAUUUUUAUUCAAAAACUAAUAAAAAUAUACUAAAAACUAACUAAAACAUACUAAAAACUAUGUAAAAAUAGUGCCAAAAAGCGUAUAAAUUAUCCGCUCAUCACAACACCAAAACUUAAAUUGUUGCUUGUCCCCAAGCAACUAAAAACAAAAUAGGAUAAAAAGAAGAGAAUAUAUAAUAAAUUCCAAAAACAUCUAUGAAGAUCAAUCUUAAUUAGAUGAGCGGGGUUAUUAGCUUUUUGCUUCUGAACAGUUUUGGCAUCUCACUUUAUCCUUUGAAGUUCAGAAUGAUUGGCUUCUAUAGGAACUCAGAAUUCAGAUAGUGUUAUUGAUUCUCCUAGUUCAAUAUGUUGAUUCUUAAACACAGUUACUUAUGAGUCUUGGCGGUGACCCUAAGCAUUUUGUUUUCUAGUAUUACCACCAGAUACAUAAAUGCCACAGACAUAUAACUGGGUGAACCUUUUCAGAUUGUGACUCAGCUUUGCUAGAGUCCCCAAUUAGAGGUGUUCAGAGCUCUUAAGCACACUCUUUUUUGCUUUGGACCACGACUUUAACCGCUCAGUCUCAAGCUUUUCACUUGACACCUUCACGCCACAAGCACAUGGUUAGGGACAGCUUGGUUUAGCCGCUUAGGCCAGGAUUGUAUUCCUUUAGGCCCUCCUAUCCAUUAAUGCUCAAAGCCUUGGAUCCUUUUUACCCUUGCCUUUUGGUUUAAAGGGUUAUAGGCUUUUUCUGCUUACUUUUUCUUUUUCUCUUUUUUUUUUCGCAUAUAAUAUUUUUUUUCUAUUCACUGCUUUUUCUUGCUUCAAGAAUCAAUUUUGAUUUUUUAGAUUAUCAAUAACAUUUCUCCUUUUUUAUUAUUCUUUCAAGAGCCAACAGAUUUAACAUUCAUAAACUUCACUAUAAAAAAUAUGCAUUGUUCAAGCGUUCAUUCAGAAAACAAAAAGUAUUGCCACCACAUCAAAAUAAUUAAACUAUUUUAAAAUUCGAAAUUCAUGUACUUCUUUUUCUUUUUCAGAAAACACAUUUUUUUUUCAUUUAAGAGAGGUGAAGGAUUCAUAGGACAUUCAUAACUUUAAAGCAUAGGCACUAGACACUAAUGAUCAUGUAAUGAAGAUGCAAACAUAGAUAGCACAUAAAGCAUAAAAAUCAGAAAAACAGAAAGAUAAGAACAAGGGAAUCAAAGAACGGGUCCACCUUAGUGAUGGCGGCUAGUUCUUCCUCUUGAAGAUCCAAUGGAACGCUUGAGCUCCUCUAUGUCUCUUCCUUGCCUUUGUUGCUCUUCCCUCUUGGCUAUUUGAUCCUCUCUAAUUUCAUGGAGAAUAAUGGAGUGCUCUUGGUGCUCUAUCUUUAGUUGCUCCAUAUUGGAACUCAAAUCUCCCAAAGAGGUGUUGAGUUGCUCCCAAUAGUUGUGUGGAGGAAAAUGCAUCCCUUAAGGCAUCUCAGGAAUUUCUUGAUGAGGGACUUCCUCAUGCUCUUGUUGAGGUCCAUAAGUGAGCUCUCUUAUUUUUUCCAUCCUCUUUUUAGUGAUGGGCUUGUCCUCUUCAAUGAGGGUGUCUUCUCCUAUGACAACUCCAGCUAAAUUUCAUAGGUGACAGAUGAGAUGAAGGAAGGCUAACCUUGCCAAAGUGGAGGUUUUGUCAGCCACUUUGUAGAGUUCUAGAGAUAUGACCUUAUGAACUUCUACUUCCUCUCCAAUCAUGAUGCUAUGGAUCAUGAUAGCCCGAUCUAUAAUCACUUCGGAUCGGUUGCUAGUAGGAAUGAUGGAGCGUUGGAUGAAUUCCAACCAUCCUCUAGCCACGAGUUUAAGGUCAUGCCUUCUCAAUUGACCCGGCUUGCCUUUGGAAUCUCUUAUCCACUGAGCUCCUUCCACACAUAUGUCCAUGAAGACUUGGUCCAACCUUUGAUCAAAGUUGAUCCUUCUAGUGUAGGGGCGUGCAUCUCCUUGCAUCAUUGGCAAGUUGAAUGCUAACCUUACAUUUUCCGGACUGAAAUCUAAGUAUUUUCCCCGAACCAUUGUAAGCCAAUUCUUUGGAUUCGGGUUCACACUUUGAUCAUGGAUUUUGGUGACCCAUGCAUUAGCAUAGAACUCUUGAACCAUUAAGAUUCUGACUUGUUGAAUGGGGUUGGUGAGUGAUGAGCGGAUAAUUUAUACACUUUUUGGCAUUGUUUUUAGUAUGUUUUUAGUAGGAUCUAGUUACUUUUAGGGAUGUUUUCAUUAGUUUUUAUGUAAAAUUCACAUUUCUGGACUUUACUAUGAGUUUGUGUGUUUUUCUGUGAUUUCAGGUAUUUUCUAGCUGAAAUUGAGGGACUUGAGCAAAAAUCAGAUUCAGAGGUUGAAGAAGGACUGCUGAUGCUGUUGGAUUCUGACCUCCCUGCACUCAAAAUGGAUUUUCUGGAGCUACAGAACUCAAAAUGGCGCGCUUCCAAUUGCGUUGGAAAGUAGACAUCCAGGGCUUUUCAGCAAUAUAUAAUAGUCUAUACUUUGCCCAAGUUUAGAUGACGCAAACUGGCGUUCAACGCCAACACUCUGUCCAAUUUGGCANNCGUAGUGACAGACACAAAAGGAUAGUAAAUCCUAUUCCAGCAUGAUCGAGAACCGACAGAUGAAUAGCCGUGCCGUGACAGUGUGCGUUGACCAUUUUCACUGAGAGGAUAAGAUGAAACCAUUGACAAGGGUGAUGCCUCCAGACGAUUAGUCGUGCCGUGACAGNNNNNNNNNNNNNNNNNNNNNNNNNNNNNNNNNNNNNNNNNNNNNNNNNNNNNNNNNNNNNNNNNNNNNNNNNNNNNNNNNNNNNNNNNNNNNNNNNNNNNNNNNNNNNNNNNNNNNNNNNNNNNNNNNNNNNNNNNNNNNNNNNNNNNNNNNNNNNNNNNNNNNNNNNNNNNNNNNNNNNNNNNNNNNNNNNNNNNNNNNNNNNNNNNNNNNNNNNNNNNNNNNNNNNNNNNNNNNNNNNNNNNNNNNNNNNNNNNNNNNNNNNNNNNNNNNNNNNNNNNNNNNNNNNNNNNNNNNNNNNNNNNNNNNNNNNNNNNNNNNNNNNNNNNNNNNNNNNNNNNNNNNNNNNNNNNNNNNNNNNNNNNNNNNNNNNNNNNNNNNNNNNNNNNNNNNNNNNNNNNNNNNNNNNNNNNNNNNNNNNNNNNNNNNNNNNNNNNNNNNNNNNNNNNNNNNNNNNNNNNNNNNNNNNNNNNNNNNNNNNNNNNNNNNNNNNNNNNNNNNNNNNNNNNNNNNNNNNNNNNNNNNNNNNNNNNNNNNNNNNNNNNNNNNNNNNNNNNNNNNNNNNNNNNNNNNNNNNNNNNNNNNNNNNNNNNNNNNNNNNNNNNNNNNNNNNNNNNNNNNNNNNNNNNNNNNNNNNNNNNNNNNNNNNNNNNNNNNNNNNNNNNNNNNNNNNNNNNNNNNNNNNNNNNNNNNNNNNNNNNNNNNNNNNNNNNNNNNNNNNNNNNNNNNNNNNNNNNNNNNNNNNNNNNNNNNNNNNNNNNNNNNNNNNNNNNNNNNNNNNNNNNNNNNNNNNNNNNNNNNNNNNNNNNNNNNNNNNNNNNNNNNNNNNNNNNNNNNNNNNNNNNNNNNNNNNNNNNNNNNNNNNNNNNNNNNNNNNNNNNNNNNNNNNNNNNNNNNNNNNNNNNNNNNNNNNNNNNNNNNNNNNNNNNNNNNNNNNNNNNNNNNNNNNNNNNNNNNNNNNNNNNNNNNNNNNNNNNNNNNNNNNNNNNNNNNNNNNNNNNNNNNNNNNNNNNNNNNNNNNNNNNNNNNNNNNNNNNNNNNNNNNNNNNNNNNNNNNNNNNNNNNNNNNNNNNNNNNNNNNNNNNNNNNNNNNNNNNNNNNNNNNNNNNNNNNNNNNNNNNNNNNNNNNNNNNNNNNNNNNNNNNNNNNNNNNNNNNNNNNNNNNNNNNNNNNNNNNNNNNNNNNNNNNGAAGUUGUGAACCAUGGUAUUGGCAUCAUGUUUUUGGCGCCAUUGCCAGGGAAAGAAGGAGCAAUGAAUUUUACAUAAUCAAAGUGUAAUCACAAUUUCUGCGCACCAAGUUUUUGGCGCCGUUGCCGGGGAUUGUUCGAGUUUGGACAGCUGACGGUUCAUCUUGUUGCUCAGAUUGGGUAAUUUUCUUUUUGUUUUCUUUUCAAAAAUUUUUCAAAAAUUUUUCCUUUGUUUUUGAAAAAAAAAUUUUUUUUUAAAUAAAAAAGUUUUCAAAAAUAUUUUCUUCUUUUUUCGUUUUUUCCAAAAAAAAUAUUUUUUUAAAUAAAAAUGUUUUCAAAAAUAUAUUUUUCUUCAGAAUUUUUAAGAAUGAAUUCUAGUGUUUCAUGAAGUAUGUGAAGCCUGGCUGGCUGUAAAGCCAUGUCUAAAUUCAUUUGGACUAAGGCUUCCAAUUUGUUAUCAAGAGCAAGCUAGUUGGUGCUAAUCCACCUACUGCUGAUUCAUAAUCUACCUGUUACAUGCUAAAGCUUGGCUGGCUAUUAAGCCAUGCCUGACCCUUUGAUUGGAGCUUUAGACUAAAGAGCAUAAGAUUCCUGGAAUUCAUAUUAAAAAUUUUGGAAUCCUUAUUUUUCUUUUUCAAAAAAUUUUCGAAAAAAAAUACAAAAAAAAUUAGAAAAUCAUAAAAAUCAAAAAUAUUUUUGUGUUUCUUGUUUGAGUCUUGAGUCAUGUUAUAAGUUUGGUGUCAAUUGCAUGUGCAUCUUGCAUUUUUCGAAAAUUCAUGCAUUCAUAGUGUUCUUCAUGAUCUUCAAGUUGUUCUUGGUAAGUCUUCUUGUUUGAUCUUUGCAUUUGCAUAUUUUGUGUCUUUUCUUGUUUUUUUUCAUAUGCAUUCCUGAAUUCUUUAUGUCUAAGCAUUAAAGAAUUCUAAGUUUGGUGUCUUGCAUGUUUUCUUUGCAUUAAAAGAUUUUUCAAAAAUAUGUUCUUGAUGUUCAUCAUGAUCUUCAUAGUGUUCUUGGUGUUCAUCUUGACAUUCAUAGCAUUCUUGCAUACAUUCAUUGUUUUGAUCCAUAACUUUCAUGCAUUGCAUAAUUUUCAUGUUUUUCCUCUCAUUAUAAAAAUUCAAAAAUCAAAAAAAUAUCUUUCCCUCUUUUCUCUCAUAAAAUUCGAAAAUUUGGAUUGACUUUUUCAAAACUUUUUAAAAUCUAGUUGUUUCUUAUGAGUCAAAUCAAACUUUCAAUUUAAAAAUCUUAUCUUUUUCAAAAUCUUUUUCAAAAAUCAAAUCUUUUUCAUUUUUCUUAGUAAUUUUCGAAAAUUUCAAAAAUCUUUUUCUUAAUGUUUCAUCAAAUUUUCGAAAAUAUUAUCAUCAAUUAAUGUUUUGAUUCAAAAAUUUCAAGUUUGUUACUUGCGUGUUAAGAAAGAUUCAAACUUUAAGUUCUAGAAUCAUAUUUUGUGAUUUCUUGUGAAUCAAGUCAUUAAUUGUGAUUUUAAAAAUCAAAUAUUUUUCAAAACUAAUUUCAAAUCAUAUCUUUUCAAAAAUAUCUUCUUAUCUUAUCCUUUUCAAAAAUUUGAUUUCAAAAUAUCUUUUCUAACUUCUUAUCUUCUUAUCUUUUCAAAAAAAUUGAUUUUCAAAAUUUGUUUCAACUAACUAACUAACUUUUUGUUUGUUUCUUAUCUUUUUCAAAACUACCUAACUAACUCUCUCUCUCUCAUUUUCGAAAAUAUCUUCCCUCUUUUUCAAAAUUUCUUUUUAAUUAACUAAUUAUUUUAAUUUUUGAUUUUUUAUUUUCGAAAAUUACUAACCUUUUUCAAAAACUAUUUUUGAAAAUCACAAACUCUUUUUCAAAAAUUAUUUUCGAAAAUCUUCCUUCUCUCUCAUCUCCUUCUAUUUUAUUUAUUCAUCUACUAACACUUCUCUUCAUCUCACAUCACUGCUCCUAUCCUUACCCUUGUGUUUGGAUUCUUCAUUCUUCUUCACCCAUAUUCCUUUUCUUCUUCUACUAACAAUAAGGAACCUCUUUACUGUGACAUAGAGGAUUCCUCUUCUCUUCUUGUUUUCUUCUCUUUCUUAUGAGCAGGAACAAGGAAAAAGGCAUUCUUGUUGAAGCUGAUCUAGAACCUGAAAGGACUCUGAAGAGGAAACUAAGAGAAGCUAAAUUACAACAAUUCAGAGACAACCUUAUUGAAAAUUUCGCACAAGUAAAGGAGAUGGCAGCCGAACCCAACAACAAUAAUGCAAGGAGAAUGCUUGGUGACUUUACUGCACCUAAUUCCAAUUUACAUGGAAGAAGCAUCUCCAUUCCUGCCAUUGGAGCAAACAAUUUUGAGCUAAUCCCUUGUACCAUAGGCACCAUGAUCUUUAAGGCUCUGUGUGACCUUGGCUCAGGAAUAAACCUCAUGCCCCUCUCUGUAAUAGAGAAACUGGGAAUCUAUGGGGUACAAGCCAAUAAAAUCUCAUUAGAGAUGGCAGAAAAUUCAAGAAAACAGGCUUAUGGACAAGUAGAGGACGUGUUAGUAAAGGUUGAAGGCCUUUACAUCCUUGGUGAUUUCAUAGUCCUAGACACUGGAAAGGAAGAGGAUGAAUCCAUCAUCCUAGGAAGGCCUUUCCUAGCCACAGCAAGAGCUGUGAUUGAUGUGGACAGAGGAGAAUUGAUCCUUCAAUUAAAUAAGGACAACCUUGUGUUUACAACUCAAGGAUAUCUCUCUGCAUCCAUGGAGAGGAAGCAGAAAAAGCUUCUCUCAAAACAGAGUUAACUAGAGCCCCCCACAGUCAAACUCUAAGUUUGGUGUUGGGAGGCCACAACCAAACUCUAAGUUUGGUGUUGAACUCCCAUAUCCAAACUCUAAGUUUGGUGUUGGGGAGUCUCAACAAUGCUCUGAACAUCUGUGAGGCUCCAUGAGAGUCCACUGUCAAGCUAUUGACAUUAAAGAAGCGCUUGUUGGGAGGCAACCCAAUUUUUAUUUAUCUAAUCUUUAUUUUCAUUGUUUUUCAUGUUUUAUUAGGUUCAUGAUCAAGUAGAGUCACAAAAUAAAUAUAAAAAUUGAAAACGGAAUCAAAAACAGCGGAAGAAAAAUCACACCCUGGAGGAGGCAUCUGUCUGGCGUUCAACGCCAGAACAGAGCAUGGUUCUGGCGCUGAACGCCCAAAAUGGGCAGUGUCUGAGCACUGAACGCCCAGAACAAGCAUGGUUCUGGCGUUCAACGCCAGAAAUGGGCAACAAAUGGGCAUUGAACGCCCAAAAUGGGCACCAACCUGGCGCUGAACGCCCAGAGUUGUGUGCAAGGGCAUUUUGCAUGCCUAAAUUGGUGCAGGGAUGUAAAUGCCUUGACACCUCAGGAUCUGUGGACCCCACAGGAUCAUCUCAGGAUCUGUGAAUCCCCACCCACCUCACCCUCUCUCUCUCCAUUCAUGGUCAUCCCUUCUAUUUUCCAUUCACCACUCACAUCCAUACACACAUCCCUCUAUCUCCUCCAUAUCUUCUUCUUCUUUAUCUAUUCUUUCUUCUCUUGCUCGAGGGCGAGCAAUAUUCUAAGUUUGGUGUGGUACAAGCAUAAGCUUUUUGUUUUUCCAUUACCAUUAAUGGCACCUAAGGCCAGAGAAACCUCAAGAAAGAGGAAAGGGAAGACAAAUGCUUCCACCGAGAAUUAAGUUCCAACAUGGGACAAUUAAGGGUGGAACAUCAAGAGCACUCCAUCAUCCUUCAUGAAAUUAGAGAAGAUCAAAAAGCAAUGAGGGAGGAGCAAUAAAGACAAGGAAGAGACAUAGAAGAGCUCAAGGACAUCAUUGGUUCCUCAAGAAGGAAACGCCAUCAUCACUAAGGUGGACUCAUUCCUUGUUCUUACUUUCUCUAUUUUUCGUUUUCUCUAUGUUAAGUGCUUAUCCAUAUUUGUGUCUUCAUUACAUGAUCAUUAGUAUUUAGUAACUAUGCCUUAAGGUUAUGAAUGUCCUAUGAAUCCAUCACCUCUCUUAAAUGAAAAAUGUUUGAAUUCAAAAGAACAAGAAGUACAUGAGUUUCGAAUUUAACCUUGAACUUAGUUUAAUUAUAUUGAUGUGGUGACAAUACUUCUUGUUUUUUGAAUGAAUGCUUGAACAGUGCAUAUGUCUUUUGAAGUUGUUGUUCAUGAAUGUUAAAUAUGUUGGCUCUUGAAAGAAUGAUGACUAGGAGACAUGUUAUUUGAUAAUCUAAAAAAUCAUAAAAAUGAUUCUUGAAGCAAGAAAAAGCAGCAAGGAACAAAGCUUGCAGAAAAAAAAAAUAUAGGCGAAAAAAAAAGUAGAAAGAAAAAGAAAAAGCAAGCAGAAAAAGCCAAAGCUCUUAAAACCAAGAGGCAAGAGCAAAAAGCCAAUAACCCUUAAAACCAAAAGGCAAGGAAAAUAAAAAGGAUCCCAAGGCUUUGAGCAUCAGUGANNNNNNNNNNNNNNNNNNNNNNNNNNNNNNNNNNNNNNNNNNNNNNNNNNNNNNNNNNNNNNNNNNNNNNNNNNNNNNNNNNNNNNNNNNNNNNNNNNNNNNNNNNNNNNNNNNNNNNNNNNNNNNNNNNNNNNNNNNNNNNNNNNNNNNNNNNNNNNNNNNNNNNNNNNNNNNNNNNNNNNNNNNNNNNNNNNNNNNNNNNGAUUUUCUGGAGCUACAGAACUCAAAAUGGCGCGCUUCCAAUUGCGUUGGAAAGUAGACAUCCAGGGCUUUCCAGAAAUAUAUAAUAGUCUAUACUUUGCCCAAGUUUAGACGAUGCAAACUGGCGUUCAACGCCACCACUCUGUCCAAUUCUGGCGUCCAGCGCCAGAAACAAGUUGCAAAGUGGAGUUCAACGCCCAAAAUGGCACAAAAGGUGGCGUUCAACUCCAGGAAUGACCUCUACACGUGUAACACUCAAGCUCAGCCCAAGCACACACCAAGUGGGCCCCGGAAGUAGAUUUAUGCAUCAAUUACUUACUUUUGUAAACCCUAGUAGCUAGUUUAUUAUAAAUAGGACCUUUUACUAUUGUAUUAGACAUCUUUGAAUCUUUUGAUCUUUGGAUUAUCUUUUGAUCUUUGGACGCCUGGUUCUUAGAUCAGAGGGGCUGGCCUCUCGGCCAUGCCUGGACCUUUCACUUAUGUAUUUUCAACGGUAGAGUUUCUACACUCCAUAGAUUAAGGUGUGGAGCUCUGCUGUCCCUCAAGGAUUAAUACAAAGUACUACUGUUUUCUAUUCAAUUCAUCUUAUUUCGCUUCUAAGAUAUUCAUUCGCACUUCAACCUGAAUGAGAUGAACGUGACAAUCAUCAUCAUUCCCUAUGAACGCGUGCCUGACAACCACUUCCGUUCUACCUUAGAUUGAAUGAGUAUCUCUUAGAUCUCUUAAUCAGAAUCUUCGUGGUGUAAGCUAGAUUGAUGGCGGCAUUCAUGAGAAUCCGGAAAGUCUAAACCUUGUCUGUGGUAUUCCGAGUAGGAUUCAGGGAUUGAAUGACUGUGACGAGCUUCAAACUCGCGAGUGCUGGGCGUAGUGACAGACGCAAAAGGAUAGUAAAUCCUAUUCCAGCAUGAUCGAGAACCGACAGAUGAAUAGCCGUGCCGUGACAGUGUGCGUUGACCAUUUUGUCUAUCCCUGUUUUAUUAAUUAUUUUCGAAAACCCCAUUACCAUUUUAUAUCCGCCUGACUGAGAUUUACAGGGUGACCAUAGCUUGCUUCAUACCAACAAUCUCCGUAGGAUUCGACCCUUACUCACGUAAGGUAUUACUUGGACGACCCAGUGCACUUGCUGGUUAGUUGUGCGAAGUUGUGAACCAUGGUAUUGGCAUCAUGUUUUUGGCGCCAUUACCAGGGAAAGAAAGAGCGAUGAAUUUUACAUAAUUAAAGUGUAAUCACAAUUUCUGCGCACCAGUGAGAACUUCCCAACCUCUUUUUCGAAUCUCAUAUCGGAUAUCCGGAUACUCAUUCCUUUUGAGCAUGAAAGGGACCUCAGGGAUCACCUUCUUCUUGGCCACAACUUCAUAGAAGUGGUCUUGAUGGACCUUUAAGAUGAAUCUCUCCAUCUCCCAUGACUCGGAGGUGGAAGCUUUUGCCUUCCCUUCCCUUCCCUUCCCUUAGGUGCCAUAAAUGGUUAUGGAAAAACAAAAAGCAACGCUUUUACCAUACCAAACUUAGAAGGUUUGCUCGUUCUCGAGCAAAAGAGGAAAGAAGGGAGUAGAAGAAGAAGAAGAAAAUAGAGGAGAUAGAAAGGUGUGAGUGGUUCGGCCAAGGGGGGAAAGAAGUGUUUAUGAUGUGUGAAAAUGAAGGAGGGAUGAGAGGUUUAUAUAGGAGUGGAGAGAGGGGUAGGGUUCGUGUAUUAGGGGUUGGGUUUGGGAGGAAAAGGAUUUGAAUUUGAAUUGUGAGGUGGGUGGGGUUUUUGGGGAAGAGUGGGUGGAGGUGAUUGGUGAGGGGUAUUUGGGGAAGGGUGUUAUGGGAAGGUGUGAAGAAGAGAGAGAGAGAGAGUUGAGGUAGGUGGGGAUCCUGUGGGGUCCACAUAUCUUGAGGUGUCAAGGAUUUCUCAUCCCUGCACCAUUUUGGCGUGUAAACGCCCCUUUGAGUGCCAAUCCUGGCGUUAAACGCCAGGUUGCUGCCCUUUUCUGGCAUUUAACGCCAGCUUUUCUCCCCUUUAUGGCGUUAAACGCCAACUUGUCUUCCCUUUCUGGCGUUAAACGCCAGCUUGGUGCCCUUUUCUGGCAUUAAACGCCCAGAAUGGUGCCAAACUGGGUGUUUAACGCCCAUUCUACUACCCUUACUGGCGUUUAAACGCCAGUAAGCUCAUCCUCCAGGGUGUGCUAUUUUCAAUGCUAUUUUUUAUUUUAGCUUUUGUUUUUGUGACUCCACAUUAUCAUCAUCCUAAAGAAAACAUAAAAUAACAAUGAAAAAUAGAAAUUUAACAUAGAUAAGUAAAGAUUGGGUUGCCUCCCAACAAGCGCUUCUUUAAUGUCAAUAGCUUGACAGUGGGCUCUCAUGGAGCCUCACAGAUACUCAGAGCAUGAUCAUGGCCUCCUGAUGAGCGGAUAAUUUAUAUGCUUUUUGGCAUUGUUUUUAGUAUAUUUUUAGUAUGUUUUAGUUAAUUUUUAUUUUGUUUUUAUUAGUUUUUAAUUAAAAAUCACAAUUCUGGACUUUACUAUGAGUUUGUGUGUUUUUCUAUGAUUUCAGGUAUUUUCUGGCUGAAAUUGAGGGACCUGAGCAAAAACCUGAUUCAGAGACUGAAAAAGGACUGCAGAUGCUGUUGGAUUCUGACCUCUCUACAUUCUAAGUGGAUUUUCUGGAGCUACAGAAGCCCAAUUGGCGCGCUCUUAAUUGCUUUGGAAAGUAGACAUCCUGGGCUUUCCAGCAAUAUAUAAUAGUCCAUACUUUGCCCGAGAUUUGAUGGCCCAAACAGGCAUUCCAAGUCAGCUCAAGAAUUCUGGCGUUUAACGUCGGAACUGGCACAAAAGCUGGCGUUUAACUCCAAGAAAAGUCUCUACACAUGGAAGCUUCAAUGCUCAGCCCAAGCACACACCAAGUGGGCCCGGAAUUAGAUUUUUACAUCAUUUACUCAUUUCUGUAAACCCUAGGCUACUAGUUAUCUAUAAAUAGGAUCUUUUGCUAUUGUAUUUUCAUCUUUGUUUAGUCUUAUGCUACCUUAGAUCACGUUUUGGGGGCUGGCCUCACGGCCAUGCCUAGAACUUGUUCUUAUGUAUUUUCAACGGUGGAGUUUCUACACACCAUAGAUUAAGGUGUGGAGCUUUGCUGUUCCUCAUGAAUUAAUGCAAUUACUACUGUUUUUCUAUUCAAUUCACGCCUACUUCUUCUCUAAGAUAUCACUUGUUCUUCAACUUGAUGAAUGUGAUGAUCAGUGACACUCAUCAUCAUUCUCACCUAUGAACGCAUGCCUGACAACCACCUCCGUUCUACCUUCGAUUGAGUGUGUAUCUCUUAGCCUUCUGGUUCAUGACGCAUGGGUGCCUCGCCUGACAACCGAGCUCUCCAUUCCAUGAAAUCAGAGUCUUCAUGGUAUAGGCGAGAAUGAAUUGGCAGCAUUCUUGAGAUCCGAAAAGUCUAAACCUUGUCUGUGGUAUUCCGAGUAGGAUCCGGGAUGGGAUGACUGUGACGAGCUUCAAACUCGCGAGUGUGGGGCGUGUGACAGACGCAAAAGGAUCAAUGGAUCCUAUUCCGACAUGAUCGAGAACCAACAGCUGAUUAGCCGAUGUUGUGACAGAGCAUCAGGACCAUUUUCACUGAGAGGACGGGAGGUAGCCAUUGACAACGGUGAAACCCAACAUAAGCUUGCCAUGGAAGGGAGUACGAGUGAUUGGGAGAAGGCAAUGGGAAAGCAGAGGUUCAGGAGGAACAAAGCAUCUUCAUACGCUUAUCUGAAAUCCACCAAUGAAUUACAUAAGUAUCUCUAUCUUUAUUUUAUGUUUUUCUUUUAAUUAUCAAUUCUCCAUAACCAUUUGAAUCCGCCUGACUGAGAUUUACAAGAUGACCAUAGCUUGCUUCAAGCCGACAAUCUCCGUGGGAUCGACCCUUACUCGCGUAAGGUUUAUUACUUGGACGACCCAGUGCACUUGCUGGUUAGUUGUACGGAGUUGUGAUAAAGAGUUGAGAUUACAAUUAUGCGUACCAUGUUGAUGGCGCCAUUGAUGAUCACAAUUUUGUGCACCAAGUUUUUGGCACCGUUGCCGAGGAUUGUUCGAGUUUGGACAACUGACGGUUCAUCUUGUUGCUUAAAUUAGGUAAUUUUAUUUUAUUUUGUUCUUCAGAGUUCGUAAGCAUGAAUUCUAGAGUUUCAGGUGAUGUUUUUAUCAUCACAAAAGCUGAUUGAUCCUCAUCAAUUUAGCUAUUGAAUGGCUUUAGACUAACAUUGCAUGAUUCCUGGAAAUUCAUAUUAAGAAUUUUGAAAUCCUUAUUUUCUUUUCCAUAUAAUUUUCAAAAAAUCCAAAAAAAAAUUUUAAAAUCUUAAAAUAAAAAAUAUUUUAUGUUUCUUGUUUGAGUCUAAUGUCUAAUUUUAAGUUUGGUGUCAAUUGCAUUCUUCUAAUUUUCGAAAUUACAUGCAUCAUGUUCUUCAUUGAUCUUCAAGUUGUUCUUGAUGAUUUCCUUGCUCUAAUCUUUAAAUUCUCUUGUUUAGUGUCUUUUGUUAUUUCUCACAUGCAUUCUCCAUUUGUUAGUGUCUCUAAUAUGAAAAAUUUCUAAGUUUGGUGUCCUGCAUGCAUUGUUUAUUUGAUCUUGGUUUUCUAUGUUUAGUUGCAUUUUGGUUGUUUCUCAUCAUCAAAAAUUCAAAAAAAAAAAUUAUAUAUAUCUUUUCAAGUCAAUAAUACAGAGAAUUGAAGAUUCAGAACAUGCAGCAGAGGAAUUACACAGAAAAAGCUGGGCAUUCAAAACGCCCAGUGAAGAAGGAAAACUGGCGUUUAAACGCCAGCCAGGGUACCUGGCUGGGCGUUUAACGCCCAAAAAGGUAGUGUUUUGGGCGUUAAACGCCAGAAUGGAUACCAUUCUGGGCGUUUAACGCCAGGAUGGCACAAGAGGGAAGAUUUUGUUUUUAAUUCAUAUUUUUUUCAAGUUUUCAUAAUUUUUCAAAAUCAAAUCUUUUUCAAAUCAUAUCUUUUCAAUCAUAUCUUUUCAAAAUCAAUUUCUUUACAUUUUUUUUAUUUUCGAAAAUUCUUGCUCCAAUUCAUGAUUUAAUUCAAAAUUUUCAAGUUGUUACUUGCCUAUUAAGAAAGGAUUAAAUUUUAAAUUCUAGAAUCAUAUCUUCUAAUCUCUUGUUAGUCAAGUAAUCACUUUAAUUCUAAAAACUUUCUUUUUUUUAAUUUGAUUUUCAAUCAUCUCUUCUCAAUCAUAUAUUUUCAAUCACAUUUUUUCUUAAAAAUAAUUUUCAAUCAUAUCUUUUUGAUUUCUAAUUUCAAAAUCUUUUUCAAAAAUCACUUAAUUUCCUUCCCAAUCUUAAUUUUCGAAAAUCAUCAAUCAAAUUUUCAAAAUUUCUUUUAAGUAUUUCAAAAAUUUUUUACUUUAAUUUCGAAAAUUCUUUCCUUCUUCUCACAUCCUUCUAUUUAAGGACUAACACUCCUCCACUAUCAACAAUUCGAACUCUAUCCCUCUUGAUAAGUUCGAAUUCUUCUCUUUCUACCUUCUCCUUCUAUUCUUCUUUUCCUCUGACACCUCAAGGAAUCUCUAUACUGUGACAUAGAGGAUUCCAUACUUUCUUGUUCUCUUAUCUUUCAUAUGAGCAGGAACAAAGACAAAAGCAUUCUUGUUGAAGCUGAUCCUGAACUUGAAAGGACCUUGAAGCGAAAGCUAAGAGAAGCUAAAAAGGACCUAACAGAAAUCUUCAAACAAGAAGAAGACAUGACAGCCGAAAACAACAACAAUGCCAACAAUGCAAGGAAAGUGCUUGGUGACUUUACUGCACCUACUCCUGACUUCUAUGGGAGAAGCAUCUCUAUCCCUGCCAUUGGAGCAAACAAUUUUGAACUUAAGCCUCAAUUAGUUUCUCUAAUGCAACAGAAUUGCAAGUUUCAUGGACUUCCAUUGGAAGAUCUUCAUCAGUUCUUAGCUGAAUUCUUGCAAAUCUGUGACACUGUCAAGACCAAUGGGGUUGACCCUGAGGUCUACAGACUUAUGCUCUUCCCUUUUGCUGUAAGAGACAGAGCUAGGAUAUGGUUGGAUUCACAACCUAAGAAAAGCCUGAACUCUUGGAAAAAGCUAGUCAAUGCCUUCUUGGCAAAGUUCUUUCCACCUCAAAAAUUGAGUAAGCUUAGAGUGGAAGUCCAAACCUUCAGACAGAAGGAAGGUGAAUCCCUCUAUGAAGCUUGGAAAAGAUACAAGAAAUUGAUCAGAAAGUGCCCUUCUGACAUGCUUUCAGAAUGGAGCAUCAUAGGUAUCUUCUAUGAUGGUCUGUCUGAACUGUCCAAGAUGUCAUUGGACAGCUCUGCUGGAGGAUCUCUUCAUCUGAAGAAGACGCCUGCAGAAGCUCAAGAACUCAUUGAAAUGGUUGCAAAUAACCAAUUCAUGUACACUUCUGAAAGAAAUCCUGUGAAUAAUGGGACAACUCAGAAGAAAGGAGUUCUUGAAAUUGACACUCUGAAUGCCAUAUUGGCUCAGAACAAAAUAUUGACUCAGCAAGUCAAUAUGAUUUCUCAGAGUCUGUCUGGAAUGCAAGCAGCAACAGGCAAUACUAAAGAGGCUUCAUCUGAGGAAGAAGCUUAUGAUCCUGAGAACCCAGCAAUGGAAGAGGUGAAUUAUAUGGGAGAAUCCUAUGGAAACACCUAUAAUCCUUCGUGGAGAAAUCACCCAAAUCUCUCAUGGAAGGACCAACAGAGGCCUCAACAAGGCUUCAACAACAAUAAUGGUGGAAGAAACAGGUUUAGCAAUAGCAAGCCUUUUCCAUCAUCUUCUCAGCAGCAGACAGAGAAUCCUAAGCAGAGCCAAUUUGACUUAGCAACCAUAGUCUCUGAUCUAAUUAAAACCACUCAAAGUUUCAUGAUUGAAACAAGGUCCUCCAUUAGAAACUUGGAGGCACAAGUGGAUCAACUGAGUAAGAAAGUUACUAAACUCCCUCCUAGUACUCUUCCAAGCAAUACAGAGGAGAAUCCAAAAGGAGAGUGCAAGGCCAUAAACACAUCCCACACGGCCGAACUUGGAUAGGAGGAAGAGGCAGUGAUCUCCACUGAGGAAGACCUCAAUGGACGUCCACUGGCCUCCAUGGAGUUCCCUAAUGAGGAACCAUGGGAAUCUGAGGCUCACACUGAGACCAUAGAGAUUCCAUUGGAUUUACUUCUGCCAUUCAUGAGCUCUGAUGAGUAUUCCUCCUCUGAAGAGGAGGAAGAUGUCACUGAAGAGCAAGUUGCUAAGUACCUUGGAGCAAUCAUGAAGCUAAAUGCCAAGUUAUUUGGUAAUGAGACUUGGGAGGAUGAACCCCCUUUGCUCACCAAAGAACUGGAUGACUUGACUAGGCAGAGAUUACCUCAAAAGAGACAGGACCCUAGAAAGUUCUCAAUACCUUGUACCAUAGGCACCAUGACCUUUGAGAAGGCUCUGUGUGACCUAGGGUCAAGUAUAAAUCUCAUGCCUCUCUCUGUAAUGGAGAAGCUAGGGAUCAUUGAGGUACAAGCUGCAAGAAUCUCACUAGAGAUGGCAGACAAUUCAAGAAAACAGGCUUAUGAACUUGUAGAGGAUGUCUUGGUAAAGGUUGAAGGUCAUUACAUUCAUGCUGAUUUCAUAAUCCUAGAGACUGGGAAGUGUAUGGAUGCAUCCAUCAUCCUUGGUAGACCCUUCCUAGCCACAACAAAAGCUGUGAUUAAUGUUGACAGAGGAGAAUUGAUCAUUCACGUGAAUGAGGACUCCCUUGUAUUUAAGGCUCAAGGAUAUCCCUCUGUAACCAUGGAGAGGAAGCAUGAAGAGCUUCUCUCAAUACAGAGCCAAACAGAGCCCCCACAGUCAAACUCUAAGUUUGGUGUUGGGAGGCCACAACCAAACUUUAAGUUUGGUGUUGAACCCCCACAUUCAAACUCUAAGUUUGGAGUUGGGAGGUUCCAACAUUGCUCUGAACAUCUGUGAGGCUCCAUGAGAGCCCACUGUCAAGCUAUUGACAUUAAAGAAGCGAUUGUUGGGAGGCAACCCAAUCUUUACUUAUCUAUGUUAAAUUUUUAUUUUCCAUUGUUAUUUUAUGUUUUCUGUAGGUUGAUGAUCAUGUGAAGUCACAAAAACAAUUGAAAAAGCAAAAACAGAAUGAAAAACAGAAUGAAAAAUAGCACACCCUGGAGGAAAAACUUGCUAGCAUUUAAACGCCAGUAAGGGUAGCAGAAUGGGCGUUUAACGCCCAGUCUGGCACCAUUCUGGGCGUUUAACGCCAGAAAUGGCACCAGAUUGGCGUUUAACGCCAGAAAUGGGCAAGAAGCUGGCGUUUAACGCCAGGAUUGGCAGAAAGGGGCAUUUUUGCACGCCACUUGGUGCAGGGAUGAGAUAUCCUUGACACCUCAGGAUCUGUGGACCCCACAGGAUCCCCACCUACCCCACCUCUCUCUCUCUUCUUCACCCCUCACCUUUCAAAUCCUACCAUUCUCUUCACCACUCACAUCCAUCCUUCAUAAAACCCCACCUACCUCACCAUUCAAAUUCAAACCACUUUUCCUCCCAAACCCACCCAUAAUGGCCGAACCAUACCCCCCUCUCCACUCCUAUAUAAACCCAUCUUCACUCUUUCAUUUUCACACAACCUAAACAUUACUUCUCCCCCUUGGCCGAAACACAAAGCCCCCUCCAUCUCCUCUAUUUCUUCUUCUUCUACCCUCUUCUUUCUUCUUUUGCUCGAGGACGAGCAAACCUUUUAAGUUUGGUGUGGUAAAAGCAUUGCUUUUUGUUUUUCCAUAACUAUUUAUGGCACCUAAGGCCGGAGAAAAUUCUAGAAAGAGGAAAGGGAAGGCAAAAGCUUCCACCUCCGAGUCAUGGGAGAUGGAGAGAUUCAUCUCAAGGGUGCAUCAAGACCACUUCUAUGAAGUUGUGGCCAAGAAGAAAGUGAUCCUCGAGGUCCCUUUCAAGCUCAAAAAGAGUGAAUAUCCGGAGAUCCGAUAUGAGAUCCGAAGAAGAGGUUGGGAAGUUCUCACCAACCCCAUUCAACAAGUCAGAAUCUUAAUGGUUCAAGAUUUCUAUGCCAAUGCAUGGAUCACCAAGAACCAUGAUCAAAGUGUGAACCCGGACCCAAAGAAUUGGCUCACAAUGGUUCGGGAAAAAUGCUUAGAUUUUAGUCCAGAAAAUGUAAGGUUGGCAUUCAACUUGCCUAUGAUGCAAGGAGAUGCACACCCCUACACUAGAAGGGUCAACUUUGAUCAAAGGUUGGACCAAGUCCUCAUAGACAUUUGUGAAGAGGGCGCUCAAUGGAAGAGAGAUUCAAGAGGGAAGCCGGUUCAACUAAGAAGGCAUGACCUCAAGCCCAUGGCUAUGGGAUGGUUGGAGUUUAUCCAACGCUCAAUCAUUCCAACUAGCAACCAGUCCGAAGUUACCAUAGACCAGGCUAUCAUGAUCCAUAGCAUCAUGAUUGGAGAGAAAGUAGAAGUUCAUGAAGUUAUAUCCCAAGAACUCUACAAGGUGGCGGACAAGUCCUCUACUUUGGCAAGGUUAGCCUUUCCUCAUCUUAUUGCAAUUCAGCUGGAAUUGACAUAGAGGAAGACAUCCUCAUUGAUGAGGACAAGCCCAUCACUAAGAAAAGGAUGGAGCAAACAAGAGAUCCCACUCAUGGACAAGAGCAUGAGGAAAUUCCUCAUCAUGAAAUCCCUGAGAUACUUCAAGGGAUGCACUUUCCUCCACAAAACUAUUGGGAGCAAAUCAACACCUCCCUAGGAGAAUUAAGUUCCAAUAUGGGACAACUAAGGGUGGAGCACCAAGAACAUUCUAUCCUCCUCCAUGAAAUUAGAGAAGACCAAAAAGUCAUGAGAGAGGAGCAACAAAGGCAAGGAAGAGACAUUGAGGAGCUAAAGCACUCCAUAAGAUCUUCAAGAGGAAGAACAAGCCGCCAUCACUAAGGUGGACCCGUUCUUUAACUUCCUUGUACUUAUUUUUCUGUUUUUCGAAAAUUAUGCUUUAUGUUUUAUUUAUGUUUGUGUCUUAUUACAUGAUCAUUAGUGUCUAAGUAUCUAUGCCUUAAAGUUAUGAAUGUCCUAUGAAUCCAUCACUUUUCUUAAAUGAAAAAUGUUUUAAUUACAAAAGAACAAGAAGUACAUGAUUUCGAAUUCAUCCUUGAAAUUAGUUUAAUUAUUCUGAUGUGGUGACAAUACUUUUUGUUUUCUGAAUGAAUGCAUGAACAGUGCAUAUGUCUUUUGAAUUUGUUGUUUAUGAAUGUUAAAAUUGUUAGCUCUUGAAAGAAUGAUGGAAAAAAGAGAAAUGUUAUUGAGGAUCUGAAAAAUCAUCAAAUUGAUUCUUGAAGCAAGAAAAAGCAGUGAAUAAAAAAAAAGAGAGAAGGCGAAAAAAAAGAAAAAAAAGAAAGAAAAGAGAAAGAAAAAGCAAGAAAAAAAAGGCAAUAGCCCUUUAAACCAAAAGGCAAGGGUAAUAAAAAGGAUCCAAGGCUUUGAGCAUCAGUAGAUAGAAGGGCCCACAGGAAUAAAAUCCUGGCCUAAGCGGCUAAACCAAGCUGUCCCUAACCAUGUGCUUGUGGCGUGAAGGUGUCAAGUGAAAACUUGAGACUGAGCGCUUAAAGUCGUGGUCCAAAGCAAAAAGAGUGUGCUUAAGAGCUCUGGACACCUCUCACUGGGGACUUUAGCAAAGCUGAGUCACAAUCUGAAAAGGUUCACCCAGUCAUGUGUCUGUGGCAUUUAUGUAUCCGGUGGUAAUAUUGGAAAACAAAAUGCUUAGAGCCACGGCCAAGACUCAUAAAGUAGCUGUGUUCAAGAAUCAACAUACUAUACUAGGAGAAUCAAAUAACACUAUCUAGAUUCUGAGUUCCUAUAGAAGCCAAUCAUUCUAAACUUCAAAGGAUAAAGUGAGAUGCCAAAACUGUUCAGAGGCAAAAAGCUACUAGUCCCGCUCAUCUAAUUGGAGCUAAGUUUCAUUGAUAAUUUAGAAUUUAUAAGUAUAUUCUCUUCUUUUUAUCCUAUUUGAUUUUCAGUUGCUUGGGGACAAGCAACGAUUUAAGUUUGGUGUUGUGAUGAGCGGAUAAUUUAUACGCUUUUUGGCAUUGUUUUUAGUAUGUUUUAGUUAAUUUUUAUUAUGUUUUUAUUAGUUUUUAAUUAAAAAUCACAAUUCUGGACUUUACUAUGAGUUUGUGUGUUUUUCUGUGAUUUCAGGUAUUUUCUGGCUAAAAUUGAGGGACCUGAGCAAAAACCUGAUUCAGAGACUGAAAAAGGACUGCAGAUGCUGUUGGAUUCUGACCUCCCUGCAUUCGAAGUGGAUUUUUUGGAGCUACAGAACCCCAAAUGGCAUGCUCUCAAUUGCGUUGGAAAGUAGACAUCCUGAGCUUUCCAGCAAUAUAUAAUAGUUUAUACUUUGCCCGAGAUUUGAUGGCCCAAACAGGCGUUCCAAGUCAGCUCAAGAAUUCUGGCGUUUAACGCCGGAACUGGCACAAAAGCUAGAGUUAAACGCCCAAACUGGCACAAAAGCUGGCGUUUAACUCCAAGAAAAGUCUCUACACCUGGAAGCUUCAAUGCUCAGCCCAAGCACACAGCAAGUGGGCCCGGAAGUGGAUUUUUACGUCAUUUACUCAUUUUUGUAAACCCUAGGCUACUAGUUCUCUAUAAAUAGGAUCUUUUGCUAUUGUAUUUUCAUCUUUGUUUAGUCUUAUGCUACCUUAGAUCACGUUUUGGGGGCUGGCCUCACGGCCAUGUCUAGACCUUGUUCUUAUGUAUUUUCAACGGUGGAGUUUCUACACACCAUAGAUUAAGGUGUGGAGCUCUACUGUUCCUCAUGAAUUAAUGCAAUUACUACUGUUUUUCUAUUCAAUUCACACCUACUUCUUCUCUAAGAUAUCACUUGUUCUUCAACUUGAUGAAUGUGAUGAUCCUUGACACUCAUCAUCAUUCUCACCUAUGAACGCGUGCCCAACAACCACCUCCGUUCUACCUUCGAUUGAGUGCGUAUCUCUUAGCCUUCUGGUUCAUGACACAUGGGUGCCUCGCCUGAUAAUCGAGCUCUCCAUUCCAUGAAAUCAGAGUCUUCGUGGUAUAGGCGAGAAUUAAUUGGCAGCAUUCUUGAGAUCCGGAAAGUCUAAACCUUGUCUGUGGUAUUCUGAGUAGGAUCCGGGAUGGGAUGACUGUGACGAGCUUCAAACUCGCGAGUGUGGGGCGUGUGACAGACGCAAAAGGAUCAAUGGAUCCUAUUCUGACAUGAUCGAGAACCAACAGCUGAUUAGCCGAUGUUGUGACAGAGCAUCAGGACCAUUUUCACUGAGAGGACGGGAGGUAGCCAUUGACAACGGUGAAACCCAACAUAAGCUUGCCAUGGAAGGGAGUACGAGUGAUUGGGAGAAGGCAAUGGGAAAGCAGAGGUUCAAGAGGAACAAAGCAUCUUCAUACGCUUAUCUAAAAUCCACCAAUGAAUUACAUAAGUAUCUCUAUCUUUAUUUUAUGUUUUUCUUUUAAUUAUCAAUUCUCCAUAACCAUUUGAAUCCGCCUGACUGAGAUUUACAAGAUGACCAUAGCUUGCUUCAAGCCGACAAUCUCUGUGGGAUCGACCCUUACUCGCGUAAGGUUUAUUACUUGGACGACCCAGUGCACUUGCUGGUUAGUUGUGCGGAGUUGUGAUAAAGAGUUGAGAUUACAAUUGUGCGUACCAUGUUGAUGGCGCCAUUAAUGAUCACAAUUUCAUGCACCACCUCCCAACACCAGACUUAGAGUUUGAAUAUGGGGGCUCUGUUUGACUCUGCAUUGAGAGAAGCUUGUCAUGCUUCUUCUCCAUGUGUGCAGAAGGAGAUCCUUGAGCCUUAAACACAAGGUAGUCCUCAUUCACUUGAAUGACCAACUCUCCUCUGUCAACAUCAAUCACAGCCUUUGCUGUGGCUAGGAAGGGUCUGCCAAGGAUGAUGGAUUCAUCCCUAUUCUUCCCAGUGUCCAGGAUUAUGAAGUCAGCAGGGAUGUAAAGGCCUUCAACCUUCACCAAAACAUCCUCUACAAGUCCAUAAGCCUGUUUCCUUGAAUUGUCUGCCAUCUCUAGUGAGAUUCUUGCAGCUUGCACCUCAAGGAUCCCUAGUUUCUCCAUUACAGAGAGUGGCAUGAGGUUUAUACUUGACCCUAGGUCACACAGAGCCUUCUCAAAGGUCAUGGUGCCUAUGGUACAAGGUAUUGAGAACUUUCCAGGAUCCUGUCUCUUCUGAGGUAAUGUCUGCCUAAUCAAGUCAUUCAGUUCAUUGGUGAGCAAGGGGGGUUCAUCCUCCCAAGUCUCAUUACCAAAUAACUUGGGAUUUAGCUUCAUGAUUGCUCCAAGGUACUUAACAACUUGCUCUUCAGUAAUAUCUUCAUCCUCUUCAGAGGAAGAAUACUCAUCAGAGCUCAUGAAUGGCAGAAGGAAGUUUAAUGGAAUCUCUAUGGUCUCUAUAUGAGCCUCAGAUUCCUUUGGUUCCUCAAAGGGGAACUUCUUUUCGUUCAGAGGACAUCCCAUGAAGUUUUUCUCACUGGGAAUCACGUCCUCCUUACUCUCUCCAGGUUCGGCCAUGUUGGUCAUGGUUAUCUCCUUGCACUCUCUCUUGGGGUUUUCUUCUGUAUUGCUUAGGAGAGUGCUAGGAGGAGUUUCAGUAAUUCUCUUACUCAGCUGCCCACUUGUGCCUCCAAAUUUCUAAUGGAGGAUCUUGUUUCAUUCAUGAAACUUAGUGUGGUCUUAGAUAGAUCAGAGACUAUGGUUGCUAAGCCAGAACGACUCUGCUCAGAGUUCUCUGUUUGUUGCUGAGAAGAUGAUGGAAAAGGUUUGCUAUUGCUAAACCUAUUUCUUCCACCAUUAUUGUUGUUGAAGCUUUGUUGAGGCUUCUGUUGGUCCUUCCAUGAGAGAUUUGGAUGAUUUCUCCAUGAAGGAUUAUAGGUGUUUCCAUAGGGUUCUCCCAUGUAAUUCACCUCUUCCAUUGCCGGGUUCUCAGGAUCAUAAGCUUCUUCUUCAGAAGAUGCUUCUUUAUUACUACUGGAUGCAGCUUGCAAUCCAGUCAGAUUCUGAGAAAUCAUAUUGACUUGCUGAGUUAAUAUUUUAUUCUGAGCCAAUAUGGCAUUCAGAGUAUCAAUCUCAAUAACUUCUUUCUUUUGAGUUGUCCCAUUGUUUACAGGAUUUCUUUCAGAAGUGUACAUGAACUGGUUAUUUGCAGCUAUUUCAAUGAGUUCCUAGGCUUCUGCAGGCGUUUUCUUCAGAUGAAUAGAUCCGCCUGCAGAAUGGUCCAAUGACAUCUUGGAUAACUCAGACAGACUAUCAUAGAAGAUACCUAUGAUGCUCCAUUCUGAAAGCAUGUCAGUAGGACACCUUCUGAUUAAUUGCUUGUAUCUUUCCCAAGCUUCAUAGAGGGAUUCACCUUCCUUCUGCUUGAAGGUUUGAACUUCCACUCUAAGCUUACUCAUCUUUUGAGGUGAAAAGAAUUUAGCUAAGAAGGCAUUGACUAGCUUUUCCCAAGAGUUCAGGCUGUCUUUAGGUUGUGAGUUCAACCAUAUACUAGCUCUGUCUCUUACAGCAAAAGGGAAAAGCAUAAGUCUGUAGACCUUGGGAUUAACUCCAUUGGUCUUAACAGUAUCACAGAUUUGCAAAAAAUCAUCCAAAAACUGAUGAGGAUCUUCCAAUGGAAGUCCAUGAAACUUGCAAUUCUGUUGCAUCAGAGAAACUAAUUGAGGCUUAAGCUCAAAGUUGUUUGCUCCAAUGGCAGGAAUAGAGAUGCUUCUCCCAUAGAAGUCGGGGGUAGGUACAGUAAAGUCACCAAGCACCUUCCUUGCAUUAUUGGCAUUGUUGUUAUUUUUGGCUGACAUGUCUUCUUCUUUUUCAAAAAUUUCUGUUAGGUCCUCUCCAGAGAGUUGUGCUUUAGCUUCUCUUAGCUUCCUCUUCAAGGUCCUUUCAGGUUCAGGAUCAGCUUCAACAAUAAUGCCUUUGUCCUUGUUCCUGCUCAUAUGAAAGAGAAGAAAACAAGAAAGUAUGGAAUCCUCUAUGUCACAGAAUAGAGAUUCCUUGAGGUGUCAGAGAAAAAUAGGAAUAGAGGGAUGAGGUAGAUAGAGAAGAAUUCGAACAUAUAAAGAAGGAGAGCGAGUCUGAAUUGCUAAUUGAGGAGGAGUGUUAGUCCUUAAAUAGAAGGAGGUGAGAAGGAGGGGGGAGAAUUUUUGAAAACAAAUUUUAAAAAAUUUGAAAUAAUUAAAAGGAAUUUUGAAAAAGUGGUUGAAGGUUUUCGAAAAUUAAAUUUGAGAAAGUGGUUAAGUGAUUUUGAAAAAGAUUUUGAAAUUAGCAAUAAAAAAGGUAUGAUUGAAAAUUAUUUUGAAAAAGAUGUGAUUGAGAGGAUAUGAUUGAGAAGAUAUGAUUGAAAAUCAAUUUAAAAAGAUUUGAAUUUUAAAAUUAAUGACUUGGCUAACAAGAAAUUUAAAAGAUAUGAUUCUAAAAUUCAAAUAUUGGAUUUCUUAACAAGGAAGUAACAAACUUGAAAUUUUUGAAUCAAAUCAUUAAUUGGUAGCAAGGAUUUUCGAAAAUAGUGAGAAAAAAAUGGAAAAAGAUUUGAUUUUGAAAAAAAAAAGAUAUGAUUUGAAAAAGAUAUGAUUUGAAAAAGAUUUGAUUUUGAAAAAUCAUGAAAAUUUGAAAAAGAUUUGAAUUAAAAACUAACUUACCUCCCUUGUGUUGUCCUGGCGUUAAACGCCCAUUUGGCUACCUCCUUGGGCGUUAAACGCCCAGCCAGGUACCCUGGCUGGCGUUUAAAUGCCAAAAUUUUUUCCUCACUGGGUGUUUUGAACGCCUAGCUUUUUCUCUGUGAUUCCUCUGCUGUAUGUUCUGAAUCUUCAAUUCUCUGUAUUAUUGACUUGAAAAGACAUAAUUUUGAAAUUUUUUUUUGAAUUUUUAAUGAUGAGAGAGAACAACAACAAAAUGAAAGUAAUCAUGAAAAACUAAGAUCAAAUAAACAAUGCAUGCAAGAUACCAAACUUAGGAAUUUUCAUAUUAGAGACACUAACAAAUUGAGAAUGCGCAUGAGAAAUAACAAAAGACACUAAACAAGAGAAUUUAAAGAUCAGACCCAAGAAAAUCAUCAAGAACAACUUGAAGAUCAAUGAAGAACAAAAUGCAUAUAUUUUUGAAAAAUGCAAGAAAAUUAAAAAUAUGCAAGACACCAAACUUAAAAUGUGACACUAGACUCAAACAAGAAACACAAAUUAUUUUUUAUUUUUAUGAUUUUAUUAAAUUUUUUUUUCAAAAAUUAUUUUGGAAAAAGAAGUUAAAGAAAUUCGAAAUUUUUAAUAAGAAUUCCAAGAUUCAUGCCAUGUUAUUCUAAAGCUCCAGUCCAAAAGAAUUAGACAUGGCCAAUGGCCAGCCAAGCUUUAGCAUAGAAUUGUAAAUAAGAAUCCUAAAGCUGAUGCAAUGUUAUUCUAAAGCUUCGGUCCAACUGAGUUAGACAUGGCCAGAUGGCCAGCCAAGCUUUAGCAUACAAUUACAUACAACAAUCCGGUGAAUAUGAUAAGUUAAAGCUCCGGUCCAAAAGAUUUAAACAUGGCUUAAUAGCCAGCCAAGCUUUAACAUACCAUCAUGAAGCUCGAAUAUGGAAUUCAUUCUUAAAAAUUUUGAUGAAUUUUUAGAAAACAAAUAUUUAUUAUUUUAUUAUUUUUUUUUGAAAAUUAAAAAUAAGAAAGCUUAAACAUAAAAUAAAAUUACCCAAUCUAAACAACAAGAUGAACCGUCAGUUGUCCAAACUCGAACAAUCUCCGGCAAUGGCGCCAAAAACUUGGUGCACGAAAUUACAAUCACACUUUUGCAAUUCCGCACAACUAACCAGCAAGUGCACUGGGUCGUCCAAGUAAUACCUUAUGUGAGUAAGGGUCGAUCCCACGGAGAUUGUCGGCUUGAAGCAAGCUAUGGUCAUCUUGUAAAUCUCAGUCGGGCAAAUUCAAAUGAUCAUGAGUUUUGAUAAUUAAAAGAUAAAGGAAACAUAAAAUAAAGAUAGAAGCACUUAUGUAAUUCAUUGGUAGGAGUUUCAGAUAAGCGUAUGAAGAUGCUUUGUUCCUUCUGAAUCUCUGCUUUCCUAUUGCCUUCAUCCAACCAUGCGUACUCCCUUCCAUGGCAAGCUGUAUGUUGGGAGAUCACCAUUGUCAAUGGCUACCGUCCGUCCUCUCAGUGAAAAUGGUCCGGCUACGGGUUACGUAGGGCUAAUCAUCUGUCGGUUCUCACUUGUGUUGGAAUAAGAUCCAAUGAUCCUUUUGCGCACUGUCACUGCACCCAACAGUCAUGAGUUUGAAGCUCGUCACAGUCAUCCCAUCCCAGAUCCUACUCGGAAUACCACAGACAAGGUUUAGACUUUCCGGAUCUCAAGAAUGCUGCCAAUUGAUUCUAGCUUAUACCACGAAGACUCUGAUUUCACGGAAUUAAAAGGCUCUGUUGUCAGGAGAGGCAAUCAUGCGUCAUGAACCAGGAACCCAAGAGAUACACACUCAAGCUCUUGCAGAUAGAACAGAUGUGGUUGUCAGUCACGCGUUCAUAAGGGAGGAUGAUGAUGAGUGUCACGGAUCAUCAUAUCCAUCAGGUUGAAGUACGAGUGAAUAUCUUAGAACAAGAAUAAGCAUGAAUUGAAUAUAAAAACAAUAGUACUUUGCAUUGAUUCAUGAGGAACAGCAAAGCUCCACACCUUAAUCUAUGAUGUGUAGAAACUCCACUGUUGAAAAUACAAAAGUGAUGAAGGUCCAGGCAUGGCCAAAUGGCCAGCCCCCAAAACGUGAUCAAGAGAUCAAAAGUGAUCCAAAGAUAGUCUCAAAGAUGAUCUAAAUAUCCAAAGAUGAAAAUAUAAUAGUAAAAGGUCCUAUUUAUAAUGAACUAGUAGCCUAGGGUUUACAGAAAUAAGUAAAUGAUGCAGAAAUCCACUUCCGGGGCCCACUUGGUGUGUGCUUCGCCUCAGCAUUGAAGCUUUCACGUGCAUAGGCUUCUCUUGGAGUUAAACGCCAGCUUUUGUGCCAGUUUGGGCGUUAAACGCUAGUUUUAGUGCCAGUUCUGGCGUUUUACGCUAGAAUUCUUUGGGUUGACUUUGAACACCAGUUUGGGCCAUCAAAUCUCGGACAAAAUAUAAACUAUUAUAUAUUGCUGGAAAGCCCAGGAUGUCUACUUUCCAAAGCAAUUGAGAGCGCGCCAAUCGGGCUUCUGUAGCUCCAGAAAAUCCACUUCGAGUAUAGGGAGGUCAGAAUCCAACAGCAUCUGCAGUCCUUUUUCAGCCUCUGAAUCAGAUUUUUGCUCAGGUCCCUCAAUUUCAGCUAGAAAAUACCUGAAAUCACAGAAAAACACACAAACUCAUAGUAAAGUCCAGAAAUGUGAUUUUUAUUCAAAAAAUAAUAAAAAUAUACUAAAAACUAACUAAAACAUACUAAAAACUAUGUAAAAACAGUGCCAAAAAGCAUAUAAAUUAUCCGCUCAUCAAUCGCCUGUUAGGUAAAUCGCAUUACUACUUUUUAGAUGGUUACAUUGGCUAUUUUCAGAUUCAUAUAGCCCCUGAGGAUCAGGAAAAGACUACUUUUACAUGUCCCUUCGGAACGUAUGCAUAUAAGAGGAUGCCUUUUGGCUUAUGUAAUGCACCGGCUACCUUCCAAAGGUGUAUGAUGAGUCUUUUCUCUGAUCUUAUUGAGAGAUGUAUGGAAGUUUUUAUGGAUGAUUUUAGCGUAUACGGUGAUUCCUUUAGCCUUUGCUUGGAUAGUUUAUCUAGAGUAUUAGACAGGUUUGUUAGUUCAAACCUUGUUUUGAAUUUUGAAAAGUGUCAUUUUAUGGUCAAACAAGGUAUUGUUCUGGGAUGCGUUGUCUCUAACACUGGUAUUUCUGUAGAUCCAGCAAAGGUAGAUGUCUUUUCUAGUUUACCUUCCCCACCUCCGUGAGGGAAGUCCGUUCGUUCCUUGGCCAUGCAGGUUUUUACUGGAGAUUCAUCAAGGACUUCAGUAAGGUAGCUUUACCUUUAUCUAGAUUGCUGCAGAAGGAUGUUGAGUUCGAGCUGAGUGGGGACUGUAUGGAAGCGUUUGAUAAGCUGAAGAUCACCUUGACUCAAACUCCAAUUGUGAGAGGACUAGACUGGAGCCAUCCCUUUGAAAUUAUGUGUGAUGCUUCUAACCAUGCUGUGGGAGCGGCGCUGGCCCAACACGCAGGUAAGAAUCCUUUUGUAAUUGCAUAUGCUUCAAACACAUUAGACGCUGCUCAGUCUAAUUACACUACCACUGAAAAAGAGCUUCUGGCUAUUGUUUUUGCUCUGGAAAAAUUCUGAGCCUACUUACUUGGUACUAAGGUGGUAGUGUACUCAGACCAUGCAGCUCUAAAGUAUUUAUUAGCUAAAAAAAAGUCUAAACCAAGGAUAAUACGUUGGAUAUUACUGCUGCAAGAAUUUGAUUUAGAAAUUAAGGAUAGGAGUGGUUCCCAGAAUUUGGUGGCGGACCACUUGAGUCGCCUUGAGCACAAUAAGGAUGACUCCACUCCUAUCAAUGAUGCUUUUCCAUUUGAUAGCUUGCAUGCAGUAUCUGAAGUAGUCCCUUGGUAUGCACCUGUAGCUAAUUAUCUAGUUAGUCACAUUUUCCCUCCCAAUUUUACUAAGCAUCAGAAGGACAAGCUGAAAAGCGAGUCCAAAUAUUAUAUAUGGGACCCAUAUUUGUGGAGGUGUGAUGCUGACCAGGUAAUUAGAAGGUGUGUGCCCCAAUCAGAAUUCCAGUCCAUUUUAGAGGUCUGCCACUCCUCUGAGAGUGGUGGACAUUUCGGCCCACAAAGAACAGCUAGAAAAAUUUUAGACUGUGGAUUCUUGUGGCCCACUCUUUUUAAAGAUGCUGCUGCUUUCUGUAAAUCUUGUUCCCCAUGCCAAAGAUUUGGUAAUAUAUCCAAGAGGGAUGAGAUGCCCCAACAAAUUAUGUUGUUCUGUGAAAUUUUUUAUGUUUGAGGCAUUGACUUCAUGGGUCCGUUUUCAAACCCUAGCGGUUUUUUAUAUAUAUUGUUAGCUGUGGAUUAUGUUUCUAAAUGGGUGGAAGCAAUUCCUACCCGUAAUGAUGAUGCUAACACUGUUGUCUCUUUUGUUAGAAACCAUAUUAUCUGUCGCUUUGGAUCACCACGAGCAAUCGUGAGUGGUCAAGGCACUCACUUUUGUAACAGGAGAUUAACAUGCUUACUGAAGAAACAUGGCGUCCUUCACAAGAUAGCAACAACCUACCAUCCCCAGACUAAUGGGCAAGCUGAGGUGUCUAACAGAGAGAUAAAGUGCAUAUUGCAGAAGAUAGUCAAGCCUCAUAGGAAGGACUGGAGCACCAGGCUCCAAGAUGCGCUUUGGACAUAUCGGACAGCAUACAAGACACCAAUCGGGAUGAGCCCUUUCCACUUAGUUUAUGGAAAGGCCUGUCACCUCCCAGUUGAGGUAGAGCACAAAGCUUUCUGGGCGGUAAGAGAAUACAACAUGGGAUUUGAGAAAGCCAGAGCUGAAAGGAAGCUGCAACUGCAAGAAUUAGAGAACCUUCGCCUAGAAGCUUAUGAGAACUCCAGGUUGUACAAAGAGAAGGUGAAGGUUGUGCAUGAUAAGCACAUCAAGAGGAGGGAGUUCCAACCUGGGGACUUAGUCCUCCUUUAUAACUCCAGAUUGAGGCUCAUGCCAGGCAAGUUGAGAUCAAGAUGGGAAGGUCCCUAUAGAGUAGAGAAGGCUAAGCCAUACGGAGUCUUUCACUUGAGUCAUCCUUCAAGCUCCGAAUUCAUCAAGGUUAAUGGACAUCGCUUAAAGCUAUAUCAUGGUGAGAAGAUGAAGAAAAAUAAAGAGUUAGUGAUCUUCCUCUUGGAGGAUCCACCAACAGCAGAAGACUGAGCUAGUGGACCGUCCAACUUAAGGACGUUAAAGCAAAGUGCUGGGUGGGAGACAACCCACCAUGGUAUGAUCGUUCCUCUCUUCUUAGUUUUUAUUUUUAGUGACUCUUCUCCUUAUUUCUGUAUUUAGUCUGCAUUUGCAUCUGCAUACAAAAAAAGGGGAGGCACAUGAUGCGCGAGCGUCACUGACGCGUUCGCGUCAUAUGUGCAGGCGUGAAAAAGGGGAUUGAACAGAGAGUUACGCGGGAGCGUGGCUGGAGGCGUGCCUUAGGCACAAACACGCCCACGCAGACGCGUCCCUGACGCGUCCGCGUCAUUUGUGAAAUCAUCCCCCACGCGUUCGCGUCUCCCACGCGCACGCGUGACCCUGAAAAAUCGACGUAAAAAGGUGUAUGGAUAGAGAGUUAGGAUGGAGUGGUGCUGAAAUGAUGCUAGAAGCACAAGCUGUAUCACGCGUAUGCGUCCCUGACGCGUUCGUGUCAUUUGUCCCAACCAGACCACCCACGCGUGCGCGCCACCCACGCACACGCGUCACCCUAAAUUUUGGCAAUUUGCAUAUGAAACAGAGAGUUGUGCGUGCGCGAGGCUGCACUCGCGCCAAUAGCACAAAUCAGGUUAUGCGUGCGCAUCACCCACGCGUACGCGUCACUUGAAAAUAGCGCAAACCACGCAAACGCGUGCUCUACGCACACGCGUCACAUGUGACACACAACUUUACUAGAUUAGCGCCAGAAAUCUUAUCUUUUCUCCUCCAAUCCUAAUUCUUUCUACUCCCUUUUUAAUUCUUUCUCAUUCCUUCUUCCUUCUUUAUUCCUUCUUACUUUUUACCUUCUUCUCUUCCCUCUUCAUCUUCUUCAUCAAGGUUCUUUUCUUCUCUCCCUUUUUACUUUUUCAUUAUUACUUUUAUUUAUGUUUUCUUCUUCUUUUUUUCUUUUUACUUUCAUUAUCUAUGUUUUCUUUGUCUUUCUUUUUCUUUUUACAUCCUUUUAAUUGGUGUUAGAAACUUAUUUGGGUGAUUCUUUUCUAUAUUUUGCUUGUGGAUUAUUAAGGAGUUAUUGACAAUUAUCACCAAUUAUUUUUGGGUUGCUUGCAUGUUCCAAUUUACUGCUUUCAAUCACAUAUUUACCAUGCAUGCUAAGUGUUUGUGAAAAAGUCUGUAUGGCAUUGUGUAUUUUUUUUAAUUAUUCUAUUCUUCUACUCUAAUGCCUGUUUCUUUCACAAAACCCCUUUCAAUUUUUUAUUAAUUGAAAAUAAUUGUCAAUACAAACAGAUUGUUAGUUUGAAACACUUGAUAAUCAAAUUGGGCAAUUAAUGCUUGAUCUAUGCUACUCAUGUCUUUGCUGGCAUGCUAAUAAAUAUCUUGCAUCUUGCCAGAAUAUGCCCUAGCUAUAUUUCCAUUGAUGAACUGGUCACAUGUAGUCGUGACCAUGUGAUAAUAGUCAUCUUCCUUUACCUUGGCAUUGAUUAUCACUUGUAAUGUGCUCUUCCUUGCUUUAACCUUUGGCUUCACAUGUUACUUUCCUUUUUCCUUUUCAGGAUGGCCACCAAGAAGGGUAAAAAGAAAGCUACUCCCAAACCACCAGCAAGGAGAGGAACAAAAAGAGUACUCACUGCGGAACCAUCUUCGACAUCAGUAAAGCCCUCAUCAAAGCGAGUCAAGAGGAUCAUUAAGGUCAAUGAGACAGAGAAAGCCUUCCCAGCAAAGGACACUGCGCGAUUCACCAACCGCUACUGUGAGCAGAUGUUCCCCAUCCUGGCUGAGCGAAGCUAUAACAAUGAGCACCUAUUAAUCCUCCCUACCCACAUUGUUGAGUUGGUUUAGCCUCGAAUUGAGCGUAGACAUUGGGGAUUCCUACGAAGACAGCCACGGCAGGUUAAUCUCUCAUAAGUAGUUGAAUUCUACUCCAAUUUUCACAUGCCAACCCUACAGUCUGUCUAUGUCUGUCAGAAGCAAGUCCCCAUAAAUGAAGAGGUCAUUCAGCGAGCUUUAGAUCCUCCCCCUACUCCAAAAGGAUUGGACGUAUUUCAAGAAGCCUCUGUCAAACGCCAGAGAUACAAAUUUGACUGGGACGCCGUUCUCAGAGUCAUAGCACAACCUGGCAGCAGAUGGACCUAUGGAUACCAUCGUUCCCGACCUAAAGAGAUAUUGGCUUCAGCACUCACCCUGGAGGCUCGAGUAUGGGCAUAGAUUAUGUCCCAUUACGUCUUUCUGAGCACUCAUGAGUCCUCCUUCACUGCAGAUAUGGCUGUUCUCCUCUGGUGUAUCCUUACAGACCAGCCCCUCAACUUACCAAGACAUAUCCGGCAUGCCAUGGGACAUGUACAAAUUGCGGGCAACCUACCCUUUUCCGCCUCGGUUUCAGAUCUCAUGUCCGCAGCCGGAGUCUCCUACAGAGCUAGGGAUACCAAGGACAUGAUUCCAUGGGUUGAUCAGAUUGUCCCCAAUGGGAAAUACAUCAGACCUCCAACAAUAACCACUAGCCGGCCUGCAGACCCGGUCGAAGAUAUUCCUCCUCCUUCCACAUCACAAGCACCUUCCACAAAUCAACUGCUCUAUCAGAUACUUGAAAGGUUGGACCAGAAAGACCAAAAGGCAAAGCUAAGGGAGCGCCGUAACCAGCGCCGAUACACAUACCUCAAGGAGCUGCUUAUUGGUAGCCACCCACCUGACAAAGACCCAGACACCCCGGACUCCACUUCAUUUACCAGCACAAGGAGCCAUGACGGUCCCGAUUGUGGAGACACUGCUACCAGCCCCCCUUUGUUCCUGAUUGAUGGCACCGAGGACCGUGUAAAGCCUUAAGUGUGGGGAGGUCGGUCAGUACCUGACUUCCGGAGGUAACUUUUCUCUCUUAACACCAAUAGGAUAUAUUUUUUUUUAUUAGGAUAGGAUAGAUUGCAUAGUAAUAGUUAUUUGCAUGCAUGUUCUAAUUGGUUGAAAAAUAAUAAGUCUCUUUUAAAGACUCUAUUUUUGAAAAAUUUCACUAAUUUAAAUUAAAAAAUUUUGUGUUAUAAACUUGUUUGAAGAUUGUAAAUUGGAACAUGGUUUUAAGCUAAGAACACACAACCUGUGAGACUUGAGCCUAAUUAUAUGGUUACAUUAUUUAACCAUAACUUUUUAUUCUUGUGUGUUUACUUCUCUAUGAUUGUAAUCUAUAUUUUGUUUCAUCCUAUAUGUCCAAUGUUUAGUGUAUUUAUAUGCAUGCAUAUGAUUGAGGCCAUUACUUGUUUUGCUCACUUAUCCCAAAUAAGCCUACCCUGCUAAAUCACACUUGUUAGCCACUUUGAGCCUAUUAAUCCCCAUUUGUUCUAUAUUUUACCACAUCACUAACAUUAAGCAGAAAAACAAAUUGAAUACCCCAAUUGAAUUUUUGAUUAGCUUAAGAUAGAGAUUGUGUAUCAACUAAGUGUGGGAAAAACUGUGGGAACAUGGGUUAAUAAGGGAAUGUGUUAUAUUUUUUUUUACUUUGAUAAAAUAUUGGGAAUUUGGGUACCUACUCAUGUGAGACCAGAAAAAAUAAAAAUCCAUGUGCAUUGAUAAGUUAUGUUUAUUUUUCUAUAUAAAAAAAUCAAAAAAUAUUCAAUAAAUAAGCAAAUAAAUAAGGGGACAAAAUUAUCCCAAUACAAAGUUAAGUUUAUAAAAAGAUCAAUGCAUAUGUGAUAAAAUUAAAAGAAAAGUUGAUGCAUGAGUAUGAGAUAAAAAAGUGGGAAUUUUGGGUAGUUAGGCAUGAUUUUAAAAGUAUAUAGAGUGUGUAUAUAGGUGAGAGCUUAGGUUAAUCAAAGAUUCAAUUUAUAGCUCACUUAGCCAUAUAUAAAGAAAAGAAAAAGAGAAAAAAUAUAUAUAAUAUAAAUAAAUAAAUAAGGGGACAAAAUUACCCCAAUGUUAAGUUAAUAAAAGAUCAAUGCAUGUGAUAAAAUUAAAGAAAAAUUGAUACAUGAGUAUGUAAUGCAAAAGUGAAGACUAUGGGUAGCUAGGUAAAGCAUUUUAAAUUAUAUAAAGUAUGUAUAUGUUAGAUGAGAUCUUAGACUAAUCAAGAAUUCACUUUAUAUAGCUCACUUAGCCAUAUAUAUAUAUAUAUAUAUAUAUCCUCACCCUUACCUUAGCCCCGUUACAACCUUGAAAAGACCUCAUGAUGUUUGCAUUGGUACAUUAAAUAUUAUUGAUUGAUUAGGUGAAGAACAAAGUUUAGAAAGCAUGACUAGGGAAGACUAGAGUGAUUACCCUAUACACUUGAGUGACUAGAGUGCACAUACACCAUUAAUAAGGGUUCAAUGCUUGAUUCUAUGUUCCCUUCUUUUAUGAGCUAUCUUCUUACAAGUUUACUUGUCUUUUAUUAUAUGAUUAGAAUUAGUGGAAUUUGAAUUUAUGUUUGUCUUAAAGAACUUAUUUACUUUUAACCAAGUAGACAGAAUCAUAUAGUUGCAUUCAUACAUAGGUUGCAUUGCAUUGCAUGAGUCUUACUUUUCCCUACUCAUUUAUUUUAUCUCCUUGAGCUAAGCAUGAGGACAUGCUAAUGUUUAAGUGUGGGGAGUUUGAUAAACCACUAUUCUAUGGUUUAUCUUGUGUUUAAUUGAGUGGUUUUUAUCAAGUCUUUACCCACUUAUUCAUAUGAUUUGCAUGGCUUUAUAACUCCUUCCUAGUCUUGAUCUAUGAUUGAAAACUUGCUUCCUAGAAUCUUUAAUUUGUGUAUUUUAACACUCCUUUAUACCAUUAGAUGUCGUGAUCCGUGUGUUAAGUGUUUCAGGCUUUAUAGGGCAGGAAUGACUUAGAGGAUGGAGAAGAAGCUUGCAAAAAUGGAAGAACACAAGAAACUAAGGAGAUAACCAGCGAGCAGCGACGCGCAUGCAUGGCUCACGCGUGCGCGCGACAUGGAGAAAAUUGCAGUGACGCGUGCGCGUGCCUGACACGUACGCGUGGAUUGGAGUUCUGUAAUAUGACGCGAGCGCGUGCUUGACGCGAACGCGUGAUACGCCAAAAUGACCAGCGACGCGAACGCGUGACUGACGCGUACGCGUGACAUGCGUGAUCUGUAGAAUUAACAGAAAACGCUGGGGGCGAUUUCGGGCCGUAUUUUGACCCAGUUUUCGGCCCAGAAACACAGACUAAAGCAAGAGAACAUGCAGAGACUCAACACACAUUCUCAUUACGGAUAGUUUGAGUUUAGUCGGGAAUUUUAGAGAGAAUUCUACUCCUUCCUCUAGGGUUCUUCAUAUUCAUAGUUUUAGAGUUUCAUGCUUUUGCUUUUGGAUACUGAGAAGACUCAUUACCUCCGUGGAAGUUUCAUUACUCUAGUUUGUUUUCUUAUUCCUUUACUUUUUACUGCCCAUUAACCCUGUUUGGAUAAGUAUGUUGCAUUUUGGGAUUUAAUACAAGAACCAUUUUUAUUUUUAUUUGAUCUUUAAUUAUUGUCUAUCAUGUUUUCCUUUUAUUUCCUUUUUAACUCUGUAAAGUUUAUAUUCAUGAUAAUGGAGUAGUUCCCCAACUUGAUUGGGAGUUGAUUAAAAGGAGAACCUUGAGUUGGAAUACUCAAGUGUUAAUCCUAAUGGAUAGUUGAUGACUGACAACUCUAAUCUCUGACUCUCAUCCUUCCUUAGGAGAGGAUUAGGACCUGAGGAUAUAGUUUGUUGGUUAGUUACUUGACUUUUCCUUAUUUAUUAAGGGAUGACCAAGUAAGACAACAACCUGUUAGGAUUGCACUUGGAAAAAUCCAACAAGGAUAGAAAUUCCAAUUAAUCUUCUCCCGGUCAAGGCUUUUAAUAAGGAUUAUAUAAUUUCUCUCGUUAAUUUUUACAUUGCUUAAUUUUACUAUUAUUUAUUUCUUUGUUCUCAAACUCAAAAUUUCUGGGAAAACCUCUAACCAAUAAGCUGCACUCUUUUGUCAACUCGUUGGGAGACGACCUAGGACUCAUACUCCCAGUAAUCUUAUUCUUAAAUCUGUGAUAACUCUUUUCUAAAUUGACAAGCAGAUUUUUACUGGUUAAGAACUGUAUUUGCAACGUAUUUCUUACAUUAAUUUCUUAAUCGGCCAAUUUCUGCCACGUCAAUAACCAUUAUCAUCGUCUCCAAAAAUACACAAAAAUACCGGAAUAAGCCAUAUUUUAUAUACGGUAAAUAAAGAUCAUUGUUUUGGUUUUUCCAACCUUUUUUCCCCUCUAUCUUGGUCCUUAAAAAUUAGUUUAUUGAACAACUUUCGUAGAGUUAAAUAUAUAAGUUGUUUGGUUGUUAAUUACCCCAUCAUUUAUGUAGUUUUGUAGCCAAUAAGCUAAGGUGGUUUAUUGGUUUUUCUUUUGUUUUUUUUUUCUUUAUUUAUUGACAUGAACUACCUUGAUGUUUUUAACUUUUUAUCUCCUCUUUCAUAUUAUGGGCUGAUAGGAAUAGUAGGGCAAGAAGAAAAUCUACAUUAUCAUCCAGAUACUACCGUUCAUUUUCUUAAUUUCUUCCAUUUGAUUUCUUCUUAAAACCAAAGGUUUUUUUUUCUUUUAACGAGAAAAAGGCUUGUUUUUUAUUCCUAUAUAUUUUUGAAAGAAUAAUUUUAUGGUAAAGAAGAUUUUGUAUGAAAAGAAUAAAAAGUAUAUAAUUUACUUUAAAAAUUAAUAAAAAUAAAAUAACAUCUUUUUUUAGAUAAAUACUUAACUNNNNNNNNNNNNNNNNNNNNNNNNNNNNNNNNNNNNNNNNNNNNNNNNNNNNNNNNNNNNNNNNNNNNNNNNNNNNNNNNNNNNNNNNNNNNNNNNNNNNNNNNNNNNNNNNNNNNNNNNNNNNNNNNNNNNNNNNNNNNNNNNNNNNNNNNNNNNNNNNNNNNNNNNNNNNNNNNNNNNNNNNNNNNNNNNNNNNNAAUUUAUAAAAAUAAAUCUUCAUUUAUUUUUUAUUUUUUCUUCAUCAUAAGUUUUUUUUUUUUGUCAUUACACUCACAUACAUGUAUUAUAAAUUCUUUAAACAACAUCCAAUCUCAGUUGGAAUUUGAAUCCGAGUGCAGCUUACAAGAGACAUAUAGAUAUGCCAUUCGUAUUCUGCAAUUUGGUGCAGCUUGGUUAAGAGACAAUAUAAUUGUCACUUCGUCUAGGCCUACGGUGCAAAUACACAAGCUAAGAAAAUAUUUGGUUUAGAUUUAGGUUUCUUUAAUUAGAAUUCGAUCCAAAUUCAUGGUUAUAGUGGGCUUUAGUUAGCCCAUGUGAUAUAAAACUUUUGUAAUUUUGUUAUGGCAUGACCAUUAUGCUCAUUUUGGUUAUUCAAUUAAGAUCCACUUUGUUAUUGUUGUGGGUAGGGACCAAUUUUUCUCCCUACUUUUCAAGUAUUGGUUUGUGGUGUUAUGAGUUUUUAUAUCAAUAAUGAAUUGGUCACUGUCCAGACCCCAAAAAGAAAAAAGCAUUGGUCACUGUUAAAUCAAAUAUAACUUAUGUUACAAUUAAUGCUCUUCCAACUGCACUGUCAAUCUGGAUUCGUGGAAAAAAGGAAAGCUUUUUCUCUCCGUACACUUUUCCGUCUUUGCCUCACUAUAACGUGUGUGGCCGCCGAUGAGAGGGGGCUUUGUGAGAGGUGGAGCCUCUCGGUCCCAUGAGCCAAGAAGAGAACCUAACGCCGAACAAGAUCUGCAACAGGGGCUUGGAAAAAAAGUAAAGAAAAAUGGGGAAGGUAAAGAAUUUUCUGGAUCUGUUUGCAUUCAUCCGAGGGUGGAGGCUUGGAUGGAAUGUCAUAAAGAGGUAGAAGAACGGGAACAUUCCGUGAUGCAUGUUGAUGAAACGCCUCCAGAGGAAGAAUCGAAAAAGGGAACACAGGGAUGGUCGACUUCUUUUGCCAACAUAGUCAAGACAGGAAAAAGUGCCCCUCGACAAGGAGACCCCAGUACGGAAGUCAACAGGGAAGAUGAAGCAGAAAAGGUAAAUGAAGAGGAGGACAGAGAUGAUGAGAAUGAAGAUAUAGAUGAUGAGGAGAUUACUAUAAAAAAGAUGCCUAAUGGCUUGCUGAAUCUGAUUAUAGGGGAGAGUAUGCAAAAAGAAAUCAGGGAAGAAUGGUGGAACUCCCUAAUAGUGAAACUGCUUGGCAGAAAAAUCUCUCUUUUGGCUCUGAAAAGGAUUUUUGGAAACUAUGUGGGCCAAAAUAGGAAGCAUUGAGGUAAUAGACCUAGGUGGUGAUUUCUUCCUAGUAAGGUUUUUCAAUUCAGGGGAUUUGGAUUACGCUCUUAUAGAAGGACCGUGGAAGAUUCUAGAUCACUACUUGACUGUUCAGUUUUGGAAACCAGAUUUUGAUUCAACUACGGCGUCCAUUGACAAGAUUGCUGCCUGGGUGAGGCUCCCAGGACUAGCAAUAGAAUAUUACAACAGGACUAUCCUACAAAAAAUUGGGAAUAUAGUGGGAAGAACACUGAAAGUGGAUAGCAAUACUGCAGAGGUCUCCAGGGGAAAGUUUGCCAGAAUUUGUGUGGAAGUGGAACUAGACAAACCUCUGGUGUCCCAAUACCUAAUCAACGGUAUACCUCAUGCAGUUGAAUAUGAAGGGCUCCAUCUAGUUUGCUUUUCAUGCAGGAGAGUGAGCCAUGACAGGGAGAACUGCCCUGAGAAGAAAAAGAAUGCUUCAGAGUCUCAAAACGAUAAUGGCAAAAACACAACAAGAAAUUCAGAGGUAGAAGAAAGGGACAAAAAUGUAAAGGACAAGAUUGACAAGGGCAAAAAAGUCCAGGAAAAAAAUGAUGGGGAUUUUGGCCCUUAGAUGUUAGUGCAGAGACAUACACGUGGCAAAAAAUCCACAAAUCAUGGAGAAGGUACCAGCAAAGGUGGAAAUGUGCAAGAAAAAGGACAGAAUGUGGGUGGAAAUGGGAAACAAUCUCAUUUUGCUGUGCUGCAAAUAGAAGAAUCUUUCAAUGAUGAGGUACACAAAGAGGCAACCCCACAACGUCAUGGUGUGAUUAAUUCAGAUGCUACCCACCAAGAGAAGGCUUAGUCAUCCGAAGCUAACCCUACCCAGCCCAAAACCCGAACCAGCCCACUGCCCAAGACCCAGCCAGCCCAUUUCAAAGGCAUCUCUUUGACCUUACAACAAGCCCAAUCUGUCUCUAAAGAGAACCCAUCUGUCCCUAAACCUGCUUCUUCUUCAGCCCCACCCAGAAUUUUUUCGACUAAUCCCCCCCUUGACCCCCAACACCACCAAGAGAAUUGGGCCAACCCAUCACCCUACAGCCCAACACCCUCCCUUAUUGUUGUAGAUUCAGCGUGUAACCCAACUCCUUCUAAAGAACCCCCUGAUCCAGUACCUCCAAGCUUUGUUUCCAUUGACUCGAGGGAGCUCUCUAUAGUAAUGAAGGACGUUGAAAAUAGAGAGAUGGUAAUUGCAGAAGUGGCUAUGAAAGAGCAUCCUUCUCUGGAGGAUGAAAUGGUGUGCUCGUAAUGAGUACUGGUUAUUUUUGGAAUAAGCUGUUCAAGCAGAUACAGAGUUUCACUCUUUAGUUUAUGUUUAGAUUUUUCUCUAUGAAGAUCCUUGCUUGGAAUAUAAAAGGGAUUGCCAACCAUGCAUCGGUUAGCACCCUUAAAGAACUGGUUAGACAGAAGCAUCCUGAUUUGGUGUUCCUUUUUGAAACUAAAUGUAGUGGCGCAAAGGCUAAGGAGAUUAUCAGAAGCCUGGGUUUCAAAUACUAUUGUAUGCAUGAAGCACAGGGCUACAGUGGUGGCAUCUGGGCUCUGUGGAAUUGUGACUCCCUACAGGUAACCUUUAUUGAUAUGCAUACUCAGUUUAUUCAUAUGUCUAUAAAUGAUCAAUGUAGAGUUCCUUGGGCUUUAACUGCUGUUUAUGCGAGUCCCCAAGAAAGCCUUAGAAAGGUGUUUUUUGAAAAGAUUAAACAAAUUGCUUGUAAUAUGGAUAUGCCUUGGAUGCUAGUUGCCGACUAUAAUGAAAUUGCGGAGGUGUGCGAGAAAAAAGGGGGUGCUAGAAUUGAUGCCAAUGUUUGUAGAAAAUUUAAGGACUGGAUUAACACCUACAAUCUAAUAGACCUGGGGUACUGUGGUACAAGGUUUACUUGGAGAGGGGGGCAGCGCAAUGGGUUGGAGAGAGUUUUUAAACGGUUGGAUAGAGCCCUGGCUAAUGCUGAUUGGAGAAGCUCUUUCUCAGAUGCUAGAGUUGAAGUGCUUCCUAGAGUGAGGUCUGAUCAUCACCCCCUCUUGGUGAUUAUGAAACCGGAAAGAAUGGAUAAAGGUGAAAAGCCCUUCCACUAUGAGGAUAUGUGGAAAUCACACCCCAAUUUUGAUGAAUUUGUUUUAAAAAAUUGGAGUCCUUCUAAUUCAUUUCCUGCAUCACUCAAUUCUCUUGCUGUCAAUUUGAAAAAAUGGAAUAACGAUGUCUUCGGCAAUGUGUUUAAGAGAAAAAGAAGAGUCCUAAAUAGAAUCAAUGGUAUCCAAAAAGCUUCGACCUACGGCAGAAAUCCCUUUCUCGAAGACCUGGAGUAGCAACUUGUUACAGAGCUUGAAGAAAUUCUGAAUCAAGAAGAAACACUCUAGCUUCAAAAAUCUAGACAGAAUUGGAUUGUUGACGGAGAUAGAAAUACAAGGUAUUACCAUACAAAAACAGCCAUGAGAAGGAAGAAAAAUAGAAUCCUUAAGCUUCGAAAAAGUGAUAGGCAGUGGUAUGACCAACAAGAGGAAGUUAUGGAGAUGGUAAUGAAUUUUUUCAAAGCCCUUUACCAAGAAGAGAAUGGCAACUGCACCUACCUUAAUACGGUUUUCACUUUCCCAGAACUCCGUAAAGAUCUUAAAGAUGUCCUUUCUGUUCCUCCUUCAUACACUCAGAUUCAAAAAGCGUUGUUUGACAUUGGGUCCUUGAAAGCCCCUAGGGAGGAUGGUUUCCCAGCCCUCUUCUAUAAGGAGAAUUGGAAUGUAAUAAAAGGUUCAUUUAUCCCUUUUAUUUUACAACUCUGGCAUAACCCUCGGAUUAUUGAAUCCAUCAAUCAAACUCUCAUCACUCUGAUCCCUAAGGUUCCUAAUCCAGAAUUUGUCUCGCAAUUUCGGCCUAUAACGCUGUGUAAUGUUGCUUACAAGACCAUCACUAAAAUUGUGAUCUCCAAACUCAAACCCCUCCUUGCCGAUAGCAUUUCUCCAAACCAGGCCAGUUUUAUACCUGGUAGAAUGAUACAUGACAAUGUUAUUAUUGCCAAAGAGCUGUGGCACAAUAUGAGGAAAUUAAAAGGAAAAAAGAAGUUCAUGUCUAUAAAAAUUGACUUCAAAAAGGCAUGACCGGUUGAAGUGGAGCUUCAUCGAAAAGGUCUUGGAGGAGUUUGGAGUUCCAGACCAAUUGAAAAAUAUCAUUCUCUCUUGUGUGUCUUCUGUUUCUUACAAAAUCCUGUGGAACGGGUGUAAGACAGAGGCUUUUUUGCCUACUCGGGGAAUUAGACAAGGUGAUCCAAUGUCACCCUAUCUCUUCGUUAUGGCUAUGGAGAAACUCUCUCACUUGAUUGAAGAAAAUGUUGUGCGAAGCGACUGGAUGCUGAUGAGCGGAUAAUUUAUACGCUUUUUGGCAUUGUUUUAGUAUGUUUUUAGUAGGAUCUAGUUAAUUUUAGGGAUGUUUUCAUUAGUUUUUAUGUUAAAUUCACAUUUCUGGACUUUAAUUUGAGUUUGUAUGUUUUUCUGUGAUUUCAGGUAUUUUCUGGCUAAAAUUGAGGGACUUGAGCAAAAAUCAAAUUCAGAGGUUGAAGAAGGACUGCUGAUGCUGUUGGAUUCUGACCUCCUUGAACUCAAAAUGGAUUUUCUGGAGCUACAGAACUCGAAAUGGCGCGCUUCCAAUUGCGUUGGAAAGUAGACAUCCAGGGCUUUUCAGCAAUAUAUACUAGUCCAUACUUUGGGCAAGAAUAGAUGACGUAAACUGGCGUUCAACGCCAGCUUUCUACCCAAAUCUGGCAUCCAGCGCCAGAAAAGGAGCCAAAACCAGAGUUGAACGCCCAAACUGGCACAAAAGCUCGCGUUCAACUCCAAGAAAGACCUCUACAUGUGCAACACUCAAGCUCAGCCCAAACACACACCAAGUGGGUCCCGGAAGUGGAUUUAUGCAUCAAUUACUUACUCAUGUAAACCCUAGUAGCUAGUUUAUUAUAAAUAGGACCUUUUACUAUUGUAUUAGGCAUCUUUGAUCAGUUGUAUGCUAUCUUAGAUCACGUUUGGGGGCUGGCCCUCUCAGCCAUGCCUGGACCUUUCACUUAUGUAUUUUCAACGGUAGAGUUUCUACACUCCAUAGAUUAAGGUGUGGAGCUCUGCUGUUCCUCAAAGAUUAAUGCAAAGUACUUCUGUUUUCUAUUCAAUUCAUCUUAUUUUGCUUCUAAGAUAUCCAUUCGGACCCAAGAACGUGAUGAAGGUGAUGAUUAUGUGUGACGCUCAUCANNNNNNNNNNNNNNNNNNNNNNNNNNNNNNNNNNNNNNNNNNNNNNNNNNNNNNNNNNNNNNNNNNNNNNNNNNNNNNNNNNNNNNNNNNNNNNNNNNNNNNNNNNNNNNNNNNNNNNNNNNNNNNNNNNNNNNNNNNNNNNNNNNNNNNNNNNNNNNNNNNNNNNNNNNNNNNNNNNNNNNNNNNNNNNNNNNNNNNNNNNNNNNNNNNNNNNNNNNNNNNNNNNNNNNNNNNNNNNNNNNNNNNNNNNNNNNNNNNNNNNNNNNNNNNNNNNNNNNNNNNNNNNNNNNNNNNNNNNNNNNNNNNNNNNNNNNNNNNNNNNNNNNNNNNNNNNNNNNNNNNNNNNNNNNNNNNNNNNNNNNNNNNNNNNNNNNNNNNNNNNNNNNNNNNNNNNNNNNNNNNNNNNNNNNNNNNNNNNNNNNNNNNNNNNNNNNNNNNNNNNNNNNNNNNNNNNNNNNNNNNNNNNNNNNNNNNNNNNNNNNNNNNNNNNNNNNNNNNNNNNNNNNNNNNNNNNNNNNNNNNNNNNNNNNNNNNNNNNNNNNNNNNNNNNNNNNNNNNNNNNNNNNNNNNNNNNNNNNNNNNNNNNNNNNNNNNNNNNNNNNNNNNNNNNNNNNNNNNNNNNNNNNNNNNNNNNNNNNNNNNNNNNNNNNNNNNNNNNNNNNNNNNNNNNNNNNNNNNNNNNNNNNNNNNNNNNNNNNNNNNNNNNNNNNNNNNNNNNNNNNNNNNNNNNNNNNNNNNNNNNNNNNNNNNNNNNNNNNNNNNNNNNNNNNNNNNNNNNNNNNNNNNNNNNNNNNNNNNNNNNNNNNNNNNNNNNNNNNNNNNNNNNNNNNNNNNNNNNNNNNNNNNNNNNNNNNNNNNNNNNNNNNNNNNNNNNNNNNNNNNNNNNNNNNNNNNNNNNNNNNNNNNNNNNNNNNNNNNNNNNNNNNNNNNNNNNNNNNNNNNNNNNNNNNNNNNNNNNNNNNNNNNNNNNNNNNNNNNNNNNNNNNNNNNNNNNNNNNNNNNNNNNNNNNNNNNNNNNNNNNNNNNNNNNNNNNNNNNNNNNNNNNNNNNNNNNNNNNNNNNNNNNNNNNNNNNNNNNNNNNNNNNNNNNNNNNNNNNNNNNNNNNNNNNNNNNNNNNNNNNNNNNNNNNNNNNNNNNNNNNNNNNNNNNNNNNNNNNNNNNNNNNNNNNNNNNNNNNNNNNNNNNNNNNNNNNNNNNNNNNNNNNNNNNNNNNNNNNNNNNNNNNNNNNNNNNNNNNNNNNNNNNNNNNNNNNNNNNNNNNNNNNNNNNNNNNNNNNNNNNNNNNNNNNNNNNNNNNNNNNNNNNNNNNNNNNNNNNNNNNNNNNNNNNNNNNNNNNNNNNNNNNNNNNNNNNNNNNNNNNNNNNNNNNNNNNNNNNNNNNNNNNNNNNNNNNNNNNNNNNNNNNNNNNNNNNNNNNNNNNNNNNNNNNNNNNNNNNNNNNNNNNNNNNNNNNNNNNNNNNNNNNNNNNNNNNNNNNNNNNNNNNNNNNNNNNNNNNNNNNNNNNNNNNNNNNNNNNNNNNNNNNNNNNNNNNNNNNNNNNNNNNNNNNNNNNNNNNNNNNNNNNNNNNNNNNNNNNNNNNNNNNNNNNNNNNNNNNNNNNNNNNNNNNNNNNNNNNNNNNNNNNNNNNNNNNNNNNNNNNNNNNNNNNNNNNNNNNNNNNNNNNNNNNNNNNNNNNNNNNNNNNNNNNNNNNNNNNNNNNNNNNNNNNNNNNNNNNNNNNNNNNNNNNNNNNNNNNNNNNNNNNNNNNNNNNNNNNNNNNNNNNNNNNNNNNNNNNNNNNNNNNNNNNNNNNNNNNNNNNNNNNNNNNNNNNNNNNNNNNNNNNNNNNNNNNNNNNNNNNNNNNNNNNNNNNNNNNNNNNNNNNNNNNNNNNNNNNNNNNNNNNNNNNNNNNNNNNNNNNNNNNNNNNNNNNNNNNNNNNNNNNNNNNNNNNNNNNNNNNNNNNNNNNNNNNNNNNNNNNNNNNNNNNNNNNNNNNNNNNNNNNNNNNNNNNNNNNNNNNNNNNNNNNNNNNNNNNNNNNNNNNNNNNNNNNNNNNNNNNNNNNNNNNNNNNNNNNNNNNNNNNNNNNNNNNNNNNNNNNNNNNNNNNNNNNNNNNNNNNNNNNNNNNNNNNNNNNNNNNNNNNNNNNNNNNNNNNNNNNNNNNNNNNNNNNNNNNNNNNNNNNNNNNNNNNNNNNNNNNNNNNNNNNNNNNNNNNNNNNNNNNNNNNNNNNNNNNNNNNNNNNNNNNNNNNNNNNNNNNNNNNNNNNNNNCCUGAAGGCUGGGCGUUAGUGACAGAUGCAAAAGGAUAGUAAAUCCUAUUCCAACCGGAUCGAGAACCAACCGGUGAUUAGCUGUGCUGUGACAGAGCAUGUGAGCAUAUUUUUCACUGAGAGGAGGGGAUGUAGCCACUAACAACGGUGAUGCCCUUGCAUAAAGCCAGCCAUGGAAAGGAGUAAGACUGAUUGGAUGAAGAUAGCAGGAAAGCAGAGGUUCAGAGGAACGAAAGCAUCUCCAUUUGCUUAUCUGAAAUUCUCACCAAUGAUUUACAUAAGUAUUUCUAUCUUUACUUUUAUUAAUUAAUUUUGAAAACUCCAUACUAUUUUAUAUCUGCCUGACUGAGAUUUACAAGGUGACCAUAGCUUGCUUCAUACCGACAAUCUCCGUGGGAUUCGACCCUUACUCACGUAAGGUAUUACUUGGACGACCCAGUGCACUUGCUGGUUAGUUGUAUCGAAGUUGUGAACCAUGGUAUUGGCACCAUGUUCUUGGCGCCAUUGCCAGGGAAAGAAAGAGCCAUGAAUUUCACAUAAUCAAAGUGUAAUCACAAUUUCGUGCACCAAGUUUUUGGCGCCGUUGCCGGGGAUUGUUCGAGUUUGGACAACUGACGGUUCAUCUUGUUGCUCAGAUUAGGUAAUUUUCUUUUUGUUUUCUUUUCAAAAAAAAAAUUUUCAAAAAUAUUUCGAAAUUUUCUCCUUUGUUUUCGAAAAAAAAAUAAUAUGAAAAUGUUUUCAAAAAUUUUAUUCAAAAUUUUUAAGAAUGAAUUCUAGUGUUUCAUGAAGCAUGUGAAGUCUGGCUAGCUGUAAAGCCAUGUCUAAAUUUAUUUGGACUGAGGCAGCAAUUUGUUAUCAAGAGUAUCUUCUCAUCUUAUCUUUUUCAAAAAUAUGAUUUCAAAAUAUCUUUUCUAACUUCCUAACUUCUUAUCUUUUCAAAAUUUGUUUUAACUAACUAACUAACUUUUUGUUUGUUUUUUAACUUUUUCAAAACUACCUAACUAACUCUCUCUCUCUCUAAUUUUCAAAAAUAUCUUCUCUCUUUUUCAAAAAUUUCUUUUUAAUUAACUAAUUAUUCUUAUUUUUAUUUUUGAUUUUAAAAAUUUUCGAAAAAUACUAACAUUUUUCAAAAACCAUUUUCGAAAAUCACUAACCCUUUUUCAAAAAAUUAUUUUCGAAAAUUCUCCAUCUCCCAUCUUAUUCUAUUUAUUUAUUCAUCUACUAACAUCUCAUCUCACAUCUCAACCCUCCUCACAGUUGUGUUUCUUCCAUUAUAUUACAUUCUUUGUCUCCCCCUCUUCUUCUACUCACACAGGGAUCCCUAUACUGUGGUAUAAAGGAUCUCUAUUAUUAUUAUUAUUUUUCUGUGCCCUCUUCUUUGUCAUAUGAGCAGGAGCAAGGAUAAGAACAUUCUUGUGGAAGCAGAUCCAGAACCUGAAAGGAAUCUGAAAAAGAAACUAAGAGAAGCUAAAAUACAACAAUCCAGAGAUAACCUUUCAGAAAUUUUCGAACAGGAAGAAGAGAUGGCGNNNNNNNNNNNNNNNNNNNNNNNNNNNNNNNNNNNNNNNNNNNNNNNNNNNNNNNNNNNNNNNNNNNNNNNNNNNNNNNNNNNNNNNNNNNNNNNNNNNNNNNNNNNNNNNNNNNNNNNNNNNNNNNNNNNNNNNNNNNNNNNNNNNNNNAAACAGUUGACCAAAAAGUGUCCUUCUGACAUGCUUUCAGAAUGGACCAUCCUGGAUAUAGUCUAUGAUGGUUUAUCUGAGUUAUCAAAGAUGUCAUUGGAUACCUCUACAGGUGGAUCCAUUCAUCUAAAGAAAACGCCUGCAGAAGCGCAAGAACUCAUUGACAUGGUUGCUAAUAACCAGUUCAUGUACACUUCUGAAAGGAAUCCUGUGAACAAUGGACAAUUUUUAUUUAUCUAACUAUAUUUUUCUUAGUUAUAUGUCUUUAUAGGUUCAUGAUCAUGUGGAGUCACAAAAUGAAUAUAAAAAUUGAAAACGGAAUCAAAAAUAGCAGAAGAAAAAAUCACACCCUGGAGGAGCAUCUGCCUGGCGUUCAACGCCAGAACAGAACAUGGUUCUGGCGCUGAACGCCCAGAACAAGCAUGGUUCUGGCGUUCAACGCCAGAAAUGGCAAUAAAUGGGCGUUGAACGCCCAAAAUGGGCACCAACCUGGCGCUGAACGCCCAGAGUUGUGUGCAAAGGCAUUUUACAUGCCUAAUGGGUGCAGGGAUGUAAAUCCUUGACACCUCAGGAUCUGUGGACCCCACAGGAUCAUCUCAGGAUCUGUGGACCCCACAGGAUCCCCACCUACCUCUACUCAACUCUUCUCAUCCAAUGGUGAUGCCCUUGCAUAAAGCCAGCCAUGGAAAGGAGUAAGACUGAUUGGAUGAAGAUAGCAGGAAAGCAGAGGUUCAGAGGAACGAAAGCAUCUCCAUUUGCUUAUCUAAAAUUCUCACCAAUGAUUUACAUAAGUAUUUCUAUCUUUACUUUUAUUAAUUAAUUUCGAAAACUCCAUACUAUUUUAUAUCUGCCUGACUGAGAUUUACAAGGUGACCAUAGCUUGCUUCAUACCGACAAUCUCCGUGGGAUUCGACCCUUACUCACGUAAGGUAUUACUUGGACGACCCAGUGCACUUGCUGGUUAGUUGUAUCGAAGUUGUGAACCAUGGUAUUGGCACCAUGUUCUUGGAGCCAUUGCCAGGGAAAGAAAGAGCCAUGAAUUUCACAUAAUCAAAGUGUAAUCACAAUUUCGUGCACCAGAUGCCUAUGAGAGUAGGUCGGGAAGGGCCAUCAAUUUCUCACCUUCUCUUCGCAGAUGACCUGUUGCUUUUUGCUGAGGCUUUCACUCAACAAAUAGAUAAUAUUGGGAGAGUCCUUGAGCUUUUUUGCACUAUGUCGGGAUUAAAGAUAAAUCAAGCAAAAUCAACCAUAUCCUUUUCCAAAAAUGUGGAACAAAGCCUGAAGGAUAUUAUCACUAACAGAUGCAAGUUCAAGGAAACUAUCGAGCUGGGAAAAUGCCUGGGUGCUAUGAUUACCAAUGGAAGAACGCAAAAAAGAGAUUUCAAGGGUGCAAUGGAGCGGGUGUAAACCCCGGUUAAAUUAGUAGAUAAUUAGUUAAUAAAUUAUUUUUUUAUAAGGAGGAUUAGAAACAUGAAUAUUAUAUCAAAUUAGGGUAGAGCUCAUCGAAACGAGAAUUUUGACACCAAUUUCGAAGAAAACGGUCCAAGAUUGGACCGAACGGGCCGAACCGGUUGAACCGGACCCAAACCGGGCCGUGGGCCCAACCGGACCAGCCCUUUAAGUAAAAGCCACGUUCUUCUUCUCCUUAUUUCGGCAGCAUCAGAGAGCAACAGAGGAGAGGCAAAUUCUAAGAGACAGGAAGCUGUAUGCUAAGUUAUCUAAAUGUGAGUUUUGGAAGAGUGAAGUGAAGUUUCUCGGCCACGUGGUGAGUAAGUAGGGGAUAGCUGUGGAUUCUGCUAAGGUGGAAGCAGUGAUGAAUUGGGAGCGACCAACUUCAAUGACAGAAAUCAGGAGUUUCCUAGGUUUGGCGGGGUAUUAUCGCAGAUUCAUUAAAGGAUUUUCACAACUCGCCUUACCUUUAACUAAAUUGACUAGGAAGGAUACGCCUUUUAUCUGGACUCCGGAAUGUGAAGAGAGUUUUCAGGCAUUGAAGCACAAGUUGACUACUGCACCUGUAUUGGUAUUACCUGAACCAAGUGAAUCGUUUGAAGUGUAUUGUGAUGCAUCUCUGAAAGGGUUGGGGUGUGUUUUGAUGCAGCACCAGAAUGUUGUAGCAUACGCCUCACGGCAGUUAAGGCCGCAUGAGAUGAACUACCCGACACAUGAUUUAGAACUUGCUGCUGUUGUGUUUGCUUUAAAGAUUUGGAGGCACUACCUCUAUGGCGUUAAGUUUCAUGUUUUCUCAGACCAUAAGAGUUUGAAGUAUCUUUUUGAGCAGAAAGAAUUGAAUAUGCGUCAGAGGAGAUGGAUGGAACUUCUGAAAGAUUAUGAUUUUGAAUUGAAUUAUCAUCCAGGAAAAGCGAAUGUUGUAGCGGAUGCUUUGAGUCGGAAGUCUUUAUAUGCAGCUUGGAUGAUGUUACGGGAAGAAGAAUUACUGAAGGCAUUCCAAGGUUUGAAUUUGGGAGUUAGAGAAGAAUCUGGAAUCCUAUGUUUGAGUCAGUUGCAGAUUUCAAGUGAUUUUAAAUCCGAACUUCUGAAGGCUCAUCGAAACAGUGAAGCAUUACGUAAGGUAUUACCAGCAGUUGAACAGGGAAAACAAUGGAGACUGUCAGAAGGUCAGGAUGGUUUAUGGAGGUUCAAGAACCGGAUUAUUGUGCCUGAUGUUGGAGACCUACGACAAAGUAUCUUAAAGGAAGCUCAUAAGAGCGGGUUUUCAAUUCACCCAGGGAGCACUAAAAUGUAUCAGGAUCUGAAAGCGAUGUUCUGGUGGCCAGGUAUGAAGAAUGAUGUGGCAUUGCAUGUAUCUAAAUGUCUAACAUGUCAGAAGGUUAAGAUUGAGCAUCAGAGACCAUCAGGAACCCUUCAGCCUUUGGAGAUUCCACAAUGGAAAUGGGAGAGUAUUGCAAUGGAUUUUGUGAUAGGUUUGCCUAGAACCCGAUCUGGUUGUGACGCUAUUUGGGUGGUUGUUGAUCGACUAACAAAAUCAGCUCACUUUCUUCCUAUCCGAAUAAGUUGCACAAUGGAGGAAUUGGCUCGAAUGUAUAUCAAAGAGAUUGUCAGAUUACAUGGUGUGCCCUCUACUAUUAUAUCUGAUAGAGAUCCCCGUUUUACAUCAAGGUUCUGGGGAGCUUUUCAGCGUGCAUUUGGGACUCAGUUAAGCUUGAGUACUGCGUAUCACCCUCAGACAGAUGGUCAGUCAGAGAGAACUAUUCAGACUUUGGAGGAUAUGCUAAGGGCUUGUGUUUUGGACCAGCCAGCAAGCUGGGAUCGGUAUAUGCCAUUAAUAGAGUUUGCUUAUAAUAAUAGCUACCAUGCGAGCAUCGGAAUGGCUCCAUAUGAAGCUCUGUAUGGCAGAAAAUGUCAGUCUCCGUUGUGUUGGUAUGAAACUGGAGAAAGGAGUUUAUUAGGGCCUGAAAUGAUAGCUGAAACGACUGAGCAGAUAAAGAAGAUUCGUAAUCGAAUGCUUAUAGCCCAGAGCCGCCAGAAAAGUUAUGCUGAUCAGAGGCGAAAGCCUUUGGAAUUCGAAGAAGGAGAACAUGUCUUUUUGAAAGUUACACCAACCACUGGAGUGGGAAGAGCUAUUAAGACCAAGAAACUGAAUCCCCGUUAUAUUGGACCGUUUGAGAUUCUGAAAAGAAUUGGGCCAGUGGCUUAUAGAAUUGCCUUACCGCCAUACCUUUCGAAUUUGCACAAUGUAUUUCAUGUAUCACAGCUUCGGAAGUAUACUCCUAAUGCAAGUCAUGUUCUAGAACCAGAACCAAUCCAAGUGAGAGAAGAUCUAACACUCCCAGUAAUUCCGGUGAGGAUUGAUGACACCAGUGUUAAACGAUUACGAGGAAGGGAAGUAUCAUUGGUAAAAGUAGCUUGGAGACGAGCUGGAUAAGUUGGAAUGCAGGUGUAUAUUUAAUAUUUAGUAAUUUGUCGAUGAAUAUAAUUGGUUGAAGUUUAUUGGAUAAUUAAUUAUUAAUUUUGGAUUUUGAAUGUUAUUGUUGAUGAAUCUAUUAUAUGUACUUAUUUUAUUUUAGAGGUCGUAAUAUCACAUCACCUCUGUUUUACGACUUAAGCGUAAAGCUUUGUGUGGUAGGGUGUUACAGCGGGUCAAGAAUAAACUCAGUGGGUGGAAAGUAGGAUGCUUGUCUUUCGCUGGUAGAGUUACUCUGGCUCAAUCUGUGUUAACUCCCUCUCUGAACUAUGAUAUGAUGCAUUCCAUUAUCCCUAAAGGAAAUUGUCAAGAAAUUGAAAGAUUGCAAAGAAAGUUCAUCUGGGCAGAAAAUGCAGGAGAAAGAAAAUUUCACAAUGUGGGAUGGCAUAUUUUAUGCAAAUCCAAAAUUCUUGGAGGCUUGGGAUUCAAAUCUCUUUCCUUGAUGAAUGAAGCCUUCAUGCUCAAAGCUUUCUGGAGAUUAGUGGUGGAUAAUGAUACUCUCUGGGCAAGAGUACUACUGAAUAAAUAUGAUAAAGGGAGACAAUUUCCUGGUGAGAUGAAAGUCAAAGGCUCAGAUUCUCAAUUCUGGAAAAAUCUUAAAAAGAUGAAGACGAUCUUUGACAAGAAUACAAGAUUUUCAAUUGGUAAUGGUAAAUCGACUCGUCUUUGGGAUGAUUCUUGGGUAGAAAAUGAACCUCUUCGUGAGCACCUAACCAGUAAUCAGAUCCCUGCGGAGAUAAGGAACAUGACAAUUAUUGAAGCUGUGGAACAAAACAAUGAUUGAAACUACCCCCUUCUAAAGAAUUAUCUCCCGGAUGUCAUCAUUAACAAAAUAAGAGCUAUCCAUCCUCCUCUUCAAGAAGCGGACAGAGAUCGAAUAUGGUGGAAUGCAACUCAAAAUGGAGAUUUUUCUAUUGCGAGUGCUUAUAAACUUUUAGCAGGGCAUGGAAAACCACAAGAUCAAGUGUGGAAUGUGAUAUGGAAGUGGAGAGGACCCCAAAGAAUGCGGUGUUUCUUGUGGGUGACCACACACAAAAAACUCAUGACUGCAAAAAGAAGAUCAAAACUUUUUGGAGCACCCCCUUUCUGCCACAGAUGCCAAGGAGUCCAAGAGACCCAAGAGCACCUGUUAAGAGACUGCCCAGCAGCAUCUAGAAUUUUGACCCAAUUCAUUCACCCAACCUUCCUUCAAGAUUUCUUUAGAGCUCCCUUCGAAGCGUGGCUCAGAUGGAACCUUUCCACUGAGUUGGGCCGUUCAAACCAAAUAGAUUGGAUAACACAAUUUGUAGUUACCUGCUGGUGGUUAUGGCGCUGGAGAAAUAAGGAGAUUUUUAUGCCGGGUUUUACCAGGUCUAAUGAUCCGUGCUCUUUCAUUUGCAAUCAAGCAAUUUCGAUCAGGAAUGCUCCUUACAAGCUGUAUACUGGAGAGUAUAGAGAAAAAGUAGAAAGACAGAUCUCAUGGUCAUGUCCACCUACCAACUGGAUCAAAUUGAAUUCUGAUGGUGCUUCGUGCGGAAACCCAGGGACAGCAUCAUAUGGAGGACUCUUAAGGGAUGAGAUGGGGCAUUGGGUUGCUGGAUACUAUUCAAACUUGAGAAUCUGUUCAGCUUUCCAAGCAGAGAUUUGGGGCUUGUUACACGGGCUGAAAACAGCCUGGGAGUUGGGAAUCAGGAGGCUUAUUGUGGAUCUGGACUCAAAAGUGCUUAUGGAUGUCAUUACUAAAGAAAAUGCAGAAAACUAUCCUAGUAAUUUGAUCAGAAUUAUCUCUAAGUGGCUGAAAAAGAACUAGCAAGUUAGAGUAAGUCAUACUUAUAGAGAAGGAAAUAGAGCUGCUGAUUUUUUAGCUAGAGAAGGAUUAAAGUGUAAUCCAGGUUUCAAUUUUGUUGAUGUGCCACCAGUAUCUUUGAGACAAAUUUUGUUUGAUAAUUGUAGAGGGGCUUCCUUACCCCGGUUGAUUAGUGUCUUGUAAUUCUGGGUUUUAGCCCCGUUUAAAUACCAAAAAAAAUAUAACUUAUGUUACUUCUUAAGAUUCAAUCGAUUUAACAUCGAUCACUUCUCCUUACCAUCAACUAUUUGGGAGUCAUUGUUUAGCAAAAGUUAUUAACGUAAAAAAAAAGUAACCUAAUGUGAUUGAAAAAGUAUAGAUAAAUAAUUCAUAAUUAGUCAACUUUAAAUAACUGCAAUUAAUAAUGAUUAAUUUUGUAUUUUUAUAAAAAAUAAAAUUUGAAUAAUCACUAAUUAAUGAUAUUUUGAAAAAUCAGGAUUACCAAUUGACCGCUCCUCCCCCUUUCUUUAUGAUUGAUUUUCAAAUUUUUCUAUUAAGAUUUUGUUAUGUCUCAAAAGAUUUUUCUUUUACUUUCUUUUUUUCUUUCCAAUUUUAAUUCUCUAAUUCUUUUUUUAUUUUUUCAAAUUCUUUUUUUUAUUCGAAUCUAUUUUUUACAACUUUCUUUCCUUCUUUCACUCUUUCUAUUCUUCUUAUUUUUCUCUAACCCUAUCAUCAUCACACCCUCAUUCGUAUCAUAAACUAAAAAAGGGGAGAAAAUCCACAUUUGAACCCAAAGAGCAUGAAAGAAGAGGAGGAAUUAGUUUUGUGACAGAGAAAAAUUUCUCUAAGAAACUGUACACAUGUACUAAAAGUCUAUUUGAUCGUGUGUUUUCCGAUAAGGUAUUUUCAAUAGGAACCAUUGAAAAUGCAUUAAAAGCUAUUUGGGGGAGGUCAGAUGAAUUUAGACGAGUGCAAUUAGGAUCAAGCCAAUUCUAAUUCUUUUUUCAAAACGAGUUAGGUGUACUCAAAAUUGAGAAGAGAUCUUCGUGGCUAUUGAAGGAUUAUAUUUUACAUGUUCAGAAGUUGAUAGAUCCCGACUUUUAAGACUACGAAAAAAUUAGUUCUUUUUCAAUUUGGAUUUAAUUCUGGGAGUUUUUAGAAAAAUUCAAGAGUGAAGUUGGUUGUAAAUUGGGUGAGAAAAUUGGUAAGAUUAUUAAUAUUGGCCUUUCUCUGUCAAAAAAAAGGAAUCUAGAAUUCUUAAAUCUAGUUUUUAUCAAUGGUGAUAAAAGGGUGAAGGAUUGAAUGGUUGCUCUAGGAGGUAAAGUACUGAAAAUUGGAUUAUAUGAACGUAGGACUUGAUUCGAAUGACUACUCUAGGAGGUAAAAUGGUGGAAACUGAAUUGAGAUAUGAGCGUAUUGAGAUCUUUUGCACCUAUUGUGCUCACCUUGAACAUGAUUCAAAGCACUGCUAGAUCUUCAUGUUAGACUCUGCUUCAGGUGAUAUUAAAGUGGAAAGCAUUGGCGAUUGGAUCAAGGUUGGUCAAGUAGAGAAAAUAAUUGACAAUGAUAGUAGUGAUAAUGCAAGCAACUUCAGAAAUUAUAAUCUAAGCCUUCACAACCAAGAAAAAAGCCUGUCCCUUCUUGGUUGCUUGAAAGCUUCUCUAAACUGAAUAUGAAGGAUAAAAAAAUGAAGUUUCAAGGAGUACAAGUUUCUCAGCCAAAUUCCAGAGUUAGCUCGGCAACCAAUAACAAAAUCUAGUUCUCCUAUUAUAUUAGAAGAUAUCACAAGCUCCAUCAAUGAAAUCCAAGAAGACAAUCAGUUGAUAAUAGAAGAAGUUAGUAGCAAAAACCUGAAUCUAAAAUAGAUGGCAAUAUUUGUGAGGAGUUUCUUUGUUGGAGGUAGAAUUUUGAAAAGUUUUAACCACACCAAUAUUUGCCUAGUGGUCCUAGAUGUGAGCAAUAUGACUCAGGUAAGUCUCAUCAGUUUGACCUUUAUUGUCUACAAAAUUAUUUUGAAGGUGUUGGUCCACAGACUCCAAGGGUGUAUGAAUAAGAUAAUUAGCGCUACUUACAAUACAUUCUUAAAAGGUAGACUUAUUUUUUAUAACAUUCUUGUAGGAAAAUGUAUGCACUAUCUUAAAUAAAAGAAGUGAAGCUUGGAAUACGAAAUAACACUCAAGCUUGGUAUGAGUAAAGCCUACGAUAAGGUGGAGUGACAUUUUCUAUGGUUUAUUAUGGAAAAAGUUGAGCUUUGAAUCGAGAUUCAUCGACUGGAUUCGUGAAUUGAUGACAACUGUUUCUUAUUUUGUUGUUGUGGAAGGUCAACCCUAUGAUUUUUUUAAACCAAAUAGAGGCAUUUGUCAAGGUGAUCUUCUAUCCUUUUUCUCUUUUCUUAUUAUGUGCAAAAGGACUUUCCUUCUUGUUACACAAAGUAGAGGAAAACAAUCUCAUCUGGAGAAUUUCGAUAAACAGAAGAUGCCUAACUAUAAAUCACAUGUUAUUUGUUGAUGAUACCAUUUUAUUCGGUAAAGCCUCGGAAAAUAGUUUUGCCUUAAUUCUAGAAUUAUUGGAUGAGAGAUUCAAUAGGCUUAGAGUUAAUCUUAAUAAAUCGGCCCCAUUUUUUUGUAAUAACACUCCAAGGCCAAUUAGAACCUCUCUAAUAGUCCAACUGAAUAUUUCUCAUAUAUAUGCACAGGAUAUUUAUUUAGGCAUACCUUUCCUUGUCAACUGCUCUAAGAAAGUCACAUUCAACUCAAUCAAAGAUAAGAUUCUCAAAAGAACACAAGAAUAGAAAAAAUAUUUGUUAUAGGAAGACAGGUAUUACUCUGACUAAUCGGUGAAGUUAUACCAAUCUACACCUUGUCAUGUUUUAAACUUUCAGAUAACUUGCUAAAUAAAAUUCAUAGUAUUCUAACCAAUAUCUAGUGAGGGUAGCAAAGUUCUGAAAGGCAAAUAGUGUGGAUUAGUUGGGAUAAGAUGACUAUGUCUAAGAAAGAAGGUGGGCGUAGUUUCAAAGAUCUCAGGGCUCAAAUCUAGCCUUUUUAGGUAAAUAAUGCUAGAAAAUUGUGACUUAACCUAACUCUCUUCUUUUUAGAAUACUUAAAAGUAAAUGCUUUAGAUUUAAUUCUUUUCUUGCAGCAGAAGUAGGAACCUUACUUUUUUGGAGUUGAAAAAAUAUUCUUGAAGAGUGGAGAGUUACAGAGAAAGGCAUUAGUUGGAAAGUAAGUUAUGGUGAUAUCCGAAUUUUUAAUGAAUCAUGGAUCCCUCCUCUUUACCCUUUCACUAUUCCACCAUCUGUGACACUACUAUCAGAUAGUUACCAUCUGUUAUAGGUGAAAGACCGUUGUCAAAUAAAUAGUGGAAUCAAGUAUUAAUCGUAGACCUUUUCCUCUAGAAAUUGCUCAACAAAUCCUCUCCAUAACCCCAAGAGAAGGUGAAGACACAUAUCAAUAGGGGUUGAACAUAGCAAAAACAUAUGAUAUUGCAUCAGGACUGUCAAAUGGACUUGCCCAACCCGUUUAGGCAUGUGUGUUAUACAGACUAGCCCAUUUAACCUCACUUUAUUCGCAGACUAAGAUUUUAUAGUCCGGACUGUUUAUGGCUAACCUGACGUGUUAAAUGGGCUGGCCUAUUUAUUUGUUAUUUUUUCUUUUUGAAAUUUUUUAAAAAAAAAUAAAAUACUAAAAAAAUCCAAUUUUGAGGACUGUAUAAUUUUGGACAAAAAAAAAUAUUGUUUGGCACAAAAAAAAUUAAAGUUUCAAUAAAUAUAUUUGACAUUAAUUUUUUUUUUACACAUUGCACAUUUGAUUUGAGUAACUAUUAUGUUUUAAAUUGUCCUUUUAACUUAAAAAAGAAUCACAUUCACAUUCAAUUAGUAAUUUCAUAUUUCUAAUUAAAGGAGUAUUCCUAAUUUUCCUAAUAGAUUUAACAAAGUAUUAUAAACCAAUAAAGCAACAUCAUAAUUUUACCAAAAAGCCAUACAAAAAUAAAAAGAAAGUGUUUAAUAGAUUACAAAAGUAGCAAGCAAUGUAAUUCCAAAAUCUUUUAUCUAAUCCACCAGAUUAGUCUACACCUACAAUUGCAAGAAGAAUAAAUUAUCAAAUGAAAGUUAGUGACAUAAUGGUAGAAAAAAAAUUUCAAUAAAAUUGAAUUAAAAAAGUGUAUAAUUUGAAAUAAUUAGACAACACUAAUAAAAUACCAAACAUCAUAUUAAUUGAAUCCACUUUAUCUUUAUAAUGUUCUUUGUCACUUUUAUUUUUACACUCAAAUUCAAUAUCUACAAUUUAAAAUUAGUUAGUAGAAAACUAAACAAAUACAAUAUGCAAGUCAUUUAAUAUUUAAUGCCAAUAGAAGUUAACAAAAUAAAUUUAAAAAAGUGAAUUAUCAUCCUCUUUAAAUCCAUGGAUCUAAUUACGAGCACAAAUAAAAAUUUGUACAUUAUUAUCCAAAAUAGAAUUUCCAUACUUAUUUAGGACAUGUGCACCAAUGGAAAAGGCCGAUUCCAAAGCUACCAUAGUUAUUAAAAUACUAAGCACAUCACAAGUCAUGGAAGCUAAAUCAGAAAAGCGAUGAACUUGAGACCUCCAAUAUUACAAGACAUCUAUUUUGGAAUUCAUAUCAAGAAUUGACUCAUCCAAAUAGAUAUCUAAAGAAGACUUUCUUGGUGAAGCAUUAGUUUGAACAUUUAUAUUUCUCAACUCCUACAAUAUUUAAAAAAAAUAAUAAUAAAAUAGUUAAAAAAAUAACAUAUUGACAGAAACAUAUAAAAUAAAAUUAUAUUAACAUAAUAUACAAGAUAAAUAAGACUUAUNNNNNNNNNNNNNNNNNNNNNNNNNNNNNNNNNNNNNNNNNNNNNNNNNNNNNNNNNNNNNNNNNNNNNNNNNNNNNNNNNNNNNNNNNNNNNNNNNNNNNNNNNNNNNNNNNNNNNNNNNNNAUUUAUAUUUCUCAACUCCUACAAUAUUAAAAAAAAAUAAUAAAACAAUUAAGAAAGUAACAUAUUGACAGAAACAUAUAAAAGAAAAUUAUAUUAACAUAAUGCACAACAGAAAUAAAACUUACAUUAGGCACAUCAAAUGAAAGUGGAUCAUCUUUUCUAGAAAUUAAAAUUUUUAUUUAAUUAUUAGAGACAUUAUAAGAGGCAUUAUGUGACUCAAUUUCAAAAUAUGCUUCAAACAAUAAAUACAGCUUCUUUUUUAUGGUGGUCAAUUUCUCAUUAGCAGUAAAUGGAUCCACUUUAUUCAAAUAAUAUCCUAAGAUAUGAAAUUUCAUUCGAGAAUCUAGAAUAGCUCCUAAAGAUAAAAUCAUAGAAUAAUUGCUCCAAUACUUAUCAAAUUUGGCUUUCAUUAGUUGCACCAUUUUUCUUAUGACAUCAUCCUCACUAUUGGAGUAUUCUUUUAGCAAGCACUCAAUUUUUUAAAUUUGCAUAAAAUAUAAAUUUGAAGUAGGAUAAUAUUGACCAAACAUUAGGGUAGUAAUUUUGUAAAAUGGAUUAAAAAAUUUACAGAUUUCUCUUCCUCUUUUUCACUCUUAUUUGAACGGAUAAUUUUUAAAAUUGUUAUCCUUCAAAAAGAGACUAACAACAAUGCUCACAUCUCAAAGCACUCUUCAACAUCAAGAAAUUAGAAUUUUAUCUAGUGGGCAUAUUUAAGUUCAAUCUAAUGUCAAGAAUUUCAAGUGACUUAAGAACAUCUCUAAAUUGGGUAGCUCGUGCCUCUGAUACUCUUCCAUACUCAAUACUCUCUCUGAUAUUAUAAAAAAUAGAACUAGCAACCUUCAAUACAUCUUGAACUAUCAAGUUUAAAAUAUGAGUACAACACCUCACAUGAAAAAAUUCUCCAUUACACAAUAACCCAUCACUUAAAAGGAGGUUUCACUUGAGUAAAGUUUGAUGCUAUCAUUAGAUGAAGCACUGUCUAAGGCUAUUGAAAAUAUUUUCUUCUCUAUUACCCAUUCAAAUAACAACUAAAGCACUUUAUUUGCUAAUUGAUACCCCGUAUGGAGAGGGAGUAUGUGAAAAGAGUAUCUUAAAAUUUAAUUUUUACCUAAAAUCAACAUAAUGGGUAGUCAAAGUCAUAUAACCCUCUGUUGUGCAUGAAGUCCAAAGAUUAGUAUUUAAAUAUAUCCUACUUCAAAGUUUUUCUCUAACUGGCAUUUUAACUUUUCUUUUUCAACAAUAUAAAAUUUGAAAAUAUCAGCUACAACAAUGUUCUGAUAAAACAUCUUAGCAUCAGGAUUCAAGUACUUAAAAAUAUCCCUAAUCCUUCUAUACUCAACAAAUGAGAAAGAAAAAUCAUGUUCUAUGAUUGCUAUUGCAAUUAAUUCACGAAAAACCACAAGAUCAACUUGCCUAGCCCUUAACCUCCCAGCUUCAUCAAGCAUCAUUCUUUUCAAAUCAUGAAAUUUAGGAAGUUCACGACACACAGGAAUAUGUCAUUUCAAUGUAGAGGUACCAUGAGUACUAUUCCCACCUCUGUAUUCUUUUUCACAUCCUUUACAUUUGCACUUUACUUUGCCAUCUUUUUCAAAUAUUUUUUUAAAACUAUCCCAGAUACUAAAUGUAGUUGACCUUUUUCUCUUUUUAGAAAUUGACCCAUCAAUAGCAAUAGGUGGAAUACUUACAAGAGGUGUCGCUUAAGUUACUUCCAGUGGGACUUUGUCAUCAACAAGAUCAUUAAAGUCAUCAUUAGAGUCUGAGUCCAAGAAAAUGUGUUCUACCUCAGCAUUUGGAUCAAUAAGAUCUCUUGCAUAGUCAUCCAUAAUUCCAAAAUAAAUCACUAACCAAAAAUACAAACACAGAAUUAGAUUACUCUUUAUCAUUUACAAAAAAUAUUAUUACAAAUAACCCAAAAUAAAAUAGAAUAGAUAAAUAAUUGACGUUGGUAUCAUACUAUUCAUCUAAACGUUGAGAACAUAAGAUUUAUAAAAUAAGAAAUAUCAUGCAUAUUUUAUUGUUAAGACAAGAAAGUAAUCUUACAAUUAUUGAAAGAAGACUGAUAACCGAAGACUACAAAAACUGAAGAAGAGUAGAAGCUAAACGAAGAAUUAAUAAAGUGAUGAAGACUAAGGAGCCAAUGGUGAUGAGAGGUUUGUAAGGCUCCAAUGGUAGAGAUGCUCAUCGACGACAACGAUGAAGAAGUUACGGAAGAGGGAUGGACAAAUAUAAAUUUGUGCGGCUGUGUCGAAGAAUUAGAGCUACUCCAGAGAGCUUUUUCUUUUUUCUUUCUAAUUUUAAUUUUUAGCGAGUGGCUGAGCAAGUGAGAAUUUUCAAUUUUGUGUUGUAUUUGUAUUGUAUCCGGGUCGGAUUUUUUUCGGCUGUGUUAUGCAUAGUAUUGAGCUUAUGGUGUAAGGCUGUGUUAUGCAUAGUAUUCGGUUGGGUUUUUUCGGAUGGCGUUGAGCAAAAUCUUACAUUUUUUAGUAUUUUAAAAAAAUAAAAAUUUAUGCGGGCCCUCGUUUAGCCUGUGGCUUAGCCCGUUUAACUCGUAUUUUUUUCGGUUAAUCAGGUUUAGCCCAUUUAGCUUGAAAAUUUUAACGGGCCAAAAUUAGAGGAAAAAAUUUGGCCAUUUAAAUGGAUAAAUGAGCCGGACCGUUGGGCCUGACUCGUUUUGACAGCCCGAUGCAUCAGUAUCAGGAUACAAGAUUGCUUACCAAUUUUACCAUACUUUCAUUGAAUUCUGUCCGAACUUCAUACAAUAAGGAUAGUUUUGAGAAAUUUUUGAAAGCUAAAAAUUCCUCACAAGAUUCUAUUUUUUAGUGUGAAAAAUUCUUCAUGGUAAGCUUCUUGUUCUACUUCUCUUCCACCAGCAGUUCUCAUCCACUCUGGAAACUUGCCCAAUCUGCAAUUCAGCACUAAAAUCAAUCAUGCACUGUCUAUUUUUCUAUGGUAAGAGUCCUUUAGCUUAUCUCAUCCCAGAUUUUAGAUGUUCCUUGUUCUUCGAUUGGUGGAGGGAUUCGGACAUUCGGUGUUACAAGAUAGACUUUAGGGAACAAGUUCUCAUAGAGCUUGGCUUGGUAUUGAUUAUAGCUUGAAAUAUUUAGAAAGAGUGGUGUCACCGAAUGUAAGACAUAUUUUUAAAAUAAUUUUUAAAAAUUAAAUGAGUUUCAAUUAAUAUGCUAUGCCCCAAUUUUAUUAAAAUUACUAGACUCUAAUUAAAUCCAAAAUCUCCAAAUUAAAACCCCAAUUUUUUAUCUAACCCUAACCCUAAUUUUCACUAACCUCUCUCACCCACCCCUACACCUACACACAAAGCACACACACACAAAACACACACACAAGCUAACACAAGCGCGCACACACACAUGAAAAAGAGAGGGAGAGGAACAGAGAAGACAGAGCGUAGGGAGGGAGAAGGAGACCGCCCAGCACAUGGCUGCCGCGUUGCUUAGGACCGCCGGGUCACCGUCCGUGAAGCCGUCGUCGCCGGUCCAUCCACGAGCCGCCACGAAGAGGAGUCAUUCCGCCCAGUCGCGUCGCCGUCCGUGAAGUUUGCCACCGCUGCUGCUAUCCGUGCCGCCGUCAGGGUCGCGUGGAGGACGGAGGAGGCGAGCGUAUGGUCACCGCCUCCGUGUGUCAUCGCCGGCGCAUUCUGUUCUGUCGUCGCCUUCGCAGAGGUCCAAGUCGCCGGAGCUCCACGCCGCCUCUGCCUCCCGAAAUCCCGUUGUCGUCGCCGGAAAACACUGCCGGUAAGGGUUUUAAGUUUGAUUUCUGUUCUUUUGGAUUUCGAGAAGAUUAUUGACGCUGCGUGAUUGUUACAGUCACUGUCACCAGGAUUUUUGCUCGCCGCAUUCGCUUGAAGUUAUUGUCGGAGCUACUACCGGGUUGAUUCAGAGUUGCGGCUGCUUCGUUUUAUUAUUACAGUAAGUAAUUAUGUUUCGAAAACCCUCAUAUUAGUAUUUUGUUAUGUCUGGUUAAUGAAUCUGAGGUUUGGUAACGUAGGGUCGAGUUCUGGUGGUUACAUGUGGCUUUUACGUUACUGAGGUUGUGGUUACCGUUGUUUUCGGGCCGAGGAAAAAGGUUUACCGGUUUCGAUUUGUCAGACAUAGGUGGUUUCUUUCUAAAAACUCACUUUUAUAAUUUGGAAUUGUUAUAAUUACAUAUUGAUGGGAGAAUUACACUUUUUAGUGAUUGUCUAAGUCUUAUGCAUCAUCUGGCUGUUUUUGGAUGAUUAUGAUUGUUUGGUUGAUUGAAUUAUUGUUUGGUUUUGUUAAACAGAUGGUUGCUGAAUCUGUUUCUUUAAAGUUUUGGGAAUGAGUUUGAUUUUUAAAAACAAUUUGAUUUUGGAUUGGUUUGAUUUGGAAAUUAUUUGGUUGGGACCCGAAAAGGAUGGCAAAGUCCAAGUUUUAGAGAAGGUGCUGUCGAAAUUUCUAUAAAAUCUAAGAUUUUUCUUGAAAUGUUAUUUAGAAAUUAUGAAUUUAAGAAUCUUAUCAUUUCACUUGAAUUAGUUAAGAAAAUAAUGAUCUAUGUUUUGAGUGAAUUAUUGAAAAGAGAGUUAUGAUUGAGUUUUAUUUAUUAAGGAAAGUAUUAUAUUUUGAGUGCAAAUUAUUUAGAAAAAAAUUAUGUUUCGAUUUUGAUUUAAUUUAGAGAAAACUUAUGUUUUGAGGUUGAUUUGGAUGUAAAAAAGGUUUAUAUUUUGAAUUUGAUUAAAAGAAUCAUAUUCAGAGGAGUUUUAGUGAAUUUAAAAGAUUGGAUUGGCCUUGUUUUAAGUGAUUUGGUUUUGAAAUUGGAUUGGGACGUUUGAUUUACAUGAUUCGUUUUUUAUUUAAAUUUUAUUUGAUUGAUUUAAAUCAAGAAGAUAUGAUCUUAAAGAUUUUCAAUAAAUUUAAGAAAAUGAGAUAGGAUGUUUCUUCCCUAAAAUCUUGAGACUCUGCUAUGGAGUUUUUAAUUACCAAAUCCUGAUUUUAAGAGUGAAAGAUUCUUAAGUCUUUUGAAAGAAACUUACAAUUUGAAAAUAUAUUGAAGUUGUUGUCAUUUUCGAAGAAUGUUACCAAAAAGGAUGGGUUUUGAUUUUAAAGGAAAUUGAUUUGAGAAAUUGAAAACUGAUGAUGAGUUUGAGAUUUGAAAACGAAUGAUUAUGGAUAAUGAAAGUAAUGAUCUGGUGCUAUGACCAGUGAUCCUUGAGAUUGAGUAUGUGAUUGUGAUAUGCAUUGUUCUCCGUCGUAGUAGCUGUGGCAGACUCUCACCUACAUUCGGAUGUGAGGGCUGUGGCAAUCUCCCGCUUGUCGAGGUAGCGGUGCUGGCGUAGAGGCCGAGGCAGUCUCCCGCCUAUGUUGAGAUGUGAGGACUGUGGCAGUCUCCCGCUCACAUAACCUUUCUAUCGCAAGAGUGAACUCGGGCACUAUAACCUAAAAGAGUGUGCCGGGCACUAUAUCCACGGGUUGAGAGUGAGCAGGGCACUAUAUCCUUGGCGUGGCAGGAAGGCGACAUCCCGGGGAUGUGUCGCGUUAGCAUUUGAACCGAUAAGUGAUAUCACGAGCCAAUAUCAUAGACAUUCAUCAUAUGCAUCUAUAUGACAUUGUUUGGGUAUGCAUAUUGUAAUUGGUUUGCCUAUGUGAAUAAUUAUGCUUAAUUGCUAAUUCCUAUACUUGAUGUAACUGCUUUGUUUGUGUUUUGAACCUCUCUAAUUGUGUUUAUAACUGAAAUUGGUUGGAAUAUGGUGAAUUAGAUGUUGAUUGAGUUGUUUGGGCAUGUGGCUAUGAUUGGUUUGUGCUUUUUGGUUUAGUAAAGUAUGAAAAAUCAAACUGAUUCAGCAUAGACUUAAUGGACCUAUGCUUGGAGUAGGUUGGUCAUUCAUACUGUACAGGAAAACUUUUAAGAUUUUAUAAGAUAGGGAAAAGGUUUUGGAUUUUGAAGAAUUAACUAAUUUCUCUUUUAAAAAGGAUUUUUUUUUUUUGGAUUUUUGGAUUAUUAAACCUUUGGUUUUUGAAAAGAUACAUAAGGCGAACAACGAUCACUGUACGCUAAAAACAGUUUUACUUUACGUAUCUUAUUAUAGCAAUUCUCUAACUCUAUAAUGAGAACUAGCAAGGACGAUAUUCUCACUCCCCUACAGGUGUUUCCUUUUCAGGAUAUGGGCAAAGAAGUCACGAAGAGUUUAUUUCAUUCUGUUUAUAAUGUGUAUUGUAUUAUUUUAGAUAUUAUGUUUUCCCUCGCCUUUAUCUUUAUACAUUUUGUAAGAGGGAUAGGAUUUGUAUUAUGUAAAGCUUGUAAGUCAAUAUUAAAUAUAUACAUUUUCUUGUUAAGUGUUGCAUAUGGUUUGAGUAUGUACUUAUGUCUUCAACUAAAAGUCUUUUGAAAGGUUAUAUGUUUUUUUUUUUUAGUUUUAGCCAGGCUCCUAUCUUAGUAUUAAAUAUGUUAAGAGUCGUCGUAAUGUCUAAGCUAUCAGAGUGGCGUAGCCGGAAGCGUGACAUUAUGAUAGUGAUGGUUUUAUACCGAGUCUUCGAGCAAUGCCAGGAGCCUCCGGAGGAAGUGCUAGCAACAUUGCUUAAGUUGAACCAAGAGCUAUCUAUUUUGCCUUAUGCAUAAUAUCCUAAGAUUUCUUUCUCUAUUUUCUUCUUUAUGUUAUUUUCUUCUUACAAUUUCACCUAUUCGUGAAUUUCUGGGAAUCUUCUUUUUCUAUUUCUCGUGUCCUGACUUUUGAACAUUGUAUUUGUUUCUCUAUUGAAUAAAAUACCACUAUUGUCUUUGAAAGAAAUCAGUUUAACAUCUAUCUUGAUUUAUAACAUAUGUAAUGAAUGUAGCCUUUGAUACUAAAUAUACUUUUAAAAAAUUAUAGAAAUUAAUGUUGAACCAAAAGCAUUUCGCUUUGAUUUUGCUAUCAAGUUUUUUAAAAUUGGAUGGUUUGAAUCAAUGAAUUCAAAAAAAAUGAAUGAAAUUAGAUAAAAAGAGGUUAAGUGAAUAAGUAUUUUAAGGUAUGUGAGAUGUUUUUGUAUCUAUAAAUAAAAGGCAAUUAAUGAUAGAAAACAAUAUCUCAAGGAAAGUCCAAAUUUUACACAACUGACACCAGAGAAAGAUUNNNNNNNNNNNNNNNNNNNNNNNNNNNNNNNNNNNNNNNNNNNNNNNNNNNNNNNNNNNNNNNNNNNNNNNNNNNNNNNNNNNNNNNNNNNNNNNUUAUAAAAUUGGAUAACUCGUUUAUUCUAAUCAAAUUUUUUCUAUAGAAAUCUUAAAUGGGAAAUUUUCUAGGCAAAUCAAAUUUCUGACAUAGAGAUAUAAAGUGGUAGUUUGUGAUGUUCUAUUUAAAAUUAAAUUCUAAUUUGUUCGGUUGGUCGGGUACCGGAUGGAUCAAGGACGUUUUUCGGGUGAAAGGAGCUCUCGACUGGUGAGGGACCAGGGGGUUGGGUGGUGAUGACGGGCAAUGUCCCGAGCUCCUCGCGAGGGGGGUGUCACCUGCAAAAACACUCCGACGCUCAAGUCAGUUAGGUGUGCAGGUGAGAAAGUGGUACAAUAGUGUGUGACGUACCUUGGGGGGAGGGGUAGGACCCUCCCCAUAUAUACCCUAUCAGGAGUGGGUCCCACGAGGACAAACUCACCUUCCUCGAAGUUUUCCAAUACAGCUGUAGCGGUGAGCUGUAAAGGACGCAUGUUCGGGUCGGUUCUCGAACGUCUCGUGCCCCGCCCGUUCAGGUCGGGUAGCCUGUGGAUCGGGUCAGCCAGCAUGUCGUUUGGGCUGGGCCGUAACAGUGCCCCCAACGCGCCAGCGACGGCCAUGAGUGCCGUUGGUGACGCGUUAUGUUCUCCCUUGUGCGUUGUCGCUUGGUCGGCCGCCCGUGGAGAGGACGUGCCUCCAGCACGUGUGAGUUUGCUCGUUGUUGGGGAUAACCUUUCGUCGCCUUGUUCUUCGCGUUAGGCAUUUAAUGCUCAUAAUGGGUUAUUUCAAAACCCUGUGAGCAAAAACCGUUUUACCCUUGCCUUUCGCGUUUCUUGAGUUAGUUUCUUAAUUCCCUCCCCAGUUUCGCAUUCCUCUUCCUCUUCACUUCCUGGUUCUUUCUGCUUCUAUCUUCUUCACUCUCGAAUUUCUUGCUGUGGUUUCUGCAUCCUUGUGCUUCCUGCAAUUAUCCUGGUGAGCGCUCAUUCCUUACUUUUUGCUCCAUGGUUGUUUUAACUUUAUUAACCAUCCCCCUGUAUGCAUGCUACUCCUCUGAUUUCACUUGCAUGUUGGAUGACAUUAGUAUUAGGUAGGUGUAUUAGGGGGGUUACCAUUCUAGUGCACUAGUUUUUAGGAUUUUACUUAGGAUUUGCUUCAGCCAUGCUUGGUUGCAGUUAUUGAGUAGGCGAAAUGUAGUUUCUGAACUUUUUCCGAACUCCCGACCUCGUAGACUAAUUGAGUGGUGCCCCCACUGUAGGUAUGGCCCAACGCCCUGUCGCGAGAGCGGCUUACGACCGGUAUACCUGGGUAACCUCGGACGUGAAAGAUUCUCCGAACUAAAUGGGGGAGGAGGAGCUCACAGAGUUCCGACAAGCCGAGUACCUGUGCGGCGAAACUGAUGAGGAGGCCAACUAUGUGGUCUACGUCCCUACUCCUCAUGAGCAGAUAUAUGAGCUUAACCUACACCCCCCCGGAUUGCCGAUUGGAUUUAGUUCUAUAAGGCAAUGUUUACCUAGUUGGGGUUUCGCAUCCCCUUCUCCCCCUUUCAGAUGGCGUUGCUGAACAAGUGCAACGUAGCGCCGUCCCAGUUACAUCCGAACAGUUGGGCUUCCAUCCGCUGUUAUGAGAUGGUGUGCGAGUAUCUCGACUUGCCGGUCUCCUUCGAGGUUUUCCUUUAUCUUUUCACCUUAACGAACCCUUCGAAGGAGGGGAAGACCAAAAAGGGGUUUAUGUCAUUCUGAUUUGCUCAAGGUUGGUGGAUCUUUGGUUUGUUCGAGGAUUCCUAUCAUGGAUUCAAGGACAAAUAUUUCAAGGUUCGUCCCGCUGAAGGUCGGCAUCCCUUUUGGCUGACUUUGGAAGGGGAACGGCGCAUCCCGACCUACUGGGCUUUUGGGGCGGGGGCCAAUGCCUUCACUAAAGUGACCUACAAGGGGUUAUUGCCCCAAAAUAAGAUUGUCGACGUGUUGUUAGCCGUCUUUUCAAAAAAUCAUGUUAACCCCCACCUCCUUAUGGGUGACUAGGAAGUCGGUAGAAAUUAUAUUUAUGAGUAACUUUAACUUGAGUUUCUUGUGUUAUUGUUACUUUGAUUUGCUAUGCCGAUUUCAUGACUGAGGUUUUGCUAUUUUGUUGUAGUGGGAAUGUCUACCGAGGUGACGGGUCUCGACGCUUUAUUCAACACCUUCCUCGCUGGUGAUAGCGACGAUGAGCCGACUACUGAGAAUCAGGAGGCACCCCCAGAGAAUACUGGGAAUCAAGAGGUGCCUCCUCCUCAUGCCACGGAGCCUUCUUCUGAAAACGUUUCCGACAUGCACACCUCUCCCACUCAAGGUGAAGUGGUCGGUGCUGGUGGUGGCUCCAAUUCUCAGCCAGAACUGAAGGAUGAGGAGGUAGUGGUUGUGAGCAACCUGAAGAGGAAGAGGUCGUCCUCUAGCCCCGAGGGAGUUCUCACUGUGAUGGAGAGGAACUUCGAUGCCGGAAACUUUAUCGAUUCUCAGCUGCUCCCUGGCACGGAGGAGUUUUUCCAUGGUGGGGACCUCCCGGGGCAGGCGAGGUGGAUGUACCACACUCUUCUUCGCGGCGCCGCUAUAGCAAGGAAAGCUGAAUUUUCUUUGUCGGGAAUGCAGUCGAUGCAGAGGAAGCUCGACUCCUCCGUUCAGGCUAAUAACAAAUUCAAAGUUGAAGUUGAGUAACUUCGGGAGCAGUUGGCUAGCGCAGAGGGGGAGGUUAAAGCUGCUGAGGAAAAAGCCCAAGUUGCCGAGGAGAAACUAAAGACCUCCGAUGCCGCCGUCUCCCGCCUAACCGAGCGAGAGCUGGCUUUGGAGGGCCAGCUCAAUGCUGCUCAAGGUCGGGUGGCUGCAGCGGAGAAGGAACGCGAUGAGGCCGCCUCCUCGGCCAAGGCUGAGGCUGCUGAAUUUAAAAAGAAGUACAAAGAGGUCGUGAAGCAGGGGAAAAGCGCCAUCUUGAUGACCGAAGAGGCUCUUAAGGCCCAAGUGAAGGUGGUGGCCCCUGACUUCAAUACGUCGGCAAUUGGGGUCUUCAAGACUAUUAAGGAUGGCAAGAUCGUGGACAUGCCGAAGAAGUGACCUUCGCAGCUUUGAAGUUUGUAGCCUUGUAAUUUUAUAUUUUAUGGAUCUUACUUUGUAAUUUCUGAACUUAUCUUGAUGAAACAUUAGCCGCUUGGUCGGCUUGUAACUAUUGCGUACUUUUUUAUGAUAUUUUGUUGCCGUUUUGUUGAUAUUUGGCUAUCCGUUUAUGUGUGUUUUACCAUUGUGCUGGUAGUCGGCAGAGCCAGGUCGUGGCUUUUAUUGCCAUAGCCGCUUCAUUAUUUUUUGUGGUUCCCGGGGUGAUCAGUCCCGGGGUACCGUGUCGCCGUUCGCAUUUGCAAUAUAUUAUAAAAUAGGAGAAAGGACAGAUUUAAUCAUGAAGUUAACAUUAAUCGAAAAUUGGACAAGUAUAUAUGGCAAUAACAAACAUUUGAAAUAGAAAAUGAAAUGAACAAUGUUAUCCAUUUAAACAUUAGUGGGAACUUUACUGAUCUCGUUAGGUCGUCAGGUCGUCGGGCUUGACCUAAGAGUAAAACCUUCUUAAGUUUCCUAUGUUCCAUGUUCUAGGAACUUCUUUGUCGUCUAGCCGUUCCAACUUGUAGGCGCCCCUGCCAAUUACCUCUUUUACCCUGUAUGGGCCUUCCCAGUUUGCCGCCAGCUUUCCUUCUCAAGGGGUCGGGAGGCCAACAUCAUUGCGCCUCAAGACCAAGUCGUUUUGCUCAAAUUUCCUCUUGAGUACCCUGGAGUUAGCGCAGGGCCAUCCUUUGCUUCAACGCCGUUUCCGACAAGUGGGUCAUCUCCCUGACUUCAUCAACUAGGCCUUUUUCCACGGCCUCCUCGACUCCUCCCAAAAGUAGUCGUGGGCUUAGCUCACCAAUUUCUACAGGUAUAAUUGCGUCCACCCCGUAAGUUAGACGGAAAGGAGACUCCCCAGUUGACGACUGCUACGUUGUUCGGUAAGACCACAGGACUGAAGCAAGCUCGUCAGCCCAUGACCCCUUCUUCUCAUCAAGCCGCUUUUUGAGGCCUAGCAGGAUGAUCUUAUUCGCGGCCUCGACUUGACCGUUGGUCUGUGGAUGCUCCACAGAUGAGAAUUUUUGCUUUAUACCCAACCCGACGAGGAACUCUCCGAAUUUCUUGUCGGUGAACUGCGUCCCGUUAUCGGAGAUAACGACCUCAGGGAUACCGAACCGAGUUACUAUUUGCCUCCAGAUAAACUUCCGACAGUUAGACAAGGAUAUCCUGGCCAGCGGCUUGGCCUCUAUCCACUUGGUAUAGUAGUCGAUAGAAACUAUUAGGUACUUGACCUGACCCGGACCGACCGGGAAGGGUCCUAAAAGGUCGAUUCCCCAGUGUGAAAAAGGUCGGGAGGAUGUUAAUACACUUAGCUCGGUUGCUGGUGCCUUGUGAAAAUUGGCAUUCUCCUGGCACUUGACGUAUUUUCUUACGAAUUCUUUAGAAUCCUUCAUCAUUGACGGCCAGUAGUAGCCGGCUCUGUCGAGCUUCCUUGCUAGGGCUUUACCCCCGAUGUGAUGGCCGAAGCAUCCCUCGUGGACCUCUCUGAUUACAUAGUCUAUUUGGUUGGGAUGCAAGCAUUUCAGCAAGGGUUGGCUGAGUCCCUUCUUAAAUAACUGACCUUGUACGAUUGCAUACUUGGCCGCCUCCCUUCUCAACGCUUUGGCCGACUUCUCAUCUUCAGGGAGCUUACUGCUUUUCAAAAAGUCGGUGAUCGGGUCCAUCCAAGAGGGAUCUAUCUUUGUUAAAUGGAGGGUGACUGCUAGUUCUUUUAUCAAGCCUUGGAUGAGAGAUCGGCUUCCUACUCUCGGCUUUGUGCUUGCCAGCUUUGACAAGAGGUCUGUUCGCAUGUUCCUUUCUCUCGGGGUGUGCUGCACGGAGACCUCCUCAAAUUGCCUGGUCAACUCUCGGACCUUCUCCAGAUAUCUUUGUAGCAACGAGUCUCUGGCCAGAUAUGUUCCAUUGAUCUGCGAGGUCACGACCUGUGAAUCACUACAUAUUUCUAAUCUUGUGGCUCCGACCUCCCUAGCCAGGACUAGGCCGCCUAACAGGGCCUCGUACUCUGCUUGAUUGUUUGAUACCGAGAAUUCAAACUUGAUCGACUAUUCAUAUACGACUCCCGUCGGGCUCUCCAAAAUUAUCCCGGCACCCCCGAAUGUCUGGUUGGAAGCUCCGCCCACGUGGAGUUUUCACCGUGUACUCGGUGUCUUGGUCGGGUCCCUCGUGACUUCUACUAGAAAGUCGGCUAUGGCCUGAGCUUUAAUCGCAUGCCUGGGUUCAUACCGCAGGUCGUAUUGGGACAACUUAAUAGCCCAAGUCAUCAUUCUUUCCGCUAGGUCGGGUUUCUGGAGUACCUGGCGGAUUUCCUGGUCUGUCCUUACGAUCACUUGGUGGCAUUGAAAGUACUGUCGCAAUCUAUGGGAUGAGGUCAGGAAAGCGAGUGCCAGUUUCUCUAGCAUGUUGUAUCUUAAAUCUGCUCCCUGCAGUGCUUUGCUCACAAAAUAGAUCGGUUGUUGGAUUCUCCCUUCCUCUCGCACUAAGACCGCUGUCGUCGCUUCAUCAGUAAUGGCCAAGUACAAGUGACAAGCGAGACUUUUGUUGAUAAAGAAUUUCAAAAUAAAUCCUCGUUGCAAGUAUAGUUUCUAAACCAACAAGAAUCCCUUCGUGCAAAAGUUUUGGUUGCCACAAGUAACAAACCCCUAAUAAAUCAAUAACCGAAGUAUUUAAACCUCGGGUCAUCUCUCAAGGAAUUGCAGGGAGGUGUUCUUAUUAUUGGUUAUGUAAAGGUAUAAUUUAGGAUUUUGUGAAUAAGAGAUAAGAAGAGUGAAUUGCAAAGGAAACGAACUAAUAAUUAUAAAAGCUCAUGGCAAAGAAUGAAAAUUGGAAGUCCUAUCCUUGUUAUCGCCCUCAAUAGUGAUGAGAAUCGUUAGUUGCAACCACUUAGUUAACCCUCUAAUUGUGAAGGAAAGUCAAGUGGAUGAAUCAAUUUGAUUCCUCAAGUCCUAGUCAACUCCUAUGGAAAGACUAGCUUUAGUGGAAUCCAAAUCAAUUAGCAACCUUCAAUUGUCAAUCAACUAAGGAGUUUGAUAACUCAAGCGUCACCAAUUACUCAACCAAAGCCAAGAGGAGAAAAUCUAACUUAAAACUCUCCCAAGCAUUUCAUCAAACACUUGGAACACAUAACACAAAAUAGUAGAAAGGCAAUAAGAGAUAAUAAGAUCCACACAAUCAAUCGCAAGUAUCAAAAACAUAGAUCAAAAAGAGCAAUCUUAAAUAUGAAAUACCUCAAAUUGUAUUAAAUAGAGAAAUCAACAAAAGGAAUGUAUAAACCAAAGUAUUAGAGUCAAUAAGAGUAGAAGAGAAUUAAGUCAAAGAACAUUGAACCUGGAGUUGAGGAGAAAAUAUAUCUAAAAUUAAGAGAAAUCCUAAAUCCUAAAUCCUAAAACCUAGAGAGAGGAGAGAGAGCCUCUCCCUCUAAAACUACAUCUAAACCUAAAAUUAUUUUAAUGAUUGUAUGAAUGUUCUCCCCCUUCAUUCUGCUUCACUCCCAGUCUCUAAUAUGUGUUUUCUGGGCCUGAAACUGGGCCAAAAGGAGCCCAAAAAUUGCUGGGGAUGAUUUUCUGCAACUGCUGUAUGUCGCGCAUAUCACGCGUACGCGUGGGUCACGCGUGCGCGUCAUUUGGUGAAAUUCUUUAUCACGCGUACGCGUCAGUCACGCGUACGCGUCGCUUCUCUUUUGCGCUAUUCACGUGCGCGCGUCACUAGGGAAUGCUCCGGAUCACGCGCAUGUGUGAGCCAUGCGUGCGCGUCACAUCUCGCUGGUCAGCUCCAUUGUUUCUUUGUAUUCCUUCCAUUUUUGCAAGCUUCCUUUCCACAUUCCAAGCCAUUCAUGCCCUAUAAAGCCUGAAAACACUUAACACAUAGAUCACGGCAUCGAAUGGUAUAGAGAAGGAUUAUAAUCUAACAAAUUAAAGGCUCUGGAAGCAAGUUUUCAAUCAUAGUAUUAAAUCAGGAAGGCAAUUGUAAAACCAUGCAAUUUAUAUGAAUAAGUGGAUAAAGACUUGAUAGAAACCACUCAAUUGAGCACAAGUUGGACCAUAAAAUAUCGGUUUAUCAACCUCCCCACACUUAAACAUUAGCAUGUCCUCAUGCUAAACUUAGGAGAAGCUAUUAAGGAGUGAAGGCAAAAUGGUAGGAUGUAUGAAAUGCAAUGCAGUCUAUCUAGAUGUGAGCUACCUACAUGCAUCAUGCUAUUCUAAUUACUAUUUCUCUCUAUAUAUAUAUAAGCAUACAUGUGGUCAAAAUUAGUCAAAUUUCUAAGAAAUCAUAGGUAUGCACAAUCAAGGGCCAAUUCAUAUCAAAACACUUUCACAAUUGAGUUGAGUUAAUCAGAAGAGUUCACAAACUUGCAAGACAAACAAUGGUCAAAUGUGGACAGAAUGGAAUGAGCAGUCGAACCCUCACUGGAAUCGUAUAUGCACUCUAAUCACUCAAGUGUUUGGGGUUAAACAACUCAAAUCUCCUCCAAUCAUGCUUUCUAAAACUUGUUCUUCAUCUAACCAAUCAACAAAAAUUUAGUGUACAAAUGCAGACAUCAUGAGGUCUUUUCAAGGUUGUAAUGGGGCUAAGGUAAGGGUGAGGAUAUAUGUAUGGCCAAGUGAGCUAUAAUAUGAAUCUUUGAUUACCCUAAGCUUUCACCUAACACACACACUUUAUGUAAUUCUAAAAUCAUGCCUAGCUACCCAAGAUUCCCAUUCUUGUAUAUUUCACAUAUUCAUGUACCAAAUUUUCUUUUAAUUUCACCAUAUAUGCAUUGAUCUUUUAUUAAACUUAGCAUUGGGGUAAUUUUAUCCCCUAUUUAUUAAACUUAAAACUCUUUUUUUUUUUUGAAUGCAAACACAAAAUAUCAAUGCAUAUGGUUUUUCUGGUUUCACAUUGGUAAGCACCCAAAAUCCCAAUAACUUGUCAAUAAAACUUAACAUUCUCUUAUCAACCCAAGUUCCCACAAUUUUCCCACACUUAGUUGGCACGCAAUCUCUAUCUUAAGCUAACCAAAGAUUCAAUGGGAUAAUCAAUUGUUUUUCCGCUUAAGGCUAAUGAUGUGGUAAAGUACAGAACAAAUGGGGAUUAAAAGGCUCAAAGUGGCAAACAAGGGUAGUUGAAGUGGUAGGCUAUUUGGGAUAAGUGAGCUAAUAACAAUUAAUGGCCUCAAUCAUAUGUAAACAUGAAAAUACACUAAAUAAUGGACAUAUAGAAUGGAACAAAUUAUAGAAUACAAUCAUGGAGAAGAAAACACACAAGAAUAAAAUGUUAUGGUUAAAUAAUGUAACCAUGUAAUUAAGCUCAAAACUCACGGAUUGUGUGUUCUUAGCUCAUAACCAUGUUCCACUACAUAUACAUGUCAUGCAAAUUACUAAGAAGUUUUAACUCAAGUCAAUGUGAAUGAAUUUAUGAUUGCCUGUUCUAAGAAAAGGAUAUAUUUCUUGAAAAUUCAUCAAUUGACCAACAUCUAUUAUUAUAUAUAUACUAAAUGAGAUGUUGUGAAUAUGAAAAACCAAAAUAUUUUAGUUUAUCCCUAUUUUCAAUCAUACCAAAUGCUCAUAUGUAAAGCGCUAAACCAAACUUAAUAAUCUACAUUUUUCCAUAUCACAACUAAUAUAUAUAUAUAGCUCAAAGUGUAAAAUGCAACAAAGUAAAAAUAAAUAAGAGUACAAUAAGGUAGAAAUGUCCAAAUACCAAGAGAAAAAUAAAAUAAAAUAAAGAAAAAUAGGAUAAAACGGGUCUGAAAUGGUUCACCAAAAUAUAAUCAAACGCCAGAGAUGGCGACCUCCCCACACUUAUAUAAAAGCAUCGUCCUCGAUGCUCAAUCAAGCUGGGUGUGAGGAGUCGUCGUCUGCUGACGGGUGUGCUGCUGGCUCUGUAUGUGCUAGUGGCUCAGGUUGUGGUGGCUGAGCUGGUGCCUAAGGCUCUGGUUAUGCAAGCUGCUCAGGCUGAGGCUCCUCAGGCUGGGCCUGCUCCUGGUCCUCUGGCUGAGCCUCUGCCUCCUGCUCAUCCUCUUCCUCCUCAGAAUGCUCCGAUGGUGUGUCAGGUUCAGAGGGGAUGUCAGUGUGUCCUGACCUGAUCAUCAACUUCAGAUGCUCAUAGCGUCGCUUAUUGCGACGCUCCAUCUGAUCAAGGUGCCUAAAGAGGCGGUGCACCAAAUGGUAGAUAGGUUGAGAGGCGAGUGAUGGUGCUGCAGGAGAAGAUGGGGCUGUAGAGGCUGAAGGUGCUGCGGAGGAUGUGGCGGCGUCAGUAGGGGCGGUAAUGGCAGGUACUCUGUGGCCUAGAGGACCGAACCGCUUGUCGUGUGGUAUGAUCUUCCUGCAAUCGGCAGCUGGUGGUCUCUGAUCCUCUGGCUCCCAAGGUACUGCAGCUCGGCGAGCCAUCUGGGUGAUCAGAUACGGAAAUGAGAGGGUGCCUCGAACAUGCACUCUGGCCAUAUACUGCCUGAUAAACCGUGGAAGGUAUAGUUCCUUUCCUUCUAUAACACACCAAGUGAGUAUGAUCAUAGCAGCUGGCACCUCGGACUUGUGAGUGCUAGGCAUAACAUAAUUGCUCAGUAUCUGUUGCCAUAGCCUAGCCUCAUCAUUAAGAUAAAUGAUCUUAAUACCUCUAGGAGUGACCGUCGAUUUUCCCAUAGCCCAUGGAGCAGCAGGAUCAAUGGCUAUGGUACAUCGGACCGCAUCCCAAUCAAAACUCAUGGUAUUAAUGGAUUCAACAGCCUUUUGAUAACCAUCUGGACCAUCGAGUUUAGGCUGGAAAUGGAGGAUAUCCUCAAUCGCCUCCUCAGUGACCAAUAUCUGCUUUCCUCUAAGCUGAACAGCAUCAAAGGUCGUCUUAUAGUAAUUGCAGUAAAAUUCACGGACCCAUGAUGCGUUUACCUCUGUCAGAUUCCUCUCUAAAAAUACCCAACCCCACUGUUUGAUUUGCUCUUCAGUGUACUGCUUUAAUUCAUCAGGUAUUUUGAGGGUCCUUUCCAAAUGUAGAUGCCUCUUUUCUGCAAAGACUGGGAAUUUGAGUUCACAGUUGAGGUUUACAAAUUUGAUCGGGUCAUUGGCUUGCAUAGCCUGAUCAGCUUUUUCUUGGGGGCUAAAGUUCUUCUCCUUCCAAGAAUCAUCAGAAAGGAUAUCCGUCAGAGAAACGGAUGACUGGCCUCGCUUCCUCUUUCCGGUGGUGACCUUGGCCUUACCCUUUCCUUGCGGAUUAGACAUCCUAAAAACAGAAAUUCCAGGAUACAAUUUAUCAAAUUAAAGCAAGGAAACAGAGAAACAGAUAAUAUGCAAGCAUUAUAUGCAGUGGAUAGGAAAAAGAGGAAUGAAAGCCAAAGCAAGAAGUGAGUCAUGAAGUGGUAAAAUCUUAGACUGAAAGAAAUUUAGGAUCCAAAGAAAUCAAUCAGAAAUUACAAUCCAAGAGUUUAAACAGUGAAGUACAUAAUGCUUGUUGGCUAAGAAAUAACAAUUAACAUGCCAAGAAAGGGAUCAAAAGAGUUAGUUUGAGAAAAGGUGGAAAUGAAAAAGAAAAGUGAAAAUGUCAAUUCAGUUAAAAGUCAGAGAAGUGGGUUAGGAUUAGUGGCAUGGUAAUGUAAUUUCUAAUUAAGAAAAGUUCAAAAGUUUAGAAACAAGCAAACUCACAUUCAAGCAUACAGAGCAGAUUAUUGAUGAUAAAACAUGUAAUGAAAGAAGCACAAAGAGGAAUACAAUCAUCAACACUGCACGUCAAUCAAGAAGGGAACCAAACGGAAUGGGAAUGCUAGCCCAGCAUCUCAUGAAUUUUGCUUUGGUUUAAAGUCAGAUAAGUCACAAAUUCAAAAGCACCAAAGGCAAUUCAUGAGUGGAAGUUAAGUAAAACAAUUUUUAGGAAAAUUUGGGCAGCAUUCCGGCAGUAAAAUGGACAUUCCCGGAAAAUCAAACAAGCAGCAAAACUCAUAUGAAGUUCAGCAAUUUGGCAAAUAGCAUGAAGAACAAGGCAAUUCAUACGGUUUAGGCAUUAUAAAGCAGAACAGAAUGGGUAAAUUUAUAAGAAUCUAUCAAUUGAGUUAAUCAAGCAGUGAUAAGCAAUGAUGUAAUAAUCAAUUCAGCAUAAGCAGCAUGCUUUAUUUGAGCAAGGAGCAAUCAGGGGUAAACCAUGGCACUAAUGCAGCAAAAAAUUGAUUAACGAGGUUCUCAUUAACUCAGAAUUACGUCAAUUAGGUGUGUGAUUUUAGCAAUGAUGAAUGUGCAUGAGAGGGUACCAAAAUAAGGCGGAAGCUAACCAAGUGACUUAUGAAUUGACUUUGGUAAGAGUCAAAUAAGUUUCAAGUCCAAAAGUGUCAAGCUCAAUUCCUAAGUUGCAAGUUCAUUAACAUUAUAUUUUUCAAAAAAAAUUUUGGCAGCAUGCCGGCUAUAAAUUGGACGUUCCCGAGUAAUAAAUAGCAGCAGAAAGAUUAUACAUAUGAACCAGAUAGCAUCGAACAAGCAAACAAUCAACUAAUUCAUAUGGUUCAGGCGUCAUCAAGCAGAAAACAUAAAUUGAUGUAGCAAGGCAACAGUAAAAUAAUGCAUGUGAAUCACAAUUCAUCAUGGUAGUAACAAGAUAUACACAGAGCAACAAUACCAAUCUGCAGCAGUAAAUACGGCUCAAGUGGAAUGAUGGCACUAAGCAAAGCAGCAUUAAACAGUAGUGAAACAACAUAUUGGUAGCAUCAGCAGCAAAGUAAUUUCAAAACAGAUAAAUCAAGCAGCAAGAACGGCGCAAUUAUCAGACCUAAAUCUACUAACCACAUCCUAACUACCUAACCACCUAAAAUCCACUAAGAACAUGCAUCUCUAACUAUCCUAAUGCUAACAGAAUUUAACUUCAACGAACUAACUUGAAUGAACAGAAGAGUGAAGCUAAGAUGCAGAGAUGGAAGCAGUGAAACCUAGUGAAAGCAGAAACAAAAUUGGAAACAGAAAGGGGAAGAAAGGUGGUGCACGGUACUGCCAGCCUGAGAGGUGGUGGUGGCUCAACGGCGCAAUGGCUACCGCGACGACGUGGGGUGGCGGGGUGUGAAACGGGCAGAGAGAGAGAGAGAGAAGGAGAAGGGAAGAAGGAAGGGGAGUGGUGGUGCUACCCAGUGACGGCGGCGACUCGACGGCGGCAGGGCUUCAAUGGUGGUGAUGCAGGGGCGGCGGCGAUGGGUUUUGAUGGUGGUGGUCGCGGUGGUUUGAAUUUUUGGAGGGAGGGAAGGGGACGUUGGAGAAGAGAGGAAGAGAGUGGUGACGCGAGGGAGGAUAGGGUUCUCGCGAGGUUAAUGAAAUCUAAUCCACGCGUAUGCGUGGAUCACGCGUGCGCGUGGAUCAAGCAAAAAUGCAUUGACACGUACGCGUCAUGGACGCGAACGCGUAAAAAGGGAUAAAUGAAAAUGACGCGUAAGCGUGAAGCAUGCGUACGCGUCGGCUGAAAUUGUGCUAAACGCACAGUUCCAGCGUCGUUUUCACAUAACCCUCUGUCUUCUUCGAAGGGAACAAAAUUCUUCAUUUUACGUGUGCGCGUCGCACGCCCCCGCGUGAUGUGCUAAUAAUGGAAGUGACGCGUACACUUCAGGGACGCGUACGCGUGGUGUGCUAAUAAUGGAAGUGAUGCGUACGCUUCAGGGACGCGUACACGUGGCUCGAAUUGUGCUUCUAGCACACCAGCCGCACAAUUCCAUCACAACUUUCUGGUCGUUGGAUGGAAGCGUCGAUUUGGUUUCGACGCCCACGCGUGCCUACGCGCACGCGUGGAUGGCUUUUUUUUAUAUAUGAAGUAUGCAGAAUGCAAUGCAGGUGAUGAUGCAUGAGUUAUGAUUUCUAAAUUUUGACGAGUAAGCAUGAAAUAAAAUAAAACUGAAGGUGAAAAGGGAUGAUCAUACCAUGGUGGGUUGUCUACCACCUAGCACUUUUAGUUAUUGUCCUUAAGUUAGACAUUGGAUGAGCUCCCUGUCAUGGUGGCUUAUGCUUGAACUCGUCCAGGAAUCUCCACCAAUGUUUGUACCUCCAGUAACCUCCGGGGUCCCAAAUCAGACGCAUAACGUCUUUAAGCAAGUUGAAGCGAGCAACAAGACCCCAAAAAUGUGGAAUGCCAGAUUGAAUUCCGGGAUCCCAAACCUUGCUUUUGCACCCAUCUUUGCAUUGAUCUUUAUUAUUCCAACCGGGUGGCAAGAGAAUUGAAUAAUCACUAGAAUGUCCAAACAGCCUUCUAGAACCAUGCAUUCGAGCUCUGCACCAACCUUUGUGUCCCAACUUGAAACUUGUAACCGUACUAAACCUAGUCUUAUUUUGCCAAUCAUUACUCUUAAAGCCACAAAGGGCUCGGAGUUGUCCAUCCGUCUCAAGCAAACCGUAUUCAAGUGGGAAAGCAAAGGUCGAGGAUAGGGACUUUACACACUUGAAUAUCGUAUUGGAUGGUAAUGGCUUAGGGAUACGUGUUUCUAAUGAUUGUGCAAGCUCUGCUUUAUGAUGCUCAUCUUGGAGUUCUUCUACCUCUUUGCAAACUUCUUCAACUUCAUCUGCACCCUCACCAAAUUCUUCAGACUCUUCAUCGUCGCUCAGGUCAUAGGUUAGAGGUUGAGAGAAAUCUACCUCUAUAUUGAAUUCAAAUUCACUUGAGGAAGGUUCUUCAAACUCAAAGGGUUCAAAUGCGGAUACAGAGUUGUCAUGAGGGGGGCUUAAUGCUUGAUCAUCAUCAUCAAGGAAAUUUUGUUGCUUGGUCUAUUCCAUCCAGUUCUUCAUAAAGAGCAUGUCUCGGAGGUUGUGCACUAUCCUCUUCAACAUCAAUUUCAGGUUUAUCAGGUGAAUGUUCCACAUCUCUAAAUUCCCAUGGAGGUUCGGCAUCACCUAGGUCCUCAACCACUUCUUCCUCCUCCUUGGGAGGCAUAGCUUCUUCCAAUUCUUCCAACACAAAGUCAUGCUCCUCACGGUCCACCGGGAUCUCUGGUGUCUCCAUCAUGUUGCGUUUCUCAUUAGAUUUUCCAUAUGAGGGCAUGGGGGCUUCUUGAGUGUCCAGACAUCGAGAGUUUAAUUGAAUUACCACUUGCCCCAGCUGUUGAAUGGUUGCAUGAAGUCGGUCCACUGUCUCCUUGAGACGAUCCUCCGACUCUUGUCCCUUCCGGAUAACACAAUUAGGUUCAUGUGACUUUUGGGCCGAUGGGUAUGGACAAGAUACAUAUGGAGGUGGUGGUCUUUGUGAGUGAUUGCAUUAGAAUCUGGGUGAUUGGUGAUAUGGGUUAGGUCGAUAUGGAGGUGCUUGGUGAAAAGGGGCUUGCGAGUGCGGUGGUUAAAAGCUACUUUGGAGAGGGGGUUCAUAGACGUGUUGUGGUAGGUGUUGAUUGUCACGAGACGGUCCACCAUAACCAUUGUCUUGGUAUGCAUCAUGGAAUGGUUGUUGCUUGUAGUACAUUGGAGGGGGUUGUUGCCAAGAGGGUUGAUCAAAUCCUUGUGGCACAUUCCAUCCUUGAUUGUUCCAACCAUGGUGCAUGUUGGCACUAUAAUCUCCUCUUCCUGUAACAUAAUUAUAACCACGCUCAUAGCCAGAGGGGUGAGAAGUCAUAGUAGAAAAGAAAAACAAAAACUAAUAAAAAUAAGCAACUAAGUUCUAAACUAACAAAGACUAGCAAACAAGUAAAAAGUAAAUAUUUACAAUAACCAAUAAUAAGGCGCACGUUUGCAAUUCCCCGGCAACGGCGCCAUUUUGACGAGCGAGACUUUUGUUGAUAAAGAAUUUCAAAAUAAAUCAUCAUUGCAAGUAUAGUUUCUAAACCAACAAGAAUCCCUUCGUGCAAAAUUUUUAGUUGUCACAAGUAACAAACCCCUAAUAAAUCAAUAACCGAAGUAUUUAAACCUCGGGUCGUCUCUCAAGGAAUUGUAGGGAGGUGUUCUUAUUAUUGGUUAUGCACAGGUAUAAUUUGGGGUUUUGUGAAUAAGAGAUAAGAAGAGUGAAUUGCAAAGGAAACGAACUAAUAAUUAUAAAAGCUCUUGGCAAGGAAUGAAAAUUAGAAGUCCUAUCCUUGUUAUCGUCCUCAAUAGUGAUGAGAAUCGUUAGUUGCAACCACUUAGUUAACCCUCUAAUUGUGAAGGAAAGUCAAGUGUAUGAAUCAAUUUGAUUCCUCAAGUCCUAGUCAACUCCUAUGGAAAGACUAGCUUUAGUGGAAUCCAAAUCAAUUAGCAACCUUCAAUUGUCAAUCAACUAAGGAGUUUGAUAACUCAAGCGUCACCAAUUACUCAAUCAAAGCCAAGAGGAGAAAAUCUAACUUAAAACUCUCCCAAGCAUUUCAUCAAACACUUGGAAGACACAACACAAAAUAGUAGAAAGGCAAUAAGAGAUAAUAAGAUCCACACAAUCAAUCGCAAGUAUCAAUAACAUAGAUAAAAAAGAGCAAUCUUAAAUAUGAAAUAUCUCAAAUUGUAUUAAAUAGAGAAAUCAACAAAAGGAAUGUAUAAACCAAAGUAUUAGAGUCAAUAAGAGUAUAAGAGAAUUAAGUCAAAGAACAUUGAACCUGCAGUUGAGGAGAAAAUAGAUCUAAAACUUAGAGAAAUCCUAAAUCCUAAAUCCUAAAACCUAGAAAGAGGGCUACAUCUAAACCUAAAAUUAUUUUAAUGAUUGUAUGAAUGUUCUCCCCCUUCAUUUUGCUUCACUCUCAGCCUCUAAUCUGUGUUUUCUGGGCCUGGAACUGGGCCAAAAGGAGCCCAGAAAUCGCUGGAGACAAUUUUCUGCAACUGCUGUAUGUCGCGCAUAUCACGCGUACGCGUGGGUCACGCGUGCGCGUCGUUUGGUGAUAUUCCUUAUCACGCGUACGCGUCAGUCACGCGUACGCGUCGCUUUUCUUUUGUGCUAUUCACGCGCGCGCGUCAAGUGCGCGUGCGCGUCACUAGGGAAUGCUCCGGAUCACGCGCAUGCGUGAGCCAUGCGUCCGCAUCACGUCUCGCUGGUCAGCUCCAUUGUUUCUUUGUGUUCCUUCCAUUUUUGCAAGCUUCCUUUCCACAUUCCAAGCCAUUCAUGCCCUAUAAAGCCUGAAAACACUUAACACACAGAUCACAGCAUCGAAUGGUAUAGAGAAGAAUUAUAAUCUAACAAAUUAAAGGCUCUGGAAGCAAGUUUUCAAUCAUAGUAUUAAAUCAGGAAGGCAAUUGUAAAACCAUGCAAUUUAUAUGAAUAAGUGGGUAAAGACUUGAUAGAAACCACUCAAUUUAGCACAAGUUGGACCAUAAAAUAGCGGUUUAUCAUCAAGUAUAGCGGUUCGCCGUUCUUGGGCUUCCCGAGGACAGGUGGUGUUGCGAGUACCUCCUUGAAAUGCUUGAACGCCUCUUCGCACGCCGGUGUCCAUUUGAACGCUAUCCCCUUCUUCAUCAAGUUGAAGAAUGGUAGUGCCUUAGCAGUUGACGCCUCGAGGAAUCGGGAAAGCGCAGUGAGCCUUCCUGCCAACCUCUGGACGUCUUUGAUGCACCCUGGGAUCUUCAUCUGGAGUAUUGCUUCACACUUUUCCGGGUUGGGCUCCACCCCUCUUUGGGUUAACAUAAACCCCAAGAAUUUUUCCCGCUUCCAUGGCAAAGGCACACUUAAGCGGGUUGAGCCUCAUGCCGUGUUGCCGGAGGGAGGUAAAUACAUUCCCCAGAUCGAUUAUGAGGUCCUCAGGUCGGGUGGUCUUUACUAGGAUAUCGUCCACAUAUACUUCCACCGUUUUGCCUAUGAGGUCGUUGAAUAUCUUGUUCAUCAACCUUUGGUAGGUAGCCCCUGCGUUCUUUAGUCCGAACGGCAUUACCUUGUAGCAGAAUGUCCCCCCUGGCGUUAUGAAUGCCGUUUUCUCCUCGUCGGGCCGGUGCAUCGGUAUCUGAUUGUAGCCAGAGUAAGCAUCCAUAAAGCUCAGAUACCGAUAUCCCGCUGCCGCAUCGACGAGCACAUCUAUAUUGGGGAGGGGAUAGCAAUCUUUGAGACAUGCUUUGUUAAGAUCAGAGUAAUCCAUGCACAUCCUCCAUUUUCCAUUGUGCUUUCUAACUAGAACUACGUUCGACAGCCAAGUUGAGUAGUCGAGUUCCCAGAUGAAUCCGGCUUCGAGGAGGCUAGCCGUUUCCCUGGCCACCUCCUCUGCCCUUUCUUGUGACAUUUUCCGUCUCCUCUGAGCCAUCGGCUUGGCUUCCUUCUUGACGGCCAGGUAGUGUGACAUGAGCUAGGGAUCUAUCCCCGGCAUGUCGGCUGGCGUCCAGGCAAAUAGGUCGCCGUUAGCCCUAAUCAUCUCCAUCAGAGGUUCUUUCAGGUCAUAGGGGAGGUUCCUGUUCACGAAGGUGAACUUCUCUUCCGAGUCGCUGACCCUGAACUUUUCCAGAUUUCCUUCUGGCUCGGGUCUGGGUUUGUCGUCGACCCUAGCGUCCAGGUUGGCUAGGAAUACUCCUGAUGCCUCUUUGGAUAUCUUUCUCAAGGAGAGACUGGCAUUGUCGCAUGCGACUGCCGUUUCCAGGUCUCCCUUGAUGGAUCCCACUGAUCCGUCAUCAGCGAUGAACUUCAUUAUCAACAUCUUUGUACUAAUUACUGCUCUGAGGUCGUUGAUGGUCUUUCUUCCUAGGAUGACGUUGUAGGCCAUGGAGUCUCGCAGGACUACGAACUCCGCCAUUACCGACCUUUUCCCCUGUCCCAGUCCUAUGGAUACUGGUAGAGAGAUUAUUCCAUCAGGCUUGAUAAAGUGGUCGCUCAGCCCUACUACCCCGUGCUGGUGAGUCCUUAGAUCGGCAUCUCGGAGACCCAAAGCAUCGAAAACGUUGCGGAACAUGAUAUUCAAGUCGGCGCCGGUGUCUACGAGAAUUCGCUUAAUCAGGCCGAUUCCUACCUUGGCCGUGAUGACCAUUGGGGGGUUUUCCAUGGCUUCGUCAAACCAUUGGUCCCCUGGACCGAAUGAUAUGGACGGAGUCUUCUUGAAGUUUGGCGCAGGGUGGGAUGACGAGACCGCCAGAACUUUGGCGUCCUUCUUAUGCGCCGAUUUCGAUCUUGGAGCCGCAUCCCUUUCGAUCACUACGUUUACUAUCGUGAGGCCGGGCUCUUGGCGUCGCUUUACCGGGCGACUCUUGUCCUCUGCAUCUCGGUCGCGAUCUCGUCUUCUCGGCUCCCUGAUGAGGUGGGAGAACUCGCUUAACUUUCCAUCUCGGAUCGCUUGCUCCAGCGCGUCCUUUAGGUCAAAAGAAUCCUGUGUUUUGUGUCUAUAGCCCUUGUGAUAAUCACAAUAUAGAUUCUUGUUUCCUCCUGUUCUGUCCUUCAGAGGUCGGGGUUUCGACAAAAUUCCCUUCUCGGCUAUCUGCUGGUAGACUUCCACAAUAGGGACUGCGAGGGGGGUAUAGUUGGUGAACUUUCCAACUCGGGGGAACGGCUUGAAGGUCUUGGCCGGCACUCCGUCUUUGGGGUGCUCCUUCAGUCUUUCCCUGCUAUCGUGUUGACGAGCUUGGUUGUAGGCGGGCUGACGUUUAUUGGCCGCCACCACCUAACUGACUUCUUCGUCAUUGAUGUAUUCCCUCGCGACGUCUUGGAUUUCUUGCAUCGUCCACACAGGCUUGGUGGUAAGAUGUUUCCUGAAAUCCUCGUUUCGGAGUCCAUUUAUCAAACAUAAACUGGCCACCAAGUCGGUUAGACCGUCUAUCUCCAAACACUCGUCGUUGAACCUGUCUAUGUAUUUUCUAGUCGGUUCGCCGGAUCUUUGCGUCACCCCGAGCAGGUUGAUCGGGUGUUUCGCCUUUGCGAUGCGGGUGGUGAACUGGGCCAAGAAGGCGCGGCUGAUGUCGGAAAACUUGGCCACGGAACCCUGCGGGAGGUUGUUGAACCACCGGAUUGCAGGUCCUGCCAAAGUGACCGGGAAGGCGCGACAUCUCACCUCGUCGCCAACUCCUUCCAAGUUCAUCCUGGCCUCAAAGGCCGUUAGGUGCUCUUGCGGAUCUUGGGUUCCAUCAUACCUCAUGUCCGUUGCCUUAUCAAAGUGUUUUGGCAGCCACACCUCGAGGACUGAGUGAUGGAAAGGGGUUGCUCCCAUGAUCACGGGACGCCGGGUUGUUCUAGCCCUUUCUUCGUCGCGUUCUUUUUCCUGAUUGUUCACGGUAGCUCCUUUCCUCGAAGAUCUCGCGUAUAUCAAGGGAUCGCGUCGCCUUCUCAGCGUCCCUCUGUUCUCCCGAGGGCUAUCCGAUUCCGAUCAGGGGCUCGGCGUGCCCCUGGAACGACUUCUUUGCCGAGGGGACCGCGAGUGGUCGGGCUCGGGGGUUUGCCGACGUUGCCCGCGGUUCGCGAGCUCACGUUUUAGGUCGCGCUCCAGGUUCUGUACCCUGUGUCUCAGUUCCUGCAUUAUCCUGGUACUAUCACUGCCUGUUCCCCCAAAAGGGCGUCUCUCCUGGGAUCGCGAGGAUUGCUCGGCUUGUCGCGGGGGGGACCUCGUGCGUUCACGUGAGGAAGCCACGGAGGCGUCCCCCCUUGGUUUGGUUGCGUUCCCUAGCUCCCCAGGGACCAAUACGAAGUCCAUCUAUUCGGUCCCCACAGACGGCGCCAAUGUUCGGUUGGUCGAGUACCGGACGGAUCAAGGACGUUUCUCGGGUGAGCGGAGCUCUCGACUGGUAAGGGACCAGGGGGUUGGGUGGUGAUGACGGGCGAUGUUCCGAGCUUCUCGCAAGGGAGGGGUGUCACCUGCAAAGACACUCCGACGCUCAAGUCAGUCAGGUGUGCAGGUGAGAAAGUGGUAGAAUAGUGUGUGACGUACCUUGGGGAGACGGGUAGGACCCUCCCCAUAUAUACCCUGUCAAGAGUGGGUCUCGCGAGAACAGACCCACCUUCCUCGAAAUUUCCCAAUACAGGUGUAGCGGUGAGCUGUAAAGGACGCGUGUUCAGGUCGGUUCUCGAACGUCUCGUGCCCGCCCGUUCGGGUCGAGUAGCUUGUGGAUUGGUCCCCAGCAUGUCGUUUGGGUUGGGCCGUAACAUAAUUUUACCUAAAUACUAAAUUAAAUCAUGUAAACACUCAACUUAAAUAUAAAGAAAAGAUACUAAAAGUACAAAACCAAUCAUUUCUAAAAAAAAAAAGAAUAACUAAAAAAUUAGUACACAAAAUAAAUGUGGAAUCACAAUACUCAAAAUAGAACCUUACAAAUUUUACUCUCAACAACUCUAACUAUGCCUCAUAACUCUUAAUUAAAAUGUCAUACAUAAAUUUAAAACUAGACCACUUAUUUAUAUUAUUCUUGUGGUGAAAAGAAGACAUCCAAUCAUGCAACUCUUUUAUUUUUUUUAAUUGUUUCAUGCUUACACUUUGUACACGACUAGAACUUGUUUACAAGUUGGAUAUUGUUGAUCAUAAUAGUUAUCAGGAUUAGUUAUUAUUUUCAACCAUAUCACAAUAUGAUACCAUUUUUUUAGAUAAAUUAGAGUAACUAUUGACCACCUAAAUAGUGGGAGAAGGACAAAGGUUCAAAACUAUAACAAAGCAAAAACCAAACUAAAAAUUUCAACACCAAAAGACCUAAAUAACACCUACAUUUCUAAAUAUUAACACCAAAAGAACAUAACUCCUCCACUGCAAAAACAAUCUAGAGCACUUUUUCAUGCCUAUGCCAAACUAAACAUAAUCAAACAAAAAGAACAACCCCUAAUUACCAUUUAAACCAACCUAACAAUCAGUUAUUUUCCUACGACAUCGCCAUCGAGGAGCAAAGAUUUUGGUCUCAUAGAAAGCAAACAUAAAUAAACAUAACCAACACCUGAUCAACACGAGUAAGCUCUAUUACAACUAGGGGUGUGCAUGGCCCGGCCCGGUCCCGAACACUUUAGGGGCUAAUUUGAUGUGAUUUCAUCGGGUCUAGGGCCGGGUAUGGGUCUCAAAAGUAGACCCGGUCAUUAUUUCAGAUUGGGUCCGGGCCAUAGCUCGGGUCACCCGAAAAUUUGGCGGUGCGGGUUUGGCGGAUUUUUUUAAUUUGGCGGGCUCCAAAUCCUAGCCCGAUCCGCCUUUUUUAGCGGGUUUAGCGGAUCGGCCCGACGGGCUCGACCCGUUUUGCCACCCCUAAUGCACACCCCUAAUUACAACUGAUAUCAUACACAAUCAUUCUCCAUUCCUCAAGCCAAAUUGGACCAUACCAUCCACCCUUUUUACUAGCGCAGCAGUUAUUGGACCUGUUUUAAGGACCCACUCUUCCUUCCACGUCUUCUUAUUCUUAUGCUUAUCUCUUAUUGCUUCUUUGUUUCUGUCAAUGCUUUCUUGAUAUAGUCCAUUAUUGCUUCUUCCUCAUUACAUUUCAACAUCAGUUGAGAGUGCACUCUCCACGUCCUUAUCACUUCUUCUUUAGUGUCUUUAGCUUCGCUUUCGCUAAUAGCUUUUGGCUUCGAUAUAGUUUGUCUCCCCUUCUUCUUGGACUCGUCUAUACUGUGUUUUCUUCUCUGACCUUUCCCUUUCUUCUUUUAUGGAGACUCACAGGAGAUCUUUUUUUCUUUGCUGAUUUACUUCUUUCUCUUAUAUCUUUUUUACACUCUCUUCUUUUCCUUUUUCUUACAGUACCCUUUGAUCUUUCUUUAUUAUCCUUACAGCCACUUGAUCCAAGCUUCCUCCCCAUCCUGGUCUUGUUUUUCUGAGAAAGAUUUUUUUGUAUUACUUUUUCAAAGUCUAGUGAGUAUUGCGGACCAAAUGAAGAUUUACUAUUCUUAUUCCCCUAAUUCUCAUUGCCUAUAUUUUCUUUCCCUUUUUCAUAUUUUAGUUUUUGGCCAAAUUAAGAUCUCAUUCGAGUUUUCUAGAUCACCUCCUCAAAUAUUCUAUCAUCCAAAAAUUAUUUUGUAAAAGAAAAGGAUUUUUUAUUGAGUUUUCUAUGUGUUGUAUGUCUAAGUAAUGUAUCCUUCUAUCAUGCUCUUCUUUCUCACAAUACAUCAUCGUUUGCAUUUCAUAUUUUGUGUCCAUCAUCUUAUUAUACUCUCUAAUCCUCCCAAAGUCUUGCCUUUCAUCAUUUAUUUCAGUCUCAUGUUUCUGUAAUUUUCUCUUUAUUUCUUCCGGUUACUUGCCUAUUUUUCCAUCUUUCAUGACUCUCAUAUUCAAUGAGUUCUGUGAUGGCCAUACUUACGGUGGCUAAAGGUGACUUCUGUUUAAUCAGCCAGUGGUAAUAUGGCACAUGGUUGUGAAGAGCAUCUUUUGAAAUUUACAUAACAGAUAAUAAAUGCGACCAAGUUACUAAAAGGUCAAUAAUGUAAAUGUAAGGGCAAAAAAUAUUUUAUCUCAUGUGGGCCUCAUUUUAUUUUUCCAUAAGAAUGAUGCGGAAAUUAGUGGACCUAAAAUAGGAAAGAAAAAAAUAAUCUAGAGAAAUUUCAGUCUUAAUGUUAAAAUGGAAUAAUGGAGAGUGACAGAAAAGAAAGUCGUAGAAAAUAAAAUAUAAAAAAAAGUUGUGAAAAAUAGUUUGAAUUAAAUUUAUGAUUUCAAAUUCAUUUCUUUUAAGAAGAGUUUUUAAAUUAGAUGUAAAACACAAUAACAAUGAGUUAUAAUGAAAUGGUACCAUUUUAACUCCAAGUGACAUAUAUAGACACUAUUAUAAAUAAAACAUGAGUUAAUUGUUACAUGGUUUUUUUAUUUUAAAUUUGUCUUCUAUUCCUAUUCAGAUGAUUGCCAUGAAGAUUUUAUUAUUAGUCAUCCAUGUUGAUAAUAAUCUUUAGAUUUCUAUUAUGAUAGUUUUGACUAUAGAUUUUUCUUUAUUGCUAUCAUAAUUCAUAGAUAGUUGCCUAUGAGAACAUACAACACGUUGAGCAGAAGCAAUUAUGCAGUAGUUGUAGAGAAGUGAGAGAACUAUAGUUGAAUUGUAUUUAUUGUAAUGAAUGUGAAUGAAUAAACUAUUCUAAUAAUGACAUGCAUCUGAUCUCUAUACAACACUGGUACUAACUAAUACCAUAGCAGAACUAAUAGAAUUCUACAUCAGUAACUAUAUAACAAAAUAGAGAAGAGUAAUCUUGAUUAUCUUGCUAGCUACGUAAUGUUCUUUAUAUCCUUCUUAUUCUCAACACCCUCAUGGCAAACUCAUGGCGUUUUAGGUAAGACCCUGAGUUUGGUUCUGAAUUUCUGAAAACUUGUAUAACAGAGAGGUUUGGUGAGAAGAUCUAUGACUUGGUCUUCUGCUGGGAUGUGCACAACAAUUAAUUAAUGCUGGUUUAUUUUUUCUCGAACUGAAUGCAUGUCUAGAUCAAAAUGUUUGGUCUUGUUGUGCAAAAUAGGAUUUUUAGUGAGAAUAACUGCACUAAUAUUGUCAUUGUAUAAGAUUGGAAUGCUUGAGCAUUGAAUGUGUAGUUCUAUGAACAGAAUUUAAACCCAUCAAAUGUCUGUUUUAGCAGCAGCUAUGCUCUUAAACUCCACUUUUGCACUGGAUUUGCUUAUUGAGUGCUUCUUUUGGCUUGCCUAAGAGAUUAGAUUGGUUCUUAGAUAAACACAGUAUCUUGUGGUUAAUCUUCUAUCAUCCAUAUCUGAACCUCAAUUUUAAUUUGCAAAGGCAAAUAAUUUAAAAUUAGCAUUGGGUUGAAAAAAGAGCCCUUGAUCCAUGGUACCUACCAAGUAUCGAAUGAUUCUUCUAACACAUUUCCAGUGGGAUAAAAGAGGGUUAUGCAUGUACUGUAAAACUUUAUUGAAUGCAUAUGUAAUAUCUGGCCUGAUUAAGGUUGCAUAUUGCAAUGCACCAACAAUAGAUCUGUAUUGAGUAGGAUUCUUAUAUAUUUCACUACCAUGUGUAGAUAAUUUAGUAGUAGUGAUCAUGGGUGUUGGCAUAGAAUGUGAUUCAUGCAUAUGAGAUUUAACUAGCAAUACUUUGAUAUAUUUGGUUUGAGAGAGGAUAUAUGAACUAGAUUCUGUCUUAAAAGCCUCAAUACCUAAGAAGAAAUUGAAGUCUCCUAAGUCUUUUAAGGCAAAUAAAGUAUGUAAUUGUGAUAUCAAUUUGGUGAUUUCAUUAUUAUCAUUGCACGGAACAAGUAUAUCAUCAACAUAAACUAAAACAUACAUAGUAGAGGUAGAAGUAAAACGAAUAAACAAGGAAAGAUCUGACCUGGUAUUCUUGACGUCAAAUUGUGACAAAGUUGAAGCUAAUUUAGUAAACCAAGCCCUCGGGGCAUGCUUUAAACCAUAAAUAGAUUUAUUUAACUUGAAAACUGAUAUGAUGGACCUUGAGGGAAGGAUCAUGGUUGCUGCAUGUAAACUGUCUCUUGAAGUUAUUCAUUAAGAAAAGUAUUGUUGAAGUCAAAUUGUCGAAUUGUCCAGGCUUUAGUAACUGUAGUUGUCAGAAUAAUUCUAAUUGUUGUUGCCUUAAUGACGGGACUGCACACUUAAUCAUAAUUAAUACCCUCUCUUUGAUGAAAAUCUUUAGCUAUUAGCCUUGCUUUGUAUUUUAGAAUGGUACCAUUAGGAUGCUUUUUAAUAGAAUAAACCCAGCGAUAACCAAUAAUGGUACUGCCAGGAGAAGGAUCAACUACUAUCCAUGUGUUGUUUUUAUGUAAUGCACUAAGUUCUUCCUGCAUUGCUCUUGUCCAAUGAUCAGUGGUGAGAGCUAAUUUAGUUCUUGUUGGUAUUUCAUUAACAAGGUCUAGAAUUUUCUUGGCACUUGCUUGUAGUGCUUUGGGUUUUAAGGGACCAAUUUUUGAUCUAGUGAUCAUAGAGUGAGUGUUAGUAUUGGUGGAGGGAUUGAUAGGUGGUAAUUGGAUAAUUGGGAGUAGGUUGUGUAGUAGGAGUGGUAUUAUCUGGCUAUGAAGUCUCAGAUGAGGUAGUAGAGGAAGAAAAAAUUUGAUUACGUAGUGUAUCUUGUGUUGAUAGUGGGGAUUGUGAUAAGGAUGAAUAUGAGAAAAUUGUGUGAGCGAUCUCAUUAGAGGUGAGGAUAGGAACAGGUAAAAUAGAUUGAAUUGUUGAAUUCUUGGUUGGAGGUUUAUAAACUUGUUGAAACAUAGUAUUAUAAGGAAACAACAACUUAUCAAACAUGUCUUGUAAUAAAAAUCUUACCCAUGGAAUUCAUACAUUUAUACCUUUUGUGUUGAGGUGCAUAACCCAUAAAAAUGCAUAAAUUAGAUAUAUAUUGAAAUUUAGAUGAGUUUAAGGAGUUAGCAAGGGAUAGCAACCACAACCAAAAAUUUCAAGUAGAUUAUAAUCUGGUGCAUGAUGAUUAAGCAUUUUAAAUUGUGAUUUAUUAGAGAGAACAUGAGAUGGCAAUCUAUUAAUUAUAAAAGAAGCAGAUAAAAAAGCAUCAUCCCAGUGUUUUAGUGGUAAACAUGUAGUAGCUAGCAUUAAUAGUCCUACUUCAACUAUAUGUCUAUGUUUUCUUUCUAUCCUACCAUUAUGUUGAUGUACAUGAAUAUCUAUGAAAAAUGCCAUUAGUAACUAAAAAAUCUUGAAAAUAAUGUGAUAUAUAUUUUUGACCAUGAUCUGUUUGUAUUUGUUUAAUGUGAUAACCAGUAUAUUUCUCCAUCUAUAUUUUACAUUGUUGGAAUGCUGUAAAGACUUAUGACUUGGAAGAUAGCAGGAAGAUGCACGAAUAUCAUGAUUAAGCAUCAAGAAAAGAUACAUAGUAAAAAAAAACCAUGAUGAAAAAGGACAAAAGAGGGACACCAUACAUCAGUAUAUACCAUUUCCAAUGGUUGAUUAAAUUGAUAAGUGUUUAAUUGAAAAGGCAAAGCAUGCAUUUGAGACAUACAAUAUAAUUUGCAUAAGGAUGAAGAAUUAUUAUCAUUGUUAUUUCUAGUUCUAUCAAAAGAAAUAUUACAAGUAUUAAGAACAAGUGAAAUAUUUUAGAAUCACAAUGGCCUAAUUUUUUGUGCCAAACAUCAAAAGUAUUACAGAUAACAAUGAAAGCAAGAGGUUUAGAUGUAAUGAUUGGUGAUCUAGUUAUAGCUACUCGUUCAAAUUCAUAAACUUCUUGCUUAGAUGACCCUUAUAGAAGGAUCUGAUUGGUGUCCUGAGAUUUCACAUAACAAGCAUUAGGGUGAAAUUCAAAAUAACAUUUAUUAUCUACUGUAAAUUGAUACACAUUAAUUAAACUGUGAGAUAUAUCAGGGGAAUCUAAUAAUUAUUUAAGAAUAAACCUUUUGUUACUAUCCAAAGAAAUCAGAUAUGAAUAACCAACAUCUGCAAUAAGAGUUUCUGUGUCAUUACCUAAUACCACUUGUUCUUUUCUUUGAAAGUCGGAUAAUACUAUCGUGCUAAAAGUAAUUUUUUUCAGUACAUGCUGAAAUGAAGUGGCAUGAGGAAAUUGUUGACGCGUAGUUCACCUCUAGCCACAAUCGGGGACAAUGGCUGAUGUACAACAAAUGAGUGACAAUCAUCCGUAGUUAGAAAAAAAUAAUGGUGGCUACUCCAAUGAAGAUUUAAUGAUUGUUAUCAUGUGAAUAUACAUCAUUUUGAUCAUUGAAUGAUAGAUUGUAGGGUUUGAUUUUUAUUUAAAGUAAAAGUGUUACUUUUAUUUAAAGUGUUGUUAAACAAAUAAGCUACACUUUUUAAACAAGAAUCAUCAUAAAAAGAUGUUUUUGGUAUCUUCAUGUGAGCAGUUACCAAAAAUAAUUAGUGAUGUUUGCAGGAUAAAUUAAUGCAUAAUUGGGAGAUUAAUUAAUGGUCAAGGGAGAUAAUCUCUUUCUUUCUUUUUUUGGGUAUGGUCAUAGUGUUUGGACCAAGAAAUACUCUUUUGAACAUAAAAAUCAAAUUGGGCCAUGAAAUGCUAUUAUAGUAAUAAUAAACAAUAACAAUAUAAAAUCCAGGAGAAUAAGUAAUGAUAAUAAUAGUAAUAAUAAUAAUCUUUUAUAUAUAUAAAAAAAAACUACGGUUUUAUUUAUAAACCCUAAAUAUAAAUUUUAUUUUAAUUUAUACUUAUUUAUUAUGUAUGUAUUCGAUUUAUAUGUAAAUACUUAAAAAUCGAGUUUGUCUGAGUCGAUUUAUAUAGAUCUAUGUAGAACAUGUAUGAAACCAAUUUUUAUUCAAGAUAUAUGUGUAAUUUUAGUCUCCAAUCAAUUUAUUAACAUAAAUUAUUUUUAUUUUUAAAUACUUGUUUAUUAUGUAUUAUUUGAUUUAAUAUGUAUAUUUUGUCCAUAAUAGAUCGAAAUUCGAUUUUGUUGCGGCCUGGCCCAAACCCUCUACGGGUUGGCCCGAUCCGGGCACCACCCGACCCAAACGGUCAAGGGCAGGGCGCCUUGCAGCCGAUUCGGAUACGCGUCCUGACAGCUCACCUAUAGCUGUGAGGAGAACGCCUCGAAGAAAGUGGGCCUGUCCUUGCAGGGCCCACCUCUGACACGGUAUAUAAGGGGAAGGUUUUACCCUUCCCCCAAGGUACGACAUGCACAUUCUACCCCCCUUUUUCGCCUGCACAUUUACUGACCAGAGCGUCGGAGUGUAUUUGCAGGUGACACCCCCCUUUCCACGCGAAGUGCUCAGGACCUCGACUACGUCUAACCGGCAACCCACGACCAGACGAGGCCCCCAUCACCAACCAGGAUACCAACCCGAACCGUCCGGUACCCGACUUACCGAACAUUGGCGCCGUCUGUAGGGACUCGACCAUGGACUUUGUACUAGUCCAAAGUGGGACAGGCCGCGAGGCCGAGCCCGGAGGAGACGCCGCCGCGACUGAUUCCCGACAGUAUCUAAGAUCCCCCCCGAGAAACGCAACACAAUCUCACGAGAGACGCCCCUUCGGGGGAACUGGCAACAAUCACGCCAGAAUAAUGCAAGAGCUGCGCCACAGAAUGCAAGACUUGGAACGCCGGCUAGCAGAUAGAGAACACGAUCAGCACACCCCAGAACAAAGUCACUCCCGCUCUCACUCUAGGAGCCACUCCAGACGCAUGCUCAGCCCCCAGGCUGAGUCCGAAAGUGAUGGGGAAAGAGGACGCGCGAGAAGACGCCAUGACCCCGUCAUCUAUGCCCGGCAGGAGAGGCGGCGUACAACGGAUCGCGGGCACGAAGACGCUCGUCGGGAAGACGACGAAGGAAGAACGGCGAGAACCCGGGGACCCGUGAUAAUGGGAGCGACCCCAUUCCAUCGUUCCAUACUCGAGGUCCAGCUGCCAAAACACUUUGACAAGCCAACGGACAUGAGGUACGACGGAACACAAGACCCACUGGAACACCUCACGGCCUUUGAGGCCAGGAUGAACCUAGAAGGAGUGGGAGACGUGGUCAGGUGUCGCGCUUUCUCGGUCACUUUGGCGAGACCUGCAAUACGGUGGUUCAAUAACCUCCCGCAGGGCUGGGUGACCGGUUUCGCGGACAUCAUCCAUGCCUUCUUAGCCCAAUUCACGACCAGGAUCGCCAAAGCAAAGCACCCAAUCAACCUACUGGGGGUGACUCAAAGACUCGGCGAGACGACCAGGAAAUACCUGGAUCGGUUCAACAACUAAUGCUUGGAGAUUGACGGGCUGACGGACUCAGUAGCAAGUUUGUGCUUGACGAACGGACUCCUGAACGAGGACUUCAGAAAGCAUCUUACUACGAAACCAGUCUGGACAAUGCAGGAGAUCCAGUGUGUAGCGAGGGAGUACAUUAACGAUGAAGAAGUCAGCCGGGUUGUGGCUGCCAACAAACGGCAGUCCUCUCACAACCAAACUCGGCACCACGAGAGCGGAGAAAGAACAAGGGAGCACGCCAGGGACGGUGGUGCGAACAAGACAACAAAGCCAUUCCCCCGAGUCGGGAAGUUCACUAAUUACACUCCCCUCACGACCCCGAUCAUGGAAGUUUACCAACAGAUAGCCGAGAAGGGAAUACUGUCGAAACCCCGACCUCUGAAGGAUCGAACAGGGGGAACAAAAGCCUUUAUUGUGAAUAUCACAAGGGAUACGGGCACAAGACCCAAGACUGUUUCGACCUGAAGGAUGCACUUGAGCAAGCAAUCAGGGACGGGAAACUUGCCGAAUUCUCCCACCUCAUUAGAGAGCCGAGGAGACUGAACCGCGACCACGAGGGCGAGGAUAGAUCCCGGGCGACAAGACGACGCCAAGAACCAGAGGGAGACGACUACGGACUCACAGUGGUAAACGUAGUAACGGCGAGGAAUUCAGCCCCAAGGUCGAGAUCAGUACAGAAGAAAGACGCCAAAAUUCUGGCAGUCUCCUCUUCACCUGCGAGAAGUUCCCAGAGACUCCCAUCCAUCUCCUUUAGUCCAGAAGACCAAUGGUUUGAUGAGGUCCCGGAAAGCCCCCCAUGGUCAUCACGGCCAGAGUCGGAACCGGCCUCGUCAAACGAAUCCUCGUGGAUACAGGGGCAGACUCAAACAUCAUGUUCCGCAACGUAUUUGACGCCUUGGGACUGCGUGACGCCGACCUAGCGACCCACUAGCACGGUGUGGUAAGGUUGGGCGAUCACUUCAUCAAACCCGAUGGGAUUAUCUCCCUCCCGACCUCCAUGGGACAGGGACAGAGGCGAAGGACAGUAAUGGCCGAUUUUGUAGUUUUGCGGGAUUCCACAGCCUACAACAUUAUCCUGGGGAGGAAAACCAUCAACGACCUUGGGGCAGCGAUCAAUACGAAGCUGCUCGUAAUGAAGUUUGUUACUGAUGACGGAUCCGUAGGAUCCAUUAGAGGAGAGUUGGAAACGGCGGUCGCCUGCGACCACGCCAGCCUCUCCUUGAGGAAAAAAUCCAAAGAGGCAUCAGGGGUGUUCCUCGCCGACCUGGAUGCCAGAAUAGACGACAAGCCCAGGCCCGAGCCAGAGGGGGACCUGGAAAAAUUCAGAGUUGGGGACGCGGAAGAGAAAUUCACAUUCAUAAACAGAAAUCUCCCCCAUGAAUUGAAAGAACCUCUGAUGGAGAUGAUUAGAGCCAAUGCUGAUCUGUUUGCUUGGACGCCAUUUGACAUGCCGGGGAUAGACCCCCAACUCAUGUCGCACAGCCUGGCCGUCAAACCGGGAACCCAACCAGUGGCCUAAAAGAGGAGGAAGAUGUCACAGGAAAGGGCAGAGGAGGUGGCCAGGCAGACGGCCGGCCUCCUCGAAGCAGGGUUCAUCCGUGAACUAGACUACUCCACUUGGCUAUCGAAUGUGGUUUUAGUAAAAAAGCACAAUGGGAGGUGGAGAAUGUGUGUGGACUACUCCGACCUCAACAAAGCGUGCCCCAAGGACUGCUAUCCCCUCCCCAACAUUGAUGCGCUCGUCAAUGCAGCGGCGGGGUACCGGUAUCUGAGCUUCAUGGAUGCCUACUCCGGGUACAAUCAAAUUCCGAUGCACCGGCCCGACGAGGAUAAGACGGCGUUCAUAACGCCAGGAGGGACCUAUUGUUACAAGGUGAUGCCAUUUGGCCUAAAAAAAGCUGGCGCCACAUACCAGAGGCUGAUGAACAAGAUAUUCUGCGGGCUCAUAGGCAAGACGGUGGAAGUCUACGUGGACGACAUCCUCGCGAAAACCACACGGCCUGCCGACCUCCUAAGCAACUUGGGGGGCGUGUUCGCGUCCCUCCGACAACACGGCAUGAGGCUCAACCCGUUCAAAUGCGCCUUCGCCAUGGAGGCCGGGAAGUUCCUCGGGUUCAUGAUAACCCAAAGAGGGGUAGAAGCCAACCCUGAGAAAUGCCAAGCGAUUCUCCAGAUGAAGAGCCCGGGUUGUAUCAAAGACGUCCAGUGAUUGGCAGGAAGGCUGACUGCGUUAUCCCGUUUUCUCGGCGCAUCGGCAGCAAAAGCCCUGCCCUUCUUCAAUCUGAUGAAAAAGGGGAUAGCGUUUGAAUGGACUCCUGCAUGCGAGGAAGCAUUCAACCGCUUCAAAGAGAUCCUAGCAACACCUCCGGUGCUCGGGAAGCCUAAGACCGGAGAACCACUCUACCUCUACCUAGCCAUAACAGAGGAAGCGCUUGCAACAGUGCUGAUACGAGAAGAAGGGAAGGCUCAGCAACCAAUCUACUUUGUGAGCAGGGCGCUACAAAGAGCAGAGCUGAGAUACAACAAACUGGAGAAACUGGCGCUGGCACUCCUAACCUCCUCCCGAAGGCUGAGGCAAUACUUCCAGGGCCACCGUGUCAUCGUGAGAACGGACCAAGCAAUUCGCCAAGUACUCCAGAAGCCUGAUUUGGCUGGAAGGAUGAUGACUUGGGCCAUCGAGCUCUCCCAAUAUGACUUGCAGUACGAGCCCCGACAUGCAAUCAAGGCACAGGCGAUGGCAGAUUUCUUAGUAGAGGUAACAGGUGAUCCCCAAAAGGAAACGGGCACACGGUGGAGGCUCCAUGUAGACGAGGCCUCCAACCAAACGUCUGGGGGUGCCGGGGUCAUUUUAGAGAUCCCGGCUGGGGUCAUAUACGAGCAAUCGACCAAGUUCGAAUUCCCCGUAUCAAACAACCAAGCGCAAUACGAAGCCCUCUUGGGUGGGCUAAUUCUAGCCCGGGAAGUCGGGGCGACAAGGCUGGACGUGUGCAGCGACUCACAGGUCGUCACCUCACAAGUGAACGGAAGCUAUCAAGCCAGAGACCCGCUGCUGCAAAGGUACUUGAAAAAAGUUAGAGAAUUGACCAGGCAGUUUCAGGAGGUCACGAUCCAACACGUUCCGAGGGAGAGGAACACACGGGCAGACCUCCUAUCUAAACUAGCAAGCACGAAGCCGGGAGCGGGCAACCGGUCUCUCAUACAGGGCAUGGCAAAAGAGCCAACGGUGGCCUUCCAUUUGGCAAAAUCAAACCCCUCCUGGUUGGACCCCAUCACAAAUUUCCUGGAACGUGGCAAACUACCUGACGAUGAGAGAGCAGUCAAAACACUGAGGAGGGAGGCAACCAAAUACGCAAUCAUACAGGGACAACUAUUCAAAAAGGGACUCAGCCAACCCCUAUUGAAGUGCUUGCAUCCCGACCAGACGGACUACGUACUUAGAGAAGUUCAUGAGGGAUGCUGCGGCCACCACAUCGGGGGCAAAGCCCUAGCAAGGAAGCUAAUCCGAGCUGGGUAUUACUGGCCAUCAAUGAUGAAAGACUCCGGCGAAUUUGUGAGAAAAUGCGUCAAGUGUCAAGAGAACGCCAACUUCUACAGAGCGCCGGCUUCCGAGCUGAGACUACUGACGUCCUCCCGACCCUUCGCACAAUGGGGAGUCGACCUAUUGGGACCCUUUCCAGUCGGCCCCGGACAAGUCAAAUACCUCAUAGUCGCCGUUGACUACUACACAAAAUGGAUAGAGGCUAAACCACUGGCUAGUAUAUCGUCAACCAACUGCAGAAAUUUCAUGUGGAGGCAGGUGAUAACGCGGUUCGGGAUCCCGGAAGUCGUCAUCUCGGACAACGGAACGCAAUUCGCCGACAAGAAAUUCACAGAGUUCUUCACUGGCCUGGGCGUAAAACAGAAGUUCUCCUCGGUGGAGCAUCCCCAGACGAAUGGGCAGGUUGAGUCUGCAAACAAAAUCAUCCUGCUAGGCCUUAAGAAACGGCUAGACAGUAAAAAGGGGGCAUGGGCCGACGAACUCGCCUCCGUUCUAUGGUCCUACUGCACAACCGAGAAAAGCUCCACAGGCGAAACACCCUUUCGUCUGACAUACGGAGUUGAUGCAAUGAUACCAGUAGAGAUCGGCGAGCCAAGCCCGCGAUUACUCCUGAAAGGAGUGGAAGAGGCGGUUGAGAAGGACCUAGUGAAUGAGGCCAGGGAAAUAGCUCACUUGUCGGAAGUAGCACUGAAACAAAGAAUGGCGCUGCGCUACAACACCAAAGUGCUCAAAAGGGAGUUUGAAGAGGACGACCUCGUCUUGCGACGCAACGACAUAGGGCCACCGACACCAGGAGAAGGAAAGCUGGCGACAAAUUGGGAAGGUCCUUACAAAAUCAAAGAGGUGCUUGGCAAAGGCGCCUACAAAUUGGAAAGGCUCGACGGCAAGGAAAUCCCGAGAACAUGGAAUGCAGGUAACCUGAGAAGAUUUUAUUCGUAGCUCAGGCACACUGGCCAAGCGGCCUGAUAAGCUAUAUAGCCCAUUGUUAAUUCCCAAUGGUUUAUUUUUAUCAAAUAUCUACCAUGUUCAUAAAUUUGUUUAGCUAACGACUAAUGCUUACUUAUUUGAAUCCUCCAAUCUACUAUCUCCCAAUACGAAUCCCACACCAUCGCGCUCGUAAACGGCAACCCGGGAUUGAUCACCCCGGGAAGCCAACUGAACCAUAGCCAUAACGAACGGCCGUGAUAAUAAGACCAUAACAGUUUCAAUCGAGUUACCUACGUGAACGGCAAAACAUACACAAGCAAUAAGUUCGCCUCAAAAAGACGGUAACAAAAUACAAACGCUACCAAGCAAGAUAAAGGCAAUAACAAUAAGCCGACCAGGCGACCAAUAAAGUAUAAAGUUAAUAGUUGCAACAAAGUAUUCAACAAACCCAUACAAAAGCCAAAGUUACAAGAGUUCAUUUUCGGUGUCAACAAUCUUGCAGUGCUGGAUCGUUUUGAAGACCCCAAUAGCCGACGUAUCGAAGUCUGGAGCCACGAUCUUCACCUGAGCCUUCAGAGCCUCCUCGGUCAUGAAGAUCGCAUUCUUCCCUUGCUCCUUCGUCGCCUUGUGCUUCCUCUUAAGCUCGUCGACCUCGGCUUUAGCAGCUUUAGCCGACGAAACGGCCUGGUCGCGUUCCUUCUCCAAGGCUGCCACCCGACCCUGCGCGGCACUCAGCUGGCUCUCUAGGGUCAUCUCCCGCUCGGUUAAAUGGGACACAGUCUCAUCGGAAGCCUUCAAUUUCUCCUCGGUAGACUCUGUUUUCUCCUCAGCAGCCUUGAGCUUUUUCCCCACCUCGGACAGCUGCCCCUGAAGCAGCUCGACUUGCACCUUGAAGUCAUUGUUCGCCUUACCAGAAGAUUCAAGCUUUCUUCGAAGAGCCUGCAUUUCCGACAACUUGAACUCGGCCUUCUGAGCUAUCACGGCCCCACGGAGCAGCGUCCGAUACAUCCACCUCGCCUACCCCGCCAGGUCGAUGCCAAGGAAAUGUUCCUCCAUGCCAGGGAUCAGGUGGGAGUCGAUGAAAGUCCCAGCAUCAAAAUUUUUCUCCAUCACGAUAAAGGUUCCUUCCGGGCUGGCAGAUGCCCUCCGCCUCUUAGGAGUAUGAAUAAGUUCCACAUCAUCGUCAUCUUGGCGGGUAGAGGACGAGUGUCCGGCAAUGGCCGCCUCUUCGGGAGUGGGGGAAACCUGCACCCCGGCCGAAUUCAUUGCGGUAUCUUGGGGAGAGGGCACGGCCUGAUCCUUCUUCUCCUCGACAGGAUCUUCAGACUUCCCGUCGACCUUCUCGUCCGUCUUCUCCUCGUCACUAUCCUCUAAAAAGGUCUUAACCAAACCCUCGAGCCCUGUCACUGAAGCAGACAUCUCUACUACAACAAAGAAACAAAUGCGUCAUUCGUGAAGUCGGAAAAAGCAAAUUAAAUGAUAAGCAACACAAGAACACAAAGGCAAAAUAGCUCACAAAUAUAAUUCCGGGCGACCUCCCGGUCACCCAUAAGGAGGUGUGGGUUCACGUGGUUUUUUUCCGAAAACCGCGAACAGCACGUCGGCAAUCCUCUUAUUUUCAGGGGACAUCACCUUGUAGGUCACCUUGAUGAAAGUAUUAGACCCCGCCCCGAAGCUCCAAUACGUCGGGAUGAGGCGUUCACCCUCUAGCGACAACCAAAAAGGAUGACGACCUUUGACGGGACGAACCUUGAAAUACUUGUCUUUGAACCCAUGGUAGGAGUCCUCGAACAAGCCAAAUAUCCUCCGACCUUGGGCAGAUCAGAAAGACAGGAACCCUUUCUUCGCUUUCCCCUCCUUGGAAGGGUUAGUGAGAUUGAAGAAGAAAAGAAAGACAUUCACCGAUACCGGCAGCUCGAGAUAUUCACAACCCAUCUCGAAACAAUGGAUAGAGGCCCAGCUGUUCGGAUGAAGCUGCGAUGGCGAGACGGAUAUCCGAUUAAGAAGCGCCAUCUGGAAGUCGAAAAACGGCAUGCGAACGCCCACCUGGGUGAACAUGGCUUUGUAAAACCAAAUCCAGUCGGCAACCCAGGGGGAGUGAAAAUUGAUCUCGUACAGCCGCUCAUGGGGGGCAGGAACGAAGACGUCAUAGUUGGCCUUCUCGUCUGUCCCUCUGCAGAGAUACUCGGCUUGUCGGAAUUCGGUCAACUCCCCUCGUCCAUCUGGUUCAGGGAGUCCUUCAAAUCGGAAACAACCCAAGCAUAGGGGUCGUAACCCGCAGCAGAGGUGGAAGCCCGUGAAACGACGCGAGGCAUACCUACAGCGGGGGUACCACUCCGUUAGUCUAUGAGGUCGGGAAUCCGGGAAAAACCCAGGAACUACGUCCAUUCUAUUCAACAGUUAAGAUCAAGCAUGGCUACAUAUAUCUAUCAUGCAAGCUACCUAAAAGCCUACCCUGGAAUGGUACCCUUCCCCUAAUGCAUCUAUCUGGCACUAGAACACCAUCUACCAACAAAAUCAAAGACCAACAACAGCAAAAAUGCAGAACAAACACAAGCAACAAACAUACAGCAGUAAAGCACAGGAAGGCAAAAAUCGAGAGUUACCUGAAUUGAUUGCAGGAGCUUAGGAGGGAAAGGAGAGGCACAGGAAGGCUCGAACGAAGUCUUGGAUAUCAGGGAGUGAAGAAGAUGAGAGUAGCAAGAAUGGGAGAGAGAGAGAAGGAAGAAACUAUUUAAAAACCGCUACACAAAGCGCGAAAGGGCCAGGGGCAAAAUGGUCUUUGCGCGCAGGGUUUUGCAACUCAUUAUGAGCAUUUAAUGCUCAGCGCAAAGAACGAAGCGACGAACGGUCGUCUCAAUAACCAAGAGACACGCGCGUAGGGGGCACGUCCUUCCCACGGGUGGCCGACCUGACGACAACGCACGGAACGAGAAAUAACACGCCACUAAUAGCUUUCACGACUAUUACUGGCGCGUGGGGGCACUGUUGCGGCCUGGCCCAAACCCUCUACGGGUUGGCCCGACCCGGGCACCACCCGACCCAAACGGUCAGGGGCAGGGCGCCUUGCAGCCGAUUCGGAUACGCGUCCCUGACAGCUCACCUACAGCUGUGAGGAGAACGCCUCGAAGAAAGUGGGCCUGUCCUUGCAGGGCCCACCUCUGACACGGUAUAUAAGGGGAAGGUUUUACCCUUCCCCCAAGGUACGACACGCACAUUCUACCCCCCUUUUUCGCCUGCAUAUUUACUUACUAGAGCGUCGGAGUGUCUUUGCAGGUGACACCCCCUUUCCACGCGAAGUGCUCGGGACCUCGACUACGUCUAACCGGCAACCCACGACCAGACGAGGCCCCAUCACCAACCAGGAUACCAACCCGAACCAUCCGGUACCCGACUUACCGAACAGAUUUAUAUGUAAAUACCUAAAAAUCGAGUUUGUCCUAUUCGAUUUAUAUAGAUCUGUUUAGGACAUGUAUAAAACCAAUUUCUAUUCCUUAAUUUUAUAAUAAUAGACUAUACGAAAUAAAAAAAAACAUAAUUUAUACGUUAGCAUUCAUUUCAUUUUAAUAUAAGUCUUUAAUUUUUUCUAUUUAUUAAAAACAAUCAUAAAACAUUAAAUUACUAAAACUAGUAAAUAAAAAAUAUUUUUUUAACUUCUAAAGUCAUUUAUGUUUCAUUAAUUACUUAGUAAUUUUCAAAUUUUCUUAUCACUUAAAUACUCUUUUAUUUUGAUUUUUUUAUAUAUAUAUAUAACCUAAAUUUUUAUUCCUAUUAAAUAUAAUUAUUUAAUUAAUCUCUGAUUUUAACGUGUCUACAGAAUNNNNNNNNNNNNNNNNNNNNNNNNNAUUUGAUUAUUAUUAUUGUCACAAAUUAAAUACUCAACAAAAAAUAUAAAAAUAUAAUUUUUUUAUUAACGUGAACUGAUUAAUAUUAAACACAAAAAAUAGAAUUUUUUUUUCAUUAUCAACAUAAAAAAUCUAAACAUUUUUUUUACCAAAAAUAAAAAGAUUCCAAUCUGCAGCCUUAAAAAAAAAGAGGAAGACUCGUAUAAAGAUUGGCAAAACAACUUUUUUUUAAGUUACUGAUGUGUCACUCUCUCUCAUUUUUCGUAUCUCAUUACGCUUGCCCAAGUUUUCUCCUUCUAUCAGCAUUGGUCUCUCUCACUGUCUCCGACAAGCUCAUCGUCGGUCUCUUCCUGUCUCCGAUCUCGCGUGCCUUCCUUGCCCUCUUCGUCACUGGCGGCAGUGGCAGCAGCUCCCUGACCUAGACGUCGUCGCCGCUCCAUGUCUUGUCACUGCCUCGCAGUCAGUCUCGCGCCGUCAUUGCGUUCGUCGACGUCGAGACAGAAGCAGCAGGUCCCCGACUUCCUCCUCGCCUUCAGCAACUCCUCGACUUCCUUUGCACAACCUACUCCCAACGUCUCUUUUGUAUUUGGUUGUUGUGUUUGAUUUUUUUUGUCAAAAAUAAUCACAUUGAGUGAAGAUCACCAAUAUGGGCACAUGGGUAUUCAUAAAAAGAUGAACUGUAUGAAUGAUUGAAGCCAAAAUUGGGAUUUUUACUAUUUUAUUAAUAAUUGUAUAAUUGGGAUCAAACAGAAUUAAAUGGGUUAUGCAAAAAACUGGUAACUAAAAUUAAAAUGGAUUUUGAAAUAAGUAGUGAUGAAAGGGACAGUAAUAUAAAAAAAAUAUAAUGGCAGAGGUAAAAUUGAAACGGAAAAGGAAAUGAAGUAAAAUUCAAUUGAGAAAAGUAAUACCAAAAAAACAAUAUUACAUAGCUAGAGUUCCUGUCCGAAUUUAAAGUGCUAGAAAGAUGCCAAUCAUAUACAGAACUCAAAGAAGAAGAAGAACAAGAAGAAUUUGGAGGUGUAGUAGCACUAGUAGUGUUCCAAUCACUAACACUCUUGUUCUCCUCUUCAUCAUUUUCAUUAUUAUUAUCACCAUAGUUUACAAGCAUACCACCCUCAAACAUGUAACUAAGUUUCAUAAUUUCAUCAUCUAACCAUUCAUAUGCUCCCAACUCCUCAUCAUUAAAAGCUUCAUCAUGAUCAGCAUUAUUCUUUUGAAUGCUUGGUUGCUGAAGCAUUAUCACCUCUUUUGUGUCCCUUAACUCUAAGUUCUUAUUAGGUGCAGUAGAUCGAGUAGGUGCUCUUCUCUUGGAAGCUUUUAAUGCAGCAAUGUCAAUGGUGGGAGGGAAGGAGGAAUAAUCAUUCAAAGAUUUCAUGAAGCAAUAAAUUUUCCUCCUGAGAUGAGAGUUCCAAUAGUUCUUUAUCUCAUUGUCUGUUCUUCCUGGUAAAUGCCCUGCUAUCACUGACCACCUACAAUUAUUACAUACCAAACAAAACAUCAUCAAAAUAGAAUUAACUAUUUCCCACUCAGAUACAAGAAACUACUUUGGUAAAUUAUGAUUUACUCAUCGUUUGAGCAUUUUAGGCAAUUUAAUACCUUCUGAUAUAGGUGCAGUAACAGAUUGUUAAACUGAUUUAUUUUCUUUUUUACUUUCCAAUUGUCAUGACAGGUUUAUUGUCUUAGUUGGCUAUGAAUAUUUCAAUAACAGAUUAAAUAUGCAAAUAUUUCUUGUGUUUUACAUCAAGCCUCAUUAGUUUUGAUAAUAAAAUUUGAAUAUUCUCAAUCCAAAUCCAUAUCAUGGCUUGUAAUUAAAAGCCAGACAUAAUGGAUAAUUCGAUCUGGAUAUAGUGAUUAGCACUUGCUGGAUGAUACAGCAUUAUGUGGUUUAUUUAUAUAUGAGGUGUGACUCUAUCAAUGCUUAUGCUAAUUUAUUUAAGGAUAUUUCUUCUUGUAUUUUGUUUCUCAUUUCUACAUUUUAUAAAUUGGUGUCCUUUCUUGUCUGUGUAUAUUUUAGGCCAAAAUUGUUUGCUUUUUGUCUAAAAAAGAUUGGUUUUUGUUCCUUAUAUUCUUCCUCCUCCUUGCUAUGGAAUGAGAAAACUUGGAACUAUCACAAGUGUGUUGCCUUGCUCUUUAUUUUGAUAUUCUAUUCUAUGAAGAUUUAUGUUCUGUUCUGUGAAAGAAAAUGCAUAGAAAUUUAGCUGUUAACCCUUUUGAAAAUUGAAGCCUCUUGUGUUCUCUGCUUUUUCUACUUAAGUUUAGUUUUCCAAUGCAUAGUUUAUGGAUUAAAUUAAUGUCAGGAGCCUCAGAGUUUGAUGUUGUCAAUGUGAUUCUUGAGGAGGGACCAAUCAUCCUACAUAUUUUUAGUAUAUUCUAUCACUUGGUUUCACAUGUUAGUAUUUUAAGAUUCAUAUAGACUGAUUAUUUUAGUCUUAUCUGUUUUUGUUCUUUUCAUGCAACAAUCGCUUGAUUCUUUGUUUAGACUAUAUGCCAAGACUAUUCUUUGUUUAAACUCAUGGUCACCUUGCUGCACGCAAAGUUAGGGAUUCCCUGCCUAUCAAACUUCUUUCUUUUUUGCAUUCCGGUGAAUCGAGGCGAAACGGAUCAGGAUAAACUAAAUUCCAUGUGGAGACAAGCUUUCAUGAAGGCAUAUAAGGCCAUGGACAAAGAGCUGAGGUCUCAUCUGAAUCUGGAUUGUUUCUGUAGUGGGAGCACGGCUGUAACCAUAGUGAAGCAGGUAGCAGCUCAAUGAGUAGUGCAUUCAAUUGCUGCAUAUACUUCAUUGCUUCUUUCACUGACAGUUCUAUGUUGUUCACUUUCCAGGGAUCAAAUCUGUUCAUGAGCAACAUAGGGGAUUCCUGAGCAAUCAUGGGAUCCAAAGACAGUAAUGACUCCAUGGUGGCAAUUCAGUUGAUAAUUGAUUUGAAACCUGAUUUGCCAAGUUAGUUUUGUCAUCAUUGUUCAUCCUUUCUCAGUCUAUGUUUUUGCUUUGAGAUAGCUUAUCUGAAUUUUUUACAGGGGAAGCUGAAAGAAUCAAAAGGUGCAAGGGCAGGGUAUUUGCCUUGCAAGAUGAACCAGAAGUUCCAAGGGUGUGGUUACCUUUUGAUGAUGCACCUGGAUUAGCAAUGGCUAGAGCAUUUGGCGAUUUUUGUUUGAAGGAUUACGGUGUCAUUUUUAUACCAGAAUUUUCUCACCGGCUUCUUACAGACAAAGACGAGUUCAUUGUUCUUGCCUCGGAUGGAGUAAGACUUUCGAAAAUAUAUCUGCUUUUAUUUGUUCUUGUGGUCUCAGUUGCCACAGUAAUAUUACAAUUAUCGCUAAAGUCUCGCAGCAUAGAGCAUUUGCAACAUUUUCUGUUUCCUAGAUGCAUAGUUUUUUCUUGUUUUGUUGUUUUGGUCCAUGUGAAAGUCAUCAAAUCAAAGUAACUUAGUUUAAGCUAUGUAUAACUUGCUGUAGGAAAAUUUUGCUAUGCAUAAUAGUUCUACCCAUGUAAGCAAGAAAAGCAUGUCAUUCUCAUCUAUGUGUAUGUUUACUUUUGUAAGUGAAUAGACAUAUGAUAUGGUGAAUUUGAAUCCAACACUUGAAAAAUUUUAACUAGUUCUUGUGUUUCUUUUUAGGCUACUUAUGCUUAAUAUCCAUCUUGGUAUUUUGUGCAGGUUUGGAAUGCGUUAAGCAAUAAACGUCGAUUUUUGGCGUGGAAAAUAUACUAUUUCUUCUAAUGCGCUUUAAACAGAAUAGAUUUUUNNNNNNNNNNNNNNNNNNNUUAUUUUUGUAGAAUAGAAAGGUAGAGAAAGAUAUAUAGAAAAUGAGAGAGAAAAGAAAAAGAAAGAUAACAAAAAAGAAUGAGAGAGAGAAUUUGUUAAUUUUGGAGGGAAAUAAUAUUUUAUUUUAAUUGUAAUAAAAAAAUAUCUCAUGAUACAUUUUGAUUUUUCAAAUUUGUAAUAUAGAAUAUAAAUUAUAAGUUAUAUAUAGAGUGAGAAGGGUAGAGAGAAAUAGAAAACGGAAGAAAGGUAGAUAAAACGAUGGAAAGAGGGAGUUUAUUAAUUUUGAAAAAAAUUAUUUCAUCCCAAUUUUAAUGAGAGGGUGUUACAUAUGUGACAUUGACAUAUAUAUCUUGCUUGUUAAAUUAAUAAUAUAAUAUAGUUAUAUUUUAAUUUUAAUUUAAUUUUGAUUACAAUUAAAGAAUAUCAUAAUGCAUAUUUUAAUUGUCAAAUUUGUAAUUAGUAAUUGAUAAUAAUGUAUAAAGCUGUUUGUUACGGUACGAUGAUAAAUUCAAUCUUAAUUUUAUAAAUUUAAAUAAUUAAAACAACAAAAUAAAAACAUAUUAAAAAAACAAAAAAUCAAAAUUUUUCUUCAUUUUAUGUUAAAUAUAUUAAAAAAACAAAAAACUAAAAUUGUUCUUCAUCUAGAAUUCAAAAACCUUCUCAUUCACCCAUAUGAAGAAUUCAGUCUUCUUCCUCUUCUUCUCUCCUCUUCCUAUCCUCUCUCUCUGUCUCUCUCUGCUCCUCGAUCUCUCUCAUCUGUCUCUGCGUCGCACGCAAGACGCCAACAUUUUGCUGGGAUGCCCUAGCCAAUUACCCAACCUAGCAACCUUAGCUCCACACAACGGCUAAAGGCGAACCCAUCCUUCCCAUCACCCUCGAGCUCCUCCUUCCUCUCUCCGUCAUCGAUCUCACUCCUUCACCUCCGUCCAUCUCCCGCCGCCGUCGCCGAAACGAGCUUCGAAGCCACCGUCGUUAUCGUGCAGCUCUGUUCCACCAUCGUGCAGCUACUGUUUCAGUUUUGAAAGCACCACGCAGCUCGGUUCCAUCGUCGCCGGGCUCGCCUCCUUUUUCCGUCGAGCAGCUCUAUUCCAUCGUCGCCGGCGCUAUCUCUGUUCCACCUGUUAUCCCUUCGGUCGUGCCCUUGUCCCCCUCUUGCUCAGGAUCUGCCCUGCUCUGUUAUAGGGCUUCUAGAUUCUAGGUAAUUUUUUUAUAACAAUUAUUGAAUAAUUGUUGUUAGUUAAUUUGUGAACUUGUUAUGGGUUGAAUAAUUGUUGAAUAAGUGUUAAUUAAUCUCUAAAUCUUACUGUUUUUACUGUGAAUUACUCCAUUGUUAAUGAUUCUGAUAAUCCAUUGGUGAAUAAGUGUUAAUUAAUCUGUCUCUAAUACUGUCAAGAGUAUGCUUAACUUAUUGGCAUCAUUCUUAUAGUUGGAUCUUUCAAAUUGGUUUCCGAGGAACUUCAAAAUUUUGAAGUGAAUAAUAUCUCACAUUCUCCUUUCAUUUCGCUUUUUUACAGACGAAAAUGGAAGCUAUGUGCCCUUCAAGGUAACUUUUCUCUUAACCUUACUGUCCAAGCUAUUUAAAUUUCAUUUUUCAGUGAUCUUCUAAACUUAAUGACCAUGUUUUCAUUUUCCUUUUCAGCAAUGGAGGUUUGACAAUCUCAGCACAGUUUUUCUGUCAUUGAUCAUUCUUUUCAUUUGAGUUUGAUAUCAAGACAGUGAAGGUAAGGACUUUGUGCUGUUCUAUUGUUUCUGCAGGGAAAGGUCUAUCCGGUGGCGUUAUUGGUGGAAUAUCUGUUGGAAUAGUAGCAGCACUUCUGUUAUUGGUAUUUUGUGUUUAUGUUAAAUGUUAUAGAAGAAGGAAGAUGUGGAACAAAAAAUUGGUAGCUAAAGAUUCCAGCGAGAACUUUGUUCUCCAAGGUAUAUGGAUUUCGACUUAUAUUUUAUCUAAUAGCAUGCUUGGAUUAGUAACUCUUAUACAUUGUCCCUCUUUCAGGCGAAACCUCUCAUAAUGCCAAAAACAGAACUUCAGCUUCUGAUGAUACUAGUAUUAUAGGUGUUAAGGUAGAAAAAUCAGCAGAGUUUUCGUAUGAGGAACUAGCCAAUGCCACAAAUAACUUCAGUUUGGCUAAAAAGAUUGGUCAAGGUGGUUUUGGUGAAGUCUAUUAUGGAGAAAAUGGCGAGGUUCAUAAUUUCUCUGUGUUGCUAGUUUUGAUUACAAGUAUUUGAAAGAAAAGUUGCAUAUAUUUUUUUAUUAAUGAGAAACUAAAUUGCAGUUCUUUUAGUUGAAUAGAUGCUGCAUGCAUAGUCAAGUUUUAUGUAUGAUAAUACUGUUAGGACUUAGGAUAACUAACAUUUCAAUUGUUACUUUCUUCUAUCUUUCCACUUUGGCUGAAGUUUUCUCUGAUAACACAGAGAGCUGCAAUUAAGAAGAUGGACAUGAAAGCAUCAAAAGAAUUUUUGGCAGAACUGAAAGUGUUGACGCGUGUUCAUCACUUAAACUUGGUAAUCUUUCUCACAUAUUCCAUAGAUUGUUUCCAACUAUGUUCAUAUGAUCUUUCUGUUUCAAUGUUUCACUAUUUUUCGAUAACAAUAUAGGUACGCUGAUUGGAUAUUGUGUCGAGGGCUCUCUUUUCCUUGUGUAUGAAUAUAUCGAAAAUGGAAACUUAAGCCAACAUCUGCGAAAUUCAGGUAAUAUAAGCACAUGAUAUGAUACAUAUCUAUGUUCAGAAUUCAGUGCUUAAUGAUAAACUGUUAUCAUUUACCAGAUAGUGAGCCUUUACCAUGGUCUACCCGGGUUCAAAUUGCUCUGGACUCGGCUAGAGGACUUGAAUACAUUCAUGAGCAUACAAUGCCUGUAUAUAUCCAUCGCGAUGUAAAGUCGGAAAAUAUUUUAUUAGACAGAAACUUCCGUGGAGAGGUACGAUACAUCUCAAUAAAUUCAAUGAACUUGUUACCUUUUUUUGUUUUCUUGUAUAAUUCUGAGAUACUGCAUUGCAUUGUUUUGCAGGUUGCGGAUUUUGGACUGACCAAGCUGAUUGAUGUUGGAAGCUCAUCAGCUCCAACUGCUAAUAUGGCUGGCACAUUCGGCUACAUGCCACCAGAGUAUGAUGAACUGUUUUCUCUCUAUUCAAUUUCUUUUGGCAAACUAAGGAUUAGAGUAUGCUAACUAUUAUACAUUAACUAAACUUGCAAAGUGUUGGUAGUUCUUUUUUUUUCCCAUUAAUUUAGUACAUAGUUAUGAGUUUAUGAAUGUUGAAAGAGUAUUCCUUGAUCUUCAUCUCCUUGUUUCCAAUAGCAAUAAAAGUAGAAGUUUUUCGGUCUUAACUUCACACAUUCACAUUCUAGAAAGGAAAGUGAGCUUUUUAGAUUUAAUAAUAGGAUUCUCUUAUUUGCAGAUAUGUAUAUCGAAGUGUUUCUCCCAAAAUAGAUGUAUAUGCUUUCGGAGUUGUUCUAUAUGAGCUUAUUUCUGCAAAAGAAGCUUUGAUGAGGAGUGGUGGUGCAUCUGGUGCUGAAUUGAAGGGCCUUGUGGCUUUGGUGAUUAUUAAUGACUUUGCUAUGGAGUUGCUUCAGAUCGAGAAGCAGCGCAAGGACGAAGCUCACAGAGAAGCCCUUAGAGUUCCCAAUGAGGAGCGCAAGAAGCUCAAGGCCGUAGCUGCGCAAAUCAGGGCUCAGGAGCACAAGAUCGCACAACAAGAAGUCAGAGAAACACUCGUGCGUUUUUCUUUUUCUUCUUCCCUCCCUUCUAUGAAUUUCGCUGUGCACACCAAGUGUUCGAUGGUUUGCUUAUUUGUUGGUUUGAGCUAAUAUGCACGUCAAAUGUUUGUUAAUUAGUCUCAAUGGAUAAUUAGGUAGAUAUAUGUGCUCAAUGUUGUGUUCGUGCAGACGAGGUGCUUGAUCUAAUGACUGAACUACUUUUGAAAUAAGUGUUGUUUUCUUUCUUUGGAGCCAUAAUGGCUUGUUGUUUUCUUUUUUUGAAAAUUGACUAGGCCUCAAUCUGGCUUUGAUUUUCCUUUCUGUGAUAUUCUUUUGCUUGGGCCAAAUGUAAAGGGUUAGAUUUUAUCUUUUGCAUUUGUAUACCACACACUAUUGAUUGACCCUUGUUCAUUGUCAUUGUUCAUUACUUAGCUACCUAAUCAACAUUUCUAAUAUGAUUGCAUUUAUGGUCUUUGUUUUGUAUUUAGCUGUCAGUUGGUUCAUUCUGGUUUAUACUUUACAUUGCUAAUCUGUCAAAAAAUCCAGUAAUAAAAUAGGAACUAGUUUCAUAUUUGAUUAUGCAACAUGUAGAAACAAUAAAAUAAGUCAAUAAUCAGCUGACAUGGAGUUUGGAGGUAUAGUUUUUAUAUUUUGGAAGUCUAGUUUUCGAAUCUUUCAGGUGCGCUAAAGAGAUACUUCGACCUAUUGUUGCACACAGCCUUGGUUUCAUGUGUUUAAGUUAAACCUCUUAUAGUCUUUUGAUGUGCUUACUGAUGUGUCAUUCUUAUGAAUCCAGUUAAAAGAAAGAGCUGAGAAACUUGAAAAUUGGAGGAUGAAGGUCAAAAAGCAUGGUGAGAAGAUGGCAGAAAAGAAAGAGUUAUUGCGUCGACAAAGCUCAAUGUGGAUCGAUGAAGCUAAUCUUGAGGCACAAAUGAUGAAGCUAAUCUUGAGGCACAAAUAUUGGAAUCCAUCGUUUCCUUUUGCUGAGUCCCUUAUAUUUCCACAUUUGUUAUGGUUGGGAUCAGUGUUGUGUUAUCUGUUACAUAGAAGUUAUAUUUUUGUCCUAUGUUCAAUCAAGGUUGCAUCAUCAUGCAAAUAACUUAUGCAUUUGGAGUAUGGUUAACCACUGCCACAUUCAAGAUGCAUAAUACACAUGGAAAUAAGUCUGGAUAUUUUGGGUUAGUCUGGGAUUAUAGAGCAAGUACUAACGUACCAAGUUUGCAUGCUUGAGUGUACAAUGAUUUUUCUUUUUUUCCCAAUAGACGUGACUUGCUAGUGAUUGCACUUGAUGCAUAUAUGGUAUACCCUAAUUUAGAACCAUUGCAAGAACUAGUAUUUUUCUUUUAAGCUUACGCGAUUUAGAUUUUCCUUAACCCAAAUGUUGUUUUGCUCACGGUUUCUUAGCGUGUAGAAUCAAUCAAACUACGAGCACCGCCAGUAAAUGAUGAUAGCGAGAUAAUUAUUUAGCAUAAAGCUAGGUUACAUUUUCCUUAAGCAAUCAGGUAUUCAACAUAGAUUUACAUUUCACGUUAAACUUCAGUGAAUUAUUAUGCAAAUAUUCUCCGUCAAUGAUUUUUGUUAUUAUUUUUUCUUUGUCAAUUCAUAGCUUUUUGCUUUUCAGCUAUCCACUGCUCACAACAAAGACCUUUGCUUUAGUGUUACACAGCGACUGAGCCCAGAUAUGAAUUGAAUUCACACCACUUUGUUAAAAGACCUAGUGAGAUAAUCACUAAAUCACAUUCUAUGAUUAUAGGUAGAUAUUUUCAUCUGACAAUAAUUUAUUUGGUGGAGAAAGACAGACACAAUCCAUCACCCUCUACAAUCCAUCACCCUCAACAAUCACGUUCUAAGAUUUUAAUAACAUAACUAUUUGUUCCAUCUUUUUCAAGUUUCCAUAGCCUUCACUUAAUAAAAUAAGUUAAAUGAAGUUAGAGAAAACAAAGCUGGGAAAAAUUACGGCUGCAGAAGAAUAAAAGCACCUAUCGAUUUCUUGGCAUCUAUAUUUUCCAGUCAAUGGUCUGAAAUUAAUAAUCUACAGGCAGUAUGGUUCACGAGGAUCAAUAAUAAAGCUAAGCAAAUAAGUAUUGACAUUGCCACUUCUCCAAAGAGUUCAGAUGAUAAGCAACGACAUCAAAGAAGCAUAGCUUGUGAAGAUGAAACAGAACCAUCUUCUUAGUCUUCAAAUUCAUUCUGGUGAUCCAAAAGAUAGUUGGCUGCCAGGUCCUCGUUUUUGUUGCAUGCAAAGAACACCUCCAACACAAGAUCUCUAUCAAAUCCCAUAUCUUGAAGCUGCAAAAGAACAACAUAGGGACAAGAAUAAGAUACUAACACUAGCAAGUAGUACAUCAUAAACAAAUUUCAACGGAGAGCAAUCUCAAUGGCUUACCCUUUGAAUAGCCUCAUUCUCUUCUGGGGUGACAGUGAUGGUCUGGGGCACUGCAGAAGCCAACUCACUUGGUAGAUUCCUGAUCAAACAAUUCAAAACAACCUUAGCAUACCCAUGUCUUAUGAAGUCAAUAAAAUCCCAGAUACAUUGGGGACUCUGCAUUUAUACACGCGGGGAUUAUAGGAUGUGUUUACUCAUACAAUCUGAAUAUGGAAAACUUUAAAAAAAAAAAGCUGCAGACUUUAGAAAUUCAUCAUCUUACUCUUCUCCAUCAGGUUCAUUUAUAAAUUCAAACAGCUUUUUCAAAUCUUGACGGCCCGAGCGAGAUUGCAAAACAGGUGCUACAACAUAAGUGGGAUCUGAAAGAAGUGAUCAAUAUUUCAGGCAUUCAAUAAGCCCAACAACACAUGAAGUCAGUAUUUUGUAUUAACAACUCCUGGAGAGGCAGCAGCUAUGUAUGAGCGUGAGAAUCCAUCAACCCAGAUAAAGGAGCUUCAAAAAUGAAGAAUGUAUGAACUUGAGAACUACACAGAUUAAUCUAGCACAUUAAUUGUCAAAACAAUUUAAAUAUGCUGUGACAGUGAAACAUGCAAGUUAAAAAUUUUGCAACUUUCUUAUGCUUGUGUGAUUCAUACAAGAAAGUUGUAACAGAAUAUAUCAUUACAUUCGCAACUACUGGCCAACGAAAACAAGGUCACCAUGGUAAUGAUACAAUUUCAAGCUAAAUAUCAUUAAAUUAAAGUAACUAAUCAAGAGUGUUUAAGAGCUAACUUAACCCUCUUUCAUAUCAGGAAAAAACCAACCAAUGACACAAACAACAAUUCUAAAAGCACAACGCCAUAACCAGAAGCGAUGAAAUUUUUUCCAUUCUUGCGAGAGAAAAAAGGCCAAAAAAAAAGCACAUACCUGCUGAAUAAUGGUAGCAGGAAACGUAGUUGAGUUGGCCAGAUAAACCCAAAAGCAGAGAGAAAAAGUUCCAUCCUUCACUUCAAUUUCAGCUCUUAAAUCUUUCAGCAGAGAGUACCCUGCAUUCCCUAUUGCAUCCGUGAACAUAAUUUCUUCUUUUUUUUGUUUUUGCUCUCUGUAAAACUUUGGUCUCUCAAGCAUAGCCUAAUUGAUUGACAAAUUGUGAAUGAAACUGAAGUCAAUGAAGACGCAUUAAUCAAAUUUAAUUGAUUGUACAAAAGAAACCCAAGGUAGAAGCAUUCUUUCGUAGUCACAGAGAAAUUUAGCAUUGUAUUCUGUAAUUGAGUAUUUACAGCUCCAUACCAAGUAAGAAACAUACUGAAUUUAUUUGAAUCAUUUAUGUCGGUCUCACCUCAUAUUCUUCAUGGUUUGGUACAGAAUUAAAGAGACAAAAUGUGUUUGAUAUUCUAUGAUCAUCUUAAUUCAUAGAGGGAAAAAAAACAACUGAAUUGGAAGCUUAUCUCAAGCUUAUCUCACAAUGAUAUUCUAAGUGUAUCAUAUUUAUAAUCCAAUGAUACUCUUACUUCUAAUUUGACAAACAGUACACUUGCAUAUCUUACUUAUUGGUUUUUAACACAAGAACAAAAUCAGAAUACAGAACAUAAUAACUCAACAAUUAUAUGAAAAUUAAAAAAGGAACAAAAGAACAAAACUAUCCUCAUACAUUAACACCAAAACUAAUUUCAGUUCUCAAUCAAUUGAUUCAGCGCAAAAUUAGCUUCUUAAGAAAAUAAAAUUAACUCAAGAACAGAACAGAAAAACAAAUAGAAGCAGUGAAAAAUCAAACAAAAAAAAAAUCAAGAAUCAACCUGAGUCAGAGGCUCCAUUCUUGAUGAUGCAGACAGAGAGUGACAGAGUACAGGGAGGAGUGGAGGAAGACGUGGUGGCUGCCAGAAAGGGAGAGGCGCUGGACGACGACGGCUGGACGAGGCUCGACGAUGGAGGGCGAAGGGACAUUCAAAGAACUUCCAUAGAGGAGAAAGAAGCAGUAUUUGGCCAGUGGUUUAGCCUUCCUUCUCCUCUUUUAGGUUCUUUAAAUUUCGUGAGUGACUAGUUACUAAGAUCAAUGUAGUCAAUUAUUGUUAGGGUUUUGCCGUUUUGGUUUGCUUUAGAGGGGAGGGGGCACGAAUGAUAUUGGAGAGGAUGAAGAACAGAUUGAUUUUUUAUAUUUUUGAUAUGUUUUGCUUUGCUUCAAAGGAAGAUGAAUGAUUAGGGGAAUUAGAAAAACUGAAGAACGAUUGAUUUUUAUUUUUUUUAAUAUGUUUUUGUUUUGUUAUUUAAAUUAAUUGAAAUUAUAAAAUUAUGAUUAAUUGAAUUCUAAAAUUUGAUUGAUUUAAAAGGGUAUUUUUGUCUAAUCAAAUAAAAUAAGGAUGUUUAAGACUUUUUAUAAAAUUAAAUUAAAAAUAUAUUUUUAUUUUUAUUUAAUUAAAGGGGAUGUAUUAGUAAAAGUGUUGAUAUAAUAUAUAUUUAAAAAAGAAAAAAUUAAAUGUUGACGUGGAAAAUAAAUUCCAUGUGAUUUGUUACUACUUGUCCAUAGUUUAAACGUAUCGGUACAUAUAAAUUUAUCAUCGUACCAUAGCAAUCACCUAAUUUUUAUCUCUACCAAAAUCUCUCUUUCUAAUCUUCUCCAAUUCUCUCUUUCUGCAGAUUCCAAUUCUCCAAAUUCCAAUUCACUAACACUUUCUUCUUCACUUACACCUUCCUCCUCUUUCAUUUCUCUCUUUCACUCUUUUUUUUCAAGUUUUUCACUUUUCACCUUUAGACUCACCUGAUGAGAAACUAACGACCACAAAAUUUCACAAUCUGUGUAGUUUAUUUCAUGUGUAAUUCAUGGAAAAGAUCAAAGUUAUGAAGCAUUUAUUUACUAUACUUUUGUAAUAUUUAUAUUAUAUAGAUUAAAAGGGUACUAUAGUCUAUAUAGAUUCGUUGAUAGUGGUGGCAACAAGGACAAGUUGGAUUAUACAAAAGAAAGAAAGAUAAUGAGGAAACACGUGCAUGCUCCAUGAAGAUUCAGUUUAUGUAUAUUUUGAGGAUAUCUUAUAUUAUAUAGUUAUAUCUUAUAUAUAUUAUAUAGUUAUAUCUUAUAUGAAUAAUGCUAGGUAGACAAAAAAAACAGUCAAAAUUUGCUUUAUUUAACAUUUAUUAAUUGUCGCAACAAUUAAUGAAUGUUAAAUAAGGCAAAUUAUGGCUGUUUUUGGCUGAUUUUAUUUGGUUACCAAACAUUUCCGUAUUAUAUUAUAUAUAUCCUUGUAAACGUGAAAAUGUUGUAGUCUUAUAUUUUAUUCAUUACAUAAUUUAAUACGUACGUUAUUCUAUUAAAAAACUAUAAUGGAAGUACCAAAAAAGUGCUAGCUUUAAUUAUGACUACAUCAUAUGCAUGUUUUGUAUUAUAUUUUGGUUUGUAAUGGAAGUACCAAAAAAGUGCUAGCUUUAAUUAUGACUACAUCAUAUGCAUGUUUUGUAUUAUAUUUUGGUUUGUGUACACUCUAAAUUUUCUGUAUGAAAAGUGUUAGGGGUUAACACUUUUGUUAAAUUAUGACCAGCACUUAAUUAUCAAAAGAAAAUUGAAUGAUUCUAUACUAUUAGAUAUAAUUUCACACCAUUAAAAAUAUCAUUAAUGGCUAAAAACUACAAAAUCUGCUAGUCCCCUAAAAUUUUUCUUUCUGUAUUAUAUAAAGACAAAAAUAUAAAAAUAAUGAAAUAUAGAGGAUGAAGUUAUUCAUCUUGAUUAAAACAUAAAAUUAUUUAAUAAUUUUUAAAUAUUAAUUUUACAUAAAAUAACUUCAUGUUAAUUUUUACUUUUAAAAAAAAUCUAAGAUUUUGAAGUGACACGAAAAUAACUUGAUCCAAAUAAAAAAUCUCUUUCUUUUAUUUUUAUUUAUGGUUCUAAGAAUCAUACCGAUUUGUUCGGUUCAAUCACAUUAAUUGAAAAUCAAUUAUUAGGUAAGUUCAAUUCAAAUAAAAAUUUAGUGGAUAACAAAUCAUUCAAAGAAUAAACCGAUUAACCCAUGAAACCAGUGCAGUUUUUUGUUAGCAGUUUUACUUGAGUAUAAUAUAAGGAGACACUUAGAUAAAGAUAUUUAAAACGUUUUUUUUUUAAAAUAUUUUUUAAUAAUUAAAUUUAAUAUAUAUAAUUAAUUAAAUCUUAUUAUUUAUAUAUAUAUAUAUAAAAAGAGAAUUUUAGUNNNNNNNNNNNNNNNNNNNNNNNNNNNNNNNNNNNNNNNNNNNNNNNNNNNNNNNNNNNNNNNNNNNNNNNNNNNNNNNNNNNNNNNNNNNNNNNNNNNNNNNNNNNNNNNNNNNNNNNNNNNNNNNNNNNNNNNNNNNNNNNNNNNNNNNNNNNNNNNNNNNNNNNNNNNNNNNNNNNNNNNNNNNNNNNNNNNNNNNNNNNNNNNNNNNNNNNNNNNNNNNNNNNNNNNNNNNNNNNNNNNNNNNNNNNNNNNNNNNNNNNNNNNNNNNNNNNNNNNNNNNNNNNNNNNNNNNNNNNNNNNNNNNNNNNNNNNNNNNNNNNNNNNNNNNNNNNNNNNNNNNNNNNNNNNNNNNNNNNNNNNNNNNNNNNNNNNNNNNNNNNNNNNNNNNNNNNNNNNNNNNNNNNNNNNNNNNNNNNNNNNNNNNNNNNNNNNNNNNNNNNNNNNNNNNNNNNNNNNNNNNNNNNNNNNNNNNNNNNNNNNNNNNNNNNNNNNNNNNNNNNNNNNNNNNNNNNNNNNNNNNNNNNNNNNNNNNNNNNNNNNNNNNNNNNNNNNNNNNNNNNNNNNNNNNNNNNNNNNNNNNNNNNNNNNNNNNNNNNNNNNNNNNNNNNNNNNNNNNNNNNNNNNNNNNNNNNNNNNNNNNNNNNNNNNNNNNNNNNNNNNNNNNNNNNNNNNNNNNNNNNNNNNNNNNNNNNNNNNNNNNNNNNNNNNNNNNNNNNNNNNNNNNNNNNNNNNNNNNNNNNNNNNNNNNNNNNNNNNNNNNNNNNNNNNNNNNNNNNNNNNNNNNNNNNNNNNNNNNNNNNNNNNNNNNNNNNNNNNNNNNNNNNNNNNNNNNNNNNNNNNNNNNNNNNNNNNNNNNNNNNNNNNNNNNNNNNNNNNNNNNNNNNNNNNNNNNNNNNNNNNNNNNNNNNNNNNNNNNNNNNNNNNNNNNNNNNNNNNNNNNNNNNNNNNNNNNNNNNNNNNNNNNNNNNNNNNNNNNNNNNNNNNNNNNNNNNNNNNNNNNNNNNNNNNNNNNNNNNNNNNNNNNNNNNNNNNNNNNNNNNNNNNNNNNNNNNNNNNNNNNNNNNNNNNNNNNNNNNNNNNNNNNNNNNNNNNNNNNNNNNNNNNNNNNNNNNNNNNNNNNNNNNNNNNNNNNNNNNNNNNNNNNNNNNNNNNNNNNNNNNNNNNNNNNNNNNNNNNNNNNNNNNNNNNNNNNNNNNNNNNNNNNNNNNNNNNNNNNNNNNNNNNNNNNNNNNNNNNNNNNNNNNNNNNNNNNNNNNNNNNNNNNNNNNNNNNNNNNNNNNNNNNNNNNNNNNNNNNNNNNNNNNNNNNNNNNNNNNNNNNNNNNNNNNNNNNNNNNNNNNNNNNNNNNNNNNNNNNNNNNNNNNNNNNNNNNNNNNNNNNNNNNNNNNNNNNNNNNNNNNNNNNNNNNNNNNNNNNNNNNNNNNNNNNNNNNNNNNNNNNNNNNNNNNNNNNNNNNNNNNNNNNNNNNNNNNNNNNNNNNNNNNNNNNNNNNNNNNNNNNNNNNNNNNNNNAUAUAUAUAUAAAAAGAGUAUUUUAGUUAUUUUUUAUAAUAGAGAUAUUAUAGUCAUUUUUUAUAAAAAAAUAUUAAUUUAGAUCAGUUCAAAAUUUAAUUUAUUAGUUUUUCGACUAAAUUAAUUUGUUUGAUCUAAUUUUAAUAAAAAUGUAUAUGAUAUGGUCGUCAUAAAUGAGCUAUAAUUCGGCAUGAUCCGUUAUAGCUCCUCCAUUCAUGAGCCAUAACUCAGUCAGAUAAAUGCUCCCAUCAUAACCGACGACAAAACGGUACACAAUUAAGAUACGUUACCCACCUUUUCGUAACCGACCUUAAUGCUAAAAACGUAACGGCCGAACAAUUUACCAUAUAAAGCAAGGUAAAGUAUUUUCUUCGGUAAGUGACAAAUAGUACAAUAUACUGACUUAAGCUUCGGAGUGCCUUUGCAGGUACACUCCCUCCUCAUUUGUUCGCACGGUUCACGUCACAUUGAGAAGAAAGCUCGGACUCAAGGAUUGGACGCUCAGCCACCGAGGUGAUAGCUCGGCAAGCAUUCAUCACUAAAGGCCAAUCUAUUUUACAAGCAAGAACAAUUGGCGCCCACCGUGGGACCGAAGAAAUAAGUCUUUUCUUUUGGUCCUUCCACCUUCACUUAUGCUCAUGGCUGACGUACCACCUCCUUCACCAUCCGAACUUCUGAGGAUGGUAACCGAGUUACAACAGGCUAAUCAACGUAUGGCCGAGGAAAACCAAAGAAUGGCCGCCCAGAUUACCGAACUGAACAACGCUCGGAUCGAGAAUAACGACACUCAUCACCAACGACCAGAGGAUGAUGAACAUCAUUCUGGCCCUUCCCAUGUCUCGGAGACCAUCCGGGUUGAGGGAGCUCAACCUGAAGAUGAAAACGCCGAAUCCGACGAGCUCAUGGGUCCUUUCACGCCAGAAGUAAUGAACUUUGAGCUACCGCGAAGGUUUACCUUACCACUAACUCUCACGCCUUACGAUGGGCUCGGAGAUCCGAAGAAGUUCCUCAAGAAAUUCCGAUCAAUAAUGAUCAUUAACGGUGCAUCAGAUACUGUCUUAUGCCGUUGUUUUUCGAAUUAUUUAGACGGCCCUGCACUUGAUUGGCUUUGUGCUUUGCCUGCAGGUUCCAUCUGACGAUUUCAGCAACUGGCCAAGCUGUUUGAAGAACACUUCGCUGGAUCCACAAUAUAUCUGCAUGACUCUGACUAUCUGAAUACCAUCAAGCAGGGGCAAAACGAAAGUUUGAAGGACUAUAUGACUCGUUUCACAAAAGUCGCCAUCAACAUACCCGACCUCCACCCCGAAGUCCAUUUGCAUGCAAUUAAAAGUGGCCUCCGACCUGGAAAGUUCCAGGAAACAAUUGCGGUUGCCAAGCCUAAAACCCUUGCCGAGUUCCAGGAAAAAGCCAAAGGCCAAAUCGAUAUCGAAGAGCUCAGACAAGCUCGAAAGUCUGACAAAACAAGCUACAGAGACGAUGAUAAAACUCCAAAUAGUAAGAAAGGUUUUCAACUAACACCUCAUUUUGAUUCUUAUACGUAGUUUAACACUAAGCGGGAGGAUAUCAUCAAAGAAAUUCUAAAUUCAAAACUCAUCAAACCACCAAGAAAGGCCGGCACCUACCAAGACACUAAGAACGUAGACAAAUCCAAAUAUUGUGCCUUCCACCAGAAGCACGGCCACACCACCGAUGACUGUGUGGUAGCAAAGGAUCUCUUAGAAUGGUUAGCUCGGCAAGGCCAUCUCGAUAAGUACAUUGGAGGUCACAUUCAAAAACGUUCCUGAUGAGCGGAUAAUUUAUACGCUUUCUGGCAUUAUUUUUACAUAGUUUUUAGUAUGAUUUAGCUAGUUUUUAGUAUAUUUUUAUUAGUUUUUAAAUAAAAAUCACAUUUCUGGACUUUACUAUGAGUUUUUGUAUUUUUCUGUAAUUUCAGGUAAUUUCUAGCUGAAAUUGAGGGACUUGAGCAAAAAUCUGAUUCAGAGGCUGAAGAAGGACUGCAGAUGUUGUUGGAUUCUGACCUCCCUGCACUCAAAAUAGAUUUUCUGGAGCUACAGAAACCCAAAUGGAACACUCUCAAUUGCGUUGGAAAGUAGAUAUCUAGGGCUUUCCAGCAAUAUAUAAUAGUCCACACAUUUCCCGAGUUUAGAUGACACAAACUGGCGUUCAACGCCAGCUUUCUACCCUAUUCUGGCGUUAAACGCCAGAAACAAGUUGCAAAGCAGAGUUAAAUGCCAGAAACAAGUUACAAACUGGCGUUCAACUCCAAGGAAGACCUCUACAUGUGAAAGCUUCACUGCUCAGCCCAAGCACACACCAAGUGGGCCCGGAAGUGAAUUUCUGCAUCAUUUACUCAUCUCUGUAAACCCUAGUAACUAGUUUAGUAUAAAUAGGACUUUUUACUAUUGUAUUAGGGUCUUGGGAGACCACCUUUAGGGUCUUGGUUAUUCUGGUUCCCCUCUGGGGCCGAAGCCAAUGAACACUAUUAUCACUUAUGUAUUUUCAACGGUGGAGUUUCUACACACCAUAGAUUAAGGUGUGGAGCUCUGCUGUUCCUCAUGAAUUAAUGCAAAGUACUAUUGUUUUUCUAUUCAACUCAAGCCUAUUUCUUCUCUAAGAUAUUCAUUCGCACACAAGAACAUGAUGAAUGUGAUGAUUAUGUGACACUCAUCACCAUUCUCACUUAUGAACGUGUGCCUGAUAAACACUUUCGUUCUACAUGAAAACAAGUUUGAAUGCAUAUCUCUUAGCCUCCUGAUUUAUGAUCAGAGUCUUCGUGGUAUAGGCUAGAAUUAUUGGCGGCCAUUCUUGAGAUCCGGAAAGUUUAAACCUUGUCUGUGGUAUUCCGAGUAGGAUCUGGAAAGGGAUAGUUGUGACGAGCUUCAAACUUGCGAGUGCUGGGCGUAGUGACAGACGCAAAAGGAUUACUGGAUCCUAUUCCAGCAUGAUCGAGAACCGACAGAUGAUUAGCCAUGCGGUGACAGCGCAUUUGGACCAUUUUCACUGAGAGGACGGGAUGUAUCCAUUAAUAACGGUGAUGCCCAACAUACAGCUUGCCAUGAAAAGGAGUAAGAAGGAUUGAAUGAAGGCAAUAGGAAAGCAGAGAAUCAGAAGGAACAAAGCAUCUCCAUAUGCUUAUCUGAAAUUCCUACCAACGAAUUACAUAAGUAUCUCUAUCCUAUUUUAUAUUUUAUUUAUAUUUUAAUUAUCAAUUUACCAUAACCAUUUGAAUCCACCUGACUGAGAUUUACAAGAUGACCAUAGCUUGCUUCAUACCGACAAUCUCUGUGGGAUCGACACUUACUCACGUAAGGUUUAUUACUUGGACGACCCAGUGCACUUGCUGGUUAGUUGUGCGAAGUUGUGAAGAAGAACUAAGAUUAUGAAUGUGCGUAUUAAGUUUUUAGCGCCGUUACCAAGGAAUGAACGAUCACGAUUUCGUGCACCAUGUUUUUGGCGCCGUUGCGGGGGAUUGUUCGAGUUUGGCCAACUGACGGUUCAUCUUGUUGCUCAGAUUAGGUAAUUUUAUUUUAUUUUUAAGCUUUUUGUUUUCGAAAAAAAAUUUUCAAAAAAAAAUAUAAAUUAAAUAAAUUAUUCUAUGGCUUCAGAAUUUUGAGAAUAAAUUCUAGAGUUUCAUGAUGAUCUGUUGAAGUCUGGCUGGCUGUAAAGCCAUGUCUAAUCUUUUGGACCGAGGUUUCAACUCAUCAUCACAAGAGCUUGUUAAUUUCUAUCAACCUUGUUGUUGAAUGUAAUGAUCUGCUAAAACUUUGCUGGCCAUUGGCCAUGUCUAGUGUUUUGGACCGAAUCUUUCACUGAAAGCUUGGCUGGCUAGUAAACCAUGUCUAAUUCCUGGACCGGAGUUUUAGACUAACAUUGCAUGAUUCCUGGAAUUCUUAUUAAAAAUUUUGAAUUUCCUUAUUUUCUUUCUCAAAUUAAUUUUCAAAAAAUCCAAAAAAAAUUUUAAUAAAAUCAUAAAAACAAAAAAUUUGUGUUUUUGUUUGAGUCUUGUGUCAAAUUUUAAGUUUGGUGUCAAUUGCAUCUUUUUAAUUUCUUUAAAUUUUUGAAAACUCAUGCAUAAUGUUCUUCAUGAUCUUCAAGUUGUUCUUGAUGAAUUUCCUUGUUUGAUCUUUGCAUCUUCUUGUUUUGUGUCUUUUCUUGUUUUUCAUAUGCAUUUUUAAUUUGUUAGUGUCUAUAGUUUGAAAAUUUCUAAGUUUGGUGUCUUGCAUGUGUGUCUUUUCUAAAAAAAAUUUCAAAAAUAAGUUCUUGAUGUUCAUCUUGACAUUCAAAGUGUUCUUGGUGUUCAUCUUGACAUUCAAAGUGUUCUUGCAUGCAUUAUGUGUUUUGAUUCAUAAUUUUCAUGUUUUAUGUCAAUUUUGUGUUUUUUUCUUUCCUCAUUAAAAAUUCAAAAAUAAAAAAAAUAUCUUUCCCUUAUUUGCAAAUAAAUUUCGAAAAUUUGGUUUGACUUAGUCAAAAAUUUUUAAAAUUUAGUUGUUUCUCAUGAGUCAAGUCAAAUUUUCAAUUUAAAAAAUCCUAUCUUUUCAAAAAUCAAAUCUUUUCCAUUUUUCUUUCAUAUUUUCGAAUUUUUUUUUUAAAUUUGAUUUUCAAAAUCUCUUUCUUAAUUUUGUUUCAUAAUUUCAAAUUCUUUACUAACAAUUAAUGUGAUUGAUUCAAAAAUUUUAAAGUUUGUUACUUGCCUAUUAAGAAAGGUUCAAUCUUUAAAUUUUAGAAUCAUAUCUUUUAGUUUCUUGUUAGUUAAGUAAUCAACUUUAAUUUUCAAAAUCAAGUCUUUUUAAAUUUCUUUUUCAAAUCUUUUUCAAAAUAAAUUUCAAUCAUAUCUUUUUCAAAACUUAAUUUCAAAAUCUUUUCUAACCUCUUCUUUUUUCAAAAUUGAUUUUCAAAUCUUUUUCAAUUAACCACUUAACUUUUUGUUUGAUUUUUAAAAUUCUUAUCUUUUUCAAAACCACCUAACUAACUUUCUCUCUCCAAUUUUUGAAAAUCACUAACCUCUUUUUCAAAAUUUCUUUUCAUUAACUAAUUAUUUUAAAUUUCAAUUUAAUUUUAUUUUCCUUUUUGAUUUUUGAAUACUAACUAAUAUUUAAAAUAAAAACAAAAAUAUUUUUGAUUUAUUUUAAUUAAAUUUGAAUUCUUCCUUCUCUCAUCUCCUUCUAUUUAUUUAUUCAUCUACUAACACUCCUCUCUCACUCAUAAUUUGAACCCACUAUUCUCCUCUGUGUUCGAGUUUUUCUCUUCUCUUUCUUCUAUUCUUCUCUUCUUAUACUUACACAAGGAAUCUCUAUACUGUGACAUAGAGGAUUCCAUAUUUUCUUUUCUAUUCUCUUCUUUUUCAUAUGAGCAGGAACAAGGAUAAAAACAUUCUUGUUGAAGCUGAUCCUGAACCUGAAAGGACUCUGAAGAGGAAGCUAAGGGAAGCUAAGGCACAACUCUCUGGAGAGGACAUGACAGAAAUUUUUGAAAAAGAAGGAGACAUGGCCGAACCUAAUAACAAUGGUUGAGAUGCAAGGAAGAUGCUUGGUGACUUUAUUACACCCUCUUCCAACUUCUAUGGAAGAAGCAUCUCACUCCUUGCAAUUGGAGCAAACAACUUUGAGCUUAAGCGUCAAUUAGUUUCUCUAAUGCAGCAGAACUGCAAGUUUCAUGGACUUCCAAUGGAAGAUCCUCAUCAGUUUUUAGCUGAAUUCUUGCAAAUCUGUGAAACUGUCAAGACCAAUGGAGUUGAUCCCGAGGUCUACAGGCUUAUGCUUUUCCCUUUUGCUGUAAGAGACAGAGCUAGAAUAUGGUUGGACUCUCAACCUAAAGAUAGCCUGAACUCUUGGGAUAAGCUGGUCACGGCUUUCUUAGCCAAGUUCUUUCUUCCUCAAAAGCUAAGCAAGCUUAGAGUGGAUGUUCAAACCUUCAAACAGAAAGAAGGUGAAUCCCUCUAUGAAGCUUGGAAAAGAUACAAGCAACUGACCAAAAAGUGUCCUUCUGACAUGCUUUCAGAAUGGACCAUCCUGGAUAUAUUCUAUGAUGGUCUGUCUGAAUUAUCUAAGAUGUCAUUGGACCAUUCUGCAGGUGGAUCCAUUCACCUAAAGAAAACGCCUGCAGAAGCUCAAGAACUCAUUGACAUGGUUGCAAAUAACCAGUUUAUGUACACUUCUGAAAGGAAUCCUGUGAGUAAUGGGACGCCUCAGAGGAAGGGAGUUCUUGAAAUUGAUACUCCGAAUGUCAUAUUGGCUCAGAAUAAAAUAUUGACUCAGCAAGUCAAUAUGAUUUCUCAGAGUCUGAAUGGAUUGCAAGCUGCAUCCAACAGUACUAAAGAAGCAUCUUCUGAAGAAGAAACUUAUGAUCCUGAGAACUCUGCAAUAGCAGAGGUGAAUUACAUGGGAGAAACCUAUGGAAACACUUAUAAUCCCUCAUGGAGAAAUCAUCCAAAUUUCUCAUGGAAGGAUCAACAAAAGCCUCAACAAGGCUUUAAUAAUGGUGGAAGAAACAGGUUUAGCAAUAGCAAGCCUUUUCCAUCAUCCUCUCAGUAACAGACAGAGAAUUCUGAGCAGAAUCCAUCUAGCUUAGCAAAUAUAGUCUCUGAUCUAUCUAAGGCCACUCUAAGUUUCAUGAAUGAAACAAGGUCCUCCAUCAGAAAUUUGGAGGAAGAGUCACUGAAACCCCUCCUAGUACUCUCCCAAGCAAUACAGAAGAGAAUCCAAAAAGAGAGUGCAAAGCCAUAACCUUACUUGGUGUGGCCGAACCCAGAGAGGAGGAGGAGGACGUGAAUCCUAGUGAGGAAGACCUCCUGGAACGUUCACUGACCAAUAAGGAGUUUCCCUUUGAGGAACCAAAGGAAUAUGAGGCUCAUCUAGAGACCAUAGAGAUUCCAUUGAACCUCCUUUUACCAUUCAUGAGCUCUGAUGACUAUUCAUCUUCUGAAGAAGAUAAAGACAUUGUUCAAGGGCAAGUUGCCCAGUAUUUAGGAGCAAUCAUGAAGCUGAAUGCCAAGCUAUUUGGUAAUGAGACUUGGGAGGAUGAGCUUCCAUUGCUCAUUAAUGAACUGAAUAUCUGGGUUCAACACACUUUACCUCAAAAGAAAUAGGAUCUUGAUAAAUUCCUAAUUCCCUGUAACAUAGGCACCAUGACCUUUGAGAAGGCUCUGUGUGACCUGGGGUCAGGCAUAAACUUAAUGCCACUCUCUGUAAUGGAGAAACUAGGAAUCUUUGAGGUACAGGCUGCCAAAUUCUCAUUAGAGAUGGCAGACAAAUCCAUGAAACAGGCUUAUGGACUAGUAGAGGACAUGUUAGUAAAGGUUAAAGGCCUUUACAUCCCUGCUGAUUUCAUAAUCCUAGACACUGGGAAGGAUGAGGAUGAAUCCAUCAUCCUUGGAAGACCCUUCCUAGCCACAGCAAAAGCUGUGAUUGAUGUUGACAGAGGAGAGUUGGUCCUUCAAUUGAAUGAAGACUACCUUGUAUUUAAGACUCAAGGUUUUCCUUCUGUAACCAUGGAGAGGAAGCAUGAGAAGCUUCUCUCAGAAUAGAGUCAAACAAAACCCCCACAUUUAAACUCUAAGUUUGGUGUUGGGAGGCCACAACCAAACUCUAAGUUUGGUGUUGGGAGGCCACAGCCAAACUCUAAGUUUGGUGUUGAGAGGCCCCAACAUUGCUCUGAUUAUCUGUGAGGCUCCAUGAGAGCUCACUGUCAAGCUAUUGACAUUAAAGAAGCGCUUGUUGGGAGGCAACCCAAUGUUAUUUAAUUAUAUCUAUUUAUUUUCUAUUGCUAUUUUAUGUUUUCUUUAGGUUGAUGAUCAUGUGAAGUCACAAAAACAACUAAAAAAUCAAAAAAGAAUGAAAAAUAGCAUUAAAAACAGCUCACCCUGGAGGAAGAGCUUACUGGCGUUUAAACGCCAGUAAGAAGCAUCAAACUGGCAUUUAACGCCAGAAAGAAGCAUCAAGCUGGCGUUAAACGCCAGAAACAAGCACCAGACUGGCGUUUAACGCCAGAACAGAGCAUGGAAUUGGCGUUUAACACCAAGAAUGGGAGAAAAGUUGGCGUUAAACGCCAGAAACAAGCAGCAAUCUGGCGUUUAACGCCAGGAUUGCACUCUAAGGGAGUUUACACACCUAAAUGGAGCAGAGAUGAUAAAUCAUUGACCCCUCAAGAUCUGUGGACCCCACAGGAUCCCUACCUACCCCACCUCUCUCUCUCUCUCUCUCUCCCACCUUUUCAUAACACUCUUCCCUAAAUACCCCUCACCAAUCACCUCCACUUCUCUUCCCCAUCACCACUUCACCAAACACCUCCACCACUACUUCCCUCCUAAACCCACCCACACAUGGCUGAACCACUCACCUCCCUCAAUCUCCUCCAUUAUCUUCUUCUUCUCCUCUCUUCUUUCUUCUUUUGCUUGAGGACGAGCAAACAUUUUAAGUUUGGUGUGGAAAAAGCACUGCUUUUUUGUUUUUCCAUAACCAUUAAUGGCACCUUAAGGCCGGAGAAACCUCUAAAAAGAGGAAAGGGAAGGCAAUUGCUUCCACCUCCGAGUCAUGGGAGAUGGAGAGAUUCAUCUCAAAGGUCCAUCAAGACCACUUCUAUGAAGUUGUGGCCAAGAACAAGAAAUCCCUGAGAUGCCUCAAGGGAUGCACUUUCCUCCACAAAACUAUUGGGAGCAAAUUAACACCUCCCUAGAAGAAUUAAGUUCUAACAUGGGACAACUAAGGGUGGAGCACCAAGAGCACUCCAUCAUUCUCUAUGAAAUUAGAGAAGAUCAAAGAGCUAUGAGGGAAGAGCAACAAAGGCAAGGAAGAGACAUAGAGAAGCUCAAGAACACCAUUGGUUCUUCAAGAGGAAGAAGACGCCACCCUCACUAAGGUGGACCCGUUCCUUAAUCUCCUUGUUCUUAUUUUUCUGUUUUUCGUUUACUAUAUAUCUAUUUAUGUUUAUGUCUUUAUUACAUGAUCAUUAGUAUUUAAGUGUCUAUGUCUUAAAGCUAUGAAUGUCUUAUGAAUCCAUCACCUUUCUUAAAUGAAAAAUGUUUUAAUUACAAAAGAACAAGAAGUACAUGAAUUUCGAAUUCAUCCUUGAAAUUAGUUUAAUUAUUUUGAUGUGGUGACAAUACUUUUUGUUUUCUGAAUGAAUGCUUGAACAAUGCAUAUGUCUUUUGAAUUUGUUGUUCAUGAAUGUUAAAAUUGUUGGCUCUUGAAAGAAUAAUGAAAAAGGAGAACUGUUAUUGAUAAUCUAAAAAAUCAAAAAAAUUGAUUCUUGAAGUAAGAAAAAGCAGUGAAUACAAAAGCUUGCAGGAAAAAAAUGGCGAAAAAGAAAGAAAAAGAAAAAGCAAGCAGAAAAAGCCAAUAGCCCUUAAAACCAAAAGGUAAGGGUAAUAAAAAGGAUCCAAGGCUUUGAGCAUCAGUGGAUAGGAGGGCCCAAAGAAAUUAAAUCAUGGCCUAAGCGGCUAAAUCAAGCUGUCCCUAGCCAUAUGCUUGUGGCGUGAAGGUGUCAAGUGAAAAGCUUGAGACUGAGCGGUUAAAGUCGAGGUCCAAAGUAAAAACAGAGUGUGCUUAAGAACCCUGGACACCUCUAAUUGGGGACUUUAGCAAAGCUGAGUCACAAUCUGAAAAGGUUCACCCAGUUAUGUGUCUGUGGCAUGUGUGUAUCCGGUGGUAAUACUGGAAAACAGAGUGCUUAGGGCUACGGCCAAGACUCAUAAAGUAGCUGUGUUCAAGAAUCAACAUACUGAACUAGGAGAAUCAAUAACACUAUCUAAAUUCUGAAUUCCUAUAGAUGCCAAUCAUUCUGAACUUCAAAGGAUAAAGUGAGAUGCCAAAACUGUUCAGAGGCAAAAAGCUACUAGUCCUGCUCAUCUGAUUGGAGCUAAGUUUUGUUGAUAUUCUGGAAUUUAUAGUAUAUUCUCUUCUUUUUAUUCUAUUUGAUUUUUAGUUGCUUGGGGACAAGCAACAAUUUAAGUUUGGUGUUGUGAUGAGCGGAUAAUUUAUACGCUUUCUGGCAUUAUUUUUACAUAGUUUUUAGUAUGAUUUAGUUAGUUUUUAGUAUAUUUUUAUUAGUUUUUAAAUAAAAAUCACAUUUCUGGAUUUUACUAUGAGUUUGUGUAUUUUUCUGUGAUUUCAGGUAAUUUCUGGCUGAAAUUGAGGGACCUGAGCAAAAAUCUGAUUCAGAGGCUGAAGAAGGACUGCAGAUGCUGUUGGAUUCUAACCUCCCUGCACUUGAAAUGGAUUUUCUGGAGCUACAGAACCCAAAUGGCACGCUCUCAAUUGCGUUAGAAAAUAGGCAUCCAGGGCUUUCCAUCAAUAUAUAAUAGACCACACUUUGUCCUAGUUUAGAUGACGCAAACUGGCGUUCAACGCCAGCUUUCUACCCUAUUUUGGCGUUAAACGCCAGAAACAAGUUGCAAAGCAGAGUUAAAUGCCAGAAACAAGUUACAAACUAGCGUUCAACUCCAAGGAAGACCUUUACACGUGAAAGCUUCACUGCUCAGCUCAAGCACACACCAAGUGGGCCCGAAAGUGGAUUUCUGCAUCAUUUACUCAUCUCUAUAAACCCUAGUAACUAGUUUAGUAUAAAUAGGACUUUUUACUAUUGUAUUAGGGUCUUGGGAGACCACCUUUAGGGUCUUGGUUAUUCUGGUUCCCCUCUGGGGCCGAAGCCAAUGAACACUAUUAUCACUUAUGUAUUUUCAACGGUGGAGUUUCAACACACCAUAGAUUAAGGUGUGGAGCUCUGCUGUUCCUCAUGAAUUAAUGCAAAGUACUAUUGUUUUUCUAUUCAACUCAAGCUUAUUUCUUCUCUAAGAUAUUCAUUCACACACACGAACAUGAUGAAUGUGAUGAUUAUGUGACACUCAUCACCAUUCUCACUUAUGAACGCGUGCCUGACAAACACUUCCGUUCUACAUGAAAACAAGCUUGAAUGCAUAUCUCUUAGCCUCCUGAUUUACGAUCAGAGUCUUCGUGGUAUAGGCUAGAAUUAUUGGCGGCCAUUCUUGAGAUCCAAAAAGUAUAAACCUUGUCUGUGGUAUUCCGAGUAGGAUCUGGGAAGGGAUGGUUGUGACGAGCUUCAAACUCGCGAGUGCUGGGCGUAGUGACAGACGCAAAAGGAUUACUGGAUCCUAUUCCAGCAUGAUCGAGAACCGACAGAUGAUUAGCCAUGCGGUGACAGAACAUUUGGACCAUUUUCACUGAGAGGACGGGAUGUAGCCAUUGACAACGGUGAUGCCCAACAUACAGCUUGCCAUGGAAAGGAGUAAGAAGGAUUGAAUGAAGGCAAUAGGAAAACAGAGAUUUAGAAGGAACAAAGCAUCUCCAUACGCUUAUCUGAAAUUCCUACCAACGGAUUACAUAAGUAUCUCUAUCCUAUUUUAUAUUUUAUUUAUAUUUUAAUUAUCAAUUCACCAUAACCAUUUGAAUCCGCCUGACUGAGAUUUACAAGAUGACCAUAGCUUGCUUCAUACCGACAAUCUCCGUGGGAUCGACCCUUACUCACGUAAGGUUUAUUACUUGGACGAAGGAAUGAACGAUCACGAUUUCGUGCACCAGUUUCACACCUUCCAGAAACGAGGACUCGUCAGAACAACAGCACCGAGGAAAAGAAAGGACAACACCAAAUCAAUAUGAAAAGCCCAGAGGUAUAAUCAAUUGUAUUUCAGGGGGAUACGCCGGUGGAGGGUCCUUAAGCUCGGCCAGAAAGAGAUCACACCGAGCUAUAUGCUUGGUAGAUGGCUUCCAGCGCGAAGCUACACUCGCAACACAACUCUCCCAAGUGACGUUCACACACGCCGACUUUAAUUCAAACAUACUCAACUUGGACGACCCUGUGGUAAUCAUCCUUCAAUUGGGAGAUCUGUUGGUAAGGAAAGUACUUCUGGAUCCCGGGAGCUGCGCCGACGUCCUAUUCUACUCAACAUUCCAAAAAAUGAAGCUCAGCGACAACGCUCUCCAGUCAAUAGUAGGAGACCUUGUCGGGUUCUCGGGUGAGCGAGUGCCGAUAUUGGGAUCAGUGUGGUUACAAACCACACUGGGUGAGCAUCCUCUUUCAAAAACAUGUGAUAUUCAAUAUUUAGUUGUAGAUUGCUUUAGCCCAUAUAACCUCAUACUAGGCCGACCUUUUUUGAAUAAGUUUGGCGCAAUUGUAUCUACAGUUCACCUGUGUGUUAAGUUCCCUUUGCAGGACAACCAGGUUGUAACAAUCCAUGGGGAUCAUAAAGAGGCACGCCAAUGUUACAACAUCAGCAUGAAACUACCAACCCGUUCCAAACAACAAGUCAACAAUCUCCACCACGUCGCCAAAAGCUUGGCGUUAGCCGACCUCGAUCCACGAGCCGACUUCCUUGAACGACCUACACCAUCCAGGACUUACAGAAAGUAUAUUUCCAUAAUAAUCCUAACAAAUUUACUUAUGUAGGUACAUCCCUAGACUCAGUGGAACUAAAAGCCAUCACCACCUUUUUACAAACACAAGCCGACCUAUUCGCAUGGACACCUUCUGACAUGCCUGGCAUCGAUCCAUAGAUCAUCAGCCAUAAAUUAGCAAUAAACCUGUCUGCACGACCAGUGCAACAGAAGAAACGAAACCUCGGCGAUGAAAAGAAAAUAGCAUCAUUAGAAGAAACUCAAAAGCUGAUCCAUGCAGAGUUCAUCAAGGAAAUCAGAUUUACUACCUGGCUGGCAAAUGUGGUAAUGGUAAGGAAAAAAAAUGGUAAGUGGCGCAUGUGCCUCGACUUUACUGAUUUAAACAAAGCAUGCCCGAAAGACUCUUACCUUUUACCAUCCAUAGAUUCUUUGGUGGAUAAUGCUUCUGGCUAUGCUACCUUGAGUUUUAUGGAUGCUUAUUUGGGUUAUAAUCAAAUCCUCAUGCAUCCCUCUGAUCAAAGUAAAACAGCAUUUAUCACUGAAUUCGGUAACUACUGCUAUAAAGUUAUGCCCUUUGGACUAAAGAAUGCAGGGGCAACUUACCAGUGCCUUAUGGACAAAGUCUUCGCCAAACAAAUCGGCAGAAACAUAGAAGUGUAUGUCGACGACAUGGUCGCCAAGACACAGCUCGGGAAAAACCAUAUUGACGACUUAUCAGAGAUUUUUGGCCAAAUUCGCAACUACAACAUACGUCUAAACCCAGAAAAAUGUGCCUUCGCAGUUCAGGGAGGUAAGUUCUUAGGUAUUUUACUAACAAACAGGGGCAUUGAGGCGAAUCCAGAUAAAUGCCGAGCAGUUCUGGAAAUGACGAGCCCAAAGACCAUAAAGGAAGUCCAACGCCUCACCGGAAGGAUCGCUGCACUAUCCAGAUUUAUCCCAUGCUUAGCUUCAAAAUCUAUUCCUUUUUUUCAAACGAUAAAAAAGAAAAAUAAAUUUCAGUGGAAUGAUGAUUGUGAGAGAGCUUUUAAAACACUAAAAACAACUCUCUCACAACUGCCGAUCUUACAAAAACCCCAUCAAGGGGAAGAUCUAUUUCUAUAUUUGUUAGUCACUGAUUGGGCUAUAAGCUCUGCUCUUGUUACAAAACAAAACCCAGCAUCCAGUAUACUUUGUCAGUAAAACCCUUCAACACGCCGAACUCAAUUAUCCCAGAAUUGAAAAGCUGGCUUUAGCACUAGUUUUCUCAGCAAGAAGACUCCGACCUUACUUCCAAAGUCAUGCUGUCUAUGUCAAGAGUGACCACCUAUUACGCCAAGUGUUACAUAAACCAGAAAUCGCAGGCAGACUUAUUAAAUGGUCAAUAGAAUUGUCAGAGUUCGACAUCAGGUACCAAUCAAGAGGACCGAUUAAGUCCCAAUUCUUGGCAGACUUCAUUGCAGAACUUACUAUUCCUUCAGAAGACGAUCAUACAAAACAAUGGAUCUUAUACGUCGACGGCUCGUCGAACACUGAGGGCUGUGGUGCCGGCAUAUGUCUAGAGUCUGACGAUGGCUUUAUUCUGGAACAUUCAUUACACUUAUCUUUCAAGGCUAGCAACAAUCAAGCCGAAUAUGAGGCCCUCGUUGCAGGACUCCGACUUUAUUUAGAUCUCCGCAUUUCCACUAUAAAGGUAUACUGUGACUCCUUAUUGGUAGUACAACAGGUAAACGACCUCUUCCAAGUAACGGAUCAUCUCCUUUCUAAAUACUUAUUAUUAGUGAAAGAUUUUACUUCAAAGUUCUCAAAUUUUGAAAUUCAACACAUACCACGAGAACAAAACCACAGGGCUGAUAUCUUAUCUAAACUCGGCAGCACACAAUCCGACUUAUCCACACUGCAUCAAUCCAAUAUUACAUCCCCAAGUGUAAGUUUAACAGAUGUAUUAAGUGUCACACAGGAACAGGGUUGGCAAGACGGUUACAUACAAUAUCUGAAAAUAGGUCAAAUACCAGAAAAGGUCGGCAACACAAAACGAUUCCGAAGACAAGCAUCUUUUUUCACUUUGCUCAAGGAGACUUUAUACCGCCGAGGAUAUACUCGCCCGUUGCGGAACACAUAUAGGAGCUCGGAGUUUAGCUUCAAAAAUCCUCCGCGCAGGUUUUUUUUGGCCGACCUUACAACAUGAUAGCAAGACUAAGGUUCAGACUUGUGAAAAUUGUCAGAAACAUGCACCACUCAUACACCUACCUGCCGAGCACCUACAUUACUCUGACGUUAGUUGGCCUUUCUAUCAAUGGGGCUAGACAUCCUCGGUCCAUUUCCAACGGCACCGGGGCAGGUAAAAUUUUUAAUAGUCCCAACCCUUAGCCAGAAUCACAUCACAGCAAAUGAUUUCUUUCACUUGGAAAAAUAUUAUUUACCGGUUUGGCAUUCCUCACCACAUCAUCACUGACAAUGGUCACCAGUUUGCCGACCAUAAAUUUCAAUCCUUUUUGAAGAACCUUAAGGUCAAACAACAUUUUGCCUCCGUUGAAUAUCCUCAGACAAACGGACUAGCAGAGGCAGUGAACAAGAUCAUACUACAUGCCUUAAAGAAAAAGUUAGAUGAUGCCAAAGGACUUUGGGCCGAACUAAUACCCGAAAUCCUUUGGGGAUACAACACAACACCUCAGUCAUCAACAAAGGAGACACCAUUUCGCCUGGUAUAUGGCUCUAAAGCUAUGAUACCUUUAGAAAUCUCGCACAACUCGGUCAAAACUCAGCUCGGCAACCAGGAUGAAGCUCGGCGAGCCGAGCUAGAUCUCAUUGAAGAAAUAAGGGAAACAACAACACUCUGACAACGCGCGGCUCAGCAAACAAUUGCCCGACGACAUAACAAAUCGGUCAGAAACUGAUCAUUCUAAACAGGCGAGUUAGUUCUUCGGAAGACGGAAACUGCGCGCUGACCUCCAUCCCAUGGAAAGCUCACAGCAAACUAGGACGGCCCCUACCGGGUUAAAGAAGUUCUCGGCAACGGAGCUUACAGACUAGAAUCCAUGAAUGGUACAACACUACCUAAUACCUGGAAUAUUUCCUCUCUAAAGAAAUUUUACAGUUAAACAUCAGGGACAGGCUUGUACUCUUUUUCCUAUUACUAAGAUUUUUCCCAAUGGGUUUUGCUUUGAGAGGUUUUAACGAGGCUAGCCUACCUGAACCUUUGUAUCCAAAGGAUUACCAAUACUACUGUAUGUAAUAAAUCUAUCUCAUUUUAUACAAACUCUGUCACAUUAUGAUGUUUGCUUUUACAAUCAACAAUGCUUGGUACAAUUCCAUCUAUGGUCAAAUCACAUAAUGACGAACAUCUUCGUCUAACAUCCGAACCAAGCAUAUUCGGCAAACAUUAAAAGGAAUAUUCUUAACAGAAAUUCCAAUCAAUCGCGCAAAAUGCCGUUCAAAUAUUCAAAACAAAUCGGAAACGAAUAAAGACAAGGUCAAACAACUCUAUUAAUGACCUCUAAAAUAGUUACUGUCAAUAAUGUAUCAUCAAUUACAUUACCCAAUAAAAAAGUUUUAACAAAAAUAAAAUUACAUUAACAUACUAAAUAUUCUCUGCCUCAUCUUCGGCAACACCAUCAUCUUUAACCAUCUUCCCAUCUCGGACAAUCUUACCAGGAUCCAACUCAGAUAGAUCAACACCUGGAGCAAGAAACUUCGCCUGUAAGGCCGCCCUUUCAAAACCCUCUACAAACGAAUCCAAAAUUUCAUCGCUUUUCUUCUUAUUCAUUUCCUUCAGCCGAGCAGUAACAUCAAUCAGCCGAGUUUUCAUGCUCGCUAAAUCAGCUUCCUUCUUCUUCAAGUCCUCAACGUCCUUAGCAUAGUUAUCUUUCGUCUCCUUUAACCGCUUUUCAGUAUCAGCCAACUUACUCUGCAGCUCAGAAACAAUAUUUUUGCUCUUACUCAAUUCCUCUUUCAUUACCAAAACUUCAUCCUUCUCCUCCACCACUUUCUUAUGCCUCGGCUCCUGGCUUCGCCCCAAACUGGCCAACCUCAACCCAACAACCUGCAAACCAUGACAACAACAAGAAAAGUAAAAUACAUAAAAAUGUCUUAACCAGGAUAAAAAUUACACCAAAAGGAAGACUUUACCUGCAUAUAUUGCCCGACAGCUACUUCACCAACCUCUUUCGCAAGAGAAACAUCAGCUUCAGAUUGACAAUGUUCAUCUACCGCAGUCAUAUAAGGAUACUCUUUUUCCCACACAGAAACACCCUCACUAAGCUCAGACAUCUCAUGAAGUUUUUUUCUGAUUCCCAACAAAAGCUUGAAUCUCUUCCAGGGACACUCCAUGUUCCUUCCCACUAGAGUCAUCGGACAAAUCCACCACACCCGACUUCCUUUUUCUCGCAAUCACCUUCCUACGCCCCUGACGAGGCUGGACAACCUCUCCAGCCGUUACCACUUUCUCACGGUUCGACGAUGAAACCUCCUUUUUCAAAUUCUUAAUUUUAAAGCGUGACCUGAGAGUAGCAGCUGAGACCCCAGGGUACUUCCCACCUGCAAUACAAAUACAGAACACGUCAGAAACUCAUACAAAAUCAAUAUACAAAGAACAAAAAUCCCAAACUCACCCAGGUAAUUUAUCACUGCCUCCUUAUCGUCUUUCCAUUUGAGUAACUCAUACAUAGAUAUAAGAUCUUUACGAUCAAUACCCUCAACCAAAAACUCAAUCAAACACACAUUCCUCGGUGAUAUGACUUCAGGACCGAGUAUAUUUUGCGGUUCUGAACACCACCACAAAGGAAACUUCUCGACCAGAUUCUCAUCAACAUAAAAGGGAAACUCUUUUUCUACACUCCUAACCUUAAGAUACAUUUCUUUAAAAUCCUUGAAUGAGAAUUUAUACAACUUGAAAAUAGCAAACCCAAGGGUGCUAUUGAAAUUUAUUCAACCCCCUUUCCAUACCCCCCUUUGCUUGAAAUAAAGAAAAGAACAAGUCAACUGAUGGCGUCUCCUCAAGAUAUUCCAUCAAAAUCUCAAAGGAGCGCAGAAACACCCAGCCAUUAGGGUGAAGCUGAGACGCAGCACAGUUCAACUGUUUCAGAACCUGACACUCAAACUCUGUAAAUGACAAUUUCACCCUCAAUUCCUCAAGCACACAGCUGUGCAUGUAGAAGAACUCAAAACCCUGCCCUCGAUGAUACACCCUAUCAUCGUUGCUACAUGAAAGCAACUCAACCUGAACCCCAGAACCAGCCCUAACGACUCUUGCUAAGUUCACUUCCUUUACAGCAGACUCAUCACGAAAUAGGGAGAUUCAGGAUUUCACAUCCUCACCAACCCAGUCAUAAGACCAGUCAAUCUCACCCUUUUUCUCCUUCUCCAACCCCAUUAAGACACAACAGCAAGCACACAAGAAGAGAAAAGAGAAAGAAGCAGUAAAUCAGAAGCAAAGAGACAAAGUGUACAUACCUCUUUUGCUCAUUCUGUUACCAAAAUGAAAAACCCAAACACCAAAAAAAACUAGAGUUUAACUUCUAGCAGUAACCCAACAAUGGUUCGAAUACUGAAACUGUCUCCCAAUAACAUCUAAAAUGACGCAACUACUUUGGAAUGGCAACAAGCCUUUAAUGCGUACAUUAAUCUCUCUCUCCUCCCCAAAACAAUGCCACGACUCCCCACGUCAUAGCAAAUAAUACUUUUUUAAUGAAGUACGUUGAAUUGGGGGCUCACUCAGUAACCUAUCCAACCGAGUUAUAACUCCUCAAGAAGCUCAACCUGUUUCAUUAAAAAUUCUCCACAGGCCAAGCUUGGGAGCUGUGAUAUGGUCGUCAUAAACGAGCUAUAACUCGGCAUGAUCCGUUAUAGCUCCUCAAUUCAUGAGCUAUAACUCGGUCAGAUAAAUGCUUCCAUCAUAACCGACGACAAAACGGUACACAAUUAAGAUACGUUACCCACCUUUUUGUAACUGACCUUAAUGCUAAAAAUGUAAAGGCCGAACAAUUUACCAUAUAAAGCAAGGUAAAAUAUUUUCUUCGGUAAGUGAGAAAUAGUACAAUAUACUGACUUAAGUUUCGGAGUGCCUUUGCAGGUACACUCCCCCCUCAUUUGUUCGUACUGUUCACAUCACAUUGAGAAGAAAGCUUGGACUCAAGGAUUGGACGCUCAGCCACCAAGGUGAUAGCUCGGCAAGCAUUCAUCACUAAAGGCCGAUCUAUUUUGCAAGCAAGAACAGUAUAUAUAUUAAAUUUUAAUUAUUAAAAAUAUUUAAAAAAAAUGACAUUUUUAACAUCUAUCUGAGUGACUUCCCUAUAAUAUAAUGUUGUGGUUUGUAUUUUGCAUUGCAUGUUAGGUACAUUAAGUGUGUGUUUGGAUUACAGUUUGCAAACGGGAGUUUGUAUAAAAUUGAUUUUGCAAAAUUGAUUUUGAUGAAAAGUAAGUUUGUGUUAACGUGAUUUAUGUUUGGCAAUCUUUAUAUCAAAAUUGAUUAUAGUAAAAUAAAUGUUGUUUGGAUUAUAUUACUCAAAAUCACUUUUAGAUGAAAAAUUACCAAAAGAGACAUCAAUUUAAAUAAUUUUUUUUAUAUACAUGCAAAAUCAAAACGCUAACAAAAAUAAUAUAAAAAAUAUUUAUCAUAUAAAUAAAAUAAAUACAAUAAAAAAUAAAAAUAUGAAAAAGAGUACUAUAAAUUUUAUAAUAUCAAACAAAAAAAAUAUUCUAUAAUUUUUUAGUACUGUCAGUACUCUUUAAUUUAGUAUUAUUUUGGACUAUAAUCCAUUUCCUUUAUUGUAUCAACUAUUUUUCAUUAUCUAUGACUCUAUUGUUACUUAUAAUUAGUUUUUAUUUAUUUUGUCUUUUUUUUAUAAGAUCAUAAUUUAUAUUAUAAAAUUUUGAUAAUAAAUGUAGUAUACAAUAAUUACAAUUACAAAUUUUAUAAAAUCAGAAUAAAAAAUAAAAAAAUUAAUACAAAACAAAAAUAGAGUACAUCAAAGAAUAAAAAAAUUGAUACAGAUAGGAAAUAAUAAAAAUGUCAUAAAACCAACAACAUAUAUCAUAUGAACAAAAAAAAUACAAUAAAAUAAAUAAAAAUCACAUGAACAAAGUAAAAAAAAAAUAAAAAAUUUCAUAAAAAAUAUACAUAUAAAAAAUAAUAUAGUAAAUGAUAAAAAAAACUCAUAUAAAAACAUAACAUGAGAAAUUAGAAUACUACACAAAUAAUAUAAAAAUAUUUAUCCUAUAAAUAUAAAAUACAAUAAAAAUAUAAAAAUUAAAAUAUGAAAGUGAGUACUAAAAAUAAUUAAAAAAAUUAAAAUAUUCACUUUGCUAGUGAUUGAAACAAAUUUGAACCAUUUUGAUGAAAAACAAUUGGAACUAAGAACAAGUAGGAAGAACUAUAGAGAACUGUGAUGGUAAUAGUUACUAGUAUCCUUUGUAUAGAAGAAAAUGAAGGAUAGGAUUGGUAAAAAAGAAAUAAAAUUUCCACCUAAUUUUCUAAGAUAAUCAGCCACUAUGAACGUGAAACGCAGAAGCUACAAAUUUUAGCUUCUCCUGAAGUACGUUUAAAGGCAGAAUCACUUCUGCGUUCAGAAGAAUAAAAGUUGCCAAACAUAAAAGUGAAACUUUCAAGAGACUCAAACGUGCUUCUUUCCUCCUCAACGCGUUUGCCAAACACACCCUAAGUAUGUGUUUGGAUUCACGUUGGGUAAAAAGUUUGAAUGGAAGUGAUUUUGUAGAAUUGAUUUUGGGUAGAAGUGAGUUUGUGCCAACAUGAUUUAUAUUUGAUAAUUUUUACUAAAAUUUAUUUUGAUAAAAUAAAUAUUGUUUGGAUAAUAUUAGUUAAAAUCACUUCUAAAUAAAUAAUUAAUUAAUUACUAAAAAAUAUAAUAUUAAAUUAUAAUAUUAUUUUUUAAGUAUAUUUAANNNNNNNNNNNNNNNNUAUUAUAAAAAAUUAAAAUAGUAAUCAAUACACAAAAAUUAGAAUAAUUGUUUUAAUAUUUUCAGUAUUUAUUUAUAAAAAAUUAUGAAAAAACCAAUAAUAACUAGCAACAACCUAAACGUGCUUUGAGUAAACGAAGAAGCUAUAAUUUCUUGUUUCUAGUGAACGAGCUUUUGGGAUGUUGGCGUUAAAAAAAAAUUGCCAAACAUCAAAUAACAGCACUUAAAUAGUGAAACGCACUUUUUUCCUCUCCAACGUGUUUCACAAACACACCCUACAUAGUUUGCAAUUGAGUUGGCAUGGAGAGAGACAACUGUGGCCCAGUGAAGAAGCAGGAAGAUUCAUGUUACGACAUUGCAUUCUGUGUUGCCAUUGCAGCUGUAAUACACGCGCUUUGCUUUCCCCCUUUCAUUUUGGAAUCUUAAAUGUUGUUUUUUCCGUUGAACUCAUUCACUGUACUUUAGUUGUUAUUAGGUAAUUAGGUAAUAGGUAAGUUGUUUGGUUUUGCUACAUUUUCAUAGCUCUACUCUCUCUCUCUCUCUCUCUCUCUCUCCCUCUCUUUCAGCCUUUGAAUUGUGACUGUCACUCAUAGGAGAAAGAGAGAGAAAGAGAGGGAGAUCUGUGAAGUCUUCAUUGUUUUCUUCAGCUGAUUUUCACUUGUAAUGGUGAGACAGGUUCCAUUGUGUGAGUUUCCUAGGUUCCUGACAGUGUUUUAAGGUGGUGGGGUGUUUGAUGUUGGAAUAAAGCUGUGACCUUUUCACUAUGAUUUGAGGAUGUUCCCUGACUCCUCUUGCCACUGUUGCUGAACCAUGACAAAAAGGGUAGCAUCUUUUUUCUGAGAUACAGAAAUCGUAUUCCAUGUGUUUGAUGAAAUGUGAGCUUGAUUUGGAAAUUGGGUUUGCUCUAAUAGUCUUAAAGGAGCUUCCUUGAAGAAAGAAGAAGAAGAAAAUAAUCUCCCUUUUGUUGUUUUCCUUCUUUUGAAGUGAUUGUACUGGUGGAAAACUAAAACAGGCCAAAAGGGUAUCCUUAUUUCACCUUGUGUGUGGGGUUCUAAAUUUGUUUUUUAGACUUUUGAAUUUAUGUGGAGUGAAGAACCACUAAAGUUCCUUUGGGGGUGCUUUGCCUUGAUUCUCUUUGUUGGCCAUUGCCCUUGGUCAAACGUGGUAGACUGGUAGUUAAGGGUAUCUUAUAUAAUCUGUGUUGGAGACAUUAGAAAUAACAGGAUCUUCCUUCUUUGUUAUAUCUAAAUUAGGGAUCAAGCUAACUAGCUGCUGAUCAAAGACAGAACCAAUUAGGAUUUCUAUUUGUGGGAUUCAGUAUUAUCCCACUUAAGUUAUAGUUUGAUUAAGCACUGAAUGUUUGUACAAUUUGCAUAGUUGAUCUUCAAUGAGACCUUUAAAUUUAAGUCAGUAAAGUCUGAAUAGGUUGGCCUGAGGUUUUUUAAGGCAUAGUCAUAUUUGAGGUUUGGUCUGUAAAUUUGGUUACUUCAAUAUGUCGGAUAGUGUGCAAGAAGCGCGGUCGCUUGCCUUGACUCCUACAUGGUCUGUUCCCACUGUGUUGACCAUCUUUGUUGCUGUCUCUUUGCUUGUGGAGCGCUCCAUUCACCAAUUAAGCAAUGUAAGUUUUCUUCUUAGAAGUUUUAUUCAGUUUAGGAUUGGUUUUGAUGUUAACCUCUGUAACAAGGUUAUCAAACUUGAGAGUUUACCUAAACUCGGGAGUUUAGACCAACUUGAAUUGUGUAAUCAACAAGCAAACUUGUAACAGUUUGCUUGUAAAGUUGUAAACUUGACCAGCGACCUAAACUUACAAGUUUACGAGUUAACUUGAGAGUUUGAUAACCUUGUUCUUUAGUGUAACAAAGAUUUGCAUAGCGAAAAUUGGAAGCCUGUUCAAGACAUUAAGCAAACACAAGCUGUGGAGUGGCAAUGGAGGAGCUAUUGUAGGACCCGUUUUAUGAAUUGGAAUGAAUAAGCCAAAUUUUGUGUUCAGUUUUGACAUGAAUUCUGAUGUCUGUUUUCUUUGCUCCUCUGGGUCUCUGGGGCUGCAGUGACUGCGGAAAACUAAUCGAAAACCAUUGCUUGCUGCUUUGGAGAAGAUGAAAGAAGGUACAAUGCACUGAAUUUUUCUUCAUUGUGUUAAUAUUUUUGUUACAUAUCUCUUUUUGACUAAUCAACUUGCUUUUUUCUUUCCUUUUGUGUUUUAUAUUUUGCUAUCUUCAGAGUUGAUGUUGCUUGGAUUCAUAUCACUCCUACUAACAGCUACCUCAAGAAUUAUAGCCAAUAUUUGCCUUCCAUCAAAGUUCUACAACAGUGCUUUUGCUCCAUGCACAAGAUCUGAGAUUGAUUAAGAAAUGGAAGAUAAUGGCUCCGAAGGACGUAAAUUAUUGAUGGCUUUUGCUUAUCCAAGCUUAACUCGGAGGAUGCUGAAUGGCAUGAAUAGAAGCUCCUGCAAAGAGGCAUGAACAACAGACCCCAAUGUUUAAACUUUGGCUAUUAUGAUUAUUCAUUAAUUAUUGCUCCAAAUCAACGUGUGUCAAAAUUUUCAUUUGUUAUGUUUCUCAGGGUUAUGAACCAUUCGUGUCAUAUGAAGGUCUAGAGCAAUUGCACCGGUUUAUUUUUGUCAUGGCAAUAACACAUAUAUCUUACAGUUGCCUGACGAUGUUGUUAGCAAUUGUGAAGGUGAGAAAUGUUUCAACAUUAAUUUGAAUUUAAAUGGCAUUGAACUGAAAUUUGAUAUUACAGAACACUAUCACUUGGAUGUUUACUUAUUUAUUUUGGUAACUAUGUAUUAAUGUAUGCAGCAAAACAUCUAAGUGUUAUAACUUUAGAUUUCUGAUUGGCAUGAGAAAUUAAUAACACCAAUAGUUUAAAGCAGAUUCAUAGUUGGAGAGUGUGGGAGGAUGAGGCUCAUAUGGAUCAGCAUGGAUCUUUGGCAGGUAAGCACAAUACUUCUUAAUAUGCAUUUGUUGUUUGUAAGUGAUUUUCUUUGUGUGCUGUCGAGAGUAUAUUGACUAUUUCAUGUAUUGCUGUAGUAAUCACAAGAGAGUUGACAAUGCGAAGACAAUCGUCCUUUGUCAAGGUUCAUACAUCAAAUCCAAUGGCCAGAAAUAGUUUCCUCGUUUGGGUGGUAAUUACGUAACUCUAUUUUGUUUCCCCAUUAACAUUUGAUUUCAUUUAAUGUAUUUUGUCGAAUGUCUACCUUUAAGUUCUUGAAUUCGUGCGAUGAAAAAUGGCAUGUCUGAAAAUACUUUAAAUCAAAAUAUUCUGAAACAAAGUUUGAUAAUCAGAUGGUUAGCUGGGCCAGAAUUUGAUCAAUUUGCUUUGCUUAAUAUAUUUUGCAGUUGCUAUGGCAAAUGAAGUAGUAAAAUAUUGAUAAUUCAUGUUACCUAAUUGCAUCAUUUCUCAUCACUUUCAGCAAAUUGUAACAUCAAACUCUGUGUGUGAAUCUUUUGAUAUUUUACCUGAUACUCCCGACUGCUACAUUCAUAUGUUAUUUCGUCAAUCUACUUAUGUCAAUUGCAUAUAGUUGUAUAUUGGACUUGAUAAAUUGAGGUUUCAUUUUGAACAACUUAUUUGGUAAUACAUAACUAAUUCUAAGUUUAAUCAAAUUGUAGACAUGUUUUUUCCAACAAUUCGGCCAUUCGGUGGUUCGUGCUGACUACCUUACACUUCAUAAUAGAUUAUCUUGGUCUAAAUGGUUUUGAUUUAAAAGCAACCUGAGUUUUAUUUUACUGUGUAAAUUAAAUUCUUACUUUAUCUCUGUGAUGCAGUGCUUGGAUCUCUGAAUUUCUAGUAUUCAUGCAUCACUAAUUUUUUUUUGUACUCCUUUACUCAAUCUCUUUUCCUUAUUUAUGGCAGAAUCACAACCUCACAUUAAAAUAUGAUUUUCACAGCUAUAUGGUUAGAUCUAUGGAAGAGGAGAAUUCCAAAGGAUAGUUGGUGUGAGGUUAGUAAUGGUUGAGCAUUUUUUGUCGUCAUUAUUGAGGAAGUCAAUAGUACAUGAUCUGUUGUGACCUUUACAUACUGUGUAUGAUUUUAUUUCAAUGUUACAGUUCGCUAAGAAAUUUCUGGAAAAGAGUCUUCAGUUUUGCAUUUUUAAGCAGUAGUUCAACUUUUCUAUUCUGAUUCAUUGCAAAUAAUCAAUGUAAAGAGAAAAGAAUGUUCAUUAUUUGUAUUAAGCAUGUGUAGCAUUAAGUUAUGGUUAUUGUUUUUGUUUUCCACAAAUUUAUUUUCAUGAAGUUGAGAGCUAACAGUGUCUGAAAUCUCUAGCAGUGGCUUACUCUGGGGAUUUGUUGUUGCUUUCAUGCUUUCCAACAUUAAAGGUAGUGUGUCUUUUUUUUUUUUCAUAAUCUUAAUUUUCAAAUAAUAUAUACAUUCCCUCCAUUACUAAAACCAAUUUGUAUCUUUCUUUUGGCCAAAGCUUUCACUUUACUUCCAUUUCUCUGUGAGAUUACCUCAAACAUAAUUGUGGUCAGUUAUUGAAGUAGUCAACCCAACUAAGAAGAAUAACUUGCUGCUUUUAUAUUGUGGUUUCAUUAUGUCUUUGUGUUAUCUUAGAAUCUUACAAUUGCUAAUUCAUUUAUCCUUUUUCUCGGUUUACCGCAGGAUCAAAUCUCUUUCUGGAUAGCUAUCAUCCCUGUCACGGCAAGUUAUCUUUGUUAUUUUCUCUUUCUUUUAAGUUAUUUUACUUUGUUGAACACUUUCUGAUUACCGUGUCUUUUUAUUUCUUGUGUUUAUGAACAGCUUGUUCUUUUGGUGGGAACAAAGCUCCAGCAUGUUAUUGCAACAUUGGCAUUGGAGAAUGCCGGAAUCACUGGUUACUUCUCGGGAUCAAAGUUGAGGCCUCGCAACGAACUUUUCUGGUUCAAUAAGCCUGAACUAUUGCUAUCCUUGAUCCACUUCAUUCUCUUCCAAGUAAGCAACAAUAGUUUAUCGGCUACUUUUGUGAUAUUUCUAAAUGAAAUUUGUUUUUUUUCCCUCCUAACUCUAGAUGCAUGUUCAUUUCCUGGUUUUGUUUUCGCAGAAUGCGUUUAAAUUGGCUUCGUUCUUUUGGUUCUGGGUACUUCUCUACUUCCUUAUCCAUCUUAAGUCAUAAUUAUUUCCUUCAACAAAUAAUACAAUGACUAGCUAUAUAUUUUCGAUAAGCAAAUGUUAUAGCCUUAUUCAAAUUUUCGGUGAUUGACACGUUGAUUUUAGUAUUCCUUAAAAGCUUCUUUUUGGCAAGUUAUUGCCACCUUUUUUCAGUGUUAUCAGAAUUACUUUAGAUAUGAUGAAUCACUCCAUAGAACAAGAUACUGAAGAAUGGCACGAAGUUCUGUAUGUACUAAAAUGUCUUUUUUGUUAUUGCAGUGGCAGUUUGGUUAUAAUUCCUGCUUUAUCAGGAAUCACUUGCUUGUGUACUUAAGGCUAAUCUUAGGGUAUGCUGAAACCAUGAGAUCCUUAAUUCCAUUUAUUUAAGAUGUUAAAAAAGCCAUGUGCCAUUUUAUACCUUUUCUAUAUAAACUUUGUAGGUUUGCAGGACAGUUUCUCUGCAGUUACAGUACUUUGCCACUCUAUGCGCUUCUUACACAGGUAAUCCACGACCUAAAUCGGUCGGUUUCUGUUGUAUGUUUUCUGCUUUCAGGAUUUUGUUGGUGGAAAAUAGUGGAAAACAAGAAAAUUUGUUUUCCAAAUUUUUUAACCUCCAUUAUUUACUUCACCAAAUUCAAAAAACAAGAAAACAUAAGUCAUGCUGACCCUAUAGAUCUGUUUAAUUCAAGAAGAUAUUUCUACGAUCAUUCUUCAAUAUUCAUUGGCAAAAUAUCAGAUUGUUUUCAUUCAAAUUAGUUUUUGUGCAUCGACAUCAUAGAAAGUUCCACAUUAUACUAAGUUGGCAUUUUUAUCCAAUUUUGUUAGUGGGCAUGUAAGCAGUGAGUGAGAAAUUAGUUCCUGAUCAAACCAAACAAAAUCAUUAUGAUAUAUCCGACUAUAUGACAUGUUUUCAGUUGUGUGUGUCUCAAAAAGUCAAUGAUGGCACACCUAAUUUCAAGGCUUCAUUAUGAACCAUGUGUAUGUGAUGCUUUUAAGGCAUGGAGUUGGUUUGAGUGAAUCAUUCAAGUUCAAUUUCGAUGUACUAAGUUAAAGAAUUUUACACUAUUAUCCAAUAAACUUUUUCUUUUGGAUCACAAUUUGCGUUAGUCGUAAUGAGUGUAAAAGGAAUUACUUUUUCUGAUAUGACAAACAGGCAAUAUAUAAUUAAAUAUCGGGUAAUGCUAUGGUGAAUGGUGUUUUUCAAUGAAGAGUGAAGAUUGUCUUUUUACAAUAGAAAAAAAUAUUUAAAAAAUAAAGACAUCAUAUGCAAUGCACACUCCUUUAAAAAAUUUUGUUACAAUAUUCACUCUUCGCCAAAUUUCAUUAUUCACCAUAGAAAUCCCCUUAAAUAUGUGUAAAACAUUUUAAACUGCAUAAAGUUAAAUCUGAAUCAUUGGAUUCUUGCCACUUUUAUUUCUCAUGCAAUAAGAUCUUUCUAUGUUUAUUUUCAGAUGGGAACAAACUAUAAGGCUGCAUUGAUUCCAGAGAGGAUAAGGGAGACAAUCCAUGGAUGGGGCAAGGCAGCUAGGAGAAAGAGAAGGCAUGGUAUGUUUGCCGAUGAUUCCACCAUUCACACGGACACGAGCACUGUACUAUCUCUCAAAGAAGACGAUAGAAUGGUCGAUAUCCCUGAAACUGGUACUGACCAUGUCACUGGAACUGAAGUAGAAUUACAACCGGUAGCAGCUGCUACGGCUAGUUCUGAAGCUAUUUGAACAUGUAUAACUGGGUUGGUCUAGAAUUGAACUCAUUUUUUUCUGAUAUAUAUAAGGUAUACAUCGGUUUUAAGAGAAUUAGUGGCGCCUUAGCUGUGGCCACCUAUAAAACCACUUUGACGCUAUGUAAAUAAGAGCGUGAGAUAAAUAUAAUGUAUUUCUGUUUAGUAAACGUGAUUUAAACGUGAUUUCUGAAGUACCUUGUUGACCUGUUCUUUGGAGAAUCGAAUUAUGAAGAUAAUCUUUAUAUUUCAGUUAUUCACUGUUAUUACUUGUAACCUAAUUUUCAUAAUUCUUUAGAUUUCUAGAAUAAAAUAUAUUUAAUAAAUGAUCACGUGUGCUUUUGUUUGUAUUAUCCUAUCGAUUUAUAAGGCUUUUUGUGACCAAGAUAUAAGUAAUGGAUCACUAUGUUUGUGAGUUGGGAAUUUUAAAGAAAGGAGGAGAAAGAAAAUGGUUAGAGGAGUAUUUCAUAAGUACUCAUCAAAUCUAACUUACAAACACAGGCUAAUGACAAUUGAUUAAAAAAUGAGGAAUGCUAGGGGACUAGCAAUUUUGGUGUUUUGUAACCAUCAAUUGGCCAUUAAUAGUGUUUUUAAUGGUGUGAGAUUACAUCUAAUAGUGGGAGAUCACUCACUUUUGUUUUGAUGGUUAAGUGCUGGCCAGAAAACACAAAAGUUGCUGGCCCUAGACUUUUCCUUAAAAAAUAUUGCUUUGAUUUUGAUUUUUUUAUUUGCAAUGCUUCUUAGUGUUAGUUUUUGUGCUUUUAUGAGUUGUAUUUUUCUCCACCGAAAAAAGAUUCUUUUUCUUUUGGGUUCUAUUCAACACUCAAGUAUUUUACAUCAAGGGCACGAAUUCUAUGUGCCGUGUGUAUUUGGCUGACCGGUGUGUAUAGCACUUAAUUUUGGCUGACCGGUGUGCUUGCUGAUGAGGAGUCAUUGGAUUAUACAUGCUUUUUAAUCUAAUAGUAGAGAUCUUUCUAAAUUUAAUUUCAUAUGAUUGGUUAGUUAAUACUUUAUGCUGCUUUUGUGUCAGUAGGAUAACUUUAUAAAUAUUAGUUUUAAGACGGUUAUUAUUGUUAGAUUUAAAAUAUUUUGUAGUAUUAUAUCAAAAAUAAAAAAAAUCAGAUAUUUAAAUUAAUUCAAAACGGAUAAAAUUUUGUUGAGUAAGAUUUUUUUAUUGUAUUAUUUUGCACAGCCAGCAAAGAUGCGAGCAGAAGUUCGUUGAACACCGGAGUGGGGCAUCAAGCCAGAGUGGGAGAGGAUGGUACUUCACCUCCGAUGACGUUUUAGCGGGUGGGCAGGAUGGUUUUUUGGCCAAUAUCUUCGCUGCCAAUGCUCACGACCCUUCUUCAUCAGCACGGUUCUUCACCUCCGAUGACGGCAUCCCCAACCCGCAACAAUAUUUCAGGUGUGCAGCAACGCCUCGACAGCAACCAUGGAGCAGAUGCCCCGACGAGGAGGAUUAGGUGUGGUAGGGAUGAGAUUAAGAGGGAGAUGCUGUCCCGUGUACGAUAGAGCAGAUACCUUCCUUGUCUUCGUCGUCCUCUUACUUCCUUCUCUUCCUCCGCCGUUUGCAAGCGCACCUCGCCUUCUACUAUCUCCAACGCCGGCGACAAAUCCAAAUCUUUCCACUGCCUUCGCUAUUCACUUUUUUGUCGCGCCACCAACUUCUUCUUCUCUCCACUCGGCCAUGGCGGCUUUGGCACCGUCUUUUUCGACAUUCUCUCUCCUCCGGCAAAAACUCUAUCGCAGUGAAGCUCUGGACCCCACAAUAACCUUGUAGCAAGGAGAGCGAAUUUCACAACAAGAUCCUCUUUUUAAUUCAGUUGCAAAAUUAAAAUUAAUUAAUCCUUUAGAAUUCUAAUGAAUAGUUGUGUUCGAUUUGUUGGAUGAUUAUUAAUAAUUUUAGGGUAAAGUACUAAAUUGGUCCCUUAGGUUUGGGCAUAAUUCUGUUUUGAUCCUUAAGGUUUAAAGUGUUCUAUUUGAAUCUAAAAAAGUUUCAUUUAGCAUCAAUUUAGUUCCACAGUGAGGUCAAAAUUAAAUAAUUAACAAAAUGUCCUACAUAACAACAGUUCAAGAACAAAAUUGAUAAUCUGGAGAACAAGUACAAGCUCCAAAGGCACAAAAUCAACUAAUAUUUUCUAAAUUUUUUUUUUUACAAAAUCUAAUAAAAGAAAGAUAAAAAAUAAUAAGAGUGAUAUUUGUAUAUAUAAGAUAAGAGUAAUAUUUUUUUUACCAAAGAUAGGAAAAUUCAAAUCUGCGAUCUCUUAGAUGAGUACAGGGAGACUAUGCCAUUUGAGUCAUAAUUCAUUGUCAAUAAGAGUAAUAUUUAGAUAUAUAAAACAUAUCUUUGUACAUAAACCAAUACAAAAUAAGAGACUAAUUUUAGAAUAUUCAGGUGUACUUACAAUAUUCUAAUAUUUGUAUCCACGUAUAUUUUAAUAUGAUAUCAGUAUCAUUUUAAAGAUAAUAUCUAAUACAAAUUUUAAUUUUCAAUUUUUAAUUUUAAGUUAUUUUAGUUAUUAUAAAAAUAAAAAAUAAUACUCAAAAUUAAUCCCAUUAAACUGCUCAAUAAUUUAUUUAUGAAAAGAUAUAAUUGUAUUUGUUUAAAGGAUAAUUCAUGGUUCAAAAGAUAUAAUUCAUGGUUAAAAAUGCCGAAUCUCAUUUUAGGUUUUGACGGAAUAUUCGAAAACGCUGUGUGAGUGUGUGGCCAUGGCGAAUCAGCAGAAUUUGCCAGAAGGAACGGUGCAGAACAUUCUAGAAUAAGAAACUUUCAAAUGGGUCUUCGUUGGUAGCAAAGGUGGCGUUGGCACAAUACUCUCAUUCUUCUCGCCACUGUUAGCGACUCUAUUCUCAUAAUCUCCACUGACCCAACUCACAAUCUCAGUGAUGCUUUUCAACAACGAUUCACAAAGACUCCAAAUUUAGUCAAUAACUUCACCAAUUUAUAUGCUAUGGAAGUGAAUUCCACUACUGAGCAUGAGGAUAUGUGGGCACUUCUAAAGGGAUGGACGGCAUGAGUCGCUGAAAUUUUCGGUAAAAUGUGGGUAAUGGACUUCAGGCGUGCCCAAUAAGAGGCUGCCGAAGCCACCAUGACUGAGUAGGGGAGGAGAAGGAGUUGAUAGCGCGAAGAAGAAGCGAAUAGGAGAGGUCUUGGAGAUUCCGUCGUUGUUGGCGCUGGAGAUAAUGGAGGAGGCAGUGCGCUUACAACGGCAGAAGAAGGGGAGAAAAAAACCUGGAGGAGAAUGUUAAUGACAGUGAUGCGUGAGCAUCUUGUCUAUCUUUUCCUAGUGAAUUUGCAUCUAAUUUGUUGAGUUUAAUUAAGAAUUAAUUAUAUUUUAGCCACUAUGGAUGCUAUUUUGAGUUUUGUGCAAUUUUAUUUAAUGUAGGUAGCAUUCGGAUGGAUUUGAUGAAGUUUCUACAGAGAAAGAGAAGAAACCAAAGAGAUGACCAGCGAAUACCGACGCGGACGCAUGGCUCAUGCGACCGCGCGGAAUGGAGGAAAUCGCAAUGACGCGAUCGCAUGCCUGACGCGAACGCGUGGACUGGAAUCUGCACAAAUGACGCGAACACGUGGACGACGCGGACGCGUCACAUGAGCGAUCUGCAGAAUGGACAAAUCUAGUGGUCCCCACCCAUCAGACUUGUUAAUUAAUUCAAAUUUAAAUUCAAAUUUUAAUUCUAGGAAAAGAUAUUAUUUUAAUUUUAAUUUUAGAAAUUUGAUUUUUAAUUUUAUUAGGAUUAGUUAUAAAAGGAAUCCCAACAGGUGAUUCCAACACAACAUUUUAUUCCACAACAUUAUUCCCAUUUACUAUUUAUAAUCUUUAUUUUCUACUCUGAACCAUGAGCAACUAAUUCUCCAUUGUUAAGGUUAGGAGCUCUGUCUAUUGUAUGGAUUGAUACUAUUAUUUUUCUAUUUUAAUUUAUGUUUUGAUUUAUUUUUCAAUAAUUGUUUUCGUUCUUUAUUUUAUGAAUUUGGGUGGAACGGAAGUAUGACCCAUGUUCUAAUUGAGUUCUUGUAUAACUUGGAAAAGCUCUUUACUUGAACAAUAGCUUGAAAACAUAUUAUCCUGAAUUUCUAAUUGUUUGUAUUUAACGGGAUACGUGACAUAUAAUCCCCUUAUUUUUGGAUAAUUAGGAUUCUUGUAGCAUAUAAACUGGAAUUUGAUCAUCACCCUCUAAUUGGAAUUAAUUGACCAAGAAAUUGGCAGUUGAUGAAUUUUAGAGGAGACUAAGAAGGUCUAAGGAAUUAGGGUCUAGUCACAAAUAGUUUGCCAUGAAUUAAAUCUUGCAUGAUUAAAAUAGUUAAUAAGAAAAGUCAAUCCAAAAAAUAGAUAACUCUGAAGCCUUAACUGCCUACUCAAUAUUUUAUUCCCAACUUAUUUAUUUGUCUAUCCUUUUGAUAUUCUGAGUUCGAACUUAAACCUUUUGAACAUCUCAAAACCAUUUUAUGCUUGUCUAACUAAGUAAAUCAUUUAACCAUUGUUGCUUAAUCCAUCAAUCCUCGUGGGAUCGACCCUUACUCACGUAAGGUAUUACUUGGUACGAUCCGGUGCACUUGCCGGUAAGUUAGUGGGUUACAAAUACCGCACCAGACAGUAAUAGAUAAUUAAAUAUGGGUAUUCAUUUAAAAAAUAAAAAAAUGAUCCCUUUAUUUUAUGUACAAUUACAAAAAAGACCCCAAAAAAUAAACAUUUUUAUUUUGACAUUUUUUGGCUGACCGGUGCGCUAAAUAACUUUUUGGCAUUUCAGUGCGUAAACAUCACCUGCGUACCAAAUCCGUGCCCUUACAUCAAAUGGUUGAAUGCCAAAGAAAGAUGACACCAACACAAGUUUAGGGACAGCAAUAUAUCAUUUUAAUUAAUGUAAUGGUAUUUUAUGGGAAAAAACGGAUCCAAGAAUUUUAAUAUGGAAGGGCCGAAUUGUAGAUAAAUUUUUUUAUUUUUAUUAUAUUUUUUAUUUCAUAAAAGCAAUUUAGACAUAACGUAUAAUUUUAUUUUUAGCAUGACAGCUAUAUAAAAGAAAUAUAGCAAUAUCAAUAAUUUAUAGUAUGUUUAGUUAAAAAAAUUAUUACAUAUCUUAUUAAUUAAAAUUAAUUCGUUUAAAAUUUUUAAAAAAUUUAUAAACAAAUUAUAAACUAUUAAUUAUAUGAAAGACNNNNNNNNNNNNNUAUAUCUCAUAUAUAAGUAUAAUAUUUUAAAAUCUUGGGGAGACAAAGCCACUACUUGCUCCUCUAGGUCCAUCCCUAUCUAUGGGAUUUAUUUUUUUGGAAUAGAAUUAUGGCUAUUUGGAUCAAAUUUCAUGAAAAUAGUAAUUUUUCAAAGUUUUGUUUUUUAAUUUCAAGACUCAUAUCUAAGAUUUCUAGUCUAUUAUAUUGACAAAUUCUCAUUAACACAAUAGUUUAACUUUCAACUUUUCUAUCAUGAUGAAACUAUUGAAUAUCCAAUUACCCCUGUCUAAGCCGAAGAUCUAAGAAAAAUAUAAGAAUCUCGCGAUAAGAAUCUUUUUUCAUUUGAUAUUUUCUAAUAACCAACUUGCUUGGUUAAGUGUUAGUUUAUUUACCUGAUUAAAUAAGUAUUUAGUGUUUAAAUUUUAUCUUAUAUAUACAAUAUUGAUUAACGGUAAAUUCUUAAACAAUAUUCAAAUAUACAAUAAAUUAAUUUUUGACCUGCUAAAUUAAAAAAUACUGUGUAAAAAAAAAAAUCUAAAGCACUAGUUAAGAGACCAAAAUAUCUACAAUGUUCACCAAUCUUGUUAACAGCAUCUAUUUUUAUUUUCAUUAAUUUUUCAUUUUAGAAUAUUACAAAAAAAAAAACAAAAUUUCUAUUUAGUUGGCUCAAAAUCAAAACAUAGAGAAUGUACCUAAUAAUAAUAAUAAUAAUAUGUAUAUAAAAAAAAGAGACCACUUUGCUAAAAUAUUCAUCUCACUUUCAUAAAAUCAAACAAGGUUCUUAUUAAUAAACUCCUUCAUAAAUAGUAUGCAACUUCUAACAAUAGUUUCAAUUCUACAAAAAUACAAAAGCCAAUACAAUGGAACCUUCUUUUUCUUCUUUUCUUUCUAAUACACAAAUGGCAAUAUUCUCCAAGGAACAAGUUUUCGGUACUCAGUCCAUAUCUCUUUAUACUUCUUCGCACAACGAGAUUCAUCCCUUCUCUCCCUCCAUAUCAACAGAAUAAGAAGAUAUAUUGGAUAGAAGUAUGGAACUGGUGAACUGCAAAAAUGAGUAAGAUAUACAAGGUUUGACAUUAUUUUCUUUGUAGAAAAAUCAAUAUCAAUAACUUUAUAUCAGCGAAAUAAUUAAAGGAAUGAGUUAAUGAGAUCACCUUAUCCCACAAGGUAAGCUAAAGGAGAGAGCAAGAAGUAAGUCACCUAGGUAAUUACAAUGUCUGGCAAUACCCCUUCAACAACAACAACAACAACAACAACAAUGACAACUUGUGUUAAUAGCUUCCAUGAGAAAGUGAAUUGAGUGUAUAUACGUUGUUCUAACAAGACUCUAGAUAGACAAAUAAUAACCACGGAUUAAAACAUGUUACUGUCUUCGUUCUUUUUUAUCUGUCAACUGUUACUUUUUGGUACAUAUUGAUUUAACGCAUGCCAAAAAGUGGACAAAUAACCAAAGGAGUAAUGUGUAAUGUGUAAUGCAUAAGAUGUUAAGAACUCACCAGGUAUAAUCUCUGACCUAAAUUCAACAACUUUCUAAAUAAAAAUUCAUGAGGAUUAAAAAAUUUUAUUGGUAAUAUAUUAUACUAUUACUAAUUACCAAUCAUUAACUUGGAUUAUACACAUACUCAACCAAUCAUAAUUUUCGCUAUUUGAUAAAAAGAAUAACUUAGCCAAUGGAGCCUUUUCUCAUCCCAUUUUUUAUUCCGAAGCCUCCCAACAUGUUUUAAGAUAUGCUUAAUCGGUAUUCACAUAUUAUGUAUUAAAUUAAAGGUGAAAGAAAAACAGAUGCAUAUCUACUCCAAGCAAUUUUUUUUUCUUUUUUUCAGUUUUUACCCCUUAAAUAAAGAAAGAGGAAAAGGAAAAAGAGAAACAAAAUACAGAUAUCAAAUGAAAAAAAAUCUUACCAAUAACCAGAAGCAAGUAACUUUCCACCAAUGACUUUUGGAGGCUUACCCCAAAUAGGGCCCUUUGGAUUCUUUUUGAAUACAUGUUUUUGCUUGUUUGCCCCUCGAAAUACCAUGUAUCUGCAAAGUUUGAUCUUCAAUUUUAUGUUAUGAACUUAUGUAACUUCAAGAGUAUAUGUGGUGCAUUAUAGAAUUCACGGUUGGAUAUUACGAACACAUUACCCAAUCAGGAAGACAAGACAAUUAGCUAUAAUGGUUGUCGUUGUUAACUCCACCUCAUUUGCUAAGAGCCACCAUCCCUGACAGCAAUUGUAGCAUGUCAAUACAUGUUAUGUGUUUAAACGAAAAAGUACUGUACACUGUUCUAAAAACCGAACCGGAUCGGCCGGUUCAACAGGGUUAAUUGGGAACGGUCAUUUAGUUGGUUUGGUUGAAGUGCAAAACCGAUCUGCAAAAAACCGGUAAAAAACCUAUUGAGCCGGCAAUUAACCAGUGAACCGUUUGAACCGGACAGUUUUUUCCGAUUUUCAAUUAAAAAAUAAAAAAUAAAAAAUUACAUAAACCCUCCACAUUCUCUCUCUCUCACACGCACACUACCACGGAACCCUAGCCCUCCUCUCUCUCUAGCUCCACAGAACCCUAGCACCCCCAGCCAACAAUAGCAGCAGCAGCCAGCGCCCAGUUCCCAGCGCCGCCGUCGCCGACGAACUCUUCUCCUCAGCCAGCGUCCAGCCCCGGUGUUGCCGAUCCUCUUUUCCUAGAUCCCUUCUCCUCGCGUCGCUAGGUCUCAUUGGAGCUGCUGUUGGCGUUGCCGCCUCUGUCCUCGUUGUCAUCGGCCACCCUGAACUUGUGUCUCUGUCCUCGUUGUCGAGCCCUCUCUCUCGCGCGCGCAUCAAACCUCUGUCUUCGAUCCCCCUCUCUGUCCGAGCUCACUUUCCUUCCUCCCUCGCCGUCACUUCUCUUCCUCCCUCACCGCCAUAAGCAAAGCUACUUUAAUUUAUGUUUUCUUAUUUUGUUAUUUUAUUGAUUCCGAGUUGCUGAAAUUUGAUCGAGUUGCUGAUUUUUUUUUUUUUGUUCAUUUUUGAGUUGCUGAGAUCUGAAAUAUGUUGGUUGAUAAUGUUUUGUUAAAUUUUCGAAAAUAAUUGUUAUUCUGAGUUCCGAGUUUCCCUCAUAUGCAAGCCAUAGAAGCGAAUUGUAUAUCUCUAUAUCUAUCUGUAGCAAGAAAGUAGGCUAGGCUUUACCCACGGGCAAGCUAUCUAGCAGAAAGUGAGUGAAGCUGCUUUGGUCUACUCUGGGUGCACAAUUAUUAUUGUAAUAUCCUUUUUGCUGAUUUUCUGAAAUAAUUGUGUUUUGGGUUAGGAUUGUUGAUUGUUGCUGAUGUGAUUCUGAAUUUAGUUUGGAUGUUGAGUUUGGACUCUUUGCUUAAUUUUCUGUUUUUGGAUUCUUUGGCUUUGGAUGGCUUUGGAUGUUGAGAAGUUUUUGGAUUCUGAGUUUUUGUUGAAUACUUGAUUAGUAUUGAGAAUAUAAAUGUAAUAGAACAAGAUUUGGUUUAAGAAAAAGUGAAAGAAGAGCAUGUAAACUCUUGAUUUAGUUAGUUAUUCUGUUUCAGGUCAAUAGCUUUCAUAUAUAUUGCAGACAUUAUAUUUGGAAGUGUUGAAACUAAUAUGAUCAAUGUUAUUGAUUCUCAAUAAUUAUGUUCUCAAUUUUAAGUUUUUGAAUACAUUUCUUUGUUUCUUAUAUCACAAGAAUUCUUCUUUUGGAGUGUUUAUCUUGAUUGUCAAAUAAUUGAGCUUGAUUAGAGUUUAGAAGUUAAUUAAAAUUUUUUUAUUAUGAAUUCUAAAAGAUAAAAUAUGAACAAAUUACUAUGUGAAAUGUUAAAUUUUUAAAUUUUAGUAGUUUAGAAAAUAUUAAAUUUGAAUAUUUGAAAUUGUAUAUUGAAUUUUUAAUGAUUUCAUUGUAUAUUUAAUUAAACCGGUUCAACCACAGUUCAACUUCGGUUAGACUAUUGAACCGUUGAACCAGUCACUUCACCAGUUCAAUGACCGAUUCGGUUCUCGCAACCUUGGUACUAUACAUAAUGGCGCAAAUAAAUGGCAAGUUGGAAGUUAAGUUAUAGCAAUUACCUGAAUGCUAAAAGUAAAAGGAAUCCAAACUAAAUCUCCAAAGACCAACAUGAAGCCCAACCUCUCUGCAAUUAUGUCCCAACUAAAAACAAAAAUUAAGAGAUAAGAUCAUAAACCACAAUUAUAUCUAACAUGAAUGACAAUAUAGAUAUCACAAUCAUGAGUUCAUAACUUAGUGAAAAUAUUACAAGGAAAACAUGUUUUAUUUUUUUAGAGAUUGGGAUGAACAAUUUUUCAAGUAGAGCAAACGCAAUUCACUUACGUUGAUGUCAUGUACUCUUCAUGCACAAAGUAGUCCAAGAUGUAUAACUGGUAUAAAUGUAAAGAAAGUCACUCAUCAAACACCCAAACUAGUGCUUAUUAAAAGAAAAGAGAAAAAAAGGAAAUUCAAUAAACUAGAGUAGACAAGAUUUUAAAAUUACUGCACAGAAUAUCUGGAAGAGAAUCAUUGAUUUGCUCAAAGUACCAUCUUGAAUGCUCUUUGCAAGAAUGGAUAAAUUGAUUAGCAGCCACCCCAUCAUUCCAGCUCUAACAAACAAAAAUCUACAAUUUGACAAUUCCAUUAUAUGUGCAGGAAUAUUUAUAGUAUUCAGAAUAAUCAUAAAAAAAACCACAAUUCUGACAAUUCCAUUGACAGGGUUGCAAGCUAAGAAUGCUUUUUUUCCAUCAUAAUUGCCAAUUAUAUACACUUAAGCAAUCAUAUAAAAUGAGAACAAGCAAGAAACGACAUCAGGUGGAUAACAUACUUGAGGUCAAUACCCAUAUACUGAGGAUUCAGUUGUAUUCCAAACCACCUAUCAAAGUAAAACAGAAAACGAAAAACAAAAUUAACCAAUAAAAUUCAAUUUCUGCAACGGUCAAGGAAAUAAAAUCAACCAUGUUCACACUUCACACUAGUUAAAAAGUCGGGCUUCGUUGUACUAGACAGAAAAACACAAAAGAGAUGCAAACACAAAUUCCAAACAGAAGCUAUUACGAUUAAAGAAAUUUUAACAUCUAGAACAUACCAAUCAUGUAUUAGGUUUCCAGUGAUAUGAGGUUUUAGUGAUGAACUUUUACUUUGUGACUUGCAGCCCGCAAAAUAAAGUGCCAGGGUCACCUGAUAUGAAAUUAGUAAAAAUGACAACAAAAAAGGUUAUUAUCAAGCAAUGCAGAGUAACAAUAAAAACAAAUAAAGUAUAAAAUUUAGCUUUUGAUAUAUUUCAACAACUGUGCAUUGGUACAUUUAGCCAGCCUUUUCUAAUGAUACGAUAGGAUUUGACUUCCAUCAUUGUUAUUAAGUUCAAUAAUGUGUCAUUUAUUCAUAUUUCAGUUCUAGCAAAUUCAUAUGAUGAAAUUGAACUAUGAAAAGAACCAUGGAAUGUCAUUACUAAGUUGUAAAUAAGAUUCUAUGCUUAUAAUUACAUACAAGAAAACUGAAGAUAAAUGUUGUGGACAGCAGCUCAAAUCCUCUCUCAGAUAUAGCCUGCAAAAGUUGCCACAGGUUAUUCUGCGACUCUAACUCUAGCAUAUGAUUCAUAGUGUUAUGCAAAAUUCAGAAUAUCCAUAUGAACACGUACGGUAGGAGAUACAAAAUCCAUCUUGGCACUAAUCCCAAGAAGUGCAACCAACAGAAGAAGCAAGACUAAACCUGAGAAAAUGUGAACAUAGUUACACCUCCAAAAAAAUAGAAAAGGAAUAGUGGUGUAAAUAUAGACUCAAUUCUUGUGAAUCUUAUAUGAAUCAACAUGCAAAAUAUAUUUUAAAGUAUAAAAUAUACCACAACUGCUAAACCUUAUCUCACUAGGUACAAUAAGUAGCAUAAAAAAGGAAUCAUCAUAAUCUUUGUUAUAAAUCAUGUAUACAUUCAAAUUAUUAAAAUCUAACCAUUAUAACAAUUUCACCUAUCACCUAUGAUUUUUCCUUUUUUAAGAUUUCUUCUAUUAAUAGGUCAUUGAACAAACAUUUUGUCAUGUAUAGCAUUGAAGACUGGUCAUGAAGUGAACAACAAAAAUAUGUUGCCAUUAUAACACUGAUUUAAGGAUUACCAUAAACUAGAGAACCUAUAUUACAUCAAAAUCACACUAAAAUGAACCACAUUUUUGUAAUGUACUAGAAUGUUAAAAACGAACCAUUGCAGCGAUAAUGAAGGCGAGUUCCAUCAGCAAGAACAACCCCAGGAACAAGUUUUCCCAGCACAAUGGAUCCCGCAAUUGACAAAUAAGCAAAGAAGCCCAGAAGCAAAUAAGCCUUAUCCACAUUCCAAAGUAGUGAAAAUAUUAAAACUUUACAUAUUACAUCCGUAGAAUCAACUAAUUCAUAUAAAGGGUAUAGUGAGUGAAUGAAUGAAUAGUACUAACUGAGUUCCAUGAUGGUAUAAGAGCUUGAAGAAGAGAACUCAGUUUCAUGAGCAUGUGUGAGCCUUGUAUCUGAAUGGAAUGAAUAGUUUGAUUGUGAUUUUAGUGUCAGAGAAGAUUGUGACUUCGAUUAUUGUUGCAGUGUUGUUGUUGCUACUUUAUUGUACUCAAGAUUCUGAAAAUCGAAUGACUGAUUCAAUAAUUUAAUAAUCUAACCUGUGAGUGAACUGUAAUUAAACCAAUUUAAUUAAAUAUAUAAUAAAAUUUUAAAUAUUUAAAUUCAACCAUUCAUAUAACAACAAACUUUAAAAUUUCACAAUCUCACGUUUAAUUUCACGAUGUUCAAUGACCAAAAAUAACAAUCUUUUAUCUUUAAAAAAAAACACUCAUCACAAGUCAUAAUAGUCGUGAAGUGGCCCAAAAUCAACCAUCACAACUAACUAAUUAACUAACUCUCAAAAUCAACAAAAUCAUAUUAAUAUCAACCAACAACAAUCAACAACAGUCAACAAUAAACAAGAGAUUAACAAAUAAAAUAAUUUUGAUCUCAUGAAAUAAAUUAAAUCAAACAAAUAAAAACAAAAAGAAAAAAUAAAACUGAAGAAGACGACGCUGAGUUACGAACAGGGAAGUGGGGGAGUGAGCAGCGCCAGCAAGAGACGGCAGCGUCAACAAAGCCGGCGACGACAGGCAACGCGGGUGAGAAGAGCGACGAUGCCAAGAAUAAAGGCUGCAAAAGCGCCGGCGACAGCAGCGGGCAAUGACAAUAGCGAAACGGCGGCAAAGCGGGCGACAAGAGCAACGUGGCCAAGGACAAAGGCUGCACCAACCGACCAACACCAGCGACGGUGACCUUCUGAACUGGCCAACGGAGCCAAUCGGGCCUGCCUCCUCCUGCUGCCUCUAGGGGUAUAGCCGGCGGCUACAGCUCCUUAGGUGGGUGGGUUUUGGGAUUUUUAAUUUUGGGCGUAACCUAAGUGAAUGAAUCUGAACCAAGGUUCUAAAAACCGGACUGGCCAUCAAACCGUUUUAGUUACUAGUUCACUAGUUCAUUGGUACAACCGGUUCAACCGUCGUUCAACCGGAAAAACCGUUUUAUUAUAAACACCUGAUUCUAUAAAAAUUUAAUGAAUAAAGCAACUGGUUCUAAACACUCUUCUACUGCAUUUUUUUUUACUUCAAAAGGGGAUCAUAAACAACUAGUUCUAUGAAUAAACAAACUACAAUGAUAUGCAAUGCCAAAAAUAGGCCAAUGAUGAAAUAAUAAAGGGUUUCUCUCUUCAAUUCUAUGUUCAUCAAUAUCCAGAAUUUCCUUCUUAAUAUACCUCAGAAUUUCCUACAAAAUGAAAAUUGAACACAAUACACAGCUUUAAAACAAAAACAAAACAACACUCAGAAAUCAAUCACCUCUUCCAAACACAGCCAAAACAGAACAACAUUCAGAGUAUGAGCAUUGACCACAAAAAAUUGAUUUCUAAAACAAAACAAAAACAGCAGAACAACAUUCAGAGUUUGAGCAUUGAUCACAAAAUAUUGAUUUAUGAAACAAAACAAAAACAGAAGAACAACAUUCAGAGUUUGAGCAUUGAUAACAAAAAAUUGAUUUCUGAAACAAAACAAACACAGCAAAACCAGCAGAACAGCAUUUAGAGUUUGAGCAUUGAUCACAAAAAAUUAAUUUCUGAAACAAAACAAACAAUCAACAAAACAAUGAAAACAUGAAGCAUAUAAUAAAUCAAUGAUCACCAAUAUCCAGCAAGAAUCUCAAAAACAACAAUAAAUACACAACAAUAAUUUAGCAAAUAAACAAGAACAAGACCUAAAUAAAAAAUCCAACAAAUUAAAUCGCAGAAACCUAACAAUUUAGCAAAUUAAAACAACAGCAGCUCAAAAACUUACAAGAAGAACACUAAUGCAAGUGGAAUCAUCAUGCUAAUAUGUUUUCUACAAAGAUGCUAUUUGUGCAUCUAAAAUUUCCUAAUUACUAAGAUCCAAUUAUUCUAAUUUCACAUGCAAUCAACUUACUAAGUUUCUAAAAGCUAGAAAUGAUAAAACCAACCCGAAAUAUGGUUAAAGCAUUUCAUCAAACAUGUUGAGUGCAGUAAACUUAAAACGAAAUAAUUACUUAUUGUAAAACUUAAACUUUAAUUCAGUCUAUGAAAAAAAUCCAAACCACUACUAAAUCAAAUAAUUACUUAUUGUAAUAGAACUAAGAAGUUGCAGAGUUUGAAGCAGAGUAUUGGUCUUGUGUAAGUGUAUUAUCUGGUGGCUGGGUUUAGGGAACUCACGGCGGCGACAAAAGAGAGCAGUUCGACGGCUAGGUGGAGCGCGCGGGUUGGUCGCAGAGUUUGAAGCAGAGCAACGUGGCUUCCAGACGAACGCGAAUGCGAACCCGAAUGGUGAACGGCGAGUGAACGCGAACGGUGAACGCCGAGCAAACUUGAACAGCGAAGAACGCGAACGAAGACGACGGCUGAACGAAGACGCGAACGUGAACGGCAAACAAACGGCGGCGGAAGCGCCUGAACAGACAAAGACGACGGACGCCGAGCUCGAGGAAGCAGCUGCGAUCGGUAACAGCGAACAGGGGUUGAAGACUUGGAGCACGAGGGAAGCUAGAUGGACGGACGGCGGCAGUAUGCCACUCCUUGCGGCGGUGGUGUAGGCUUACAGUGCUAGGGUUUUUUUGGCUAAGUUUCUGUGUAUGAAAGAAAGGGAGGGAGAAAGGGAGAAAGAAACGAAGGAGCUUCAGAACCAAGAUGAAAGUAAGCCAAAUUUGCCAAAAACGACGCCGUUCUUUUAAAUCGGUCGGUUCUCUGUCCGGUUCAACCGGCAGGAAACCGGCCGGUUCGGCAGUUCUUCUUCGAUUUUAAGUAUAGUUGUCAGAAUCGAACCGGUGAUCGAACUGGUAAGGUUACUGGGUUACUGAAUCAUUGGUUCAACCGGUGGGUCACUAGUCGAACCGGUUUACUCGGUAUAAUUAAAUAAUUAUAUAAAAUUUAAUUAUUUUUUUAUCAUUAGUAUUUUUAUUUUUGUUUUUAUAAAAAUAAUUAUCAUUUUUAAAUUUUAAUGCUUUAUUAAUUAGUUUAUAUUCAUUUUAUUAUUAUAUUAUUAUAGGUGAAAAGUCACAUAAAAUUAUUUUUUUGUGAAGUUGAUAUUUAAGAAUCGUUAGAUGAUUUGACUAGUUUAACUAAAUAUCAUCUAGCAAUUUUUAACUAUCAACUUCAUAUGAAGACAAAAAAUAAAAUAAUAUAUUAAAAAAUNNNNNNNNNNNNNNNNNNNNNNNNNNNNNNNNNNNNNNNNNNNNNNNNNNNNNNNNNNNNNNNNNNNNNNNNNNNNNNNNNNNNNNNNNNNNNNNNNNNNNNNNNNNNNNNNNNNNNNNNNNNNNNNNNNNNNNNNNNNNNNNNNNNNNNNNNNNNNNNNNNNNNNNNNNNNNNNNNNNNNNNNNNNNNNNNNNNNNNNNNNNNNNNNNNNNNNNNNNNNNNNNNNNNNNNNNNNNNNNNNNNNNNNNNNNNNNNNNNNNNNNNNNNNNNNNNNNNNNNNNNNNNNNNNNNNNNNNNNNNNNNNNNNNNNNNNNNNNNNNNNNNNNNNNNNNNNNNNNNNNNNNNNNNNNNNNNNNNNNNNNNNNNNNNNNNNNNNNNNNNNNNNNNNNNNNNNNNNNNNNNNNNNNNNNNNNNNNNNNNNNNNNNNNNNNNNNNNNNNNNNNNNNNNNNNNNNNNNNNNNNNNNNNNNNNNNNNNNNNNNNNNNNNNNNNNNNNNNNNNNNNNNNNNNNNNNNNNNNNNNNNNNNNNNNNNNNNNNNNNNNNNNNNNNNNNNNNNNNNNNNNNNNNNNNNNNNNNNNNNNNNNNNNNNNNNNNNNNNNNNNNNNNNNNNNNNNNNNNNNNNNNNNNNNNNNNNNNNNNNNNNNNNNNNNNNNNNNNNNNNNNNNNNNNNNNNNNNNNNNNNNNNNNNNNNNNNNNNNNNNNNNNNNNNNNNNNNNNNNNNNNNNNNNNNNNNNNNNNNNNNNNNNNNNNNNNNNNNNNNNNNNNNNNNNNNNNNNNNNNNNNNNNNNNNNNNNNNNNNNNNNNNNNNNNNNNNNNNNNNNNNNNNNNNNNNNNNNNNNNNNNNNNNNNNNNNNNNNNNNNNNNNNNNNNNNNNNNNNNNNNNNNNNNNNNNNNNNNNNNNNNNNNNNNNNNNNNNNNNNNNNNNNNNNNNNNNNNNNNNNNNNNNNNNNNNNNNNNNNNNNNNNNNNNNNNNNNNNNNNNNNNNNNNNNNNNNNNNNNNNNNNNNNNNNNNNNNNNNNNNNNNNNNNNNNNNNNNNNNNNNNNNNNNNNNNNNNNNNNNNNNNNNNNNNNNNNNNNNNNNNNNNNNNNNNNNNNNNNNNNNNNNNNNNNNNNNNNNNNNNNNNNNNNNNNNNNNNNNNNNNNNNNNNNNNNNNNNNNNNNNNNNNNNNNNNNNNNNNNNNNNNNNNNNNNNNNNNNNNNNNNNNNNNNNNNNNNNNNNNNNNNNNNNNNNNNNNNNNNNNNNNNNNNNNNNNNNNNNNNNNNNNNNNNNNNNNNNNNNNNNNNNNNNNNNNNNNNNNNNNNNNNNNNNNNNNNNNNNNNNNNNNNNNNNNNNNNNNNNNNNNNNNNNNNNNNNNNNNNNNNNNNNNNNNNNNNNNNNNNNNNNNNNNNNNNNNNNNNNNNNNNNNNNNNNNNNNNNNNNNNNNNNNNNNNNNNNNNNNNNNNNNNNNNNNNNNNNNNNNNNNNNNNNNNNNNNNNNNNNNNNNNNNNNNNNNNNNNNNNNNNNNNNNNNNNNNNNNNNNNNNNNNNNNNNNNNNNNNNNNNNNNNNNNNNNNNNNNNNNNNNNNNNNNNNNNNNNNNNNNNNNNNNNNNNNNNNNNNNNNNNNNNNNNNNNNNNNNNNNNNNNNNNNNNNNNNNNNNNNNNNNNNNNNNNNNNNNNNNNNNNNNNNNNNNNNNNNNNNNNNNNNNNNNNNNNNNNNNNNNNNNNNNNNNNNNNNNNNNNNNNNNNNNNNNNNNNNNNNNNNNNNNNNNNNNNNNNNNNNNNNNNNNNNNNNNNNNNNNNNNNNNNNNNNNNNNNNNNNNNNNNNNNNNNNNNNNNNNNNNNNNNNNNNNNNNNNNNNNNNNNNNNNNNNNNNNNNNNNNNNNNNNNNNNNNNNNNNNNNNNNNNNNNNNNNNNNNNNNNNNNNNNNNNNNNNNNNNNNNNNNNNNNNNNNNNNNNNNNNNNNNNNNNNNNNNNNNNNNNNNNNNNNNNNNNNNNNNNNNNNNNNNNNNNNNNNNNNNNNNNNNNNNNNNNNNNNNNNNNNNNNNNNNNNNNNNNNNNNNNNNNNNNNNUCACAUAAAAUUAUUUUUUUGUGAAGUUGAUAUUUAAGAAUCGUUAGAUGAUUUGACUAGUUUAACUAAAUAUCAUCUAGCAAUUUUCAACUAUUAACUUCAUAUGAAGACAAAAAAUAAAAUAAUAUAUUAAAAAAAUAAUAUUAAUAGAUAUCAUAUAAUCAUGAAAAGAAAAAUUAAAUUGUGAUUAAUUAAAUUUUUUGUUUAUCUUUUUAAUUUGUAUAUAUUUAAUAAAAUUUAUAGUUAAAUAAAAUGUAAUUGAUUUAAAAAUCAGAGACUUUGAAAUUAAAAUAAAUUGAAUAUAAGUGAAAAGAAAGGGAAUACUAUAUGUAUUAUAAUUUGUAUACUAAUUGAUGAGAAUCACUCCAGCUUGGUGGUAGAAGCAAUAAUGCUUCCCCUGGAGGCUGGAGGCAGGGGUUCGAAUUUUUUGUCCAUUGUACGUUGACCGAGCGACUCGGACCGGUCCGGUUUUUGCCGGUUUUUACCGGUUCACAUCGGGUUAGACCGGUUCGUACCGAUUCUCAACCUUAAAUGGUCGCAAGCUUGGACCGGACCGGCAUUGGGUUCGGUUUACCGGUUUUCCAGUUGAACCGACCGGUCCGAUUCUGACAACUAUGGUUUCAAGGGACAAAUCAUAUCGUAAUUGCUGUCAAUCUACCGUUAGACCAGUCAAACCGGUCCGUUCAGCUCGAUUUUCAGAACAUUGAUCUAAACUCUUCAACUCAAUUUGUUCAUGACAAAAAAAAGGCACAUUUGUUUUUAUUAAUCUAAAGUCACGUCGUUUAAGGGAGAUUUUCUUUAAAAAAAAAAAAAGAAAGUUUAGGGACCAUCACUUUUAUUAAAUUUUUGUCAGCACUUAAAUAUCAAAAGGAAAUUGAGUAAUCCUAUACCACUAGAUGUAGGCCCAGUUUGGGUAAACAACUUAAUUAAGUUUCUUUUGAAAAAAUAACUUAAACAAUAAAUGACUAUAUUAAAAGUAGCUUAUAAAUAAGUUAUUUUGUGUUUGGAUUUUUAGUUCUAAAAGUACUUAUUUUAUAAAAAUAUGGUAAAAAGUAGUAGUAUUAUGAGAGAAGUCAUUUUUUUAACUUCUCUAUAAACUCCUAAAUAGCUUCUUAGAAAGCCGCAAUUUGGUUUUGAAAAUUGCACCAGGUAUUAAUACUACUACUUUUCAUAAGUCAAAAGCUCAAAAAAGUUACUUUUGAAACUUCCCAAACGAGCCCGUAAUCUCACACCAUUAAAAACCUCAUUGAUGGCUACCAAUCACAAAAUCUGCUGGCCCUAGCACUCCUAAAAAAAAGGGGGAUAAAAUAUACUUUUUGUUCCUGAAGUUUAGCAAAAGUUUUAAAAAUACUUCUAAGUUUUAUUUUGUUUCAAUUUUGUCCCAGAAGUUUUCAAUUUGCAUCAAAUAUACCCUCGACAGCUAAAUUUUCUAAAUAUUUAAGACCAAUCUAACAAUAAUGUAUGAAAAUUAUGCUUGAUUUGCUUGUGUUGAGGGUUAUUUUUAUGAAAUUGUUGUUGAAUUGGUCUUAAAUAUUUUAAAAAAUUAACUAUCACCGUAUAUUUGAUGUAAAUUGAAAACUUUUAGGACAAAAUUGAAAUAAAAUAAAACUUAGGGAUAUUUUUAAAACUUUUGUCAAACUUUAGGGAUAAAAAAUAUAAUUUACCCAAAAAAAUGCCAACCUGGGAGAUCUGCUAUUGGUUCAGCCGAUUCAUCGAUUAACGGUCAAUUCAAGCAGUUUUUUUGGUAGUUUAUUACAAAUUGGAUUUUUAAUAAAACCAAGACAGUGAGCAGAAGAAAAUGUUUUUGGUUAACUAAAUCAAGGGGAUGGAUUCGGCGAGCCAGACGUCUUUGGCUAACCGGUGCGCAUUUUAGUGGAGAGCUAUUAGAUCUGUUUUAUUUUUUAAUUCAACGAUAGAAAUUAUCCUGAAACUUGUUUCUUUUUAUUGGCUAGUGAAUACUUUUUGUAGGUUUUGUGUCAGAAGAGUCACUUUAGAAAAUUAAAUUUCUUGGUGGUUAUUGUGGUUAGAUCUAAAAUCUAUCUGGAUUAAUAUAGCAAAAAUUUAUGAAUUUGUAUGUUAAAAUCAAUUAGAGUUAAGUAUUCUAUUUUAUGUUAAACUAAAUGACGAUGAAGUUGGGCUGUUCUAUUCCGGGUGGGGAUGAUUGAUUUCUUCUAAAUUGGCCACUGUAUCAGUGAAAUGGAAACUCUGACUAGGACUGCAACGAAGGGCGACGUUGAAGCCAGUUACGUGUGUGCGAUGCUGCUACUGUGUAAUAAGGAAGAAGAAAAGCACAGACGAAGGGGAGUUGAAUUUUUUGAAAUUGUACGUGCUUCUGGGGUAGUCGAAAGGUGCGGAGAGAUCUUUAGGGAGAUAUUCGAGCAGCGGUGGGUGGAGGUAAAAUCGUCAAAUCCUGGACAGCCCGUGAUUUGUCGGUCCACCGGUUGCCCUACCCGCGACACCAUGGGUGUUGUCGAAGAUGUGUCUCGUAUCUUAUGUGUGCACUGCUUGGCCGAUUACAAGGUGUGGGUGUUCUUGGAAAUGUUUAGAUUUCAAUGAAAAUUGUUAUUUAGUGAUAUCUAUUGUUCAACCUUGUUGUUUAUGCUUCUCGUAUCUGAUAGUACAAUAGCUAGUAUUGUCUCCUAUUUUGUAAAGAAUUUACGAAUGAUUAUCCACAUAUGGAUUAUAUUUUUAUUAUGUUUUUGUUUUUGUGCAUGAAAAAAUUUAAGUUUGAUCUAAUAUGAAAGAUUUGUUGGAUGAUGAUAUAACUUAUGUAAAUAAUUAUAAAUAAAAUAUUACAACCAGACAGAAAUUUAGGUUCAGGAGGAGGGGAGCACUUGUCCUCACUAAAUUAUAUUUUGAAAAGGAAAAUUUUUUUUAAUAAUUUUUUAAUUAAUAAUAUCGAUUAAUUAUCUGAUCUUAUCCAGAAGAAUCGAUAAAGAAACGUAUGAGGUACUGAAUCCUAAUUAAUGCCAGUAUAUUAAAAUUAAAAAGGAUAUAAUAGGAACAAAUAGAACGCAUCGUGGGUGCCUGGGUGGUCGUCUCUUCUCUUGAUAUUCUCCAAUAAUCCCCCCAAAGUUCUUGCAAAUGGCUGAAACAUCUAAGAAGAAUAGAAAGAAAAAGAACGUAUCUGUUGAGUACAAAUGUCCACUCAAUCUUCUUCCUCGUGACAUAUGGGUGAGGAUUCUUACGAAGAUUGCAUCAAAUUCGAUUCAGGAUCUUUUCACCAUGCAGGUGACUUACAAGGUGUUUCUGGAUGUAGCGAGGUCGGAUGCUGUAUACAAGCAUGUGACGAUGUGGUAUAUACCGUUAGUGUCCUUUUUAUUUUACUUUGACCGACCUGAAAGGAGGUUCGUUGAUCGCUGCGUGGAAGCAGGAAAUCCGGAUACUAUACUCUGCCAUGAGAUGACGGAGUAUUUCUGGAUUACCCAUCAUGUCCUUGGAAUGGAUCUGCUGACUAGGGCUGCAACGGAGGAUAACGUUGAAGUCGGUUACUUGUGUGCCAUGCUGCUAUAGUAUAAUCACGAAGACGAAGAGAACAGGAAACGGGGUGUUGAAUUUUUUGAAGUUAUACGUACUUCUGGUGAGGUCGAAAGGUGCAAGGUCUUCACAGAAAUUUUCGAGGAGCGGUGGGUGGAUGAUAAACCUUCAGAUCCUAGAUAGUCCGUGACUUAUCGGUCCUCCUGUUGCCCUACCUGCGGCACCAUGGGUGAUGUCCAAGAUGUGUCUGGUGUCUUGUGUAUGCACUGCUUGGCUGAUUACAAGGUGAGGAUCUUCUUGAAAAUAUUUACAUUUUAAUGGACAUUGCUGUUUACCAAUUUCUAUAAUCUGCCAGUGUGUUGUUGGGGGGUUAUGCUUAUGUUAUCUGCUAAUACAGUAGCUAGCAAUGUAUUCUAUUUUGUUAUGAAUGAUUAUCCUUCCUUAACAUGUGGACUAUGUUUUGAUUGUGUUUCUACUUUUGUGUGUGGAAAAAUCUCAUUUUGAUCCAGUAAAUUGAAAUAAUUAAAAUACAUACUUGUUCAUACCUGUAACAUAUAAGUUAAAAAUGAUUUAUAAAAAAAUGUUUAGACAACAAAAAUAUUGUUGACCUUUUUUUUUUUCAAAAAACGCAUAUUGAUACUUUUUUUUCUUACUUUUACUUUUUAGCAUCGACAUAAAAAUAUAUCAUUAAUUUUUUGUUGACAAAAUGUUAAAUGCAGGUGAAUAUGUAAUUUCCAUUAACUUAGAAAAUAAUUUUUUUAAAUAUGGCUGUUACCGAAAUAAAUUAGUAGAUGAGUAAUAUGAAUCAUGCAUUAGUCAUUGGAAAAGCACCAACUAUUUUAGUUAAUUUAGUGAACUUUUGACGAUAAACUUGUUUUUGUUUUUUUUAGUUUAAUUGUAUAGAAAGUAUUGGGAAAAAAAGCAUACAAUGGUUCGGUUUGCGUUUUGAAUAGUUCAUAAAAAAGUUAACGUUAGAUUUUUCAUAGUCAAUUGAAAUAAAUCUUUUAUAAUUUAGUUUUAAAUUUAUAAAUAUUUAUGUCAUAAUUUAAAAUUUCUUUGUUCAAAGUAUAUCAAAUUUCGAUAAUAGCAUAGUGCAAGCAAUAAAUGCCUAUCCUAAGCCUAAUUAUGCCUUCAUGUAGGAUGCGUGCUUGUAGGUGGGAUUUUAGAUUAAUUUUUUCAUUAUCGAUGUGAUUGUAAUUACUGGUUGAAUAGACCAUAGAGUGUUAAUUUAAUGUUAAUAGAUCUUUUUAUGCUUCAUAUUGUGAGAAUUGUGUAAUAAUCUAGGAUGUCACAGUAAUAUCAGAUAGAACUGGUAACUUGGUAAGGUAAUGGGCAGUGACGAAAAAGGAUAAUUUAACCAGUUAGAACAAUAAUUUAUUUUAUAAAAAAGAUUUAAUAAGAAAUAAAAAAACACAUGAAUUAUGAUAAAAAAAAAUAUGUUAGUAUUAACAACUAUCAUAUGUAUGUUUGCUAUUGAUAUAUUAACAUUUCUAUUACGCGAUGCACAAAAUGUUUUUCAAACGAAAAUUAUGUUCUGCUCAAAGUACGUGUUUUAUGUAUGUUUAGAAAUAUAUAACAUAUUUUAUGCAAAUGAAAAUACUGUACCAUAAUUUGUGUUUACCUAGUAGUGUUUAAGUGGAAAAAAGUAGCAAACAUUGUAUGCAUAGCUUACAUAGUGUUUGAACGAAGAAAAACAGCAAACAUUGCAUGCAUGACUUUCGUCAACCAUUUAAAUUCAGCCGUUGAUCAACGUUUUUGGGAAUUUAUUAUUAUUUAAUGAAUUUGAAUAACCACUUCGGUUGAUAUUAAAUAUACUGAAACUUAAUAAUCCAUUUCAUUUGACUAUUAAACAACAUAACAAUCAUUUAAUGAAAUCUAAAAAGAGAAAAGUAGUUAAUUGGCAUAAAACUUAUCUAAUGAUAUAUAAAAUUUCAGAAUAUAUAUAUUGGAAAUAUACGAGUUAUCUAGCUUAACUGAAAUGAAAGGUGGACCUAACCCUAAGGAGAUUGACAAAUAGUAUCAACUCAUAGUUGGCGCGACAAUAGAUGCCUGGAACGUGACUAGCAUCUCCAGCACCGUCAUCUUUGUGCCACCCUCUUCCAUGGCGUGUAGAUAGCACCCAUGUUGCCAAGGCUUAGGCAUGUAUUUGAAACACAAACUUGAUUCUCUCCAUUUAGUAUAAGCACAUUACAUUUAGUUAGCCACGACCAUGUGAUAACUUGUCUGAAUCCCACUUUGCAGAUUGUUAGUGCACCAUACGCCUCAAGCGCACAAAAUGUUUCGAUUCCCUAGUUUUUUGCCUUGUCGUCAUCGUUACGAAGCAUCAGCAUCAUUGACAGUGGGUACUGGGUGGCCACAUGGUCAUGGAUUGCAGUAGUGUGCAGCAUUUCCAUCCCCACAUCAUGGUGUUGUCAAAUGAAGAGCUCUCGCACACCGGCCCGAAAUAGAAGGUCCGGGUGUCCCUUCUGCAUGCACCGUUGAAAGAAUCUUUCUGCCUCUCGGUCCCGACAAUCCCAAGCCAACCGAAUUUGCUGUAUAUAUAGAAUCGAGGCAUAUUGAUACACAAUAUCCUCCUCCUCUGUAUUGCGUGCAACAGUACACAACAUUUUGAGACUACACAAGUCCUAGACGGAGUUUGCUGCGGCUUUCACGACAAUUAGCACUUAAACAUCAUAGGGAAGGUAGAUGGUGUCUGUUGAACGCUUCAUUAUCACUUUCCAGAUGAUGAAUGUCUGGAAGGGGAAAAUAGGUAUAAUGAGGUGAAUACCUAAGGAACCAAUUAGUACCGCCAAGUGUUUUUGUUUAUGGUAUUUUUAUAAGCACUCGGCGUCGUAUCGGAAGGUGUCCCAUUGGUUCUGCACCAUCACGUCCUCACUUCCCCUCGUACGUGGCUUCUUUAGCAAGCAUGCCUCGCUGUAGUCUUUUUUUUUAAUGUGAAUUCUUAUUAAUAUUAUAUAUNNNNNAUAGUUGGUAUCACUAAAAGUAAUAUGCUUUUGCAGUUAAAGAAAGCAGUCUAGUGAGCUAACUAUAACAUAAGCCAAUUCAACCCAAUUAUUUGUAUUUUUAGUUUUGAAAUUCGAAAAAUUAUGAGAAAAUUCUACCCAAUCCUUUCUCAAAUAAAGGGUAAGUUACACUCUAUGAUAAAUCUAAGAUUGGAUAAAAUGAAUUAUUUAUCAAGAUGAUUAAUAUUAACUUAAGUUUUGACAAUCAAACUACGUAACUCUAGUAAAACUACUUGAACUUCAUACCUACAAAAUCAUAUAAUUUUUAUAUUAAUUUCAUUAACAACUGUGAGAUUCACCCCUUACUCAAUUAACGUCUCUUUACUUUUUUUAUUUUGAAUUUGUGAUUUAGCUUUUUGGUUUCUCUUUUCAUUUGUUCAUUUUAGUUUUCUUUUGUUAUUUUUGUAUUGUUAGAUUUAAUUAUUAUAAGUAUGAAUUUAAAAAAAAAAAGUAUUUUGGUUAUUUUUUGUUUUUAUAAUUGGGAUGUGGUUAUUAAUAGGACCCGGCUAAAAGCAUUUUUUAUAUCUACAGGAUCAAGAGCCCCAGGAUCAAAUCAUAUGCGACCAAAAAUAAUAAAUUAGAGAACAUAUUAUUAAUUUACUAUAAAUAACAUAACAUUCAUGUUUUUUUUUGUUACCACGGUAUCCCUCAACCCGAUAGGUCAAGGACUAAUUCCAUGCGAAUUUGAGCUCCGUUUAAGGGUCAGCCGCUGACCAAUGGGUUGCUGCAUGCACAAGGCGGAUUCGAACUCCCGACACUUGCUUAAGUGAACAAGUGAGCUGACCACUCGACCAACCCAAGUUGGUUACAUAACAUUCAUGUUACUAAAUUUAAAAAAAGGUAAAAAAAAUUCCAAUAGCAUAAAACUUGUCUGUUCAUAUACCAGUUCAAAAUAUACAUUAAAAAUAUAGCUGAUUCAAGUGAUAUGCGAACCCAACUAAAGGGAAGUUGACAAAUAGUAUCAACUCGUAGUCGGCACGACAGUGAAUGCAGGGGAUAUGACUAGCACCUCUGUAAUCGUAGUUGCAGUCCCACUCAGCUCAUCGUUGGUGAUGGUUAUAGAGAAGACCCAUGUGGCCCCGAGUCGGGCACGUCGUCGAAUCACACACCAAAUGCUCUCCUAUUUCAGGCAGUUGGACUUCAAAGUGCCACGAAACUGAGACAACUUGACAGCACAUCACUUUACACUUGUGAGUAUACCGGACUGAUGAGAGAAUUUAUGCCGGUCUAGAAUUUCUCUUAGUACAAAGAAUUACUUCGUUGCAAGCAUAGUCUAGAUCAACAAUGAAUUCUCCAUCAAAAUUUAGUUUGGUUGUCACAAAUGCAAACCCAAUAAAAAUAAUCGAGAGUAUUACUCCCGAGUUGUUCUCUCUAGGAAUUGCAAUUGAAUGCUCAAGUAUUGGUUAUGAGGUUCAAGGGGGGUUUGCGGAUAAAGAAGCAAGAAAUUAAAUGACAAGAAAUUUAAAUCAAACAACUAAGGAUAACAAUUACUAAAGUGGCACUUCAUGGCAAGGAUUGAGAAUCAAGAUUUUCUAUCCUAGUUAUUAAUCAUAACACAAUAAUUACCAAGAGCUAAUCCUAUUUUGUUAUCUCCAACAUCGGGAGAAAGUUAAAGAUGCUUAAAAUUAAUCUCAAUCCAUAAGUCCUAAUCAACUUACUAAUUGAAUUAGUAAGAGAUUAGCGUCAAUAGAAACAAUAUUAAUUAACAACUCUAGAUCACCAACAUAAGUUGGAUAUUAAUGACUUAAGAUUAUCUAAUUUUUCUUUCCAAGCCAAGAAUGCUCAAAACUACUCUAUAACUAAGCCAAGCAUUUUAUCAAACACUUUGUGUGCAUAAAAAGAAAACAUAUUAAAAUAGCAAGAAAUAAUAAAAUCUAAAGCUAUCAAUUGUAAGAAAAUAAUAAUAACAAUCUAAACAAAUAUUAAGAAAUAUGAAAACAUCAAAUUGCAUUAAAUAAAAUAAAAAUUAACAAGAGUUCAUCAACAUAAAAAGUGGCACAAAUGAGAAAUUAACAAGAGAAACUAAGAGAAUUAAGACAAUUAAACAAGGAAAUAUAAAUGGAUCUACAUUAAAACAAGAAUUAAAGAAUAAAAUUAAACUAAAAACUCUAAUUUUAGAGAAAAGAGGGAGCUUCUCUCUCUAGAAAACUACCUAAAACAUGGUUCCUAAGCUACCCUAAUUGCUCCCCCUUGAUCCUUCUUGAAUUUGGCUUCAAAUAGCUUUAGAAAUUAGUUGGAUUGGGUUUUGGCAGGUCCAAAAAUUGGCCCCAGCAUCUUCUCAUUAAUGAGUCAUGUGCAUACAUUCAUGCGUACGCAUGCAUUCUUGUGCGUACGCAUGACUGUGAAGAUUGUAAUUGUGUGUACGCAUGUAUUUUGGUGCGUACGCAUGGCGUUGAAAAUAUUCCAAACUUCAUUUCUUCAUGAGUUCUUCACUUUUGCAUGCUUUCUCCUCACUCCUUCAAUCCAUACUUGCCUUGUAAACCUGAAAUCACUUUAUCAAACACAUCAAGGCAUCGAAUAGAAUUAAAGUGAAUUAAAAUUAGUAAAUUAAUGGCCUAAAAAGCAUGUUUUCACUCUUAAGCACAAUUUAGAAAGAAUUCAAAAAACUAUACUAUUUUAGUGAAUAAGUGUAGGAAAAGUUGAUAAAACCUACUCAUUUAAACACAAGAUAAACCCUAAAAUUGGAGUUUAUCACAGACACCUCAAGCGCAUGAAAUAUUUCGAUCCCAUUCUUUUUCGCCCUCUUGUCGUCCUUACGAAGGAGCAACAUCAUUGACAGUGCGUACUUGGUAGGGUCAUGACCCUUAAUUGCGGCAUUGUGCAGCAUUUGCAUCCCAACGUCAUGGUGACAUUAAAUGAAGAGCUCCUGUAUCCCGUCCCAAAAUAGAAGCUCCAAGUGGCCACUCUCCCUGCACCGAUGAAAGAAUCUCAUUGCGCCCAGAUCGCGGUACCAACACUACCUAAUGGCAUGCGGCUCUGGUAUAAAAGCACUGGUAUGCACAGUAUCCUCACCUUUUACCUUGCGCGUAGUGAUAAACCACAAUUUUAUGGUUUAUCUUGUAUUGAAUUCAGUAGAUUUUAUCAACUUUUUUCACAUUUAUUCACUAAAAUAGUAUAGUUUUAUAAAUUCUCCCUAAAUUGUGCUUAAGAGUAAAAACAUGCUUUUUAGGCCCUUAAAUUGCUAAAUUUAAUCUACUUUAAUUUCAUUCGAUGCGUUGAUAUGUUUGUUGAGUGAUUUUAGGUUUAGAAGGUAAAGAUUGGAUUGAAAGAAUGAAGAAAAAGCAUGCAAAAGUGGAGAAAGCAUGAAGGAAUGAAGUUUUGGAAAUCUGCCAUGUGAGGCAUACACGUGACCGGAAAUUCGCCAAGCGACGCGUGCGCGUGACAAGCAGCACGUGACCUGUAAGAACCACAACUAAUCAACUCGUUAGUUAAGUGAUUAUAUUGCCCAGAAUAGGAUCCGAAAAGUUAGAGUGAGAAUUUGAGGAUUUAAAUGCCAUUUUUGGACUCAGUAGGUCUUUCUGAGUCAGAAAAUGUCUUUUCUGCGAAAAACCGUGAAAAAUCACGAAUCGGAAGUUGAACCGGUUCAAGUCUGUCGGGUACUGCGUGAGAAAACUGGAAACAGUAAAAAACCUUAGAAAAAUAUUAGAAAUGGAAAACCGGGCGUUAAUUUUAAAAGUUUGGCCCGAAGUUGGACCAAACAGGCUAAAAAUACUAACGGGCUGGACCGGGCCCAAGUUGGGCCCAAGUCCAACAUAUAUAAGGGCUCAUUAAUGAACCCAUUCAUCAUUAAACACACACACACAACAGAAAAUUGAGAGAAGAGGGAGAAGGGAGAAGAAACACUAUUCACACAUCACUUCUUUCCGCGAUAUCUUGAGCUACGGUGCUCCGAUUUGUGUGCCGUCAGCGGCUACGCAAAGCUCUCGCCGAGCCCGUCAAUUCUAUCUAAAUCUUGUGGUAAGUUUUUCGAAAUUAUUCUUCCCUUCUUCUGCCUUAAGAUUUCGAGUUUGGUGAGUGAUGAUCUUGAGAAAACCUUGUGUUUUGGGUCUUUAGGUUCACUCUAAUCCUUGCUUAGCUUUGGCUUUUGGCUACCAAAACUGUUGGUCAAGGUAAGAGGCUUUGAACUCUUGAGAAAUUUUGAUUUAUGUUGAGCCCUAGGUUGAUUUGUGAUGGUUUAUGCCUAUAUAGUUUGAUUAUUGUGAGUUUGGAGCUUGUUGGUGAAUGUUAAAAGCUUGGAUUGUAUUGGAAAGCUUGUUGGUGCUCAUUGUGGGUUAAGGACAUAUUGGGAAUCGGCCAAGAUAUGGUUUCAGUUUCCUCUAUGUAGUAUUUAAUAUUCAUGAACCCUUAGGCUAGUGACCCAUAGGAUAAGUUUGGAUUUAUGUGGUUGUUGAUUAUGGUUGGUUGAUGUUGUAUGUUGAAAUGAUAUUGCUAUGUUAAGAAUUAAUGAUGUUGAGAUAUGAUGCUUGAUGAUUUUGAAUGAUUGUAUAUGGUUGGAUAUGGAUUUAAAGCAUGAAUGAGGUUGAUCAUGUGAAUUGAUAGAGAUGAGGUAAUGAUUGGUGAAUGUAUUGGCAGAGGAUUGAUUUUAGAGUCAUAUAUUUGAGGUUUGAUGGUUGAGAAUGGUGAUUGGUAACCCUAUAAGGUAAUUUAUGUUAUAAAUGAGGGUAUGGUAUUGGCCUAGUUGGAUGUGGCUUGAGAAAUUGGUAAAUUUGAGUAUAUAUGAAAUUUGGGUAAAAAGGAAAUUUUGGUAAAUUUUCUUCGAUCAUAACUUUUGCCUCAAUUUUCAAAAUUGAUUGGGAUUUGUUUGAAAUUAAACCUUAUUAAAAACCCUUUAAUUUGAUAUAAAGUUUGUAAAUUUUGAAAUUUUGUAGAGGAAGUUAUGAUCAUUCAAAGUUGGUAUUAAAAAUCUGAAAUUCUACAAAGUUGUAGAAUUUUAUGAUUUCUGAUAUGUGUGCACGCACAGCCUUGUGCGCAUGCACACCCCUACGAAAAUCUUAUUCUGUGCGGACACACAGACCUGUGCGUAUGCACAAGCAGGAAAAGGCUCUCUGCUUGCAGCGUUAGCACAGCUUGUGCGCACACAUAUCAAUGAAGAAUUGCGACCUGUGCGUAUGCACGGCCCUGUGCGUACGCACGGCCCUGUGCGCACGCACAAGUUGGGAAGGGUCGUCUGUUGGGGGCGCUAGCACACCCUGUGUGAGUGAACAUACCUUACAAGUUUUGGUACAUGUGCGUAUGCACAGCCCUCUGCGUACGCACACCUUAAAAAUCUUCCUGGGCGUGCGCACACACACGCCCUGUUUUACAAAUUUAAACUUUGUUUUCAACGAUAUCACCUUCCCAACAAGGUUGUAAGCUUUUAUAACACCAUUUUAAGACUCUUGGGCCUAGUUUUGGGUAUUUAAAACAUGGGAAAGAAUUUAAGGAUUUUAGAUAAUAUUAUUUGGAAAAAUUAGAAAACGGAGGCCUAGGUUUUUGGCGUACUGAGGAUGGUUUGAUGGUAUGUGAUGAAUGGUUGAUGUAUGAAAUGAGAAUUGAUGAACUGUUGAGUUCGAAACGAAAAUGUAAAUUGACAGUGGUUGAGAUGAGUUGAUGACUCAAAUGUGUGAUGAGGAAUCACUGAUGUAUUGAAACUGUUUUCUGAAAAACCACUGAACUACUAUUUUAAAUUGGGAUUAAGAGACGCUAUGCGCACGGCAGGGACGGUGGUUGGAUCCCGCCUGUCGAGGUAGCGGCGGCAGCGUAAGGGCGGUGGUUCGUCCCGCUUGCAUUGAGAUGUGAGGCCAUGGCAAGAGUAUCCCGCUCGCAUCCCUUCGGAUCAAUAGAGCGUGCAGGCGCAAAAUCCUGGACAGUGAUCCAAGCACUAUAUCUCGGGAGUUCCCAUAUGAUGAUUCCGAAGGGCGACAUCUCCAUGGAGGUGUGUCGGGGUGGCAGUUGAACCGACAAUGUGAUAUCACAGCCAGUAGGACAUGCAUUCAUCAUGUGUAUUUUCUAUUUGUUUGUAUACUUUGCCGACUUGAAGUUGUUUGCCUAUUUGUAUAACAUGUCUAAUUGCUAUUUGAAUUAAUUGCUUUAUAUGCUUCAACUUGUGUUUUACUUGUACUGUUUAUAAUUGUGUUUUCUACUGGGAUUAAGGAGGUUCGGAAGGCGGUGGCGAUGGGAUCGCAUAGAGGAUAGGUUGGUGAAGGUUGUGGGACAGCGGUGUUUGGUUAGAAUAGAAAUCCCCUAAGAUAGAGUACCCUGUUUAUUUAUGUUAAGAUAUAUUAUUUUUAUUUGUUUAGUAUGCCUUAAAAUUGAAUCGUGUGAUGAUUAUGGAGUCUAGGAUUGCCUUUGGCAUCCUGGGGUCUUAUAUCCUACAUCACUGGGCACUGUUACCAUACUGAGAACCUCCGUUCUCAUACCAUAUUUCUGUUAUUAUUUUCAGAUGCAGGUUGCAACCUACCUUGGUGAGUUGCUUGGGUGGUGACAGAAGUGGAGGAUCCGGAUAUCUUUUUGAGUUCUUUUGAUUUAUUUUGUAUAUGUCUCUCCUUUUUUUGUAUUUUGUUUGGCCUAGAGGCUUGUAUUUGAGAGAACAAAAUUGGUAUAAGCUGUUUUUACUAUCUGGUUUCAUGUAUGGUAUGUAUAUGGCUAGUCGGCUUAAACUCCGCGAGCCGUGGCUAGUUUAUUAUGAUAUUAUAUACUUAUCUUUUGUUACCCUAUUUCUGUUUCUUGUGUUUUAAGUUAGCCGCUUUGUUAGAACGUUAUGCGCUUUUCAAAAAUCCUGUUUUUUAGUAAUAUCCUCCAUCGGCCUUCUAGAUUAUACUAUUCUUUCUAUAUAUUAUAUGUAUGAGCUUAGAACUAUCGUAAUCUCUGAUUAACCUUUGCUUUACGACGCGAGGUAAAGUUUAGGCUAAUUAGGGUGUUACAUGACCUCAUUAAUGAAACACGCUGGGGGCGAUUUUUGGGGCUGCAGAAGCCCAAUCUAACUCAUUUAUGAAGCUAUUUGAUGCGAAAUUCAAGAGAGAACAAGGGAGAGCAAUUAUGAUAGAUUAAUAUCAUGCUUUAGGUCAUAUUAUAGAGAGAGAAGCUCUCUCUUCUCUCUAGAAUCGGGGUAGAAUUAGGUUAAAUUACUCUUAGGUUUAGGUUAAUUCUUGCUUUGAUUUAGUUUCCUUGCAAUUUAUUAUUCUUACAUCUUUGCUCUUUAAGUUUUUCUUGCUAUUUCCUUUAUUUUGUUGCUUUUGUGUUUAUGAACUCUUUGUAGUUUUGAUUUCUAUUAAUGCAAUUUUGAUGUUUCUUUGUUUAUUAAUGUUUGAUUGAGUUGUUUGUUAUUAAUUUCUUGCAAUUGGUAGUUGUUAGAUUUUAUAUUUCUUGUUAUUUUACCAGUUUCGUUUACUAUAGGUUUACUGAUUCGUUUUCAAAGUUACUGCAUUAACUCAUAACGAAAUUCAGAUUCAAGGAAUUGGUUUAAUAAUCAUACUUCAAUAUUAACUUACCAAGUUUAAUUACAGGAUCCAAAUCAAAGGAACCAACAUAACCAAAAAUUUUGAGCAACUAGUCAUUUCCAAACAAUCAAAUAAUUAUCAACAAUCACAAUCACAAGCACAAUUCAACUAUAUGAGUUAUUCACACAAGAUAACAAUAAAUCAUUUGCAAUUAUUCUUUAACCUUUAUUAGCAUUUAUAGUAUAAGACUUUUAAUUUUAAAAACAUAUCCCAUACCUCAAUGUGUCAAAAUUAGAAGAAAUUCAAGAUUAGAUUGUGGCGGCAGUGGCUGGCUGUAUGAUGCGUGAGUAUUAUUAGUGUCUUUUCUAUAUGAUUUAUAUAGUGAUUCGUUGAAUUCUUGAGAGAUUUAGGUGAUUUAUCUCCUAUUAGAUGCUACUUUGAGUUGUUGUAUUUUGUUGAUUACAGGUAGUAUUCGGUGAAAUUUGGUAGAGUUCAAAAGGAAGAAAACAAGAGAAGUUUGUUGCUACCCCCUUGGUGCUAAACGCCACCUCACCAGCGUUAGAUUCGGUGAGUUGCUUUGAUGGUGACAGAGCGGAGGAUCCUCGCUAUGUUUUAAAGUCUUUUGAUUUAUUUUAAUUAGGUCUCUCACUUUUGUAUUUAUAUUUGCCUUAGAGGCUUAUUUUGAGAGAAAUAUUGUAUAAGUUGUUUUACUUUCAAAACUCUGUAUGUCUGUAUAUAGCUAGCCAGCUUAAACUCUGCGAGCGGCGGCUAGAUUCUUAUGACUAUUAUACUUUGAUAUAUCUAUAAAUAUGUCUUGAUAUCUGUAUGUAUAUCUUAUGCCUCGAUUAGUGUAACUUCGUGUGAAUGUUUUGCACUUUUGAACUCUGUUUUUUAGCUUAAUUCUUCAUCAGGCUUCUAGAAUUAUUAUUUCCUUGUGUGUGUGUGUGUGUGUGUGUGUGUGUGUGUACUAGCUUUAGAAUUGUCGUAACCUUUGAUUGAGCUUUGCUUUACGAUGCGAGGUAAGGCUUAGGGUAAUUACGAUGUUACAUAUUAAAGGCUUUAAAUUAUCUUCAAAGCAUUAGAAAAACCCAAUUAGCUCUCUGUUUUUGGUCUGAUUUAGUUUGGACAUCAAUGUAAGAAUUGAAAUUUUUUUGAGAAUUGAAAAUUACACUUUAUUGUAUUCUGUUGAAUUGGUAUUCAUCUUGUAAACCAAAUGUUGGAGUUUUAUAUUAUCUUCGGUACUGUUAGUGUUUUUAAUUUUAAAUUGUGUAAUGCAGGUACUUAAGAACGUCUUGGAAAGGAUAAUGGCAGUGAAGGAAACUCAAACUUUUCAGGUCAAUGGACUGAUGGAUGGAAUAAUGAUUCCGAUGAGGAAGAGUUCUCUACAGGGUUAGAGUCACCGUCAGGAGUGGGCAGGGAGAGUGAGGCGGCAAAGAGAGUGGAUAUAUCUGGUGCAAGGGAAGAGGGUGGCAUGGUGCUUUCAUCGGAGUCACCAAUUGGUUCAGGAAUCCAAUAAGUGAUGAUGUAGACGGUUCCAUGCUGUCAACCGCGGCUGCAGUGACUGAUGCUGAAUUUGAUGGGUAUGCAAGAUACGUAGAGUAUGCAAAGGCGACUGGAUUUGUUGUUCAAAAAGGAGAUUCCAUUAAAGAUGAUUAAGGCAAUAUUAUGAAGCAAUUUUUCUACUGCAAUCUACAAGGUUUACGAGAGAAGAAGCAUUAUGAGAGAGCGAAUAGAAAGAGAGAGCAUAAGGCAAAGACUAGGACUAACUGCAAUGCGAAGUUUGUGGUGUUCUUAGACAAACAAAGUGACAAGUGGAGGAUAAAGACAUUUGUUCAAGAUUACAAUCAUGAUUUGGCUUUGCUUGCUUUCACUAAUCUUUUGGCAGCCCAUCGCAACAUCAACGAAAAAAUAUAUGUAAGAUAUAGUCCUCUAUAUGUGACAUAAGAGACAGGAGCUCAAACUUAAGAAAUUUUAGAGUUUCUAUUAACAAAUAAUUAUUUCAAAACAUUGUUAUAUCAUAUUUAUUUUAAAAGUUAUAUAAUAAUAAUUUUAUAUUUAGGUAAUUUUUUUAAAACCAAAAUUCAUGAUUUAAAUUUAUAGGUUUGUAGAAAUGCAAUUUUCUUAAGUUUGAAUUAAAUACAAAACUUGGAUUUCAGUUUUUAUUAAUUUUUUUUAAAGUUUUUUUUAUCUUUUAUUGUAAUAUAAAUACAAAUACCAUGAUUAUGAUAAAAAUAUUUUUUAAUAUAAUUUUGCAUGAAUAUCCUGAAAAAAUAAGAGUGAUUUUUUUUUGUUUUAUAUUUUUGCAUUUUGUAUUUGUGACUACUCAUUUCUUCUUUAAUUUUAAAACCUAUGUUAUGGAAUUAACAAAUAAUAUAUAUAAACAUGGAUAUACAAAUUAAAAAACAAAGAAUUUUUAAUUAAAUAAAAAAUAAAAAAUAUCUUAAAAAAGCAUAAAAAUUGAUAAAAAUCCACGAUUAUUCAUGUAUGUAUAUUUACUUCAUGAGUCAUAAUGGUUUUGCAGAUUUUAUAUUUGUUUUUUGGGUUAACCACCAAUUAUACCCCCGGAUUUUGUAAACGCUGACAAUAAUGCCCCUCACUUUUAUUAUCGACAAAAAUAUCGUUGGAUAAUUUAAAAACGUACACCAAAUGCCCGUCCGGCAAGUGAUGCCUUUUCCGUUGACGGAAGUGUGUGAUGUGGCAAAUGGAAAAGCUUGUGUGGCAAACGAAAAGCUUACCUGGACCCGUUCCCAAAUUUCCUAAUUCAAUUACCCUAAUUCCCAAUUGCAAAAUGAGAACGUGAUGCAUCUGAAUAGCCGUUCAACUAUGGAUGCAGCAGGUAUGAUGAAGCGAAGGUCUGCAUCAAUGGUAGAAGGCGGCAACGAUAGGUGCGAAGACUCUGGUUCGAAGCAGUAUGAUGGUAUGUGUCGCUGUUCUCUUGCUGUUGUUGCUCUGAGAUCGAAGACGAAUGCUAACCCAGGGAGGUGGUUCCUUCGGUGGCCACUAUGGAAGGUAAGCAUGACUGGGUUUUGGCCUGUAAUGGGUCUUUGUAGUUAUUCCUGUUUUAAUGUGUUUUGCAUGUUAUGAUCAAUGUUCUGAAAACCGGUUCGAACUGGCCGGUCGAACCAGUCGAACCGUGAACCGGUAGUUGUAGCGGUUCGGAUAAUAAGAAAAAUCGCAGGAUUUGAAAAUCGGACUUGAACCGACGAACCGGCCGGUUACCGGUCGGUCGAACCGAACCGGGACCCGGCCGGUUUUUUAACAUUGCCUCAAUACGCUGCCGUUUUGUGCUGAGGGAACCCUAAUUCAGUUUUCUCCUUCGCAGCCUCCACUUCCUCGUUCCUCCAUCUUCUCAGUUCUCAACUCCAGCCUCCCACAGAACAGAACACCACCCAGUUACCCACGACUCCAGGAGGCCCUCAACGCACUCACCGCCGUCGCACUCACCUCAGCACACUCACCUCCGUCGCGCCUUCAGCACGGUGACGCCGUCACCAGCGUCGCGCCGUCAGCUCCCUGGCGCCGUUGGGUCCGUCGCGCCUUCCGAUACCUCGAGCAGUCAGCACCUUCCCGCCGUCAGCUCUGUCGCGCGCUCAGCUCUGUCACGCCCUCAGCCACUUCGCAUGUCACCUCCGUCGAGCUCUGCCUCUGAGAAAGCAGUAGCGAAGCGUUGAAGCGUUGAAGCGUUGUCCUUCGAGCUCUGAGAGAAAGCAACAGAUUUCCUCAUUUCCAGGUAAUUUUUAAUUUAGUUAUGAACAUGAUUUUGUGAUGCAAUCCGAUUUUUUGCACGUUAUGAUUGAUUUGUUCUUCAUGGGUUUUCAAUUUGUGUUCUUGACAGAAUAAAAACCAGGAUUGCAAAUAUUUUCAAUGGAUUGAUGAAUUGGAAGAGCAAGACAUGGUUGAAGAGGUGGAAUGUUCUUGGAACCACAAACCCAGGCUAUCUUCAGGUGGAAAACUCAAACAGAAGAGCACUAGCAAGCUAUUCGAAUCAGUGGAGUAUGAGGACAUAGACCCCAUGGUGCUACCUGUUCUUACAAAAGAAUUGAAAGAGAAAUUAAGGAGGAUUGAAAUUCUUCUAAUCAUGAUUUGCAUUGGGGUUGCAAUUGGUGUCUUCAUCAAUUUCUUUGCUCUGUUUAAGAACUGAGUUGAACUAAUGUUAAAUAGUGGAUGAAGAGUAAAUGUGAAUGAUUAGUGUGUAUUUUGAUAACUGUGAAUGUGCCAAAUUUGGUUGAAAUAGGGAAUGACAACUCUUGUAUUGUGUUUUCAUGGAAACUGAUGUGUAUUAAGAGUGUAGCAAAUUAUUCAACUAUAAAUUUGAUGAGAACCUGAUGUCUGUUGUGUUUUGUAAAGUGCAGUAAAACCAAAUAGAAUACUUGUAGUAUAAACUUGGUAAUUAACAUUUAAAUGUACUAUAUCUGAUCACAUUGACCAUAACAGGUUACAUAACGUUUAUAACAAUCCCCAAAAAGUAAAUAAACAUUCCCUGUAAUUCAAGCAUAACUUGUGAUCAAGUGACAAUGUUGCAAUGACAUAAGGGAAUUAGGUAAUCUACCACAAAAAGUACUUAACAGAGUCAAACACAACUUAGUUCAAUAUAUCUGAAAACAACUUAAACAAGUCAGCCAAAAAGCUCAUUAACACUCAAAACAAAGGAUUCCUAAAUCAGUUCUACAAUGUCAAAAGACACUAAUACAACACAUUCAUCAUGGCUUCUUCUUUUGUUUUUGUGAAAGCUUUGAAGGUGCAGGUGUAGGCAUGAAUUCCAUGAAUCUCUUUGUGGUACCCUUGCUUGCUACACUCAUUGUUUGGUGAGAAACCAAUGAGGGAGCACUGGAGCUAGAAUUUGGCACAUGCACUUGGGCUGAAGUAUUGGGCUUCACAUGAAUAUUGGGCCUUCCAGCCACAUUGGGCCUGACCUGUGGUGGUCUAAAAGGUACAUUGGGCCUCACUGAGGUAGCCCUUGGAGUGGGAGCAGCAGCCACACUGGACCUGACCUGUGGUGGCCUAAUUGGAUCAUGUGCUAGUGCAAUAGUGGAUGGUGGUCUCAUAAUGGGGAUCUUUGCCCUAGCACUAGAUGCACCCCUCCUCACAAGUCUUGGAGCAGCAGCUACAGCACCAGCAACUUUUGGUGGAGCUGACUUGUUGAUAGUGGUGGUUGAAGCAGAUGCUGCUGCAGGAUCUGAUUCCAACCCUUGGGUUUGCUACAAAUUCAACACAAAUUCCAUAAGUCUGUGUAUGUUGCAGAAAAAACAAGUACAAAGGUGUUAACAUUGAAGCUAAUCUCAUUAUCAGUUUGAGAUUGGGGGUGCCCUUGUGUAACUUGUUGUUCAUCAGCUGCCUCAAGAGUCUCCUCAUAGUACACUGAUCCGCUUGAUAUAUGCCAUUGCAUUCUUGAAUUCCAAAUCUGUCAUUGCCUGAGCACAUUGCCACAGAGCUCCUCUUAACUCUUUAUCCUUCCAUCUCUUGUUCAAGUUCUGCCACAUGUGCAUCACACAAAAUCUAUGUGAAAUUUUUGGCAUGACUUCUUGGAGUGCUGGAACCAGUCCCUAAACCACAUGGCAAAAACCCAAUAUUCAAUAUCACAACAUAAGUGCAUGAAUUCAAAUUACCUAAUUGGACAAGAUGUAUAAAUUACCUUUUGCUUGUCACUCAUGAAGUUCCACCCAAAUUCAUGGUAAUUACCGAUAUCUUCACGAAGUAAAUUCAAGAACCAUUUCCAAUUUUCCUUUGUUUUCGCAUCAACCACAGCAUAUGCUAUAGGAAAUAGAUGAUUAUUCGCGUCUUGUCCUACAGCUGUGAGUAGUUGACCCCCAAAAUACCCCUUAAGAAAGGUUCCAUCAAAGAAAAUAAAAAUCCUACAACCAUAUUUAAAUCCUCUCUUACAUGCCUCUAAGCAUAUAUACAAACUUCUGAACUUAGGCAAACCCUCUGGUUGUGGAUGUGUGCUCAUAGUACAUGUAGAACCAGGAUUAGCUUUAAGUAGCUCCGAUAAAUAAUUGCGUAGCUUACCAUACUGUUCCUUCUUCGUCCCCUCAAUGAUAUCCUUUGCCAUCUCCAUUGCCCUAUACAUCAUUCGCUCACCUACACUUAUGUCAUAUUCUACCUUGAACCACUCUUCUGCCUCCCUUUGUAUCAAAUUAGGAGAAAUUCUAAGCUUGUUAACUAAUUCUCCAGCCACCCAUUUACAGGUUACCGAUCUAGAUUUGUUACUCCUUGGACAUGUGUGCUCAUCAACUAGCGUCUUGAUUUGAAAACUUAGUGGAAAAUUUCUCCUUGAACAGUACACCUCCCACGGACAGUCCUAAUUAUAACAAAUAACUCUGCAUCUUAGAGGCUCCACCUUUAAAAAGAACACUUCCCUCCCCAUUUGGAUGUUAAACUUCUUAACAGCAUCCUUGAACUCUUGCAUCGUUGCAAACUCCAUGCCCAGCUCAAGUCUAACUUGGCCGAAGCGUGCUUGAGGAUUAUGUUGUGGAAAUACCGGGACCCCGUUUUCAUCAUCUGAUUCAGCUAAACUGUGAAGAUCCUCAGACUUGUAUUGGAACUCAUUUUCCUCACCCUUAUUAACUCCAUCAGCGUUACCCUCAUGUACAAGUACAACCACUGUUGGGGCCUCAUUAUCCCUGGGAGGAAUAAUUUUCUGACCUGAUGGUUGUGGCCUUGAGUGUCUCUUCCUUCUUCCUGAUUGUCUUAAAUUAUCGUCUCCCUCCUCAUUAUGAUUCUCUUCUACAAUAACAUAAAAUAAAAUAAUUCAUUGUUAACAACAUCGCAGUUUAGUAUUUUUAUGAAACCUAAAUUGCAUAAUUUUCUAAAUGAAUUUACCUUCGAUGGCAGGUUUAACAUGUGGAUUCACAUCUUCAUUUGACACAUUCUGCGCAGAUUUUGCUUCUCCUCUAGCUUCUUCAGCUGGUGUUUCCCCUACUACUUUGGUGGUACCCAAUGGUGGUGGCCUUGCAUGUUUCUUUCUAAUUCUCUUUCUACCGUAUCUACCGACAUUCUCAUUGGUUUCAUAUCCGGCAGUUUGAUCUCCCUCAACUUGGGGUGCCUCAGUUGGUAGUACAUUAAUAGUCUCAACAUUACCCUUGUCUUGAGCCACUUCCCCAUUACCAUUGUACCAAUCUUCCAUCACCUCAUCUUCUCCCUGCCUUUCUUCAUCACGACACACAUCCUCAUCGUCUACCUCUACAACUUCUACCUCAUCCUCAGAUACCUCGACUUCAUCUACGUACUCAGGAUUUUCUAGAACAGGAUGCUCAAAAUACAAGUGAACCAUAUUACCAUUUUUCAUCGCAGCAUCACACAUACUAAUAACAUCAGCAUCCCUUUUAAGCGGCCUUAAACCAUUUGAUAAGUCAAAACCGGGCUCUAACCAAUGAACGUCCUUAAACCCUGUGUAACCUAAAUCGAGAAACAACCCUUCUACCAGAAAUAAAUUACAAGUAUCCACACAUACCCUGUCAAUGUUGCUAACAGUACCCCCAGAAUAUUGCAAACCACCCUUUUGAUUGCUUUCUAACCUACCCAUGUGGUGCAUCACAAAUGUUAUGAGUGCUGACAUUUGAAAUUUCAAGCAGAAAAAAUACACAUUUUAAUACUAGUACAACACCAAUCAACUACUAAAAUUGUUCAUCCAAAACAGAAAAAAAUUACCCUGACUAAACCCUAAACCAAUGCAAUACAGCAAACAAGGCAUGCAUCAAGUGACAAAAUUUUAAUGCCCGGAAAUCCAAAUUGUCACAUAUUUAGUUGUCAUUUUUUCCCAUCAAAGACCAUAUAGCCACAGAAACAUGAACGAAAACAAAGUUCCUAAUGGCAAAGAGGCAGAGAUAUUACGCGUACCUUGUUAGAUGAACAACCACCAACAUGCGACAAUAUCCCUCCAAACCAGCGUUGCGGCGACGAUGGGCUGACGAUGGUCUUCGACGGUGACUUGAAGAGGAGAAGAUGGAGAGGCUACUAUGACUCCAGUGUUAACUAUUUUACUCUUUCACAGUGUUAAAAUCUUUUAACUUCUUAAAGCAUUAGUUGAAAUUAGGUUAUUAAUUAGGAAUUAGGGUAAUUGAAUUAGGAAAUUUGGGAAUGGGUCCAGGUAAGCUUUCCGUUUGCCACACAAGCUUUUCCAUUUGCCACAUCACACACUUCCGUCAACGAAGAAGGCAUCACUUGCCGGACGGGCAUUUGGUGCACGUUUUUAAAUUAUCCAACGAUAUUUUUGUCGAUAAUAAAAGUGAGGGGUAUUAUUGUCAGCGUUUACAAAAUCCGGGGGUAUAAUUGGUGGUUAACCCUUGUUUUUUUUAAAACUUAUACAAAGACCACGAUUUAUAUAAUUUUUAUGACUAAAAAAAAAUUGUUAAUAUCACCAAACUCAUCUCAUCAGCCAUGUUGAUAACAACAGCCUCUAGUGAGUCUUCAUCAACACCUUUUAAUAUGGUGAAUAUUUCUAAUUGCUCCCUCACUUAUAUAAAGUCAAUGACCCACAAAUUCAGUGUAAUAUUAGUGUAAAAAUAUAAAUAAAUUAAAAAAGUAAGCAAUGCAACAAUAAUAAUAAAAAAUUAACUUUGGGUAUAUAACUAUGUUUAGAUGAUGAUACUGAUUAACAAGGAAAAAUUUGAAAAGAGAACAAGUACAAGAGGAGAAUUUUACUACCUUUGAGUGUUUUCAUCUUCACUAAGACCUCUUAAUCUUUCUUGCAUCUCAUUACCAUAAUGAUGAUGGAUUAUUUAAAAAGAUAGCAGACAAGUAUAACAAUUAUUUAGGGUUUAGAGACAAAAACCUUAUUUGCUUAUCUAACUGGUGUUUUUCAUUGGUAAGAUUUUCCACUUCAACCUACAGAUUUAAAAGGAAAAAAAAUAAAAAUAAAAAACAGCAAAUCAAUGAUAAUAAAAAGUUCUUGGAAGAGAAGAAUCUACGAGUGGCAGCGAGGUGAUUGCAAGACACAACGCCAAACAACGACGCAAUGUGGAGUCCGUCGGCAAGCAAAUGCAGCAACGAAGUGACUGUAAGAUGCAGCACCGAACAGUAAUGCAAUGGGGAGACCGCCGACAAGGAAUUUGUAGGACACGGUGACGCUGCUGCUGGAGGAGAAGAUUCUGCUGGUGGCAGCAAUGUGACUGCAGGAUGCGUCGAUGAACAAGAACGCGAUGGGGAGACCAGUGACAACAGGAACGACGACGAAGGGAAACAGAAGCACAUGUAGAACAGCGGUGAGAGUGAAUAAAGGAGGCGGUGACCGACGGUGAGGCUUAAGAGAGAAAGUGUUUAAGUGUAUGUUGAGGGUGAGAGGGAGAGCUUUGGUGAGGGAGUGAGGCACAGAGGAGGGUGAGAAAAAUUAGGGUUUUCUUUUAUGAGGGGUAAUAAAGUUCUUUCGGCCAUGUUUUUGAAGCGUGGCCAAAUUUCUAAUCAAUCGCCACCUUCGUAAAAGCGUGGCUAUUGACCUAUUUUGGCCACGCUUAUGAAGCGUGGCAAGAAAAAGCAUGGCCAAAUGUUUAAUUAACUGCCACCCUCAUAAAAGCAUAGCAAUUGACCUAUUUGGGCCACGCUUUUAAUGCGUGGUAAGAAAAAUCGUGGUCAAAUUUCUAAUCAAUUGCCAUCUUCAUAAAAGUGUGACCAUUGACCCUUCUAGGCCACGCUUUUAAAGCAUACUAAGAAAAAACAUGGCCAAAACUCUAAUCAAUCGCCACCCUCAUAAAAACGUGGUCAUUGACCCCUUUUGGUCGCGCUUUAAGAAAAAGAGCGGCCAAAUCUCUAAUCAAUCGCUACUAGGGGUGGCAAACGGGUAUUAAUCCGUCGGGUCGGUCCACGUAACCCGUUAAAAAAAAGCGGGUCGGGCUGGAAAUUUGAGACCGUCACACAUCAAAAGUUCGCCUAAUUCGUACCGCUUAAACUGUGGGCUUUGGCGAGGCGGGCUUCCCUGCUGGGCUUAGGAUUUUUUUGAAGAUGUUCUAAUUUAGUAUUUUGGAUUAUGUUUUACGUCUGAUUUAUUAUGUUCUAAACUUGUAAAUUUUUAAUUAUAUAUUUUGGACAAUAUUUAUUUUACUUUAGACAAUGUUAGUUUUAUUAUUUUGUUUCAAAAAAUUUGGUUUAUGAUUAUGUUUAUUACGUAUUUAUAAUUAUAAAGAAUUUAAUAUUUGUGAAUUUAGAUAUUAUAAUUUUUUAUGUCUUUAGAAAUUAUAAAUUUAUUAAAAUAGUUAUGAAAUUAUAUAUAUUGUUUAAUAUUUAAUGGUUUAUUAAUAAAAAAACAAAGAGAAUUGGUGGGCUUAGCCUGCUAACCCGCUGUUAGGCGGGGUGAAAAAAAAUUUGGGACCGCUUCACUAGGCGGGGUAGGCCAGCCUGCCAAAUGGCGGGCUUUUGACAGGGCGCGGGGCGGUUAGCCCAUUUGCCAUCCCUAUACGGGUUCAACUUGCUAUCCUUGCCCCGCCAAAGGGUGAACUGGCUUUUUUUUUUAAUAGGCCCCAAAAUAAUAUAAUUAUAAGCCUCAAAUACGUUCAAAUCACAAUAUUAACCAUAAUAACUUAAUAAGUCUCAAACACAACAAUAAUAAAAUAUAAACACAUAAUCCAAUAAUCCAUACAUAAAUCCAACUCAAAUAAUCAAACUAUACUUAAAACAAACACAUAACAUAAUCUAUAAAUCAACACAAAUCAAUUGUCAACUUCCAAAUCAAUAAAAUUUGAAUCUGCUUCGGAAGUUGAAACACCAAUACUUUUUUUUUGGUAAUUUAUAUUAUUUAAUAUUUAAUAGUAAAAAAAAUUAAAAAAAGGAGAUUUGGCGGGUUAGAUUUCAAGACUGCCUCAUUAGGCGGCGGUGACGGGGUUUUCAACUAGUUUAUUUAAGUAAAUUACCCUAUGUAUCACUAUGAAUUUAAGAUCUACAGAUACCAACUUUAAUGUAUAUCCAAAGUGAAAAAAUAAAUAUUAUUAAUAAAACGUAUUGUGAAGAUUUUUAAUAAGAGCAAUGCUACAUGGCAGGCAAUUAUUAUUAUUUUUGGCUAGCACUUUAUCAGCAAUAAUUUGCACUCAUAUUUAUAUAAGUUUUGCACACAAUAAGCAUAUAAUUUACACCUAUGUUUAUCAGAAUUUUACACAUAUGAAUUAUUAUUGUUUACAUCCAUACUUUUCAGAAUUUUUACACAUGAAUUAAUAAAAUUUAUCUGUUAAAGAUAAUUUAGUAUUUAUACUGGUCAAAAGAUGGCUAAAAAUACUAAAAAUUGUUAAUUUUCCAAAAAAAAUUUAAUAAUAAUAUCAAUAGUAACAAAAAAAUAAUAACAAUAAUAAUAUCAACAAUAAUAUUUAAUAGUUAUUUUUAUUAAAAAUAAUAAUAUUUUAUUAUAAAAUUUAAACACUUUAUAAAUUUAUACUCAUAUAAUUCAUAUCACAAAUACAUUAAAAGACGCUCUCCGAUACAGAUCAAUUAUCAUACAGAUAUACAGAUAUUCUUUUAAGUUGCAGAAUGGGGCAGGAAAUUAGCAGUUUGUGGGCGCUCACGGAAAGAAUUUCUGAGCCGAGUUGAUUGUGUGAACAUCGAACAGGAUGACAUUAUUGGUUUUCCAUAUUUAACUAGCAUGUCCGUUAUAUUUUGAUCCUUUUAAUUGGUAAAAUUCUUUUUGUUAUAAAAAAUCUGAAAACUCUUUUUUUUUUUUUUAACAAAUAUCCUAAAAUUCUCCUUAAUCUGUAUUUAUUGUAUUUAAUCAUUAUAAGUAACAAAUCAUCUAUGCUAUUAUGUACCUUAUAAAUUAAUGAAUCAAAAUAAUUGAUAUAAUGAAUUACAAUUAAUUAAUUAAUAUAAAUUAUAAUAAAUUAUAAUUGUAAUAUGUUUUAUAUUUUUUUUUUUAAAGAAAAAAGGACUCAACACUGAAGAAUAGAGUUCAUUACAAAUUCAAAAAACAAAUACAGGAAUAAACAAAAGUGCUCAACAAAAGUUUUAGUAUUAGAUAAAGAAUAUCUAAUUUUUCAUAUUAGAUAAACAAUAUCUAAUUUUUUAUAUCGGUUUCGGUUUAUACAUUCCAAUUAAUUAAGAAACUAGUUAAGAUUACUAAGGUAAAAAGGUAAUAUCUUUUAAAGUGUCUAAAUAAUGUAUUAAUGUAACGAAGCUAUUGGAAUUUCAAAAAGAGGUUAACUCUUUAAAAUAUGGGAAAUGUUAGGAAAAUAAUGACUAUUUUAAACAAUAUGAAUAACCACCAAUUAAAUAAAAAUACAUUACACCUCUAAAUUAAUUAUCUAAAUUUUAAUAUUAAAAUAACCAUCCGUACACUAGUAAAAUAAAUAUCCGAUAUAUCUAUUGUUUACAUUGUUUAAUAUUUUUAUUGUCUACCUAUACUUGACCAAUUUAUUAGAAUGUUUUAUAGUCAAAGAAUAUUAUAAACUUUAAAUUGUUUGAUUUAUAUUUUAUAUUAAAUAAAUAGAAAAUAAUAUAUUGAUUGUUGUUCAUAUCCACUUUGUCGGUGUGUCCGAUCUUAUGGGGCUGAUUUGGAGUGCAGAAUCUUCAUUGCAUAUACAAAUAUACUCAUAUAUUUAAAUAUGAGAUCUCAACAACUUCUAGAAAAAAGAAGAUAAUUAACCACCAGAAUAGGAAGGAAGGUUACAAGAGUAGCCACUAGGUCACUCAUCCAAUUAUUUAACUCUUAUUUUCAUCUCAGGGGGUUUUCAACUCUAACCUAUAUAAAAAUCUAUCCAAAACCCUUUCUUACUUAAGCAUCUGAGUCCUUUAUAGGUACCACCCCACGCACACCUCCUCACGAGAAAUUUGGACGACUUUAUCCUUCCAUGAGAAGACGUCAUACAUUGUACCUAAAGGCGCCUGGACUCCAUGUUCAGGCUCAAAUCAUCUUGGUUCUAGGUAAACUUCGAAACAACUACAUUUAUUACGCAUUGAUAAUUUACCAUGUUAAUUUAUCAUGUCAAAUUUAUAUUUUAUAUUAGAGAAAAUGACACUCCNNNNNNNNNNNNNNNNNNNNNNNNNNNNNNNNNNNNNNNNNNNNNNNNNNNNNNNNNNNNNNNNNNNNNNNNNNNNNNNNNNNNNNNNNNNNNNNNNNNNNNNNNNNNNNNNNNNNNNNNNNNNNNNNNNNNNNNNNNNNNNNNNNNNNNNNNNNNNNNNNNNNNNNNNNNNNNNNNNNNNNNNNNNNNNNNNNNNNNNNNNNNNNNNNNNNNNNNNNNNNNNNNNNNNNNNNNNNNNNNNNNNNNNNNNNNNNNNNNNNNNNNNNNNNNNNNNNNNNNNNNNNNNNNNNNNNNNNNNNNNNNNNNNNNNNNNNNNNNNNNNNNNNNNNNNNNNNNNNNNNNNNNNNNNNNNNNNNNNNNNNNNNNNNNNNNNNNNNNNNNNNNNNNNNNNNNNNNNNNNNNNNNNNNNUUUAAUGUUUGACACCUAAUAAUUAACUUGAUAUAACUAUAUGAGCAAUCAAAAUAUGAAUAAUCAAACUUAAAUUGGAUUUGUGUUCUUUUUAAUUUUUUGAGAUUAGAAAGAAUAUGUUUAUAAGUUGAUAUUUUUUUUAAGUUAGUUUUGAUUUUGAAGAGAAACAUGUGAAGAGAAAGAGGCAUAUAACGAAAAUUCCAAAAAAAAGAUAACUUUUUAAAACAAUGAAACUUAAAAUAAUAUCAAAUACAAUGAACCAAAAAAAAAUACAAACAGUAAAAAAAUUUGAACAAAUUAAAAUGAAAUACUAAUAAAUAGAAAAUCUGGCCGACACUUAAAAAAUUUAUUUAAAACAAAAAAUUAAACUUGCAUAAAGAUAUAAUGUAAUAUGAAGCAGUAACAUUUUUAGAAAGUGUCUAAUACUUAAUAUUAAUUUUAUUUUAUUNNNNNNNNNNNNNNNNNNNNNNNNNNNNNNNNNNNNNNNNNNNNNNNNNNNNNNNNNNNNNNNNNNNNNNNNNNNNNNNNNNNNNNNNNNNNNNNNNNNNNNNUAGAGAGAGAGAAAAAUUAUGUUAAAUUGAUUUGGAGUCCUUUUUUUUUGUAUAAAAUAAUUUUAAAAUUAAUCAUAAAAAAUAUUAGUACAUAAUAUAAACAAAAAUCAGUAAUAUACAAAUUAGACUUAUUGUACUAAUAUAAACAAAAUUGUAACACAAAUUCAAAGCGAACAAAAUUACAACACAAAUUUAUACAGUACAGAUGAAUAUCAUACAGAGUUACAAAUAUUCCUUUUGAGUCGAGGAAAACUUGACGCGUAUUGGGACGGUAGUUGAGCUGCUAAGCCAUUGACAGACCGUUCAGUGUUGUUGCAGGGCUUGUCGGUAGAGGCUGGCUUCUCUUCUAUGAGCCGUCAUGGGUGAACGCUUUUAAAGUGAACGGAAGUGUCCAAUGAAGGGUGUGAGGUUAUGGCAGUAUGAUUUGAUGGGCCUUUUAUUGUAAUGUAUCCAUACACUAGUAGUGAUUUGUUUGUUUAAGAAAAUAAGGGGAUAUAUAAUGUUGAAACGAAAUAUAUCAAAUAAAUGACUAUUAUAUUUUAUAUUUUACGUAAAUAACAUAUUAUUGAUUAAAUUUCUCGUAUUUAAAGUUUUCAAUGAAUUGAAGAGCCAAAAAUUUCUAUUUUAAUUUUCUUAAGCAAUUUUCAUAGGACAUUUUUAGGUAUUUUCUAAAAAAAUUGAUAAAUUAGUGUUUGAUCUUUUAAAAUAUUAUAUUAAUUCUUAAUAAAUUAAAUGGUAAUUUUUUUUUAAAAAGUGACAUUUUAAUUUUUAAUUUAUUCUAUUAUAUAAAAAAGAUUUUUUUCUCAAAUAAAAUAAAAAAAUAAUUAAUUUCCCAAACCCUAUUUUCCAGGUUUAAUUACGAGGAUACGAUUUUUUUUGGUAAUUAAGGAGAGUUCGCCGUACCGUCGGCGAACUCUAUGUAGAGUUCGGCAUAUUAUAUAAGCCCAGUGAGACCAUUUGUGUUUGUCCUAUUCUUGUACAAUCUCUCUUCAAAAUUUACUGUCUUCCUCUUUUAUCCUAUCUUUUGGACGCACGUGAAGUUCAUUGCAGACGACAUUCUUUGUUUCAGGUCAGUAAAUAAUAGUUUAGUUAGAGUUAAAUUUUUUGCUUACUUAGAGUUAGAUUAUUUUUAGCGUAGUUAGCGUAACUAUUGACAUGUUAAUUAAAAUAAUUUAGUUAUAGGUUGUUUGUUAGUUAGAGUUACAGAGUUACUAAUGACAUGUUAGUUAGAUUUACUGUUAAUUAUUUGUUAUGUUAGUUAAAAGGUGAGUUCAGUAUUUGUGAUUUUAUUUUACUGGAUUGUAUUUAGAUGGAGGAGCAGGUAUUGGGUUACGAGGGUGAGAUGUAUAGACUGGAUCACACUGAUCACAUUGCUGGCAGGCUUGACAGAGUGAUACACUUUUUUAACUGUUUUUUAUUUUGUUAUAAUUAAUUAGCAGUGAAACUCUAAUUUUAUGUGUUAAUUGUCCCUCUUUUUUGUGUUUUUUGUUUCCGUUUGGUAGGCGCCUCGGGUACUCCGCACUAGGCAAAAUUUGAUGGCACGGCCGCCGGAGCAGAUUAGGCCAAAUCUCAGACGAGAUGGGUUUGCGUAUGUGGCCUAUAUGGUCGAGUUUGAGCACGACUAGCCUCUUGCCUCGGCUUUGAUAGAGAGGUGGAGACCUGAGUCCCACACGUUUCAUCUACCGUGUGGAGAGAUGACUAUCACCAUGCAGGACGUAGCCUACCAGCUGGGGCUCAGGAUUGACGGUGAUCCUGUGAGUGGGUGCAUCAGUGGGUGGGAGCAGCACCAUCAGGGACACACAAUUGAGGAGAUACGUGAGUAGCUACUCGGUGUUGUUCCACGCCCAUAUGACCGUCAAUCACAGACGAAGUGGACGAUGAAGCUCACGUGGUUCCAGAACACAAAUUGUGGAGAGCUGGAGCAGGACGCUACAGAGGAGCGCUUGAUGAGGUACACGAGAGGGUGCAUCAUGCAGCUGAUAGAGGGUAUCCUGUUCCCGGAUACCUCUGACUCUCGGGUACACAUCAGGUGGCUCCUACUACUGGAGGACCUUGAGAGGUGUGGUCAGUCUCCUAGCAUGGCUGUAUUGCCAGAUGUGUCGGGCCACGGAGCAUGGCCAACGCAAUUUGGGAGGGUGCGUUAGCUUGCUGCUGUCCUGGGGUUACUACCGCAUUCCGCUGAUACAGCCUGACGACUUUGAUACUCGUCGAUUUCCCCUACUGGAGAGGUAUUAUAGACACGUAUAAUAAGCUUUUAUGUUAUUAUUACUAAGUUAAUUAUAUUGAGGAAUAAGAUAUCACUGUGGUUGGCAUUGUAGGUGGGUUUAAUACCGACCGGACAAUGCCAUGGGCGAGAGCAGGCUUAGGCAUUACAGGCAUACCCUGAACGGGAUUGGGAUGCGGAAUUUAAGUGCAGAGUAUUCAAGUUUUACAUAGUUAAGUUUAAUGUACUUUUAAUAAGUGUUUUAUUUGAAAUUUGUAUGUCGUUAUUUAUAUGUGUUUUGUGAACAGGUUGAGUGGACGCCGUAUGCUGGCCCACAGCUGAUUGGUAUAGUUCCACCGGCGAUAGCUGAGGCAGAAGCAUCAUCGGCAGUUGUAUGUCCAUUACUUUGCUUUGCUAUCGUCGAGUGGCAUCAGGUGGAUCGAGUUGUACGUCAGUUCGGUGGCCUGCAUCACAUUCCGACCAGGCCACUGAACAUAGACGACAUGCACAAGUUGGAUGGUCGGUUUGGUCGCGGAGAGUGGUUUCCGCAGCUUCUCGGUGGCUGGCAUGAGUUGUGGGAUGCUCGAGUCCAUCAUCAUCUGCCUAUACACCAUCAUAUAGACCUACGUUCGUCGCUCUCAUACAUGACUUGGUACCUUCAGUGGGCGCACAUGGAGUUAUUCGGCCUAGGUGACCAGCACCUAGUGGCGGCCGAGGUUGUGCCAGAAGAUCUGCCCAUGCACCAUCCACUUGCUCCAGAUCUGCAUCAACCGGAUGACGGGCACCUACUAGAGAUGAGGCCAGCAGCAAGAGGUGGGAGAGGUAGGGGUGGAGGAGAGCCAGGGGAAGAGGUAGGCGCGGUGCUGGGUACAAAUUUUAAUUGAACUAAUUGAAUUCGUCCCUAUAAUAAGGAAUCAAUUUAAUUGAAUAAUCUUGAAUCGUUUAUAUAGUUAUUUUUAUAGUCAAUAAAUGUGACUGUUUUUUCAAGAUCCAAGAAGUUAUUGAUAAGGAUAUGUAUGAUGAAUUAUCAAAAAAUUUUUUUAGGUACACAAUUUUUAUAUUCUCUUAUUUUGUUUAUUAACUAUUCUUAUAAUUUGGUAUUUAAAAACAAAAAAAUAAGCAUUCUCAUUUCUUUUGUUUUUUCACUAUUUACAGGAAAAUGAAAAUCUCUUCAUAUCUAGAUCCAUAUUUUGGUCUACCACUUAAAAAAAAUUAAGACAAAUAUGAAUAUUCAUGACAUUUAAGUAAAAUUAUCUUUUGUAAAUGACUAACAUAUAUUUUGGUUUAUAUAUAUUCUUUUUGAAUCAGGCAUUUUAAAAUAAAAAAAUAUGAUAUAAAUAAGAUCACAUUAAUAUUAAAAUAAUAAAAAAUUACUUAUCUAAUAAUUUUGAAGAGUGAAUAAUAUAUUAACAAAAAAAUUAAUUUCUUAAAAAAUAAUAAAAAAACGGCUGAACAGGCACGAUAGUGACUGUUGAUGAUGCAUAAAUUACAUAAAUUUUACCCCAUAGUUCUUUAAGGAAUUAUGCAUAAUUGAAUAUCCAUAAAACAGAUACGUUAGUGGCUGUUGAGCUGCUACUUCCUUAUAAAAAGAAUAAUUGAAUAUAUAUAAAGAUUGUGCCCGUUUCAAUCUUUUGAAUAACACAUCGUAUAUUAUAAAUGUCAUUUUCUUAAAAUAUUCACAUUCAAAUUACAUAAUUAUAAUGCAUUGUUAGCCUCUUUAUUUUCUAUCAUGAUACCACAUUAAUUUUAGUGGCAGAAAAGUCUAAAGGACCAGUAAUUUUGUUAAAUUCUGGCCAGCAUGUAACCAGCAAAGAAAAGUGAGCCAUUGGAUGAAAUCUCACACCAAUCUCACACCAUUAAAAUCAUUAUUGAUGGCUAUUUGAUGACUACAAAUCACAAAAAUUGCUGGCCCUAACAUUUCUCUUUUAGUGGCUAUUUCACACAACUUUAAUUUGUAUAAGAUUUUUAUUAUAUUUUUACUCCUAUAACUUUUUUUUUCAUUUGUAUAAUAUUAUAAGAUGCUUUCUUAAUACCAUAUUACCAUUACUCUUUAAUAGCUGCUGCAGCCAGAGUAGGAGUCCUGAGGCUGAGCGGUGGUCUAUUCAGGGUAGGUGAUCGUGCCGGUGCCGGAGCCGGACGAAGAUAGGAGGCCGAUGCUGGUGCUUCUUCCACAACCACAGGAUUCUGAGGUAACUAAUUAAUAAAGCAAUUCACAGCAUUAAAGAAUCCAAAGUAGUUAGGUAGUCGGUUAGAGUAACAAGUAACAACUAAACGAGGAAGAAAAUGAAAAGGAAAGAAGAACGCACCGCAGGAGAGGGAGAUCUACGAGUGCGGGAGGUGAUAUUGCUGGUAGAUUUGAUGGCAUUUCUGGAUAGAGAGAGAGGUGGAGGAGCAGCGUAGCGAAAUCCGAGAUCGUCGUCGUCGUCGGCGGUCUGGGAAGCCAUGACCUGUGCGAGGCGCUGAGCAGCGGUUUUGGCGGCAACAUUCUGAUUCCUCUCGACGGUUGAGAUUUCAUUGUUUCCGGUGAGAGUUAGGGAGGAGGAGCGAGCAUGGCCAGAAGCACCAUUAGGUGAAGAAAGAGAGCUAGAUUCACUCUGCUCCACUGCCUGAUAGAAACCGGGCUCUCACUUCCUUUACGCUCCAUCACCAUCAGAAAUGCUUAAUGCUAAAUGCUAAUGAAACCGCUUCCUCUUCGUCUUCCUCUUCCUGAAAAGAAAUAUUGACAGUCAAGUGAAUGUGAGCCUCUUUAGUCUUUACUUUGGUUUACACUUUACACUGCUUUGCUUUUUCACUCGAUUCUCAUUUCACUCUGUACCUUACUUAUCAAAUAUGACAAACUUUUUUUUUCUGAAUGGUACAGAUGAAUGUUAGAGGUCAUAACUCAUGACUCUACUACGACCGGGACACUGCAACGACAAAGAGGAAUCCAUUAUAAAAAAGGGUGCGCACACUCUCUUAUAGUCUUCAGUGUUUUUUGGAGCAAGUGAGCAACUCUCUCUCAGACUCUCACCGCCAUUUAUCUGAAAAUUAAAUUAGUAAAGUGCGCGGGAGGUAGGGUGGUGAGGAGGCUCCCCGGGACAGAGACCCAGUCAGCCCGCCAGUGCACUGGGCCGCUGAUACAAGGCAGACGGUUGGGACUGUUUCAGGACUAGUACUUGAAGACUACUUGUCACUGAGACCACCUGGCUCACACCACUCAGAGGCAGGGACCAAUCAGCAGGGAGAGAUACCUGAGGUCAGUGUACAUUUCGAUAUCGGGACCCAGUUUCAGUUGUCGUUCAGCCCGUCGGAGCUCGACCCCUAGCCCGACUACCAGCCCUUGUUGGACACCCAGGACAUGAUCGAUGUUAGCAUGAUGGUGCCAGACUGGAUGGCUCCUUUGAUGCAGGGGGUGAUAUCGGGUUGGGAGAUGUGUCGACGAUGCCCCAUCAGACCUAGCCAUUCUUGCAGAUGCAUGCUAUGCCACCUCAGUCUGCAUACUUGGCACGCAUCCCGGAUGAUCAGUCCAGUGGAUCAUCGUCUACUACAGAUUAUGCGACGCUGAGGGAGCAGAUGAGCACUCCUACACCACCUCCGGUUCCUCCAGUUGGUCGCGGGCAGCACGACGUCAGACCACCUUCGUGUGGCACAGAUGGCUGUCUCGACCCGUGGCCUCAUGGACAACAUGUUGAUCCACGUGGUGGUGGGCGAGGGCGUAGGUAGUUGAUUCUAAUUUAGCUAUGUUUGUCAUACUGUUUCGUCACUGAAACUGGUGGAUUUUUUCUGUGAAAAAUUUAUGUAUAUCUUGUUUUGAAUGACAUAAACAUAAAGUUUUGAAUGACAUAAACAUAAAGUUUUCAAUGAUAUAAACAAAAACAAGUCUGUUGUACACAACAUUUCCAUAGAAAUGAUAAUAGUAAAUAGACAUAAAUGACACCUAUAACUAACGUCGACUAGAAGACGCCCCUCCACCAUCAAGAGCAGUACAAGUCCUCCGUGUGUGUCCGUUCUGGAAACAUAAUCUGCACUGCUUUUCGCCGUUAUGCUCAACGUCAUCCAUGUUGUUGCGAAUUCUAGAGCUGACAGGUCGACCUCUCUUCACUCUCAUCAUUCUCGGGUUGGGCUGAAUACGGGAUCCUUCAUAAGAUGGCCAGUCAUCCUCAUGCCCUCGGUCGAAACUCUGAUCUAUAAACAUUGAAGACCGACUCUAUGCGGUACACAGGAUGAAUAAAACUCUUCCAAUCAAGUCUUGCAUGAGAGCAAGCUGCAAGGACAUGACGACAAGGAAGAUGAAGAGCUUGGAAAUACCCACAGUCACACGUUCCCUCAUUAAGCAGCACCUGAUAAUUCUGUUGCCUGGACCCAGGAACUGCCGCUAGCUCUUCAACCGUAAAGUUUGUUCUCAAUCGAUCAAACUGGUAAACAUUCAUGGUAUUCACGUGCUUGGAGUUGAAUUCUAUGGUUUUCACCAACGUCUGAGAGAACUCAGCACCGAUUUGAAGUUGGGUCAGUGCCUCGGAACCCUUCCUUGCAAAAAGUUCACCCAAUCGAAAAUAACUUGACUUGACGAGAGUUGUGAUUGGCGAAUUGCGAGACCCCUUCAUCACAGCAUUAAUGCACUCGGAUAUAUUCGUCGUCAUGUGACCAAAUCGACGACCCUCAUCAACAUACUGUGCCCACUGUGACCGUUGCAUUUUCUCAAGCCAGUUAGUGAUUGCCAUGUUUUCGCCCCGCAGCCAGCCAAAAUAAUGCGCAAACUCACGCUGUGACUUUGAAUACGCUGCGUUAAUUAGAACCUUCUUCAAGUCUAUGUUUUUAAAGUGGGUCAUGAAGUUGGCUGCAAUGUGUCUUGUACGAAAGGCUUGGAAGGCAUGAGGUGGUUUCCAUAAAGUCCCUUCGGCAUUCAAUGCACUAUCAAUGGAUUUGUGUCUGUCUGAAAUCACUAAGAGCCCGUGUUGUGGUGUGACAUGCUCCCGCAAAUACGACAGAAAGAACGACCACUCCUCCUUUGUCUCACCCUCGACGACGGCAAAUGCAAUAGGCAGAAUAUUUGCGUUCCCGUCUUACGCUAUCGCCAUCAGUAAGGUCCUACCGUAUUUACCAUAUAGGUCAGUGCCAUCAAUAGAAAUAAGUGGCUUGCAAGGCUUGAAAGCCUCAACACAUGAUGGAAAUGUCCAAAAGACCCGAUGAAAUAUGACAGUAUGUGUGGAACCAGGCCAAGGCUGAGUCACCAGUUGCACCCAAGUACCUAAAGAGCCAAACUUAGUUGCCUACUUGUACACAUCUGAUAUUUUUAAUUGAAAAUAACCAAUAUUGAAAUAAGUAUUACCCGGCAAGUACAUCUCCAUUGCGAAUAACCAACAAGGAAGCUUGUUGUACGAUUCCUCCCAAUCGCCAUAUAUUCUGGCAAUCACUCUCUAUUUUGCAGGCCAAGCCUUUCUGUAGGACGCCUUGUGUAAGAACCCGCGUUUUCACGUAAAACCAUUUUAAUAAAAUAAUUUUAGUGCCAGAAAUAGAUUCAAAAUUUAGAAGUUUUAAUUUGAAAAUAAAAAUGUAAAAUUUGAUUUCAGUGAAUUUUUCUGAGCUGGAAAAUGUAUUUCUUUCGAAAAGUUUUUGUAAAAAUGCGUACUGACACUUAAGCUGGCAGUACCGGCUCUGGACUGUCCAGUAUCGUGUAUUUUGAAAAAUAAUAUUUUGAAGAUUGAUUUAUUAUUUUGAAAGGAGAAAAAUAAUUUAGAAUCGAAAAUCGGGCACUAAUCUUAAAGGUUUUGGCCCAAAGUGGGCCAAACGGACAAAAAACGCUAACGGAUUGAACCGGGUCCAAACCUGGCCCAAAAUCCAACAUAUAUAAGCUCAUUUAAUGAGCUUUGAACUCAUUUUUCCAUCCCUAAGGGAGAGAGGGGGCGCAGCUGCCAUGAGAGGAGAGGGAGAAGAGAAAAUACUAUUCACCCUCACCUUCUUUUGCUUGUAACUUGAGCUACGGACCUCCGAUUGACAAGCUGUUUGCGGCCACGUGAAGCUCUCAAUGAGCUCUUCCUUUCUAUCUAAAGGAAUCUGGUAAGGGCUCGCAUCUCACUCUCCAUUUUCGUGCCCUAAGUUUCUGCACGUUUUUUGUUGGGGUUUUGAGCAAGUUUUGUGGUUUUGCUUGUUUAGGUGAUCUCUAGUAGCGGGUAAUUGUUGGAUUUUACCCCUAAUCUCGUUGGAUAAGGUAAGGUUCCACUAAAUUCUUGUGUUUAAUUGUUUUGUGUAUCUUAGAUUUUGAUUUUGAUGAUAUAUGUGUUGUUAGUGUGAGCCUUGGUAUUUGUUGGUGUUAGUUGAGGCUUUGGAUAAAGUUUGGUGGUUUUGUUUUGGUGUUUGGUGCAUUUGGGAAUUGGUCAAAGUAUGGUUUCAGUUUUCUUUAUGUAAUAUGUAAUGUUUCUGAACACUUAGGCUAGUGACCCAUAGGAUAGGAUUGAAUUAAAUUGGUUGUUGGGAUUGUUGUAUGAUGAUGAUGUAUAAUGAUUUGAGGAUUUGAGUUGUUGAAUGAUGAUUUAUGAUGAAUUAUGAUGGGUUGAUGAUUUUUGAGUAUAUUGGUGAAUUAUGAUGUUGUAAUGAUAAUAUGGUGUGAAAUAUGUAGAUUGAGGUAAAAUGAGAUUGAGAGUGAUGCUUGGUAUUGAUAGAUGAUGAAUAUUGAUGAAUUGUGUUGGUGGGCGGGUUGGAUAGCUUGACCCAGGGUAUGAACAGAGCACCUUUUGACUUCACAACAGCUGGAUCACUUAUUAGCGCUGACGUGGGGGAAACCCUCGCUUGUGCAUCACUUUUAUUGAUGCCAUUGCACUGCAUCUAAGUGUGGGCACUAUAUCAUCAGCGGGGUCUUGCUCGCCAAUUGAGCAUAUAAAAUCACUCUUUGCAUCUCUUGUCCAUCUUUUCAGGAUAAGAGAUGUAGGGAUGCAUUUUGCAUUGCGAUGCUUCAAGACCCGAAAGAUGUGGGAGCACGGUAAUCCACGAGUCUCAAAUAGCCUGCACUCACACGCAAACAGGUCCUUGUCUUUAUUGUAAGAUACUUUAAAUUUCCAUUGCUGAUUAAAAUACUCGCUCGUGUUGUACUCAACAAUGUCUCCACUAUUUGGGCAUUCAUUCACAUUUAAGGCACGUGCUGCUUCUAUCUCAUCUUUCACAAGUUUGAAAAUAUUUCUAGUAUAAAGUUCAGCAGCUUGUUUCUCAAAACUUUCCAAGCACGUAGUCAAAACAGAAAACUUAUAAAAGGUUUCAAAGUCAGCAGUAAGAUGGUUGUUUCGGUAAUGCCUUAGUACUUCACUAAAUUUAUGAAUGAAUUCAAGGAGACUGGUUUUGCUGUCAACAUAGUUCUUCAAUAAUGAAUGAAUUCCCUCACACUGUGAUGUAGUUCUUAUGUGGCCAAAGAAGUGCUCCCUCAAAUAUACGGUAGCCCACUUCAUUUUGUCAUUAUAAAUGCCCUGGACCCAUUCAUUCUCGGCAAGUCCGUAUUUGGAUAUGAUCUCGCUCCAUCUCUCUUCAAAUAUUUGUACGGUAAACUGUCCAUACAAUAAUACAUUAAAAUCGUCCCAAAAAUGCUUGUUUUUUAUAUUCUAUACCGCAUUACGAUGGAGAUUCCAUGCACAAAGGCGGUGUGGUAUACAAGGAAAUACUUCUAAGAUAGCCUCUCUCAUAGCAUGGUCUCCGUCUAUCACAAUGCCUCCGGGUAGUUUUUCUGACAUGAUUUCCAAAAAUACCUUCAGUGCCCACUUGAAAGUUUCGGAUCUUUCAUCUGAGAGCAGGGCAUCCAAAGAUAGUUGUUUGGCCAUGGUGGUUGGUCCCUGAAAAUAUGACUAAGGGAUUGUUGUAGACAUUUUUCUUGUAAGUGGUGUCAAAAGUGAGUACAUCGCCAAAACAUUCGUAAUCAACAACGCUUUCUCCAUCAGCCCACACCAAAUUAUCCAACCUACCAUCCUUUAAGGUGAACUUUCAUAGAAAUAACGGGUCACUGUCUGCCUUGGACAACAGAUAGGCCAACGCAGCAAAUGCAUCACCGUCUUUCAUUUUGCCACGCCUAGUCUUACUAAUGUGGUUAUGUAAGUCUUUGCUGGUAAAACCCACUUUAUCGUAUCAACCUUUUUGGGAAACCAUGUAACCCAUUAUGUGGCAAAUUUUAACACCACAUGCUCGCAAGCUGUCUGCUUGUGUUUUAUCGGCCUCAUCAAGCCCACGAUUCGCAACAAUAAGAUGUUUGUACUUAGGUAAACACAGUGGAUGAUUGUGUUCACUCUCAAAGAUACUGACUUUCCACUUACCCGUUCUAUAGUGACGAAUAAACCGAAUCCUCGCCCUGCAGUUGACACGAGUAAUUGCCCUAUGCUCCCUUUGCCAAUUGUCCCUUUUAAGGUGCUUCCAAUAUCUUUCUCCUGCUUUAUUGCAAACCAACUGUCUUGUAUUAAUGUUGCCAUUAGCAUCCACCGUCUUCAAGUCUUUUCGGGACACAAAUCCAUAGCACUUGGCAUAUUUGGCGUAAAAUUCACAAACUUGAGAUUCUGUAUCAAAUACUAGUCCCCAUAUGUCUUCGAUGGUCAAAUCAGUUAUCAACUUUUCAAAACCAUCAGCAUUAAUUAUAUAUGCCUCUGCUUCAUCUACAGUUACAUCCACCAUAUCAUUACUUUCAUCGGAACUGCACUCAUACUCAACACUUAAAUCCUCAGAUUGAUCACCAUCCUUAUACGACUCUUUGCCAUCAUUCUCCAUGACUGAACUUAAAAUUUUAACAUGUUAGGUACUAAAUAAAUGAUAGGAGAAUGGAAUAGACAAAAUGAACUCAAUUUUUUAUGAUUAAAAUUAUCGGUCAAUCAAAUUCUAUGAAACCUAAGAGCUAUUAGUGCAUAAGAAUGUUAUUUAUAUGACAACCAAGAGUUACAGAAAAAAAUUCUCUAACUUAUUAACUUCCUAUGGUCUUUCUUUUGAAAACAAGAAUACAACAGAUUCAAAUAAAUAUGAGCACAUGAAUGAUUUGCCAUAGUUUUGUGUGAGGCAUUUCAUUUAUUCAUGAAAGGAUGAAAUAAAGUCAUUAAAUUGAUUUGCCAUAGUUGUGUUUAGUAUGAGGGGUUGAUAGAAUGCUUUUAAGAGAUUGUGAUUAGGUGGUUACACAUUCUGUUUUUUCCUCCAGUUUUUGAGUUUAGGGUGGUAGUUAUCUUUUUAGUAUAGCCUUGUAAGUACUAGGUUCUGGUGGUGAACAAAUCUAUAUAUUGAAAAAAGUGGAACUUGUAUAGUGCAAUUUUGAUG
rnacentral:lncRNA from 1 species